rnacentral:lncRNA from 1 species
AUUUUAAUUAAGUAUUUUAUGUAUUUUAGGGGCAUCAUAGUCAUUUCACAAUAAACGAGAGAUUAGACGGCAAAACAGACAUCACUUUUGAACUCAGGACGGUCGAAAACCUUAGGAGGAGCAUAAAAGGAAAAAUGACACUGUUCACGUGUACGGUACUGUCUACGUUACUGUUCACGAUACUGUUCACAUAGACGGAUCAAUGACGUGGCAUUGACCGAUGAUGUGGCAUUGACUGAUGAGGUGUCACGAUCCUGUUGGACUAAAAUUCUUAUGUACUGUUGAUGGUGAUGUGGCAGCAUAUUAGUGGACCAAAAAUCUCGCAUACGGUACAUGCAUCACACAGGAUUAUUUUCAACCAAACCGCAUCACUGUUCAACCCGGGUCAAACUGUGUUACUGUUCAUCCGCGUGGUCAAACCGCGUACUGUUGACUGAUGAUGUGGCGCAAUCCUGAGCGUCCAAACUGUUUUUAAUCUGAUGGCCAUGAUUUACUCCAUGCUUUUAUAAAAAAAGGGCCUCCCCCCCUAAUUUGAUAGCUAUAAAUCCAUUUUUGGGAUCCAUUUUCUAUAAUUUCUUCUCCAUCUUGUAUUUUCUACGUAUUUUAAUAAAUUCUCAUUUUGCCCCUAGUUCAAUUAUGAGUAGCUAAUUUUCUUUCAUGCUUGGGUUGAAAGUGAAGUCUCAACAUCUGUUAUGGACUUUCUUUAGUAAAUUUAUUUUCUCUUCCCCUCUAGUUUUUGUGGAUGUUUUGACUUCUCGUCGACAAAUAAUAAUAAUCUUGUCUAAAUACCGCCUUGGUUACACCGGCUUUAUAGUACAAGGUUAUUAUUAUUUGGCACGAUAAGCCCUUAGCACAAUAUUGAUUAGAGUGUGGUUCAUAAGGUGUGGAUUCCCCCUUCAUGAUUUAAUUGGUAUUAAUAAGGAAUAUUUAGCCCAUGGUGCAUGUUGAUACAGAUCCAGAUACCCAAGUACGUCAAUUUAAUAGAUUUUCACUUCAAUUUAUUCACGUCAUUUCAAUUCCAAUUUUAAGAUAAUCUAAGUCACUUUCACCACAAAUCCAACCACCUUCAUACAAAAUUAUUUCUACAUAUAAUUAAAAUCCACCUCCUCGUGGGAUCAACACUUGUCUCCAUUAAUCUGUUCUACAAUAGAUUCGUGCACUUGCGAGUUCAAUAAAAUUUGCACAACAACUAUCUAUAUCAACAUAGUUUAAAGAAAUUACCUAUUAGGAUAUAAACCUAGAGUGGAAAUAUCUAGCCAAUGGAGGGGAUGGAAAAUGAGUUCUAUCAAACUCAGGAUCAGUUCUAAGAUGUACUAGACUCCUCCUUGCCAUUUGCUUUUUUCCUUUUUCCUAUUCUUGAAGACACAUCACCAGUCAUUUAUACUAAAUUUGAGAAUUUUGGAAAAUUUAGUGUUUUGGGAGAAAUUUAAUCAAUUAAAGUGAAGAGGGUAUAAGAAGUAAUGUUGGUGUUCAAUUUACCAAAAAUUGGUGAAAAUCCAACCAAUUUUGAAGAUGAUUGCUCGACUCACAGUUAAGGUUUUAAAUUGGGGAUUUUGAUGAUGGAGAAAUGAAGUUUAAAAGGUUUAUAAUGAUUGUAGUGGUUCAAUUUUGGAAGAAACACUCAAACAAAUGAUGAAUUUUAGAGAAAUAAAGCUUAAUUGUUGCGACCUAGAGAGAAAACGAUAAAGUUUAAUGCAAAUGAGAAACAAAACCUUGGAACAACUCUAUAAUCCCACGGAAAUGGUGAUCCAUUUUCUAUAAUUAGAUAACUGUUGACAUCCAAAAACAUAAGAAACCUUUGAACACACAAACGGUUUACCAUUUAUGGAUAUCGGUUAACUGUUAAUUUACAUAACCCAUCCCCCAAGUCUCUAUCUCAAAACGAUUAUUCAUUUAUUUUGAAAUGGCUAUCUAUUUAUUUUAACUAUAAUUUCACACAUAUGUUUCGAUCUUUGGCCAAUAAUUGUUUCCAUUCUAAGGUUAGUUCGUGAACCCGAAAUGUCUCAAAGACCAUUUUUAAUACAUGUAAAAUAUGAAUGCAUAAAAAUUUCAAAAUCAAUUAAAUCAACCAACACAUAUAGACCCAACUGAUAACCUUAAUAUAAUAUAUAGACAUGCUAAUGUAAAAAUUUGAUCAUCCCCAUUUCAUGUUGAAUUUUGAUAAAAUGACCCUCACUAAGGGGCUUUGUGAAGAUAUCUGCAAGUUAUUUUUCAGUUGAAACGAAUUCUAAUUCUACGUCCCCUUUUUGAACAUGAUCUCUCAAGAAAUGAUGUCUAAUAUCUAUAUAUUUGGUCCUAGAAUGUUGAAUGAGAUUCUUUGAUAUAUUUAUAGUACUAGUAUUAUCACACAUGAUAGGUAUAUGAUCAAGUUUAAUUCCGUAGUCUCUAAGAGUUUGUUUCAUCUAUAUAGCUUGUGCACAAUAGCUACCGGUAGCAACAUAUUCAGCCUUAAUGGUUGAAAGAGCAACUGAUUUUUUUUUUUAUUGAACCAAAAGAUGAGUGAGUGACUUAAAAAUUGACAAGUUUCACUAGUACUAUUCUUUUCGACUUUGUAUCCGGCGUAGUCGGCAUUCAAAUAUCAUGUUUAAUCUAUGUGAGUCCCUCUUUGAUACCAAAUAUUUAGAUCAAUUGUCCCACUCAAAUAAUGAAAAAUUCUUCUAACAACAAACAAAUGAGAUUCCUUGGGACAUUUUUGAAAUCUUGCACAUAAACAUACAUUGAUUAGGCCUACAAGCAGUCAAGUAAAGUAAAGAUCUAAUCAUACCUCAAUAAGUUUUGACAUCAACUUUUUUACUUUUUUAAUCCUUGUCAAGUUUGAUUCUUGAGCUCAUUGGUGUGCUUUUAGCCUUUCUCUUUUCAAAUCUGAAUUUUUUGAGUAAAUCUCUCAAAUAUUUGGCUUGGUUGAUACCAAUCCUUCUUUGUUUUGUUUUAUUUGUAGUUUAAAGAAAUACUUCAACUCUCCCAUCAUGCUCAUCUAAAAUUCUUUACUCAUAUAAGAUGAAAAUUCUCUACACAAAGACCAUUAUUAGAACCAAAGAUAAUAUAAUCAACAUAAAUUUGAACAAUGAAUAUAUCUUCAUGUUUAUACUUAAUAAAAAGUGUAGUAUUCGCAUUUCCUAUUGAAAAAUCAUUUUCCAAAAGAAAUCUACUAAACCUUUCAUACCAUAUAAAGCUUUAGACAACUUGUAGACAUGAUUUAGAAAUGUUUCAUUUUUAAAACUAGGGGGUUGUGUUACAUAAAGUUCUUCCAUAAUAUAACCAUUCAAGAAAACACUUUUAACAUCCAUUUGAUAUAAAAUAAAAUCUUUAUGACAUGCAAAUACUAAAAGCAUCCUAAUGGAUUCUAAUCUAGCUAUAAGAGCAAAUAUUUCAUCAAAAUCAAUUCCUUCUUCCUGGUUGUAUCUUUGAGCUACUAGUAUAGUUUUGUUUCUUAUAACUACAUUAAAUUCAUCCAUUUUAUUUCUAAAUACCCAUUUAGUGCCUGUUACAGAAUGAUGUUUUGGUUUAGGAACAAGUUUCCGCACAUUGUUUCACUUAAAUUGAUUUAACUCUUCGUGCAUGGCCAUAAUCCAGGAUUCAUAAUUCACCGCACUAGAAAAUGAUUUUGGUUCGAUUUAAGAUAUGAAUGCAAUAUGUUCACAUGUAUUUCUAAGUGAUAAUCUAAUGGUUACACCUAGUGAAAGACCACCUAAGAUUAAGUCUUUAGGGUGAGAAUAAACAUACCUCUACUCUUUGGGGAGUGUUUGAGAAUUACCUUUAUUCUUAUCUUGCUUAGCUUGUUCUUCUUAUGGCUCCUCUUGAUUUUAUUCUUCUGAAUUAUCUUGCUUUUCUUUUAAAGAAUCAAUUUUUUUUUUCCGUAAUUUUUCAUAUGCAUCAUCAUCAACUGCAACUUUCUCAAUAGAGGAAGAGUUAGAUUCAUCAAAUGUAACAUGCAUAGACUUCUAUACAACCAAGGUUCUUUUAUUGUAAUACUUUAUAAUUUUGCUUGUAUUUGAAUACCCAAGAAAGAUGCCAAUAUCAUAUUUUAGAUCAAACUUACCAAGAUUAUCUUUUGUAUUCAAUAUAAAAUAUUUGCAUCCAAAAACUUUGAAAUAACCACUGUUGGAUUUUCUAUCUUUCCAAAACUUGUAAGGAGUUUUAUUAAUGUAAGCUUUAAUCAACACAUGAUUCAAAACAUAACAAGUAGUGUUGACGGCUUUUGCCCAAAAAUAUUGUACUAAAACAUUUUUAUUUAACACGGUCGUAGCUAUUUCUCGAAUAGACUUAUUAUUUCUCUCAACUAUUCCAUUUUGUUGUGGAGUCCUUGGUGAUGAGAAUUGAUGCUCAAUGCCAAAGUUAUUGUAAAAAUGUUCAAAAUCAUGAUUUUUAAAUUCCCUACCAUGAUCACUUUAAAUGUAAGAAAUAACAUACUCUUUUUUCAUUUUUAACCUUUUUACAGAAAAUUUUAAAAGCAUCAAAGGCAUCAUCCUUAUUUCUUAAGAACAAUAUACAAGUGUAUCUGGAUAAAUCAUCAACAAUUACAAAUGCAUAAUAUUUACCACUCAGACUUGCAUACCUAGAAGGUCCAAACAAAUUCAUGUGAAAUAGUUGAAGCAGUUUUGAAGUAGAGACAUGGUUUUUGUUUUUGAAAGAAGUUUUGAUUUGCUUUCCAAAUUGACAACCUUCACAAACCCUAUCCUUUUUAAAACCAAUAUUUGAAAGUCAUUUAACCAAAUCAUUUUUAGAAAUCAUUGAAAUCAAAUCCAACCAACUAUCAUUAUGUAAUGCCGAAAAUCAUUUAUCAUGUGACAUGUGCAAUCUAUAUCAAUGGUAUAUACAUUAACGCAUCUUUUUGCAACAAACAAAACUUUGCGAUCACAUGCAUUCUCAAUGACAUAUUUUGUUUUAUAAAAAAUAACUAUAUAGCCAUUAUCGCACAACUAACUAAUACUAAGCAAGUUAUAUUUCAAAAUUUCAACUAAACACAUAUUUUCAAGAAAGAUAGAAGAAUCUUUACCGUCAUUACCAAUACCAAUAAUCUUUCUUUUUGAAUUAUAUUCAAAGGAUAGUUCUCCACUAUUUUUUAUAUUGGUAAAACUCAAAAAUCAAAAGUAAUUGCGUGUCAUAUGACUCGAGCAUUCGUGGUCUAAGUACCAUUUGUUCUCCCUCUUCUUGAUCACUACAGAAGAAAUCUCAAGUUUUAGGUACCCAAAACUUUUUAGGUCCUUGAGUGUUAGCAAUGGGCUCAUUUUGGUACCCAAAUACAUUUGAUUCCAUAAUAUAUAUUUCUCUUAAAUAGACAUCUAUAACUCAUAUGACUGUUUCUAUUGCAAUAAUGGCAUAUAAUUUGAUCAUUAAUGGAGGUAGCCUUAACAAAGUAAUUCUAGCAAUACUUUUAUUUCAAAUUUGACUUAUAGCCAAUACUUCCUUUAUCAAAAACACAUUUUUGAGGGCUAAGCAAAUUAUCUAAAUCUUUUGCCCACUUGUAAAUUUUAAGAUAACAUCAUUAAGCUUAUCACUCUUUUUCCUGAGCAUUUCAUUUUGUUUUUCAAAUCAUCUAUAAGUAAACCUUCAUUCCUAAAUGAAAUGUCUUGCUUUUCUUUAAAGAAUGUAAUUCUUCAUGCAAACUUUUGUUUCUACUUCUAGGCACUUGAUCUUUUCAUUCAAAUACUCAUUUUUAUUUGAAAGUUCUAUAUUUUCUUUUUAAAACAAGCAUUUUUCAUUUUUAUCUUUUUAAAGUCAUUGUGCAAUUUAGUAAAUGCUUCAAACAACACAUCAUAAAAAGGAAGACAAUUUACCUCAUCAAGUUCCUCUCCUAUUGCCAUAAGUGCCAGGUUUAACACUUCAUAUGAUUCUUCCUCAUCUGAGGCCUCCUCACCGCUGUCAUUCUACGUUGCCACCAUAGCUUUCUUUUUUGCCUUGUUGAGGAAAAGAAAUUCUAAUUUUAUGUGCCCGAGCUUCUUGCAUUCAAAGCAUAUGAUUGCUUCAUUCUUUUUCUUUUGGUUUUUAAAGUUCCUGAGCUUUCUUUACUUAUUAGAUUUCUUGAAAAACUUCCUGAAUUUUCUGGCUAUCAUACUCAUAUUUUCAUACUUCGGAUUCACUUUUUUCAUCGCUUUCCAAUCUUGAAGCUUGAAGAGCAAUGUUCUUGUUUUUUUCUCUAUUCACUUUUUCAACUGUUAAAUCCUAUUCAUAGAAAAUAAGUGAGCCAAUUAAAUCAUCAAUAGAUAAUCAGCCAUCUUCGACUAAAAAAUUUGAAAGUGUAUAUUUAUAAAGGAGAAAUUAGAAAGAAGAAGUUAAAAAAAAUGAAGAAGUUAAAAAAAAUGAUUGUUAAGGCUUAAUAAAGAAAAGGAAAAUGUCCGAAUUUUUUUUUUUUUACUUUCAAACUAAGAAGAUGCAUUUCUAGAGUCAUUACACUCCAUAUUUAGCCAUCUUCAACACAAAAGGUUAGCCACGGUUAGUCUCUACAACAAAAAAUCAGUAAAAACUUAACUAAGAUUCCACAAUUGUCAACUAUUCCCUCCCCCCAACCAGAACGAAACACUGUACUCAAUGUUUUAAAGGAAAUAAGUAAAGUUUGGAAGACAUCACCUGAGUGGUUGAACAUAUAAGAAAAUAUUUACAAGCGGAGAGUUAAAUCUAAUUUGCAUUUCUUACUGCGGCUACUGUUACUAUCAUUAUUUGGACACUCCAACACAAAGGUCCUGCGGUCUGGCUCUGGUCUAUAAACUUGUAACAAAUCCAGUAGCUCAUUAGUAGAGUGAGCACAAAUAAAAAGGUUUUUCAUUGUGGAAGGAAUGAAAUAGUUUUUUAUUGCAUGGUUAAGAAAUGCGAUGAAGCUAUCAUAAAAGUUAUUGACAUUUAACAAAUCGAUGGGUUUCUGGUGAAUGUUCAUAUGGGCCCAAGAUGCUAAUGUGAUAAGUACAUCUAGAGUUGCAAGAUCUCCUAGUAGGAAAAUAAAAGCAUCAGUAUGAUUAAGCAUUUAAGUUAUUCUUUCUUGCAUACCUGAGACGACUAACUCUUUUCUAGUCGGCGAGUCAGACAAACUACCCAAAGGUUUUAGGGCUCUUGGGAUGAUGUCUGACACUUGGCUUCCUUUGACAAAAGCAGCUUCUGAGACCAAUUUUGAUAACCCUCGAUUACCUCUUCCUUACACCAAGUGUAAUUUUCUCUCUGCUAUGCUUCGACCAAGAUCUAUGGCUGCCUCAACGAACUCUUUAUGUUUGCCAUAGUUAAAUCCAGAAAGUACACAAAUGUUCUUGAAUUAUUUAUUAGGAUUAGCUGCCAUUGAGAUACUUCUAAAAAAUAAUUUGUAAGUGCUUAACAAAAAAUCAUAUUUAAGAAUCUUGGUGACAGUGGGUCACAAUUGUGUAUAAGGUAGCAUGUUUGUGUCAAUUAAUGCGUAAAACACAUGGCUCGAGAGUAAAAAAGGAAACAGUAAAAAGAAAAGAAAAAAAACAAACAAUGAUAAAAUAAAAUUAUUAAAGACAAUAAUGCAAAUGAUAAAACAACAAUGAAAUAAAAUAAUAGUGAAGUAAAAUGAUAUUUACAGGUAGUUGCGACUGUGGCUCACAUCUUCCUCUGGUUUUACGUCCAGAAACGGCUUGAACGCCCUCUAUGGGUCGAUGAUAGGCUUCCCAUCCAGUUUUCUUAUAAACUGGCAAACAGGGUCAUUUAUAGUCAGAUUCCCAAGACUAUAUCGUGCAUGCUCUUUCUAGAAUAAUGGCCAUAACUGGAGAAUCGCUCUUUGUACAUAUCCACUAAGAUGCGUUUCAAGAGACAAAAGAAUAUCAUCCAAUGACUCCUUAUUGAAGCCAUCCCUAAUGAAUCGAAUAUUAUCUUCCCUGUUAUUGGACACCAUUCCUAAUGAACAUGAUUUUUUAUCGCAUCUCAUUCUGGCACAUUUAUGACAAGCAACAUAAAGUCUUCGAGCUCUUCGUUUUCUUGCAUAAUUUUUCUUACCACAACCAGGCAUGUAUGUAAUAAAUUUAGAAGGUAACUCACUUGCCAAUCGUACUUUAGCCUCGAUUAACCAGCGGAUGUCAGCAAGUAUGUUAUUCCUUAUAAGCAAUCGCAUGCGUUCGGACCGAGCUUUAUAGAUUGUAAGGAGGGCAUUAUGAGGAAGUGACAGGAAUUGAUUUUGAAGUUUUGCUAAAAUCUCGUUUCUGUCCAUACAUUCAUCUCAGAAGAUCAGUUAUUAUGAGAAACUGAAGUAACUGACUUGAUUGUUAUGGAGUACCGUUAUCCACCACUUCACUGGGGUAACCAACUAAAGCACACAAACAAAUUAACAAAUUAAAACACACAAAGAAAAUUACAAUCGUCCUCUUAUUGAAUUUACCUCAAACUCCAACUGGAUGUUGUAGACACCUCCCUCAAUGUCUCUGAGUUGUAUUUCUAAAUCCUCAAUAUGAGAUAUUAACUCUGGUGAUUGUAGAGCCCAAAUAUGAUGUGUUUUACAAAAUCGAAUUUAGCUUCUGAGAUAAAAUUUUAGAAUUUCUUGAUGGCCCAGUAUGCAUGAUACUCGAGUUCCACAAGUAGGUGGCAAGCUUUUCCAUACACUAGCCUAUAGGGUGACAUCCCAAUCGGGGUCUUGAAAGCCGUUCUAUAUGCUCAUAAUGUAUCAUCGAGUUUUAAUGACCAAUAUUUUUUGUCUGGCCUCACCGUCUUUUCUAAUAUGUACUUUAUUUCUCGAUUGGAGAUCUCAACUUGGCCACUGGUUUGCGGAUGAUAUGGGGUCGCCACUUUGUGAGUGAUGAAAUACUUUGUCAAAAGAGCUUUGAAUGCUAAUUAACUAUAUCAGCAUACCAUGGUAAUACUUCCACACUCAUUAAUUGUUCAUCUGGAAAUGACUCAUUCAAUGUUAAUGGUUCUGUAAUUGUGUCAAAAUUGAGACGAAAGAGAUGGCCGGCCACAACAAUUUUUAUGCCUUUCUUAUCUUUAAAUUUUAAGUCGAAUUCCCACAAAAGUAUCACCUAAUGAAUUAGUCUAGCUUUUGCAUCUUUCUUUGUGAGAAGAUAUUUAAGAGCAGCAUGAUUUAUGAAUACAAUUAUUUUAUAACUAAUGAGAUAAGAUCACAAAUUUUCUAAUGCAAACACUAUUGCUAUCAUUUCUUUUUCAGUAGUUGAAUAGUUCAACUGUGCAUCAUUCAAUGUCAUACUAGCAUAAUAAAUAACAUGGGGAAUUCGAUCAACUCUCUGUCCUAAUACUGCUCAUACUGCAUAAUCAGAUGCAUCACACAUGAGCUCAAAUAAUAAGUUCUAGUUUGGGGGCUGAAUGAUAGGUGAUAAUGUCAACAAUUACUUUAGUUUUUCAAAUGCUACAAGACAUGAAUCAUCAAAGACAAAAGGUACAUUCUUAGCAAGUAGAUUGCACAAGGGUCUAGAAACUUUGCUAAAAUCUUUAAUGAAACGUCUAUAAAAACCAGCAUACCCAAGGAAAGAUCUUACUUCUCUUACUGUUUUAGGUGGAGGAAGAUUGGAAAUAAGAUCCACCUUAUCUUUGUCAACCUCAAUACCUUUGCUCGAAAUGAUGUGACCGAGAACAAUACCUUGUUUUACCAUAAAAUGACAAUUUUUCCAAUUUAAGACCAAAUUCUUCUCUAUACAUCACUGCAGAACUAAUGUUAGAUGAUGCAAACAUUAAUCGGAUGAAUCACCAAAGAUAGAAAAAUCAUCCAUAAAGACUUUAAGUAAUCGUUCAACCAUAUUAGAAAAAAUGCUUAACAUGCAUCUUUGAAAUGUGGCAGGUGCAUUACAUAAUCCAAAUGACAUCCUCUUAUAUGCAAAUGUACCAAAAAGGCAAGUGAAAGUGGUAUUCUCUUGACCUUUUGGUGUUAUAAGGAUCUGAUUGUAUCCUGAGUAGCCAUCUAAAAAGUAAUAAAAUUCAUGGCCUGCUAAUCUAUCAAGUAUUUGAUCGAUAAAUGGUAAAAAAAAAUGGUGUUUACCUAUGACAUAAUUCAACUUUCUAUAAUCAAUACAUACACGGCAUCUUGUAGUCACUCUAGUGGGUAUCAGUUCAUUAUCAGUAUUGGUAACUACUAUGACUCCUGACUUUUUGGAGACAACUUGUACAUGACUGACUCAUGAACUAUCAGAAAUUGGGUAAAUGAUACAUGAGUCUAAUAGCUUAAGGACUUCAGUUCUAACAACUUCUUUUAUGUUAUGAUUUAACCGACGUUGCAUUUCCUUAGUAGGUUUAGCAUUUUCAUCAAGAUAAAUGUAAUGUAUGCAGUCAGUUGGGUUUAUAUCUUUUAUGUCGGCUUUGGUCCAUCCUAAUGCUCUUUUGUGCUCUUUUAAAACAUCCAACAACUUACCUUUUUGUUCGUCAUUUAGAGAUGAUGAGAAGAUUAUCGGCAGAGUACUUUCUUCUCCAAAAAAUGCAUAUUCUAAAGUGUUGGGUAAUGGUUUGACCUUGAGUUUUGGUGGUGAUUCUGAUGAUGGGAUGAGUUUUUUCUCUGAUGGUGCUAGUUGUUUAACUCUUGACUUCUAUUUCUUAGUGUCCAUGGAUGGUGCUGAAUCAAGUAGAAUGUUGACCUCAUCGACUGAUCUGUCAAUAUCAAAAUGAAAACCAAAGUGAGUUAAAUAUGUUUGUAAAGGAUCAUCACUAAGGUUUGAAAGAAAAAUAUUAUCAAUUAUUUCUUCUAUUAAAUCCACAUCAACAAUUCAAUCAUCUACAUUGUGAGGUUGUUUGACAAUAUUGAAAAUGUUUAACUUCAUAGUCAUGUUGCCAAAGGACAACUACAUAUUUCCAGUCCUACAUUGAAUGUGAGCAUCGACAGUUGCCAAGAAAUGUCGGCCUAGGAUAAUGGGGAUGUGCUUCCUUGAAUCCUGGAUUGGUUGAGUUUCAAUUACAAUGAAAUCAACAGGAAAAUAAAACUUGUCUACUUAGAUAAGCACAUCCUUCAUAAUACCACGAGGUAUUUUCGUGGACCGAUCUGCAAGCUGUAACAUCACUGGAGUUAGGUGUAAUUCUCCCAGUCCAAGUUUCACAAAUACUGAAUAAGGCAACAGAUUUACACUAGCUCCUAAAUCCAACAAAGCAUUCUCAAUUGUGUGGUUCUCUAUAUUACAUGAGAUAAUGAGGGAGCCUGGGUAUUUGUAUUUUAGAGGAAUUUUGUGUUAGAGUGUAGAACUAAUAUUUUCUGUUAAAAAAACCUUAUUUUGAACGUGAAUGUUUCUCUUUUUAGUACAAAGGUCUUUAAGAAACUUUGCAUAAGAUGAUACUUAUUUUAUAGUAACAAACAAAGGGAUGUUAACACUUACCUGUUUGAAGAUUUCAAAAAUCCCACCUCUACAUUUUCCCUUUUUUCCUUUAGCUAACCUCUGAGGAAAUGGAGCUUUAGGAACGUAUUCUCGUGGGUUAGUUUCUUCUUUCUCCUCUGAUGAUGAGUCCUCAACAUUCACAGGUAUAAUUUGAUUGAUUUUUGUCACCAGCAUAUCUACUUUGUUGUCGACUUCUUUCCCUUUUCGUAAGGUUAUGACUUCUUUGACCUCUCCGUGCUGCUGAGGUGAACUGGUACUUACUUUAUGCACUCCUUUAGGAUUAGACACUGGUUGACUUGGAAAUUUUCCUUUCUCAACAGUCAUUGCCAAGGUUUGAACGGAAGAAGCAAGUUGUCCCACCAUCUUCUCGAGGUUUAAAACUGAUUGGGCUUGUGAGUUGAAGCAUGCUCUCAUCUCAUUUGGUAGUUCAUCAAUAAUGCAGUUUUGUUGCUCAAUCUUAGAAUGCAUCCUCCCAUGGUCUGGGUUGAGAGUAGUUCUGGUUCUGAUUGUAUGGUCUAAAUGGUGGCUGAGAGGCUUGAGGAACUUGAGGAAUUGAUUGCAUUGGUGCAGCUGGAGCUACUGGUCCAUUGUAUUGAAAUCAUUGAGACUAUGAAAAAUUGGGGUGGUCUCUCCAUCCAGGGUUAUAUGUGUUAGAGUAUGGGUUGUAAUUUGAUGGCUUUCUCAUUACACCUAUGACAUUGGCUUGAUCUGAGUAUGACUUAUGGUCAUGUGGUUAUGUUGAUUUAACAGUUGUUAACGAUGCUAUUUUUCUGGAAAGACCUUCAAUGUGAACCUCAUUUACUCCUUUAAUUCUUUUAGUAUUCCUGAGCGAUUGACUCCGUUGUUGGGAAUUAUUCGCUUGUCGCUGGAAGAAAUCUUAAAUCUCUGAUGCACUUUUUGACAUUAGCUCUCCUCCACUUGUUGCCAUUAACCAUUCUUACACAUGUGGCAAUAAUCCCUCCAAAAAGUAUUGGUAUUGGUGCCAUUUCUCGUACCCAUGAUGUUGACACUUCAAAAGUAGCCAAUUAAAUUGCUCCCAUACUUCGAAAAACUGCUCGUCUUCUUUAUAGGUAAACUCUGAAAUUUUCCUGCGAAUAACAUUGGUUUUAUGCAUUGGGAAAUAUUUAUUCAAAAAUUUUGUUACCAUUUAUUCCCAUGAUGUAAUGCUAGUAGCAGGCAAUGUAUUGAGCCAUGAACGAGCUCUAUCCUUUAAAGAAAAUGAGAAUAAUCUAAGUUUAACAUCAUCAUCUGAAAAAUUCUCAUAUUUAAAAAUUUGACAAACAACAUGAAAAUCAUUCAAAUGAUUAUAUGGGUCCUCAUUUUCUAGUCCAUAGAAUGUUGGGAGACAAUUUAGCACACUAGAUUUUAACUCAAAACUCCUAACAGCUACAUUUGGAUAUCUUAUGCAUAGUGUGCUCAAAUUAGCUAAGGGACUAAAGUAUUCCUUAAAUGGCCUCUCAUGUGGUGCUUGUUGUUGUUGUUGCAAAUCCAUUUCAAUUUUAUUUUUAAUUGCCACGUGUUUGUGUUUGCGAAGUGUUUUUUCGAGUUCAAGGUCUAUAGGCUUAAGAUUAGGUAAUAAUGACCUUCGACCAUGCAUGCAAAGAACACAAAAAAUGAGAACAAAACAAAUAAAUAUAAAGAAGAAGGAGAAAUUAUGAUAUUAACCUUAUUACGUUGUUACAACAUUUCUAUAAAAACACACUAAAAAAUAUAUGAAAUAAAUUAACUAAAAAUAAAUUAAUAAGAUAAAUGAAAAAUUACAAAGAAAAAUAACUUGAAAAUUAAAUUACAGAAUUUUAAAGAAGAGAAAAAGAAAAUAAAUUCUUACUUGAAAAUGUAGAUUCACUUUUUUUCUUUGAAAUAAAAAAAAUUACAAGAAAACUACGAAAGGAAAUUAUUUACAAAAAUUAAUUCUAUGAAUUAAAAUAACUUACCUCCCCGGCAACGGCGUAAAAAACUUAUUAUGCAAAUUUUAUUGAAUUCGCAAGUGCACAAAUAUAUUGUAGAAUAGAUCAAUGGUGACGAGUGUCGAUCUCACGAGGAGGAGGAUUUUAAUUAUGUAUAGAAUUAAUUUUGUAAGUGGGUGGUUAGAUUUGUGGUGAAAAUUAUUUGAAAUAUCCUAAAAUUUAAAUUAGAAUGGCGGGAAUAAAUUAAAUCGAAUUUUAUUGAAAUGAAGCAUUUGGGUAUCUAGAUCUACCAUGGGCUAAAUAUUUCUUAUUAAUACCAAUUAAAUCAUGAGGGGAGAUUUCACUCCUCAUGAACCACACUCUAAUCAAUAUGGUGUUAAGGGCUUAUCGUGCCAAAUAGUAAUAACCUUGUACUAGGGAGACGGUUAAACUAGUGCGGUAUCUAGACAAGAUUAUUACUAUUUAUCGACGAAAAGUCAAAACAUCCACAAUAAUUAGAGGGGAAGGGAAAAUAAAUUUACCAAAUAAAGCUCAUGGCACAUGUUGAGACUUCACUUUUAACCGAGACUUGAAAGAAAAUUAGCUACUCAUAAUUGAACUAGGGGUAAAAUGAGAAUUUAUUACAAUACGUAGAAAAUACAAGAUGGAGAAGGAAUUACAGAAAAUGGAACUCAAAAAUGAAUUCAGGGAUGCCAAAUUAGGGGGGAGAGUCCCCUUUAUAUAGAUACACUGAAUAAAUCAUGGUCAUCGAAUUAAAAAUAUUUUGGAUGCUCAGGAUUGCGCCACGUCACCAAUCAACAGUACACAGUUUGACCACGUGGUUUGAAUAGUAACAUGGUUUGACCACGCAGUUUGGUUGUAAAUAAUUCCGUGUAUAUGCAUGUACCGUACGCGCGAUUGUUGGUCCACUAACAUGCUGCUACGUCACCGAUCAAUAGUAAAUAAGAAUUCCAGUCCAAUAGAAUCGUAACACCUCAUCAGUCAAAGUCACAUCUUUGGUCAAUGCCACGUCAUCGUUCCGUAUAUGUGAACAGUAUCGUGAACAAUAACAUGGACAAUACCGUACAUGUGAAUAGUAUCGUACAUGUGAACAAUUCCAUUUUUUCUUUUAUGCUCCUCCUAAGGUUUUUGACUGUCCUGAGUUCAAAAGUAAUGUCCGUUUUGCUGUCUGAUCUCUCGUUCAUUGUGAAAUGACCAUGAUGUCCCUAAAAUACAUAAAACUUAAUUAAAAUAAAACACACAUAAUUAAAUUACAAGAGACUUAAAUACAUAAAGUAAGGGUGUUAGUAAGACUUGAAAUGUAAAAUGAUAAUUUUCUCAUUUAUAAAUAUACACUUUCUAAUACUCAACAAACUUAAGGGUAAUUUCUAUUUCUAUGAUGGGCUGAAAUAAGAAUAGCAAAGACAAUAGGAAAAGUUGUCUAUAUAAAUGGUUAUAGUCCCCAGAUCAUAUGUAUCAUUCUAUUAUUUCUGACAUCCCUUCAUCAGAGAGAAAGCACAGAGAACAUGUUAAUUUGGAAAGCCAAUCACAAGAUUUUAGAGAGCAAUUAAGCACUAUGGAUUUAGGUAUACUUCUGCAUAUUCGUUUAUUGAUUCUUAGCGAUACAACAUGAAUGUUCCUGAAUUAUAGGUGAUGGUUUUCACCAAAAGAUUAUUGCUGUAAUAAGUGUAUUAAAGUCUCUUCAUAUUGAAUUAUUGAGAAUCGAAUUUAUUUUUGAUUAAUGAAUAAAUUUUUUGGUUUUCUCAAAUCUGGUAUCAUUGAAUUUAAGAAAAAUUGUGGCCUUUUUUUUUUUUAAGUCAAAAUUGUUUGGACAUUCUGUGUAAGGGUUUAGGCCGGCAACAGCAACGGCCACCACCGGUUCUAAGGUUUUAGGCAGCAAAGCAACAACCACCACGUCGUAGCAUAUAGAGGACAAGUCUUGGCCACUAUGCCAUGAAAAGUUCUAACUCUCAUAAGUGGAUUGAUGUAAUGAAUGAGGAGAUGAAGUCCAUGAAAAACAAUGAUUUAUGGGAUCUUAUCUCAUUGCCAGAAGGUGCGAAAUCUAUUGGUUACAAAUGGAUACUUAAGACCAAGAGAGAUUGGAAAGGUAAUUAGAGAGGUAUGAGGCGCAUCUUAUCAUGAAGUGCUUUACACAGAAAAAAUGUAUCAACUAUAAAGAGACUUUCUCUUCAUUUUUUUAAAGACUCUUUUAGGAUAAUAAUGGCAUUAGUGGUAAAGGUGCUCAGAAUCCAAUCCAAUCUGCUUAAUCCGUUUGAUUCGUAAAAAUUCAAUCCCUAAAAAUCUGAUCCGUUGAUUGGAUUGGAUUGAAAAUUUGAUAAUCCACAAUCGAUGGAUUGGAUAUGGAUCUACUUCUGUAAAUCAGCAAAAAUCCACGAACUCGCAAAAAAAAUAUUUAUUUAAUUAAAAAAUAAAACUUGUAAAUAUGGAAUUAGUACUUACUAGUAAAUAAAUAAGUUAAAAAUAAAGUUGCAUUAAUACUAUAUUAUAUUUUAUCCAAUAAUAAUAAUAAAUAAAAAUAAUUAAAUAAAUAUAACUUCUUCAAUAGUUAAUUUUCAUGUACUGAUCUAAACGAAUGAGAUUCUUUUUUUCUUUUUGGUGUGUUAUAUUUUGAAACUUUAAAUGUAUUUUCUAUCCUUAUUUAGACAAUUAAUCUAUUUAAAUCUUAUUUAAUUUUAAAUUUGAUCAGUAGUAAAUUAUUUUUAAAUUAAAUUUUUUUAUUUAGUGAGUUUGUGGAUUAGACAUAAUUAAAAAUUUUCAGUCCGCAAACCAAUCGGCAAAAUAGUGGAUUGGAUAUGGAUUGAGUGAAAUCUGCAUCUGAUCCGCAGGCGUACGAAUUGGAUUUGGAUUGAAUUUCACCAAUCUGUGGAUUUGAUGGAUUGAAAUUUAUAAUCCAUAAAAUCAUGGAUCGGAUAUGGAUUGAUGUCUAAUCCGUAAAAUCCGAUCUGCAAACACCCCUAAUUAGUAGCGCAUUUCAAUCCUGAGUUACAUCAGAUGGAUGUGAAGACAUUGUUUCUCAAUGGUGACAUUGAUGAGACAAUCUAUAUAGUGCAGCCAAUAAAUUUUGUGUUAGGAAACCUAAAGAAUAUGGUUUGCAAACUUAAGAAAUCCAUGUACGAACUCAAGCAAGCAUCUCGACAAUGAUAUUUUAAGUUUCAUCAAAUGAUCAUCUCAUUUGCCUUUGAGAUGAAUUUGGUCGAUAAUUGUAUAUAACAUAAGUUCUGUGGGAGCAAGUAUAUUUUUCUAGUUUGUAGAUGACAUUUUGCUUGCUAGCAACGAUAUAGGUUAUUGUGUGACACCAAGAGAUUUCUAGCUAGAAAUUUUUAUAUGAAAGAUCUUAGUGAUGCCUUUUUUGUAUUAGGUAUACAGAUACAUAGGGAGAGUAUUCUUGGAUUAUCACAAAAGAGCUAUAUCGAAAAUGGUUCUCAAACAUAUGGCAUGCAAAAUUACAAACCAAGUGAUACCCCUAUUAGUAAAGGAGACAAGUUUAGUCCUAAUUAGUUCCCUAAGAAUGAUUUUGAAGAAAAGAAAAUGCAGAAAAUCCCUUAUGCAUUUGUAGUAUGAAGUAUGGUGUAUGCUCAAGUUUAUAUGCAACUAGAUAUUACAUACGUUACAUGGAUGUUAGACAGAUAUUUUAAGUAAUCCAGAAGUAGACCAUAGGAAAGCAGUCAAACGGGUCACGCAUUAUCCAUAGAGAAUAAAAGACUACAUGCUCACAUAUCGGAGGUUGAACCAACUUGAGAUCGUCAGGUAUACUGACUCUGAUUUUGCAGGAUGCCAGGAUAGGAUGAAAUCCACUUCGGAAUUGAUAUAUCUGCUAGUUGAGAGUAUUGUCUCCUAGAAGAGUGCAAAACAGUCUCUUAUAGCCUCUUUUACGAUUGCAACAAAGUUCACAGUAUGUUAUGAGGCAUCCGAUCAUGGAAUAUAACUAUAGAAUUUGUCUUGAAGUUGCGUGGAGUAGAUGGUGAUGAUAUAUCACUGAAGUUAUUUUGUGGCAAUAAAUCAGUCGUGCUAUAUUCCAAUAACAACAAGAACUCGACAAAGUAAAAGCAUAUAGACAUCAAGUUUCCAGUUGUUUAUAAAGCACAUUGCCACAAACUCCAUUAUUAAGGACCACUUAGUAAAUGAUUGUCACCCAAAAUGUUUUACGAGCACAUUGCUCAUACAAGUGUUGUGUCAUUAAAGGAAAAUUAAUUUUAGUUAGAGUUUGUGAUUUUGAAUGCUUUUAUGAUAUAGACAUUUUAAAGUUAUUUUAAUUUAUUGAUAUUUCAGGUUAUUUUCUACAAAAAUAAAGUUUUAAAAUAUUCACACCCUGAUUUGAAUAGUUUGAUCUAACAAAAGUUCAAAGUGGACCAGUUAGAAAUAGGCAUGUUAAGAUCACAUUGCAUGAAAUUUUCGUGCUACACAUCCACAUCAUAGUCAAUGUCAUUCAGUUGUAUUGGUAUAAUAACUAUUGAUGGUCGAGUCAUGACAAUUGUAACAAAGGUCGUUUUGAUCCUAUGUUGGUAUGAUUGAUGGACCAAAUUGAUUAUAAAUACAUUUCAGUAAUGACAGUAAAGUUGAGCUUAUACGGUUAUUUUUACAAAACAUAAUUAUAAGGUUACACAUAUAGCCUAAGUGGGAGAUUGCUGGAUCUUCAAUAAUCCAACGUUGUUGGAUCCUUAAUCUAACGUUGGGCUUAUAUUUGAAUAAUUAUAUAUUACAAACUAUCAUAUAAGAUUAAACCCAAUUAAAGUGAUUUAUUAAGGCAUUCAAGAAAAAUAGAAAAAUAUAAAAUCCUAGAAGAAACAAUAAAAAUAGAAAAAUAUGCUAAAAUUGAAAAGUGAUUAGGAAAGAAAUCGAAUUUCUAGUUCGACCAUGGGGUAGAAUGGCGUAGUUCUAGGUUAGAUGCAUCUCAACGCAAGCUUCGAAAUGGUAUAUUAUAAGCCUAAAAUAGACACCUGUAGCCCAAAUUAUAGCUUCCGAAAGGUUUCCUGCUUCUGAUAUGUUGAGUGUUAGAAAAUGCAUAUUUAUAAAGGAGAAGACCGUCAUUUUACAUUUCAAGUCUUACUAACAACCUUUACUUUUAUGUAUUUAACCUUCUUGUGAUUUAAUUACAUGUGUUUUAUUUUAAUUAAGUAUUUUAUGUAUUUUAGGGGCAUUAUAGUCAUUUCACAAUAAAGGAGAGAUCAGACGGCAAAACGGAUAUCACUUUUGAACUCAGGACGGUCGAAAACCUUAAGAGGAGCAUAAAAGGAAAAAUGGCAGCAUAUCAGUGGACGAAAAAUCUCGUGUACGGUACAUGCAUCACACAGGAUUAUUUUCAACCAAACCGCGUUACUGUUCAUCCGAGUCAAACCGUGUUACUGUUCAUCCGCGUGGUCAAACCGCGUACUGUUGACUGAUGACGUGGCACAAUCCUGAGCGUCCAAACUUUUUUUAAUCCGAUGGCCAUGAUUUACUUCAUGUAUCUAUAAAAAGGGGGCCUUCCCCCCUAAUUUGAUAUCUCUGAAUCCAUUUUUGGGAUCCAUUUUCUAUAAUUCCUUCUCCAUCUUGUAUUUUCUUCAUAUUUUAAUAAAUUCCCAUUUUGCCCCUAGUUCAAUUAUGAGUGGCUAAUUUUCUUUCAAGCUUGGGUUGAAGGUGAAGUCUCAACAUCUGUCAUGGGCUUAAUUUGGUAAAUUUAUUUUCUCUUCCCCUCUAGUUUUUGUGGAUGUUUUGACUUCUCGUCGACAAAUAAUAAUAUUCUUGUCUAGUACCGCCUUGGUUUCACCGGCCCUCUAGUACAAGGUUAUUAUUAUUUGGCACGAUAAGCCCUUAGCACCAUAUUGAUUAGAGCGUGGUUCAUGAGGUGUGGAUUCCCCCCUCAGGAUUUAAUUGGCAUUAAUACAGAUUAUUUAGCCCAUGAUGCAUGUUGAUACGGAUCCAGAUACCCAAGUACGCCAUCUCAAUAGAAUUCUCUUCAAUUUAUUCUUGUCAUUUCAAUUCCAAUUUUAGAAUUUAUUCUCGCCAUUUUAAUUUAAGUUUUAGCAUAUUCCAAAUCAUUUCCACCACAAAUCCAACCACCCAUUUACAAAACUAAUUCUACACGUAAUUAAAAUCCACCUCCUCGUGGGAUCGACACUCGUCACCAUUAGUCUAUACUACAAUAGAUUCGUGCGCUUGCGAGUACAUUAAAAUUUGCACAACAUGAUACACAACUAUCCUACAUCAUAUUCUAAAGGUAAGGAGCUAGGUAGAUGAUCUCAUUGCAUGUCUCUUUUUUCAUAAGGGCUUUGGGAAUGAUUUUGUGAAUAUAAAUAAAUAGAACGAAAACAAAAAAGAAAACAAAUUUGUUAUCAAAUGAUAAAACCAAGCAGGUUGAUUAAUUUGUCAAGACUAUAAUUAGCUAGGUACCCAAAAACAUGUCUGCCACCAUAAUGAACCUCUUCGAAAAUCAAACCCAUCAAGCCAACACUUUUUCUUCAAUAAACAAGAUCCAAUCCCUUGGAAACCUUUGUAAAAGAAUUUGACGUUUAGAUGAGGGAAAACUUAAAACUUGAAAAAUAAGUUCAUUCAAGCUAUAAAGAACUUCUUGAAAAAUAAAACAAUGGUUAAGAGAAGACGAAAAACUUUAAAGGGGCACCAAUUCAUUGCCGAGAUCAACGACAAUCUUGCUCAACCUAAUUCCAAGCGUUGUCGCACUCUUCCACCCUACCUUUAUCCUGGUUGUGGACAACCUCAUAAGAUUCAUAUUCUUAAUGAUGAUGAUGAUUCUAUUCCCAAAUUUGGACAAGUACCUCCGGAGGAAUCCAUGCAUUCAAGUGACAAUGACUCCAUCGAAAGUGAUCCCAGUGAAGAUAGUCUUAACUUUGGACCUUCCACUUUUGACCCUAGGAUCACCACCACUACUGCCACUGUUCCUUCUACCAUCGCCGAUCACCAACCGCCACCAAACGAUCCCUCACGCACAGUCAACAAUAGUGCAUGUCUAAGCGCUAUUCAUGAUCUUCCUACCUUUGUUGCAACUCAUGUUCACUCUUCUCCUCCUUCUGAUCAUAUUCCUUAUCCUGAUCUCGUUGAAUAUGCUUUUUCAUCAUUUUGAUCCCAAUCUUGUUCGUCUUGAGGCCGAAAUUUUGAAAUAAGGUCGUGAUAUUGCCACCCUCACUACUUGUAUCAGUGAAUUGCAAGCCAAACUUCUUCCCUUUUGCAAUCUUUUGGCAAAAGAAAUGGAGUAAUUUGUUUUCAAAUCUUCAAUUGCAUGAUGCAAUAAGUUUGGGGGAGUAGUAUUUUCAUUCUAGGAGGCGAUUUUAUUUUUGUUCAAGAAUUUGUAGAUAUUUGGUUUUCUAGUUUUUAAGGGGAGUUUAUCUUUUCAUUGAUUUUUUUUAUGUUGCCUUACAAUUUAUUGAUCAAUAAAAUCAAUAUUUUUUUUUAAAUUCUUGCCUUGAUUUAUCUAAUGAACUAAUAUGCUAAUCACUGAUUAUUUUGGUUAGUUCUUUGUUGUUGUUUGUGCUUGUUUUAGAUUUAUAUUUUAGCGCCAAAAUUCAUUGAAGACUUGUAUAAAAUUGCUUUUACGACAAGGAUGCCAAAGAGGGAGAUUGUUAAGUCCAUUAUUUAUAGAGUUGAUAUCUUAUGACAAGUCUAGUUAAAUUGAAAUUUUAUUUAUUGCAUAUCUUGUAAUAGGGAUUAAUUUAUUAGUUCCCUAGUUUACUGAGAUUCUAAUUUAUUAGGAAUAUUCGUUUCCUAAUUUAAUUAGAUGUCUAUUUUAACAAGUAAAUUAAUGAUGAGAUUCUAUAAUUGGCACAUAAGAUCUAUUUAGAGCAAGAAGUUGGUUCAAAUAUGAAGUUUAUUAAAUGCUCUAGAUAUGUCUUGGGAGACAAAUAAGGCAAGAAGAUAAGAUUUAUUCCUAUUCAGAUUCAUAGGAAUUAUAAGAGGAAAAAAACUCUUAUUUAGAAAGAAUCUAAGUCUUUUAAGACUUGUAAUUUUUGUGAAACUCUAGUGCCAAUAUAAAGAGAGGUAUUUCACAAUUGAAAUAGCACAACACAAAGCAUAAAACAGAGAAGCAAAAUUUAGCCUCCUCGCUAGAGAAUAUGAAUUUGGCACAUAAUAUUUUGUUGAUUUAUUUUCUUAUAUUCUUUAUUCAAAGUCUUAUAACAAUACUAUUUCUUUUCAUCUAUGUGGAGAGUUUAUCUGGAUCUUGGAUCACUAGACAUUGAAGAAUUGUUAUUGAUCACUUUGCGAAGUGCCUUGAGGACCGUGGAUCAAAAGGGGUAGCAAUUAUUCAAGAGAAGUAUAUUUAAUUUAAGGUUGAGUAAGGUAUAUGAUGAUAAACUGUAAGUGAUAGUAUUAAAUUUAUUAAAUCCAUAGGUUGUAACAUUUCAACUUAGUGAAUUACUUUUCAUUUGGGUGGGGUCUCAUAAAUGUAUGAUUGAUUAAUCCAAGCCACGUAAAAAAUCUCUGCGUCAUUUAAUUUCUGUAAUUUUAUUGUGUUUUAAAAAAUUAAUAUUUUUAUGCAGAUGAACAGUAACCAUGAACAAUAUUGUAAAUAGUACCAUAAACAGUGACUGUUUGGUACUGUUAAUAGUAUUUUCAAAAAAUUAAUUUCGUUUAUUAAUUUUGUGCUUAAUUUAAUUAAUUAAGCUUAUUAAUUAAUUAGUUUUAGGGUUCUAAAAUUGCCUACAUCUGUUUGUAAUAUAUCUAAAUUCCUUUUAGUGAUGUUGCUGAGAAACAAGCGAUAAAUGAUUUAUGAAUUUUUAGUUCUUAAUCCUUUUUUUUUACCAUUAACAAUCAAACAACUCCAUGGAUUCAAAAAAAAAUUAAUGAAUAUCGAAUGCACGAGUGACGUUACCUCAACAAUUCACAAUAAUGCUUUAACUUAUGUGCCAGAAAAAGAACAUGAUGGACAUGUAAAAGGAGUUGGGUCUGGAAUCACACCAACAUUGAUGAAUCUAGAAGCAUUUAACAAGUCUCAUCCUGCACAAAUGAAAAUGAAAAUGAAAGAUCUCAAAAAAUUGUUUGAGGAAUUCAAGGCGGUAUUCAUUGAGAACAUUAGUAUACAAAAGGUAAUAAAUAUGGUUAAGAAACCUUAUGUUUGAUAUAGUUAGAAGCUGCAAUGCUUAUUGUAUACUAUUUUUUUAAUAUAUUUUCAAGAUCAAAAUGAUAAAGUGUCGGUUAGCUUUGAAUCAUAUAAUAUGUAAACCAAAUAUUUUAAAUAUGUGAAUUGUUCUUGCUUUCUAACAUUUUCGAGAUCAAAAUGAGACAAGCAACUAGAACAAAUUUCUAAAGACACUUCGCAUGGGAAAGUAAGUUUUGAUUUUUAUGAAUUUAUCAAUGCUAUCCAUCAUUUCAUGUUGAGUCUCAAAACUCUGUUUCACACUAAAAUCAAUAGACUUUUGAGUGUUUUCUGAUAAAGAAUCAUUUCUUAGAUCAAAGUGUUAGAUUAGUUCAUAAUCGAAAUAUCAAUAGAAUGUUGAGCUUGGGAAAAAUUGUUUGAAUUUCUUCAUAUAAUUUGUUUCCCUCUGAUAAUAUUUUUGUUCGUUAUUAUAGAAUUAGGCUAAAGCAUGUGGAAGCACUUUCACAAGUGUUAACAAUGCUCUUUGGGAAUAGGAAAAGUUGUAGGAGAAGGAACAAUUGCAUCCAGAGAUCUACUUACAAAAGUCCAUCGUAUAUGUCAUGGACUAGAUUGUUGGAAAGUUUAGGUGACAGUUGCACUUAUAGAAGAUAUUCCCUUAACUGUUCUACAUUCGAGCUUCAUGUUCUUAGUGAUGCAAUUGGAAGCACAGUUACUUGGUAAAACAAAAACAAAAAUACAUCUUGUUGGAGUAGGCUUAUAAUUUGAUGCUAUGCUUUCUUCAUACUUGAAUCUUAUAGAUUAAGGAAAAAAAAUUAACUUGAGCUUUAAUUUGCACUUAUAGAUUAAGGAAAAAAACUUAACUUGAGCUUUAAUUUGCACUUGAAUAUUAUAUUCUGUGUAAAAAUUUAACAAUCUUCAACUAAAUUUUUUUAUUGUAUGGAUGCCAAGUUCAACUAAUUUUAUGAAGAUUUAAGUUUCAAAUUUUUACUUGAUUGAAUUGUUAUUAAUUUUACAAAAAUUGAAUGGUAGCGGAUUUCCAAAUUUAUUUACUAUCUUUUGCAGCAUUUUACUCAUAUAAUAAGUGGCCUAGCAAACAAUAUUUUGAUAAUGCUGUUAUUAUUAUUUUAUGCAACAUUUCUUACUAGAGUUGAAAAAGCUAUAAUAUUCAAUAGUAUUUAUUGCAUCCUUUAUUAGGACAUUUUAAUAACUUUUGUAAUUGUGUUUUCGCAGCAUUUUUGAAUGGUUAUAUAUAAAAGAUAAUAUUUCUUUUAGUGAAUGAAGAUGAGAUCAAUGAAAUUCACUUUGAGUGGAUCACUUAUGUUGGUGACUUGAUUUGAAAGAAAAUGUGCAAAAGAUGAAAGUAAUAUAGGUAAAUAGCAGAUGAUUCAAUUGAAGUACAUUAGUUUAUUGUGACUUUAACUAUGACUUUUUAAGAAUGAUUUUGUUUAGUCAUUGUCCUAGCAUGCUAGUAAAAUAAUAUUUAAUUUGAUUAUCAUUGUUGUAUAGAAAGCAAAAGUGAAGCAAAUUCAUGGUCUCGUCAAUUUGUUGUGGUUGAUUUGAUAUAAUGUAAAAUCGGGGUCAAUUUGCAUGGCAUAUGAUUAAGGCAAGAUUUUGGCCCUUAUUUCUUUCUCCAUCUCUAUUUCUCUAUUUAGAUGCUUUGUACUCUUAUUUACUGUUUCUAAUUUUGCUGUCCCUCAUGUUUUAUUUUAUAUAUAGAUAUAUAGAGUUUCCUUGGCACGAAAACUUUUGGGAUCAGUGGUGGAAGGCUUGCUAAGGAUUGAAUGGUAUAGAUUGUUCCUGUUGAUUGGGGUAUUGGCUUUGUUAUUGAAAAUGAUAAAAUUGGUACUAAUUUUGAACUCAAAGAAUAGUGAAUUUAGACAAAUAUAUAUUUUUUAAAACCUAGAUCUUAUUUUAUAUAUAUAUAUAUAUAUUUUUUAAAAUUUUAAAGAUUGUCCUUGUACAAAUUAGAGAAAUAUAUAUAAUUUAAAACUAUAUUUUACUUUUAAUAAAUAUAGUUCAUGUUGAUAUGAUUUUGAGUUUGUUAUUUUAUUGUUUAGUUUAGAGUUUUAUCAUAUUUUCAAUGUAUAAUUUAUAUCAUGUGAAGCCUACAAAAGAGAUUCCAUUAUUAUAAUUUUCUCUUAAAAAAAGAUGUAAAUUUUGAUUAUUUUAACUAGUCAUAUGUAAUUGACAUUUUCUUGAAAGUUACAAAUAUAUGACUAUUAUAAGCUAUCAUACUCAUAUAAUAUGUGCAUGUUGUCACUAUAUUUGACGGUCAAAAGAUGUAAAAAGAUUUGAUAGUUUUUAAAUGACUAAUGUAAUUGAUUGUUUUGAUAAAUGUCAAAUAAGGAUAUUUGACACAUGCAUACUUGACAUUUUUUAACUGUCAAAUAUACUUAUCCUUAUUUGAUGUUUUUAACUAUUAGUUAUUCUCACUACUAGAAAAAUGGGCUUUACUGAUACUAAUUUAGUGUCAGUAAUUACUUUUCUUGACACUUAUUAAUUGUGUCAAUGAUGCUCAAGCCAGAACACACUGACACUAAUUUUUAGUGUCAGUGAUUAUUGUGUCAGUAAUUAGUGUCGUUAUAGUAUCACCUAAAUAAUGACACGAUGAUGUUAGUAUUUGAUGAUAUUAUUUAUACUUCAGUGAUUUAUGUGACUAUAGUAUCAAGAGCACACUGAUUCAAUAACAUCAAAAGUUAUUAUUGUCAUUUUAAAUAUUUAGUGUUAAUAUUUAAUGAUAUUAUGCUACUUUUGGUUAAUAGUAUAUUUUUAUUUUUAUUUUUAUUUUCCUGCUUGUUUUACAAUCAAAAUAAAACUCAAAAUAUAUUAAAUAUACCAAAUCUCACAACACAAUUCAUAUAAUAAACAUCCCAAUACAUCACUUACAUUAAUAUAAUUUAACUACAUCAUUGUUUGGAAAAGAAAAAUAUAAGUACCAAAUUGAGUUUCGACCAGUUCUAAACAACAGAAUACAAAAUUAAGUUUCAUCAAACAUUAACCUACAAAAUUAAGCAUAAGAAUGUCACUGAAUAUCCACACAUGGCUUCAUUUUUUUCCCACCUACAAGUACAUAAAAUCAAUUAGUACACCUUAAAAAAUAAGUCUUGGAAUUUGGAAACAAUAUAUAAAGUGCAAUAAUUUUUCCAGUGCACUAAUAUUAAUUUGAAAGAAUUUUUGUUUUCAAAAAUUACAUGGCAUGCUUAUCUAAUGAAAACUUUAUAAAUUAACAAUGAACAUAUGUAUUAAUUUGAAAGCAUUCAACUUACAAGUAAUCCUUAUCAAUCUUAAAUUGUUGGAAUGUCCUCUAGUUGACCAGCAACUGAUGCUCCACCUAUAAAUUAGAGAGACAUUUAUAAGAAACUGUGGCAAUCUUAAACAAAGAAAUGUAAAUUUCAAAACUGUGUAUAAAGAAAAUCACAUAAAUCUAGUAGUGCAUUCCGCAUAUUACAUGAUCAUCCGGAAGCUGGUUCUGCCCAAUCAAAUGUUCAUCACUUAAUUAAUCUAGAGAAACCAAAAUAAAAAUCUAGCUACCACUUAAUUAAAAAAUGUUCAUCACUUAAUUAAUAAGUUGUAGUUGGCAAAACAAAAUAUAACAUUUAAUCAUUAAAUAUUAUCCAAGUCCAACCCAACAAAAUAAAAUCAAGGAGCAUUAACAGAGGUCAACUAGCUCCCACCGCCCUGGGCUUAUUUUUUACAGUUUCUUGUGAUUAUACUUGUUACAACUACCAUCUCAUAGUUAUUGAAGAGGUCACUUUAGAUUCGGAAGGAGAGAGGAAAAAGUCAAAAUUAGACCAUAGUGAUGGGACUGGGAAUUAAGAUCAAGUAAAGAAAAUUAGGCAUAAUUAUUGUAAACAAAUAAAAGACCAUCAAAACAUAGCAGACAUACAGAGAUCACCAACAGCAAGCAUGGAUAUGAAAUUAAAACAACUAAACAAAAAGUUAAUUAUUUUAGUAAGUAGACUGAACUAACCAUAUGCUUCUUGCCACUAUAAUAACCAUAAGAACCUGACAGUCAUAAACACCAAAGCUUGUGAUUUUCUCUAGCCAGGAGCCCACCUGCACUGAAGUCCAUGGGUACAACAGUAUCCAAAAUAAUAAUAAAAGCCAUGAUGGGGUUUUAAAAAGUUCAUAAUUCGGUAUUAGAACAAUUGAUGGAUAAACUUAAAAAUUUGAAGUACACCAGUCAGUUUGAAGUACUUCAUACAACUUUCAUAUAUAAAAUAUAAAUGUGAAAUAACAAAUCAGCUGCUGGAGAAACUAUUGCCUUGCUUUACAUAUACAGAGCAUCCCAUGCUCAUUAUCAUGGAAUGUCCCAAUUCCCCAUUCUUUUAUUCCAAAACAAACCAACAAUGCAAGACAUACAAAUUGAGACGUGAAAUGAAAAAUACAUCAAACUAAUAAGCUUCAGAAGUUUACCCAAAUCAAUUAGCAAAUGGCACAAAACACAACAUUAGCAGGUAGCCUGCUAGACAUGCAUGCUAUUCUACUACACUAAAACAUUAACAUUAAAAGUCACAACCAGUUUAAAAAGAACUACGAGCACACAACUGUAGAAGUUCUCCAGCAGCAAAAGAUCAGGGAAUGCUUACAAUGAAACUGGCCCCCAGUUAUAUACAUCCAUCCAUCUGGAGGUGGAACCCACAACCUCAACCAUCAAAUGGUCCAGGUGGCAAGAUCCACCCUCAGUCCCCCACCCCUUCUUCAAAGCUGAUCACGCAGAAAAUCCACAACGCUAACUAAACUUUUAAAACAAAUAAAAAGAGGUUUCAUCAAACACUAACCCACCACCACAAGCCAUGAAAGUGACAGCAACAAGCAAGCCAUUAAACCAAAGCAUGUACCACCAUCCUCAUCAUCACGUGUCAUGUCAAAGCCACAAAAAUUUAACACUGAGUUACGGUUUGAUUUGAUGACGCAUGUUCUUGGAAGCCUCCCAAACACUAGCUAGUGCCUCUACAUUUGCCAACAGUGCUUUGUUUCACAUUCUUUCUUGUGCCAUCGCGGGCUGGACUGAAGCAAACAGGAAGGUAUUCAUCACAUGGAAAGUCAAAACUCCGAAAGUGCUUCACCAGCUCCUCCUUUCCCUAUAUAAUAAUAAAAAAGCACUUUUUAUUAUUUCCCGAUAAGACUUUACACAAGUAACGAUCAAAGCUUUUGUUCUCAAUCUUAAAACAGAUCACAAAAAGUUCAAACAAAAAAAAGGGCCAACUCCUAACACAAUCCACCAAUAAACUCCCCAUUAAACUUCGAUCGUACUAUGGAAUAACAAAUUACUGCAAACUCCAAAAUAAAAAGGCUCAACAGAGAACAAAAACAAGAACUUAUUAAUCAGGCAGCUAAUCUAAAACACAUCCAAUUUCUAUAAGCCCGCAUAGGAUCCUCAUUUAUAAAAUAAACCCCAUUUCGCUUAAACCCUCAAAGCCACAAGACUUAAACAAGAAUUUAAAUCAAUACAUAAAGAAAAGUGCGACCUUCCAAAUAAACAUGAAUUUCUCAACAUCGGCAACAACCCAGAAAAUUAAAAUUACAAAAAAUAAUCAUAAGCUAAAAUAAAACAAACCCAGUAAUUAAAUUGACAAAAAAAUAUUAAGCCAUUACCAAUUGUUAAAAUAAACCUCUCUGCCUUUAAAGUCCUUGAAAUCCUCCUUUACAAUUCUAGGCAUAGGCGAACCUUCUAUAGCAAACAAAUUAACUAACUUCUCAACAAUUAUCUCAAAUUCAAGCAAAUGGGUUUCGAGUAGCGAACAAAAAAAAGUGAAAUUUGAGCAGGAAAAUAAAAAAACUCCGAUGAAAGAAGCCUCAAUUAGGGUUUGCUUUGUUUUUCGAUUUGGGGAAAAAAAGAAAAAGGAAAGAGAAGCCUCAAUUAGGGUUUCGCUUUGUUCUUCGAUUUGGGGAAAAAAAGGUUUCGCUUUGUUUUCGAUUUGGGGAAAAAAGGAAAAAGGAAAGAGAAGCCUCAAUUAGGGUUUAGUUUUUCAUUAUUUGUCUGAAUUAAUUGAAUUGAGCUUGCAAAUGGACAACUGGAAACAAAAGAGAUCGAGAAGAGAAAAAGGAAAAAGAGAAGGAGAAAGCAAGAUAAUGAUAGGGUUUGGUUCAAAUAUUUGCGUCCAUAAACGAAAUAAAGUUUCCAAGUCUGGGUUAAGUUUUGUUUUUUAAUUUAUUACUGCUAUUAUAUCUUAAUUCUACAAGGUCCAAUGGUGUAUUGUCCAUAUUUUAAAGCUUUGAAUUUUAAAAGUCCUGGGUUAAUAUAUAUUUGUUAAAAGCGGAAAAUGGUGCAUAUGUACAAAAUUACUGACACUUUUCACAAAGUGUCAGUAGCUAAGUGUCAGUAAAAGUCAUUUUUGUAGUAGUGUCUAUUUUUUCUUGUAGUGGUUCAUCCCUUAAUUUAAUUCAAGAUUGAUAAUUAUAUUAAUAUAGGAGCACCAAUAAAUCGUUAAUAAAAAUUUUAUAUAAGUAAAAUAAUUAUCGAAGUUUAAAUAAUUUUGUGGCUAUUUUGGUAUUUGUACUAUAUAAUGGUAUAAUAGUCAAACUAAACUUAUGUAAAAGCAUAUGGUUAUUAUCCUUUCACUACUCGAACUAUGGUGUAAUAAUAAAUGACUACAAGAAUUAUUGAAGCAUAAUAUUUUACUAUAUUAAAUACGAAAAAUUAACCGUUUACUACUUUUCCGGUAAUUUUGCUAAUCGGGCUUUUGGUUGACUAGUAAACUACCAAUAUUGCCCUUAAUUAAUAGAUUUAAAAAUAGAAAGAAAGAGUAGAGAUUUUUAAAAAAUUAUAAAAAGCCUCAAAAGUAUAAAAAUGUGACAAAAUAACCCUUAGCAUAAUUAUAUAUCAAUCCAAAGUUUUUGGGUCGUCCAAACAUUCAAACAUUGCCAUCACCUUUAAUACUUGACUAAGGGUAUAAAUCUAAAAUGGUUUCAAACGUUUGUGCUGAUUUAUAAAAGUAUUUCUACUAUUAUGGGGUAUUAUUUGUCAUACUCUCAAAUUUUGGGGCUAAUUACAAUAUGGGGUUAAAUUUCCUACAAAUGCGCCCCUACGAAUGCACUAUGACAUCCAUAUUUGACAAACAAAACUAACGAAAAAGUAGUAAGCAUUAAUUUUUCAUAUUUAUGUAGCAAAAUAUUGCACUUUAAGAAUUCUUGCACUUGUUCGUUACUUCAACAUUAUUGAAAUGGUAAAGUAUUUUUUUUUUUAACCUAGAGAGAUGUUGGAUUAUUGGUGGUUAAAGAUGGUUAAAAGAUUUAAGGGCAAAAAAAAAAAAUUAAUAAUGAUUUACUUCGUUAAUUGUCGAAAUUUCUUCUUUAUUUGAAAUUAUUAAAAAUAAUAUGAAUUUUCUGUAAUUAAUUUUUUGAAGUGGGGUGGGUUUACAAUUAAAGUAGGGGAUAGUUGAAUAUUAUGAAAUUUUUGACAUUAUUUUUUGGUCAUAUAUUAAUAUGGCUGGUAAAUUAAUUUUUAUAUCACAUAUUUAAAUAAUUUAUUAUGUAUUAAAUAGAUUAAUAUUAUUGGUGAAUUAAUAUUUGUUUAUUACAUAUCUGAAUUAUUUAUUAUAUAGAUCAGGAGUGGGCAAAUUCAGGCUUGGAUCGAGUUCAAAUCAACAUAAUCGGGUUUCAAAUUGAUUAGACUGGAAAACAAAGGUAGUUUGAACUCAAUCCAAACUUAUAAUCUAAUCCGAAUGUAAUUUGUUUUUUCUUUUGAUUGUGUGUAAUCGAUUAGAUUUUCAAAUCCAAUACAAUCGAAUUAGACUGAUUCCCACCCGAUCGGGUAUAGAGGGGUUCAUCUGCAUCCUAUUCGAAUCUAAAUUUUUUUUAGAUUGGUCUAGUUAGAUCAGGUUAUUUUUCCAUCCCUACAUUAAAUAGGUAUUAUGUUGUUUCCAAAAAAUUAGAUUUUAUAUGUUAAAUUUCUUUAUUUUACAAAUUAUUGUCCUUACAGUAUAACUUAUCAGUGGUCAAAUAGUGGUCAAAUUAUGUCAACCGAUCAAGAUAUAAAAAUUUCAAACAAUUAAAAAUUAUGUAUCAAAUUUUAAAACUUUUAUUUUUUUUUUCAAAAAAACAACGGACAUUAAUGUUAAAAGCCAAACAAAAUGCAUCCAUGCAGUUCGAAUAACUCCCUUGCCCGGAAAAUGAAUUAUACAAGGAUAGGAAAACAAAGAGAUGAUCCAUAUUCGUUCCUUAAUAGACUUGGAUUUGGAAUUUACAACUUGCACAUGUAGCAAAAGGUAAUAUUGUCAUCUAAUUUAUGGUGCUUUUAUUUUUAGAGAAAAUGUACUCGUGUGGAGAUUGGAAAGUGAGCGAACGCUUGCAUCAUACAUGACUACAUGCUGCUCUAAGCAGCCACCCAUAUAAAAUUAAGAAAAUAUUGUUCCUUAGCUAUGUGACACAAGACAACCACCAAAUACCAACAAAGUAGAAAAAGCUAAACGGCAGUGAAUGCUCAAAUUCUUACAGUGCUUUUUGGGCUCCACCUCAUCUCACAUUUAGCCUUCCCUCUCAAUAAUCUAUAUAUGUGAGAAUGUCAGAAAAACCAUAAAAGAAAAUAAAAUAAAAAAUAAUUAUAGGCAAGAAAAUGAAACGCAGACCUAGUGCAUUCAAUUUCUAUGCAACUAAAGUCGGUUAGUUGACACGUGUAAUUUGAUGGCAUCAUAAAUCAUAAUAUGCUUGAUAUGGAUUCAUGUAAUAUCAUACAAACUUGUGGUCUCUAGCUCCCUGUUUAUUUGGUUCACUUCCUACACAUGUAACAACUUGGUAUAUCAGGCUAGGAAAUUCCCUGUUUCUAAUGGUAAUAGAAACAAAAUUUCACAUCAAAAGCAUGCCAUUGGAAAUUGGAAGUGGUGAUGAACUUGGUACGAUAAUUUUUUUUUUUUUUUUUUAUUGGAACUUACAGCGGAUAUUACUAAUACAACCGAUAUGCGAUAGCGAUUUUACAUUUGGAUAAACCCUUUCAUGGACCAAUAAGAUCUUAAAUUCUUGGGAUCUAUCUAAUUUGGCAAACUAAUUUCAUCAAGAUCAUCCAAAGAUAAAAAUACUUCAUCCAUGCAAGAGAGUUCUGCCCCAUCAUCGUCGUCAUCACAAUUUCUUUCGAAAACUCUACAGAUGACCCAUUUACUGUAAUCCUGAAUACAAUACGAGCAUACAACAAAUCAAAAAAUAAUCUUUAAUUUUUUAAUAAUACUAGAGAUUUCAGUAUUUUAAUUUUAACUUCAAUCUCAACUGAUGUGGCGGGUUAUUUCUAACUGUUAUUUGAAAUUUAUUAUUAAUGUUUAUAUAAUGUAAUAUCUACAGGUAAAGCUAACCUGCCACAUCAAUGAGAUUUAAGUUGGAACUGAGAAUCUUUGCAUUCCUGUUAAUUUUCAUAAAGAAUAAAAAAACAUAAAAAGAUAUAUACACUUACAGUUUUUGAAUUCACUCUUCUUUUAGAAGACCUACUACUACUAGUAUUACUGCUGGAAGCAGCUGCAGAAUCGGAGAGACGAUAUUCUUGCAUUAUCCAAUUAGUUUUAACUCCAGCAGAGGCUUCACCGAGGUGAAAAAUGUAAUAUUUCUUCAACCCAACUUUCUUAUCAGCCCUUGUAAGAACCGAUUCUUCUAUUCCCAUUGGCUUCCAAUACCCAUUACCCGUCAUCCUAUUUUGUGUCUUUCGACUAUAGAAGUACCACUGGUUACCUUCAGCAAGAGCUUUACCUACAUAUGUAUAUUGACACACAGAAUCAUGUUUUAUAAACGAGUAAUAAUAUUCGGACAGAAAAAUUUGAUUGACUGCUCAUAGAAACAAGUUAGCGUUCUGAUAGCACUUCGUCUAUUUGGUAUUUUUCUUAAUAAAUGUAUACAUAUGGAUGCAUGCAUAGAAGAUACCAAAAAUAUAAUAAUAAUAAUUAACGAAUUUAAUUAAGUAAGAUACUUGAUCAAAUAUAUACGUACCAUUGAGUUGCCAUGGAUCAUAUGGAUAAAGAUCAAGAUCAGGGAUCACAUCAGGGUGGCAAGGCAGGAGAGCGACCUUACGUUGAAGAAAAUGAACAAGAAGCUCUUCAUCAGUAGGACAAAAUCUGAAACCAGGGGGUAGAUUGACAUUAGCAUUAGCAUUAAUGUUAUCUCCCAUACUUACGUAUGGUAAUGAAGAAGAAAUUAAGAAAAGGAAAGAAUAGUGAUAAGGAAGUGAUUGGAUGCGGCUGAUAUUUAUAACCUAACAGAAGGGAGAAGAGAGAGAGUGUAUGACGUGAAAAAGAAGGUGGUAUUGAUCUUGAUGAUCACAAAUCACAAAUCACAAAAUGGAAAGGAGUCAGUUGGAGAAUUGGAUUUGAGUUUUGAUAUAUAGUUAGUGUUCACAAAUCACAAUUCGGCUCAUGCUCCAAAGGCGGCGGGUAACGGAACGUAUUUUUGGAUACUUUACAAGUAACGGUAUCUGUUACUGUUGGAGGGAACUGGAGAAGGUGUUUCAGAUUUCAGCUAUUUUAUUUUCGAAGAAAACGUUUUGAUAGUAUAGUACAUAUUAAAAAGUCGAUCCUCAUCACACUUCAUGCUUAGAUCAUACAGCUGCUGUCAUCCACGUGGCAUGCAGAAUAUGCGUUUGGUCGUGGACCAUAAAAGAAAUAGGUGGCCCACAUCUUGGAGUGCUGUGUGAGCCUGAUGCUAUGCACCACUAAUAAUAAUAAUUAUCGUAAUUAUAUAAUUUUAUAUAAAUAUAUUUAUGCGUAUGCAUCUCCCCAGCAAAAGUGCAAUGAGUACUGGUUCCUGGUUAGGACAAAUAAAUAGACUUUUUUUAUAUGAAUAAUAAAAGGAGUUCAACUGAUUAUCUUGGGUCAGCAGUCACUGGAACUGAACAAAUAAUAGCCCCACAUUUUAAAAAUAUAAUUAACCAAUUAUGGUUAAUUCUUAGAAAAGAAAACAUAUACAGGGGGAAAAAAUAAAUAAAUAAAAGAAGAAGCAACAAAGCUAACGGGUACUUUACUUACGAAUUUUCCAAGUAAAUGAUGAUUUUAUUGCUUAUCUAUUGGUUUUCAUCUUCUAUUGUAUUUUACUUCUCCACUUGCACGUGAAACACUCAUUUGAGACAGUGACUCAAAUGAGUUGACCCCAUUGAGCCAAUCCAACUAUCCAAGUCACCCAAAGUGAAUGUCAUUACACAUGCCUUUCAAGUUUCCAAACUAGUAUUAAUUAAUUCGGACAAGUAGCCCGUCCAAGAAAACAAAGAAAAAAGGCCAAACAAAAUCAAAUUGUUGUAAUAUUGAUAAUAGAGGAAGUAUUAAAGAAAGAAUGAUUAAAUAAAAUAGAAAGGAGCCUAGCAAAAUAUUGCAAAGGAGGAUAGCAUUUCUCACGUCAUUUUUUUUUCUCAAUUUUGAAGUAAAUAGAAAUAGCAUACAAGUGCUCUAUUUAUAAUAAUUGCGAUCGUGCUUUGCAAGUUCAAGAAGGCAAGCGGUGUGCAUAGCUAAAAGCACAUACAUAAUUUCACUUGUAACACAUGUGGUAAGGUGUGUGUGUGAUCGGCGUGCACAUUAUAUCAAGCAGUCUUCAUGCUUCUCAAUAUAUCAAAUAUGAUUUUCCUUAUUUCUCUCAUAAGUCUAUAGUAAGCCAAUCUUUAAAAGUGAUUUGACUGAUUUGAUUGGUUUUGGUCCAUAGCCACACUUCAACAUUGAUUUUCUUAAUCAGUGAUAUCACAAAACUCCUCUUGGAUAUCUACCACUUCAUCAUAGUUAUCCUUGAACUUUGUUAGGGAACAAUCCAAUGAAUAAAAAAGAAAUACAAUUUGAUGAAACAUAAAGUAGAGUUGACGUACUUCAAGACUGCCUCCUUAGAAAUCUUUACCAGUAAAACCCAAUGAGAAAACCUGGUUAAAGGAAAAAAUAGUACACAUAAUGUCCAGUUUAGCUUUAAAAGUUUUUCUCUAAUCUAAUGAGCACUCCUCUUCAUGAAUUUAAAAGUUUUUCUCUAAUCUAAUGAGCACUCCUGUUCAUGAAUACUCCCUUUGGUAAUAUGUAUCAACUCAAUAAUUUAUUGAAAUGUCACAUGUCAAUACUUUAUAUUCAAUUGUUGAUGUAGGGAACCUCUCAUAAAUUAUCCUACAAAAGCCAAUGACAAAAUGUUUCUUGUCUAUGGGUGGGUCUCAUGGGAUUAGCUAUAUCCCUGCAUUUACAAAAUCAACAAGAUCCAAAGUUUUCGUUAAUUCAUAAAUGAAAUAAUCUCAAUAAUGGAAUAUACGAAGCCAGUCUCUUCAAAUUAGCAAACAGCUUAAUCCUAUAAAAUAGAUUUAUAUAAUGUAUAUAUAAACAUGGGAAAUUAUCAGCCAUAUACCCUUAAAUGACACCCGUAUCAAACGUGUGUGAACAUUUUUCAAGUAUAUCACUCAUAUACCCUAAGUCGAAAAAACAUUUCUACCGUCCACCAAUCCGUUAACUUCCGUUUGCAAGCGCUGACAUCAUAAGGGUAGUUUAGUCUUUUAAAAUUGAGGAAACUUUGAUUUAAAAAACGACAUGUCAUCCCAUUUAUCUAGUAAAAAAUGAUAUGUCAUAUGAUAUAUAUUGAUAAAAAUGACAUGCCAUCCCAUUUAUUGGAUAAUUGUUAAUAAUUGCUAAAAAAAAACUACUUUACAACCGAAUCUACUCCUCCAAAAUUUAACCUAAAUUUUUAAAGAUCUACUCUUCCAAGCUCCAACUGAAAAUUUUUAUGGUAUAAUAUGAAUUUUUUUUAUGGAUAAUUGUUAAUAAUAUGUACCAUUAAUAAUUCAUUUUUUUAAUCAAAAAAUGUAUUGUUAAUAACAAAAUAAAAAAAAAUUGUGUAUUGAAAAUUUACAUUAAUUUUUGGGGUAAAUUUAUCUUUUUACCUCAUUUUGAGUUUCAAGGGCAAAAUAGUCAAUUUGCCAUAAUUCUGUUAACUUUCUAACGGAAGUUAACGGAUUGGUGGACGGUAGAAGUGUUUUGUUAACUUAGGGUAUACGAGUGAUACACUUGAAAAGUGUUCACACACGUUUGAUAUAGGUGUCAUUUAAGGGUAUAUGGCUGAUAAUUUCCCUAUAAACAUUAAUAAGAUAUGAAACUAAAGAUUAUACACUCACUUUAAGAUCAAGAGAGCAAAUUUUAGGAUAAUCAAGGGUAAACUUUAUCCAUUCUGAAAAUUAUAUUCCAAAAAUAUGUGGACAAAAAUGCUAGAGAAACAAUGCUUGUUCUAUAGCCUAAGAUAGUAAUUUGUUUCCCAAAAACAUAUAUAUUUUAGUCUCUCUAAUCAUAAUCAAUAGUCUUUAGAUCUUUUUAGGAGUUCUAAUUAUUGACAUAAACUGUAACAAAGUUAGAUCCUAUUUUAUAGAGUAAUGAUAGAGGCACAACCACUUUAUACAAAUAAGUGUGUACAAAUUGAUGCGGCAUCAAGAGAUUGAUUGUAUAAAAUCAUCACGGGUCCACAUAAUUAAAAAAAUAAUUGUUAUUACUUUUCAGUCAAUCUCUUCAUGCCACACUAGUUUGUACAAAACUAUUUGUUACUCUAUCAUUAUUGUAUUUUAUAAACAUAAAGGAUCAUAACAUAUCCUUCAUUUUAUCAAGAAUUCACAAAGAUCUUGAUAACUUUACUAGCUAUGUAUAUUGAUCUUCAGGCAUUUUGAAUCAUGAAGGGAUUCCUAUAAAAUGAAUAUCAAAUGCCCCAUAUAAAUUACCACUACUUUCAUAAGAAGCAUAUUAAUGCUCUCUCACAUAGCUGAAUCAAUUGUAAUGUAUUUGCACGCACUACGGGAGAACAUGUCUCCUAAUAAUCAAGGUUUCACAAUAAACAUUGUGCAUCGAGUCAUAUAUGAGAUUCUAUGAUGUCAUAUUACCUUUUCAUACACAUUCCCAUUUAUACUCAAUAAAUUUGACACCAUCAUCAGGUGUUUGGACUAUCAAUCCAUUAUGUUUGGCUAAGAAAGUCAAUUCCACCUGGAAUACUUCUUUCUAUUUGUGUCAAUCAUGCCUCAGUCUAUAUUUAUCGAUGGUUGGUGAUCAUGAUAAUUAAUAAUGUCCAUAGCUAUUGUAAAUGCAAACCUUUCAUCAAUGACUAAGCAAUAUUAAUAGCAUUUUCCUUUGAAGUAGGUAGUGUCAAAAUAAGAGCAUAGGUCUCCAUAAAGACCUUUUGUUCAAUGGAAAUAGUAGCUUGAGCAUCAAUUGCAGUCAAAUCUUGAAGGAUGCAUCUAGUAUCAAAGGAUAUUUAUUUUAUAGAUUAUUUUACUCUAUAAAAGAAAUAACUCAAGCAUUAAUAUAAUUAGAUCUUGAAAGAGCAAUAUCAUGUAUCUACUCUCACAAAAUCCUGAUUUUUUUUCCACUUUAAGGGCUUAUGCCAUAUCCUAGGCAUAUACCUCCACAUGAGGUCUUUCAGGCCAUUUUGGUCUCCUUAAGGACAAUGUACUUUUUAUUAUUACCUUGAGUAAAGUCAAUAGAACCUUAUUGAUGAGAUUAAGAAUAAAACUAUCACAAGCACAUGAGAUGAAGAAUAUUUAGAUCUUAUUCAAGUUCCUGUCGAACCCGUUAUAAGAGCUAGAGUAAAGAAAUUUAAAGAAGCACUUAAUUGAUUGAUUCAAGCAACUUGGGCUCAAUUAAAUUCGUCGAGGCCCGUUGAAGGAAUCGCACAUGAUAAAUGCAUGAUUCAGACUCUUGAAGUUUCCAAAUAAUCACUUCCAUGAAAUAGGAAGUUGGUUUGCACAUUCUAACGGGAAAAUAUAUUAUUUUCUAUUUUCAGAUACUUUCUCGUUUCUUGAGGAGGCUAUUAAGGAAACAAAUCAGUUAUUUCUAUUUUAAUCACCUAGUUUUCAUUUAAUUGAUGUAAGACAUUUAAGCCAAUUAGGAUCCUGAUUUGAUUUAGAUUCUUUCCUGUUUACUUAGAUUAAGAUUCUGAUUUGGUUUAAAUUCUUUCCUAUUUACUUAUAUUAGGAUUCUAAUUUGAUUUAGUUUCUUUCCUAUUAGGGAAGAUUCAGAUUCAGAUUUGAUUUUUGGGUUGGGAUUUAUUUCCAAAAAUUCUUGUAACCAACCCAUAUAAAGUACUUGUAUCCAAUAAACAUGGGAGAAGUUUUUGUUAUGCAAUUAGUGAUGCAAUUAGUGUUAUGUUCAAGACAAAGUAUGUAGAGGAAGUUGUACUAAUGUGACUAGUACUAUCAUGGUAGAGAAGUUAGGGCUUCCUAUACUUAAACACCUACGGCUAUACAAACUACAAUUGUUAAAUGACAGUGGUGAGGUGAAAGUGAACAAGUAGGUACUAAUGACUUUUUAGAUUGGCAAGUAUGAAGAUAAGGUGCUUUGUGAUGUAGUGUCAAUGCAGGCUGGACACUUGUUAUUUGGGCAGCCUUGGCAAUUCAACAGACGUGUGAAACAUGAUGGCUUCACCAACAAAUAUUCAUUUGUAUUUAAUCAACGCAACAUCUCUCUUGUUCCAUUGACACCAAAGCAAGUUUAUGAAGACCAAGUGAGCCUACAGAGAGAGAGUGAGGAAAAGAAAAAAAAGAGAAAAAGAGAGUGAAAUUCAAAAAGAGGCCGAGGAAAAUAUGAGAGAAAAACCAAAGAAAAAUACGGCCAUUGAGCAAAAAUCAGAUGGAAAACAAAAGAAUUUCUACGCGAGAGCGAGUGAGAUGAAAAAAACAUUGUUUUCACAUCAGCCGAUAAUUGUACUUUUGUACAAAGAGGCAUUUUUAAACACUAACGAAUUUGACCCUACUUUGCCUAGUUCUAUUACUUCUAUUUUGCAGGAAUAUAAGGAUGUCUUUCUUGAGGAAACACCACAUGGUUUACCUCCAAUCUGAGGGAUUGAGCAUCAGAUUGAUUUUGUACCCGGUGCAGCCAUUCCAAAUAGACCAGCUUAUAGGAGCAAUCCAGAGGAGACGAAAGAAAUUCAAAGGCAGGUUAAUAAUUGAUGGAAAAAAAAGGUACGUGAGAGAAAGCAUGAGUCCAUGUGCAGUUCCCAUUUUAUUAGUUUUUAAAAAGGAUGGGACAUGGAGGAUGUGUGUUGACUGUCAAGCCAUCAACAACAUAAUGGUAAAAUAUCGACAUCCUAUUCCUAGGUUAGAUCACAAGCUUGAUGAAUUACAUGGGUCUUGUGUAUUUUAUAAAAUUGAUUUGAAAAAUGGAUAUCAUUAGAUUAGAAUGAAAGAAAGAGAUGAAUGAAAAAUUGCUUUUAAAACAAACUAUGAUUUGUAUGAAUGGUUAGUCAUGCCUUUUGGUCUAUCUAAUGCCCCGAGCACUUUUAUGAGACUUAUGAAUCAUGUCUUACGAGCUUUUAUUGGCAAGUUUGUUGUUGUUUAUUUUGAUGAUAUCUUCAUUUAUAGAAAAAUCAUAAACGAUCAUGUAGUACAUUUGAAAUCUGUUUUAGAUGUGCUUAGAAAAGAAAAGUUGUUUGCUGACCUAAAGAAGUGUAUUUUUUGAUUAGAUUAAGGAUAAAACUAUCACAAGCACAUGAGACGAGGCAUAUUCAGAUCCUAUUCAAGUUCUCGUUGGACUUGUUACAAGAGCUCGAAUAAAGAAAUUCAAAUAAGCACUUAAUGGAUUUAUUCAAGCAACUUGGGCUCAAUAAAAUUCGUGGAGGCCCGUUGAAGGAAUCGCACAUGAUAAAUGCAUGAUUCAGACUCUUGAAGUUUCCAAAUAAUCACUUCCAUGAAUAUAAGGAGUUGGUUUGCACAUUAUGGCGGGAAAAUAUAUUAUUUUCCUUUUUCAAAUACUUUUCCAUUUCUUGAGAAGGCUAUUAGGGAAACAAAUCAAUUAUAUAUAUUUUAAUCGCCUAGUUUCCAUUUAAUUGAUGUAAGGCAUUUAAGCCAAUUAGGAUUCUGAUUUGAUUUAGAUUCUUUCGUAUUUACUUUUAUUAGAAUUCUGAUUUGGUUUAAAUUCUUUCCUAUUUACUUAGAUUAGGAUUUGAUUUGAUUUAAAUUCUUUCCUAUUAUGAAAUAUUCAGAUUCAGAUUUGAUUUUUGGGUUGGGAUUUAUUUUCAAAACUUUUUGUAACCAACCCUAUAUAACGUACACUUAUCCAAUAAACAUGGGAGAAGUUUUUUUGAUGCAAUUGGUGAGAGAGUUAAUUCUCUUUGGUUCUUUACGAACUCUUUGAACUUAUCGGAUUUCCGUGGUGUUCAAACUCUUGACUUAUCAAUCAGACCAUCCAUAGCUGAUUGUGGUGCCUUCACAUACCAGGGUUCGUGCUUUCAAUAAAUAUUGGGUCGAGGUUUCAUUUCAUUCUUAGUUUAGAUUCGAUCUUGGAAACUAAGUUGAUUAGGGUCGCGUCAGUUCUUGAUCGAGUUCGUAUCACUUACUGUUUUUAGACACAAGUUCCUUUUAUAUAAGGACCAAUAUGAAUGAACCAAUUGGACUACCAUGCUUUUGGGGUGCCACUGAUAAUUCAUUGGAGUCAUUUUACAACUGGAAUAAAUGAAUUUGUUUCUUUAGAUGCACUAGAGGUGCAUUUGGCUGGUGAUUUGUAAUUCACUGUAAAUAAAUUAUCUUCUACAUUUUGUUAUCAAUUUGAGUUAUGCAGGAAUCAAGAUGAUACAUAUAUAUCACAUGCCAUGAAAGCUCACGCUUAACAUAAUAAGGCAGCUUUUUCUCAUUCUCAAUAGAGCAAAGUUUUUCCCAUCGUAUUCCAAUUACCAGAAGUAUGGUAAACAAAUUAUUAGCUAGGGGUUCAAGAUAUAUGUUAAUAUAUGGUGAGUCAAAACUUAUAAAAAUUUUCCAAAUGACAUUAGAUCCCAUCUUAGUGCGUUGGAGGAGCAUAUCAGGCUUCUAUAGCGCAACCAGAAGUGCAUAAGUGGGGAUUAUCAAGUUGAUGACUCUGUAUCAAUUGCAGUAGGGAAUAAUGAUGACAGGCAGAAGCCUUAAUCGGAUGAACACCCCAACAUGCCAAAUAUUAUGUCCCUCUUCGUAAAUAAAUAAUAAUAAAGUUUUUAUAAUCACCUUAGUAGCAAAUCCAUAUUCAUUUCCAGAGAAAAAUUUGUUAGACGUCGUCAUAUAUAUAACAUAAAAUACAACAAAUAUAAAUAUAGAAAGCUCAUAAAAUGUAAUAGUAAUUUUAAUUGGCCUGGAUAUCUUCAUCUUUGUUUUCAAAGAAGUUUAGGUGUAUGACAAGAUCUCCAAAAUGGUUUUCGUUUUUGAUAAUUUUAUUGUAACCGUCAUAGGUCAAUAACAUUUGUUACCAUAAAUAUGACCAUGCUCAUAAACANNNNNNNNNNNNNNNNNNNNNNNNNNNNNNNNNNNNNNNNNNNNNNNNNNNNNNNNNNNNNNNNNNNNNNNNNNNNNNNNNNNNNNNNNNNNNNNNNNNNAAUUUGACCUCGACACUCACGUUUAGAUCGGCGGAGUAAUAAUACUAUAUGAGUUACAACAAAUGAGAAAUAUUUUAUUCACCAAUUAUUAUUGAAAAAUAUAUAUGUCUAUAUAACUAUAGAGUGAGAAAUAUUUUAAUUUAAAUUUUUAACAAAAAAAUAAACUAUUUAUUUCACGCAAUUCAAUGGUGGAGCAUAUAACAUUAUGAAAUGUUGCUUUGACUUUCAAUAUCAACCAUUAGAUUAUGAUAUAUUAGUGGCUCAAAUAUUGUGUCAAAAUUUUAAGUUAAAGUAUCCCAAACCAUAUCGUUAUAAUGGAAAUAUAAAAACAUGCAAUGAUUUUUUUCCUCAUUUUAUCCAUUAAAUAUUAUUUGAUGUGAUAUUUUAUUUAUUGUCACUAUUAAUUAUCAUAAUAAAAGUAAUGAUUCUUCGUAACAUAAAAAUUUUAUAAUUACUAUCAAAGAAUAACAAUAAAAUAAUCUUUCAUGAUUUAUAAACUAAAGUUAAUUAGGAAUAUGUGUUAGAUUUAACUUUUAUGAAAUUAAUAAAGUGACAUUUGAAAAUAAAAUGAAAACAAACUUGUGAAAGUUAAAUUUUAUAAAGCUCAGAUAAUUUUCUAACAUGUCAAUAAAAAUAUAAAAAAAUUUCUUUCACUUUUUUUUCCCACGUAAAUAUUAUCGGAGGCAAUAUUUUAUUUAUUGUCACUAUUAACUAUUAUAACAAAAGUAAUGACUCUUUAUAGCAUAAACUUUUAUAAUUACAAUACAAGAAUAUCAAUAAAAUAAUCUUUCACGAUUCAUAAACUAAAACUCAUUAGGAAUAUAUAUCUAUUCGAUUUAACUUUUAUGAAAUUAACAAAGUGAUAUUUGAAAAUAAAAUGAAAAUAUAUAAGCUUAUAAAACUUAAAACUCCCACCAUGUAAUGAUAUUAACUGUAAGAUAAAUAUAAAGUACAAAAAAUAAGUAUGUUAAAUGGGUGUUAAAAAUUAUACAUACUUCAUGAUCAAUUAUACAAUGGCCCUUAAUAUUAUAUAAAAUAAUGAGUAUUUGAAUAUACAAUAUUAAAUUUUAUUAAAACAUGUGUGAUCAAGUAAUUUUUAUAUUACAAGCAAUCUCAACAAUGAGUUUAUUGAUAUAACUAUGACAUUUACUUAAUUAUAUGUACUUAGUUGUGUUAUUUAUUAGUGUUAUAUCAUAUAUAAAUUUUACAAUUGCAACUUAUUUAUUUGAUUUGUGUUAAAUAACCUACCAUUAUAUUUUAUACUUAAUGGUAAUAGAUUUUGGAAGAUUUAUUUAAAAAAGAUUAUCACAUUUCAAAUUUAAAAGGGGAUUGAAAAAUAAUUUUAAAUAAAAUAUACUAUUUAAGUGAAAUUGUUUCAAACUCUAAGGGUGGUCAUAGUUAUUUUACAAACUUCUCUACCCCUUACACGUUUGUUAACCGUUUACCAUUAUUUUUUAUUUUUAUUUUUACCUACAAAUAUUGUGUACCAUUGAUUAAAUCCAAUGGUGCACAAUUAAAAACAUUAUUGAUGCUGUGAAAAAAUUACAUCAUCAUAGAGGAACCCCAUAAAUGGGCAGAUAAAAUAAUAAAAUUAGGGAUAGAAUACUUCUAGUAAUAGAGCGAUCUCAUGCUAAUAACAUAUUGUGAUAUUGAUAAUACAAGAAGUAUUAAAGAAAGAAUAAUUAAAUAAAUAGAAGGAAGCCAAGUAAAAUAUAUCCAAAGGAGCAUAGCAUUUCUCACGGCAUUUUAUUUCUCAACUUUGAAGUAUAGAGAAAUGAGUCUUAAGUUACAUCACUAACUUAUAGCAAACACAAAAGUAGUCACCCAUAAUAUUUUAAGUGUUUUUACUUGUCAUCAUAUUCUUAUAUUAAGUGACUAUUUUUGGAUUGUUAUAAGUCACAUUGUAUGUAACUUAGCCACAGCAGAAAGGACAUACAAGUGCUCUAUUUAUAAUAGCUGCUGAUAAAACGUGCUUUGCCAAGUUGAAGACCGCAAGCCGUGUGCAUCUAUGGCCAAAAUCACAUACGCAAAUUUCACUUGUAACACAUUACACGUGACGAUAUGUGUGUGAUCGGUGUGUGCAUGGUAGCAAGCGAUCUUCUUGCUUCUCCAUAUAUCAAAUGUGAUUUUCCUUCUUUCUAAGUCAAGCCUCACAAGUGUUUUGGCUGAUUUGGGUGGUUUUGGUGGAUGGCCACACCUCAAUACUGAUCGAUCAGUGACAUCACCACCAAAGAGUAGGGAAACAAAAUCUAGACGAGCACUCCAAGUAAACCACAGAUGAAUAGUGGAAAAAAACUAUGAACGCCCACAUAGCGGAACCAAAAAUCAAAUUCAAUUACAAUACCUACCUAGCACUCGGAACUCGACACGGGACCUCCACCUCGAACUCAACAGGAAGACCCAGAAAGCCGUUGAACUGAUCGAAGGUGACGUGAGUAAUGUGCCGGACAUUUGUGGGACACCCGAUCUCCAUGUUAUGAACGGCGGAGAUCACGUCUUUGCGUCUUUCAACACGACAAGACACCAUCGAUUUCCUCAAUGCCGCCAUAACAAACGCUACCAGCGAGAGCUGGUUCUGUUCCUCUUCAGUCGUUCUCGCUCCUUUUGUCGCCUUCCCAUUCCCCCGUCCCCGCCAGUGCAGCCACCUCCCUUCGUCACCAUCACAAGCCCCGUCAUUCGGCUUUUAUUGUUACUACUAAUCCACUGUAUUAAAUUCCUCUUUAAAAUUGUAUAUCUCUAAGGGCUCAGUUUCUGGUUAUUAUUAUUUUCGCAAAUUGUAUAUCCUUCAACGGUCGCCUACUUAAAAAUUCUUGUCGCAAAAAGAACCGAUUCGACCCGAACCCUCGAACUCGACCCAGAUUCCGUUUCCUUUUUCGGCCACUAUACCGGCGAAAGUUGGUAUCGAUAGGAAGCUCGUGCGACGCCGGUCAUGUCCAUGCCAUCCUUAUCGCAGGAAACCGUUCGGAAAGCUGUCGAUCGAAGCCGUGAAAAGCCGCAAAAUCGCCGCUUCAAUUCACCGCAAUUUCGCCGGUUUCCGGUGACGGAACCACUUGAUUUUUGUUCCCCACAAUUCCUUCUAUCUUUUCCGACCAACCAUAGCCACCGGGGGAGUCGAUUUGCCGUUGAUCGGCCGUUGAAAGAUUCACAGUUUUGUGAGAAAUUAACUUAAUAUUUGUGAAGCAAAGUUAAAAUAAAAAUGAGUAAAGGGAGUUAUAUGAAAGUUUAGAGCAGUGCUGGCACUAAAGACAAAAACAGUGGUACGGUACCACCGUGGUACCGUAGGUGAAUCCUAAAUUCUGACAAUUAAUAGCUCAUAAUUAUUUAAUUUUUCAAUUUUAUCACCAAAUCAUUAAAAACUAUUAUAUAUUGAAACACGGAUUACAAGAAUAUUUUAAGUAUUUCAUUAAUUUGAUUUCAUGAAUUAGGUCAAAAUGGCACCAUUUUAAUAAUAGAACAAUCAUUAAUUUCACACCUAAUUUUUAAGUAUUUCAAAUUACCUCCAAGGAAUUCUGACAGUAGUACAAACUAACUAAAUUUCAAUUUUUAUCAAUUAAUCACUAAUUAGUAAUAUCAUUAGUGGAAAUCUGACGUCACACAGGUAUUUGAGAUAUUUCAUUAAUCCGAUUUGUAAGGUGAAGAUGACCGCAUUUUAAUAAUAAAACAUUAAAACUCAUCAAAUACGGCUUCCCCAAACACAUUUCCUACCAAUUCGUUUUCUUUUAACUUUGGUUUAUUCAAGUUAAUAAAUAUAUUAAUUUUAUGGCUCAAAUUUUUUAUUUGUUUAAUUUAAACUAUAUAUUUUUGUUUAUUUAAUUUGUUAUUGGGCAACUUUUUAAAUAAUUGAUUUUCUACAUUUUUUUCCUUUCAGACGACAAAAUCUCUUUUUUGCACACUUAAAACAGUACUAGGGACAAAAACAAAUUAAUUUUUUACUAUAGAUUCUUUCAAAGAUUUGGUUACUUUAACGAUUUGAUGGUAAUUUGAUAAAAAUUAAAAAGUUAGGUGCUACUAGGUAGUGUUAAAAUUUCCAGCUGGUGAAUUGAACUUUUAGCAAACGUUAGGUGAGAAAUUGAAAAUUUUCCAAUUGAAAAUUGAUACAGGAUAUGGUGUGCUAGGAUAUGAGUAGUGUAACAUGGGUUCCAGAUGGCAUCAUGAAUCUUUGUUUUUUGUGCCAUAUCUGAAUCCAAAAUAAAAGAUAAAGAUACAGACCUACUUCAGAUUCGUAAAAUUAUUAAGAUCAGUACAUGUUUAAGAUCUUUCAUGAAUUCAUCAAUUUUAAGUAUUUGACAAGUUCAUCAUCAAUAUUUUUUAAUCAAUUAGGAGAGAAACUUAACAAAUUUAAACUUUUUUAAACUCCAAAACAUAACAAGAAAAAUAAAAGAGUAGCAAUUUUUUUAAGAAAUAAAGAUUAAAAUAUAGUAGUAUCAACUAAAACAUGUAAUUCAUCCUAAAAUAAAAUUAAGAAAAAAUAAAAUGUCAUACAAGUCUAAUAAAAUGAAUAUUGCAACUUAUUAAUGUAGCUUUGACUUUAGUAAGUUUAAGAUAGAAGUUUAGGAUCCCGCCACGGGUGCGUGAUGCAUCAUACCCCCUUUUUUGUCUUUUUUUAGUGCACCCCUUAUUCUCUUCCAUAUUUACAGUUUAUUAAAGUUUAUUAAAGUAUUUUCUUUCUCCUCCACCCCUCACCUCUAUAUUCUUCUGGAUUUUUUUCGAUUUUUAAUUUAGCCUAUAAUCAUUCAAUUGCAAUCAAUAAAAGACGACAUUCUCAUUGAAUCUACUUCUUUGUUACCUUAAAAUCCAUUUACUCUAUCACGUAAGCAAUAAUGAAUUUAACUUUUUGUAUAAAAGAAAGUCACAUAAAUAUAUUUUUGUAACCAUACUCUAUUCAUCAUAUAAAAUGAAAUUCAGGUGUAAACAAUUUGGAUUUUCUUUUUAUAUUUUAUUAUGUAUCUUCUUCCCAUUUUCUCCUCUAUGCGUCUCUCCAUUUUUUUCCUAAAUAAUCUAACUCUAAGGCUUUCCAAUAAUUAGUUUAUUAUUUUUUUUAUAAGUAAAACUCUUCUUUGUUAUGUCAAUGAAUUUAUUUUUUUCACAUAAAAAUAUUUUAGCAAAUGGCCAAAAGUGAGAGUUUUAAUAAAAAUUCAAAAUCUAUCUUAGUUUCUAUCGUCUUUAUUGACACAUCAGUCAUUUUUGGUCUCAUAAUUAUAAGUUGUGAGAAAGAAUACUAGAAACCAAUCAUCAUUAUUAGUGAUUCUCGCUGAGAGACCUUGGGAAGAAAGAUUAGGCACAAAAUUUUGUAAACUUUGACUUUUUUAAAAUUUUCAACAAACAACAAGGACUCCAUUAUUAAUAAGGCCCUUGAAACUACUUUCCUAUCAUAUCCAAUGGUUGUAGCAGAAAAAGACCAAAAGAGGNNNNNNNNNNNNNNNNNNNNNNNNNNNNNNNNNNNNNNNNNNNNNNNNNNNNNNNNNNNNNNNNNNNNNNNNNNNNNNNNNNNNNNNNNNNNNNNNNNNNAGGCAUGUACUUGAAUAUGGAUGAAUCCAAAUCUGAAGUCAAAUCCAUAGUUACUCCAUAUAUGUGUUGAAUCUAUUCAUCUUUAACCAAAUCCACUCUAAAUCCAUUUUGGACUAACCAAGGUAUGACUAAAUUUGGAUAAUAUGCAUCAUGGGUUAGACUCACCUCACUUGCCAUCUACUCAUAGGGGUAAAAUGGGUCAUUUAAUUUUGACCUAAUAAUAAGUCCAUUACAUUAAAGUAUCAUUUACUUUUCAUAUUGGAGAGAGAAUCUUGAGAAGUUGGAAUCCUAACAUUGAGUGUGUGGAGUUGUAUUGGAUCUAGAUUGUUUAUUUAUACUAGAAUGAAAAUUUAGAAUAUGAAUCAUAAUCUCAUUUAUAUGUCUAUUUUGUCUUGAAUUUGGAGUGAAUUAUUCUAAAUUAUAAUUUUAUCCUUAUUUAAAAGUUGUUGUUUUUAGUUAUAAGUAAAAAUAUAUAUUUGUAAAAUAAACUUUUAUUUUACUAUUAAUUUUAAUUAUAUAAAUUAAUAAUAAUUAUUAUUAUUCUUAAUUAUGUAGAUCAUAAUUUUUUAUUAAUUUUAAUUUUAAUUAUAUUAAUAAGAGCAACACAAAUGAAAUGUUAUUGUUAAUAAGAUAGUACAAAAUUAAUAUUUUCUUAUAAUAAACUAUUUAUUUUUAUUAACUAUGAAUAUUAAAUAAAUAUAAUACUAUUAAAUAUUAAGUAGAUAUAAUAAUAUUAUAUUUAAAUAAGUUUAAUAUUAUCAUUUUUAAUAAAUAUAACAUUAUUUUAUUUUAAUGAUAUAAUUAUAUUAUAUUUAAUAAACGAAGGAUAAAAAAAGAAUAAGAGCGAAUGGAGUCCUAGUCCCAACUCCCCCAAUGAGAGUGGGAAUCCCACUUCUCACUUGAAAAAUGAGUGAGACUCCCACUCUCCUUAAAUGUGCUAGUAAAUGCUAGAGUGGGCGAAAUCUACACUCUCUACUCCCACUCCAACAAGUAGAUGCAUCAUAAAAUGAUGUUCUUUUUUUAAAAAAAUUAAAUAAAAUUAUUAAUCAUGUCGUUGGCAAUGGUCACUAUAGAUGAGCGACUUGUAGAGGGUAUGCAAAAAUCAUUGGAAAUUUUAACUUGAUAAUAGGUAAAAGAUGCGGUGUUAAUAUGUUGGAAAAGUAUUAGUGAGUUGCUAUUUCAAAGUAUAAUUUUGAGUGUGACUUAUUUUAUAUAUGUGAGAGAUUUCAUGAGUAUGUCAAAAUAAUGUAUUUCUAUACUCAAAAUGAUGCUUGGGUGAAUGAAAAAUUGAUGUUAGAAAACACUCAUUGAUUACAUUGAAUAAGAGUUGAAGUUACAAAGAUUGUAACAUUCAGUUAAAUUUAGAAUUUAUAAUUGCUAGUUAAACAAAUUCAUAUUUAAAUAGAAAUUAAAUAAAAAAUUUAAUAUGUGAUUGAUGGGGCUGCAAUUAUUCUUUGAAUUUAAUUUAAUUGCAAAAUUAAAUCAAAGGUUUAAUGGACAGUCAAAUUUAUAGUAGUCAAAUAUGUGGAUGAAAUUUACCUCACAUAAUUCUAAAAAAACAGCAUUCCUCUUCAUUUCAUAGGAAUGGGAUAAGAGAUAAGAGAAAAUCCUAAAUAAGCAUUGAAAAAUAGGGAUACAACAUCCUCACUUUGAAUCUAAUUCAAAAAUUAAAUCAAAAGUUUAACGGACAGUCAAAUUUAUAGCAAUCAAAUUUGUGGAUGAAAUUUACCUCACAUAAUUCUAAAAAAUUAGCAUUCCUCUUCAUUUCAUAGGAAUGAGAUAAGAGAUAAGAGAAAAUCCUAAAUAAGCAUUAAAAAACAGGGAUACAAGAUCCUCACAAUUCCUCCUUUAUAUUCAUUUUGAUAGAGUUCAAACAAGAUCGAAGUUCACCAUAAAUAGCAUAGUGAUGCAUUAUAGCUAUUUGUUCGCAUUAUAUCCAGGGAGAUAGACGCCAUGCAAAUCUUGAAGCACCACGAUAGAAGGCAUAACUAUCUUAAGGAUAUUGUAUUUCUCACAAGCCUCGUGUUCUUACUUUAUCUUUCUCUUUCAAUUGAUUGUCUCAGUUGUACGUUUAACUACUCUUCUUUGUAUUUCUAGUUGCUUUAAUCUGUAAUUUGCAGAGAGUAUGCCAAAAUCAUUGGAAAAUUUAACUGGUCUUUUUACAAAAAAAUUCUAAUGGAAUAUAAGGAAAAUGUGGCUAAUUGAUACAAAAUAUAAACUAAAGAUGGUGCAUAGUUAUUAGCUUAAAUCUUUUGUGACUAUUUGUCAAAAAAGUUGCUAGUUCGCAGAUAAUCUCCCUAGCUAGUACUAUUGUUGUUCUUAUUUGUGUCAAUCUAAUUUAUAUACCUACUUAUUACAUACAUGUUUGGGCAGAAACAAGAAAAUUGUAAUAAAAUGCCACGUGUCGAUGAGGGGUGCCAUGGCUCUAAGUGAUCAUUGUACGCACUUGAGGUACCUGACAUGCACCAUAAAUUUGGAUACCCGAGGUACCUUACUUACACCACAAGGUCGGAUACGCGAGGUACCUAACCUACACUAUAAAUGAGAAUAUCCGAGGUACCCGACUUAUGACACAAACUUGGGCACCUGGGGUACCUUACCUACACUAAUAAGUGCGGCACCUAAGGUACCUGACAUACACUAGAUAUGCCUGGAGAUUAAGAAGGUACAACGGGUACUACAAAUCAUAUAUAAAAAAGUCGAGGAAAAAUCUUUGAAAGUUGGUCACGAGAAAUGUCUCCAUCGUCUAAAAGAUAAUAUUUGAUUUUGUGAAAAUCAAAUAUUAGAAUAUCAUGCUGAAAAACCGACGACAGUCAACUGUCACCUCUGAAGGACGCUGCACCAAGGACAGUGGUCAUCAGCCGUCCUGCCAGACAACCUCUGCUGAGGUAUCUUGGACCACUCUCCAGCUUACACCACUUGUCCAAACGGAUAAAUUAUACCAUUAACGCCUUCUUACUCCCCAAGAAUGCUCUCAACGACCCUAAAAAUCAUAAAAAGAUAAAAAGACAAAAAAAAACUGAAAAAGGACAGCCAAUAACCAUUGAAAAUAUGUCAUGUGCCAAUUGGGUUAUUCCAUAUAUAAAAGCGUCCAGGUUCUAUUUUCAUAAUUCAAUCAUCACACACACACUCCACAAAAAAGAAAGGCUAAGGUCCUCCUCAACCUUAAGCUAUUAUUUUCAGAGGGCUGGCAAACUUUUGCCACCAUAAAAGAGCUUGAGUUGCUGACUUGAGUAUCGGAGUGGAUGCCGGGCCACUCCGGCUCCACCUCUAACCUCUUUUCCAUUGUUUUUUAGGCUUAAAGCUUAUCUUAAAAGAUCUCCUCUCUAGAUUCCAAGCUUUCGCUGUCAUCACCAGCCUCCCAACCCUCCUUACCUCCUUCGGAUCUUAAAAAUAUCAUACACAACAACCUAAUGUGAUACCCCAGUUACCAAAAAAAAAAAUAUAUUGUUCUAAAUAGAUUUUUUUCUCUUUUCUUUUCCCUUCAAAAUCUAUCUAAUACAAUAUCUAUUACUUUUCAGUUGUCUGUAAUUCUCAGUACAUAUUCUCCUUGAUAUAUGCAUAAAUUACUUGCUAAACACAAGAUAAAGCUAUCCGUUUCGAUCUCUAGAUUAGUGUGAUNNNNNNNNNNNNNNNNNNNNNNNNNNNNNNNNNNNNNNNNNNNNNNNNNNNNNNNNNNNNNNNNNNNNNNNNNNNNNNNNNNNNNNNNNNNNNNNNNNNNAAUAUUCAAGAGUAAAAUGAAGCCAGUAAAAUGGUGGCGUUGAAGCAAGAGGGCUGUUUCCUCGAUGCACAUCGUGAGUUACAAACUUGUCAACUUGGUUCAAGGGCAUUAUUUUUAUUCACUAGCUUCCAUGCUAUGAUAAGCUAUCCCCUUUAGCUCAAAAGCACAACACCACAUCUUUAUUGUAAUAAUGAAGCAAUGUGAAUCAUAUUUGUGAAGUGAGCCCUUCUCCAGCGCUUUAGAGCCUAUACAUCAAUAAAAUAAAAUAAAAACCUUCGAUUUGAAUAAUUCCUUUUUUUUUUCUAGUGUCUAUUAUUUUUCACUUUUAUCAUUAGAUUCUUUUUUUAAAAAAUUAACUAUAAUAUUUUUGAUGUCAUAAUUUUAACUUUCAAACCUUACUUGAAAGAUUGAUAAAUGUGAUUUUUAAUAUGUAAAAUUUUUGUUACAAAUUAGGAACCUAUGUGAUAAAAAUAAGAUGCAUUGAGAAUCUAAAUAUAUCAUCUUCUUUUUGUCUUAACAUAACAUCCACAGAAUCCAACUGAAAAAAAUGAUAAUGAAAGGUUUGUUUGGCACAUUCAUUAAGUUCGUCUAGACUACAAAUUUGUACUGACUAAUCAAUCGUUGACUUCAUAAAAAGUAUGCACUAAAAUGUAUUAUUUUUAAUAAUAUUGAAGCAUUUUCAACACAAAUCAGGCCUAACUACAUAUUCUUCUAGGUCUGCACAAAAUUUUAGUUUUUUUUUUCAUAAUUUUUUAAAUGUUAUAAUUAUUUAAAUCACCAUCCACCAAUAUUCAUUGGAGAUUCAUUGUCGUCGGCAAACGUUCAUACUACUGGUGAAACUAUUAUUUGACAUUAGACCGGACAAUUUUUGAAAUUUGUAAUUAAUUAUACUCAAGGGAAGAUCAGAUUAAAAUAUUCAUAGAUUUUUAAAUAUCAAACAAAAAAAUAUACGGAAGAAAAUGGAAAUCCAUAUAAUUAUAUUUUAAUAAACAAAAGAUAGAGCGAUCUGUAUGAAAGUUCGUAAGCGCAGACCCAUGUUACAGCUUCGCCACUGCUCAGUGCUCACUACAGUUUAUCAUUUGCAUCCAUUGUCUGCUCCCGCCUCUUCCUAAUUUUGGACUCAAUUUCACUCAUAUUUAGUAAUGUUAGAAUCUUCAUUGCUAGAUCUACCCAGAGGUACAAAUAUCAAUCUUUAACACAUUGAGAACCAUUUUCUUAAAUAUAUAUUUUUAUAAUUAAACCAAAAAAAUUGGCAACGAAAAGACUUGAUGCAGCACUAAGCCAACAAUAAACAUGAAACCAACAAUAAAUGGGUUCUAGCAUAUAUGCUUAAUUUCACAAGAAAUAAAAUAAAUCUGAAAAGAAAAGAAAAGUUCUCAAUUGAAAAAUAAUAAAUUGAAUAUUAUUGAUAGGAGGUAACAACCAUAUUUAUAUUAGUAAACUUAAUCUUAAACUUACUACGUGAGAGAAGUAAACUCAAAUCUUAAAUUAAAAUUAAUCUGACAAUCAUCAUUUGUUGACUAGUCAUUGACCUAUUUUCAAUCUUUUUUUCCCAACAUUUAAUGUGUUGUUCCUCUUUUAAAAGUUUUUAAUCAAUAAAUUAAUUAAAAAAACUUGAUAAAGGCUUAAAUGGUAAAACCUUGGAGAAUCUAGAAUUGGUGAAAGGUGAUUAAAAGCGGCAGGUCAGUGUCAGUUCUUGGAAGGAUUUUGUGCAUUGAGUGUGAUUGCAUGCGGCGUUGGGUUAUCCUAGAACAUAACAAUUGAUCGAAAAAUAUAAUAAAAAAAGAAACGAUUAUAAGACUCAGACUAAUAUUUGAUAUUGUUCAAAUAUAUGUUCUUGAAUUCACAAAAAAAGAAAACUCUCAAAGGAUAGGAAAAUAUCUUAAUUAAAAAAUAAAAUUAAUAUUAUGAUAAAAGGUUAAAAAGAUCUAUUAAUAAUAUUAGUAAUAACCUUAUACAGUAGAACUUUUAAACAUGAAUAUUAUAUAUAGGAAUAACUUCUUCAUAGUAAUAAAAAAUUGUGGUCCUAACUUAGAAACCAAUUAUAAUUAGGAAUAAACUUCACAUUGUAAUAAAUUAUAUUUUUUUAUAGGUCUCAUCUUAAUAAACUUACCUCCAUAUAGUAAUAAUAUUUAAAAAAUAUAUGUCAUGUUACAUUCAAUAAUUAAGAUAGCUNNNNNNNNNNNNNNNNNNNNNNNNNNNNNNNNNNNNNNNNNNNNNNNNNNNNNNNNNNNNNNNNNNNNNNNNNNNNNNNNNNNNNNNNNNNNNNNNNNNNNNNNNNNNNNNNNNNNNNNNNNNNNNNNNNNNNNNNNNNNNNNNNNNNNNNNNNNNNNNNNNNNNNNNNNNNNNNNNNNNNNNNNNNNNNNNNNNNNNNNNNNNNNNNNNNNNNNNNNNNNNNNNNNNNNNNNNNNNNNNNNNNNNNNNNNNNNNNNNNNNNNNNNNNNNNNNNNNNNNNNNNNNNNNNNNNNNNNNNNNNNNNNNNNNNNNNNNNNNNNNNNNNNNNNNNNNNNNNNNNNNNNNNNNNNNNNNNNNNNNNNNNNNNNNNNNNNNNNNNNNNNNNNNNNNNNNNNNNNNNNNNNNNNNNNNNNNNNNNNNNNNNNNNNNNNNNNNNNNNNNNNNNNNNNNNNNNNNNNNNNNNNNNNNNNNNNNNNNNNNNNNNNNNNNNNNNNNNNNNNNNNNNNNNNNNNNNNNNNNNNNNNNNNNNNNNNNNNNNNNNNNNNNNNNNNNNNNNNNNNNNNNNNNNNNNNNNNNNNNNNNNNNNNNNNNNNNNNNNNNNNNNNNNNNNNNNNNNNNNNNNNNNNNNNNNNNNNNNNNNNNNNNNNNNNNNNNNNNNNNNNNNNNNNNNNNNNNNNNNNNNNNNNNNNNNNNNNNNNNNNNNNNNNNNNNNNNNNNNNNNNNNNNNNNNNNNNNNNNNNNNNNNNNNNNNNNNNNNNNNNNNNNNNNNNNNNNNNNNNNNNNNNNNNNNNNNNNNNNNNNNNNNNNNNNNNNNNNNNNNNNNNNNNNNNNNNNNNNNNNNNNNNNNNNNNNNNNNNNNNNNNNNNNNNNNNNNNNNNNNNNNNNNNNNNNNNNNNNNNNNNNNNNNNNNNNNNNNNNNNNNNNNNNNNNNNNNNNNNNNNNNNNNNNNNNNNNNNNNNNNNNNNNNNNNNNNNNNNNNNNNNNNNNNNNNNNNNNNNNNNNNNNNNNNNNNNNNNNNNNNNNNNNNNNNNNNNNNNNNNNNNNNNNNNNNNNNNNNNNNNNNNNNNNNNNNNNNNNNNNNNNNNNNNNNNNNNNNNNNNNNNNNNNNNNNNNNNNNNNNNNNNNNNNNNNNNNNNNNNNNNNNNNNNNNNNNNNNNNNNNNNNNNNNNNNNNNNNNNNNNNNNNNNNNNNNNNNNNNNNNNNNNNNNNNNNNNNNNNNNNNNNNNNNNNNNNNNNNNNNNNNNNNNNNNNNNNNNNNNNNNNNNNNNNNNNNNNNNNNNNNNNNNNNNNNNNNNNNNNNNNNNNNNNNNNNNNNNNNNNNNNNNNNNNNNNNNNNNNNNNNNNNNNNNNNNNNNNNNNNNNNNNNNNNNNNNNNNNNNNNNNNNNNNNNNNNNNNNNNNNNNNNNNNNNNNNNNNNNNNNNNNNNNNNNNNNNNNNNNNNNNNNNNNNNNNNNNNNNNNNNNNNNNNNNNNNNNNNNNNNNNNNNNNNNNNNNNNNNNNNNNNNNNNNNNNNNNNNNNNNNNNNNNNNNNNNNNNNNNNNNNNNNNNNNNNNNNNNNNNNNNNNNNNNNNNNNNNNNNNNNNNNNNNNNNNNNNNNNNNNNNNNNNNNNNNNNNNNNNNNNNNNNNNNNNNNNNNNNNNNNNNNNNNNNNNNNNNNNNNNNNNNNNNNNNNNNNNNNNNNNNNNNNNNNNNNNNNNNNNNNNNNNNNNNNNNNNNNNNNNNNNNNNNNNNNNNNNNNNNNNNNNNNNNNNNNNNNNNNNNNNNNNNNNNNNNNNNNNNNNNNNNNNNNNNNNNNNNNNNNNNNNNNNNNNNNNNNNNNNNNNNNNNNNNNNNNNNNNNNNNNNNNNNNNNNNNNNNNNNNNNNNNNNNNNNNNNNNNNNNNNNNNNNNNNNNNNNNNNNNNNNNNNNNNNNNNNNNNNNNNNNNNNNNNNNNNNNNNNNNNNNNNNNNNNNNNNNNNNNNNNNNNNNNNNNNNNNNNNNNNNNNNNNNNNNNNNNNNNNNNNNNNNNNNNNNNNNNNNNNNNNNNNNNNNNNNNNNNNNNNNNNNNNNNNNNNNNNNNNNNNNNNNNNNNNNNNNNNNNNNNNNNNNNNNNNNNNNNNNNNNNNNNNNNNNNNNNNNNNNNNNNNNNNNNNNNNNNNNNNNNNNNNNNNNNNNNNNNNNNNNNNNNNNNNNNNNNNNNNNNNNNNNNNNNNNNNNNNNNNNNNNNNNNNNNNNNNNNNNNNNNNNNNNNNNNNNNNNNNNNNNNNNNNNNNNNNNNNNNNNNNNNNNNNNNNNNNNNNNNNNNNNNNNNNNNNNNNNNNNNNNNNNNNNNNNNNNNNNNNNNNNNNNNNNNNNNNNNNNNNNNNNNNNNNNNNNNNNNNNNNNNNNNNNNNNNNNNNNNNNNNNNNNNNNNNNNNNNNNNNNNNNNNNNNNNNNNNNNNNNNNNNNNNNNNNNNNNNNNNNNNNNNNNNNNNNNNNNNNNNNNNNNNNNNNNNNNNNNNNNNNNNNNNNNNNNNNNNNNNNNNNNNNNNNNNNNNNNNNNNNNNNNNNNNNNNNNNNNNNNNNNNNNNNNNNNNNNNNNNNNNNNNNNNNNNNNNNNNNNNNNNNNNNNNNNNNNNNNNNNNNNNNNNNNNNNNNNNNNNNNNNNNNNNNNNNNNNNNNNNNNNNNNNNNNNNNNNNNNNNNNNNNNNNNNNNNNNNNNNNNNNNNNNNNNNNNNNNNNNNNNNNNNNNNNNNNNNNNNNNNNNNNNNNNNNNNNNNNNNNNNNNNNNNNNNNNNNNNNNNNNNNNNNNNNNNNNNNNNNNNNNNNNNNNNNNNNNNNNNNNNNNNNNNNNNNNNNNNNNNNNNNNNNNNNNNNNNNNNNNNNNNNNNNNNNNNNNNNNNNNNNNNNNNNNNNNNNNNNNNNNNNNNNNNNNNNNNNNNNNNNNNNNNNNNNNNNNNNNNNNNNNNNNNNNNNNNNNNNNNNNNNNNNNNNNNNNNNNNNNNNNNNNNNNNNNNNNNNNNNNNNNNNNNNNNNNNNNNNNNNNNNNNNNNNNNNNNNNNNNNNNNNNNNNNNNNNNNNNNNNNNNNNNNNNNNNNNNNNNNNNNNNNNNNNNNNNNNNNNNNNNNNNNNNNNNNNNNNNNNNNNNNNNNNNNNNNNNNNNNNNNNNNNNNNNNNNNNNNNNNNNNNNNNNNNNNNNNNNNNNNNNNNNNNNNNNNNNNNNNNNNNNNNNNNNNNNNNNNNNNNNNNNNNNNNNNNNNNNNNNNNNNNNNNNNNNNNNNNNNNNNNNNNNNNNNNNNNNNNNNNNNNNNNNNNNNNNNNNNNNNNNNNNNNNNNNNNNNNNNNNNNNNNNNNNNNNNNNNNNNNNNNNNNNNNNNNNNNNNNNNNNNNNNNNNNNNNNNNNNNNNNNNNNNNNNNNNNNNNNNNNNNNNNNNNNNNNNNNNNNNNNNNNNNNNNNNNNNNNNNNNNNNNNNNNNNNNNNNNNNNNNNNNNNNNNNNNNNNNNNNNNNNNNNNNNNNNNNNNNNNNNNNNNNNNNNNNNNNNNNNNNNNNNNNNNNNNNNNNNNNNNNNNNNNNNNNNNNNNNNNNNNNNNNNNNNNNNNNNNNNNNNNNNNNNNNNNNNNNNNNNNNNNNNNNNNNNNNNNNNNNNNNNNNNNNNNNNNNNNNNNNNNNNNNNNNUCUUUCACUUGUGGAUAUAUAUUAAUUGGUCAGCAUAGACAUCUUCUUGUUGAAACCAAAAUAUUUCUAGGUUCUCAAGUAUGUUUGUAGCUUCCAGACAUAAAACUUUUUGUAUUAGUUUUUUGAAACUAUAUAUCUUUUUUAUUAAUAUCUAUCUAUAGAAUUUGACUCACUUACUAAUUAAUUUAUUAAUGUCUAUACAUUGAAUUUGACUCACUUAUUAAUUUAUGAAUACAUGAUAUAAUUUACCUCUAUAUCACUUGCAUUAGAGAUAAUUAAGUAAAGACAAUAAUUUUUGUACUAUACCUCUAUUGAGUUAUAACUUUUUUAUAAUAAUAAAUUUCUCUAGUCCCAACAAUAUAACUAUGCAGAGGUUUUAUUGUAUUUAUUAGUAACUAACUUAAACUUAAUUCUACAGAAAUAAGAUAAUAAGCUGAAACUCUAAUUAAACUAACCUAACAAGAAUUACUCAAAUACAAAUACUAAUCACAAUGAAUCUUAAUAAAACAAAAAAUAUUAAAUUGUUCAACAAUAAAAUUUUUAAUCAAUUUUAACCAUGUGCUUCCGACAUCAGGACUAAGGUGGGGACGUAUUGUCAUAUUGGUCUUGUACAGUUAAGACAUCAUCGUUGCAAUUUGACAUAAUCUAGAAUGUCAAAGGGUUGAGCCAGAAAGGACUCUUCAACCAAUUAAUUACAAACGUUUAUAAUUGAUAUUUUAAGAUUAUGUAUAAACUUGUCAUCAUUAACAUUACAAUUUGAUCAAUUGUGAGCGAAAGAAUUUGUUUCUCUCAUUCAAUCAAUACGGCUAUAUAUGCUUUUGUUCCCGAGCUUUAAUCGGCCAACAAAGGCUAUAUUAGACAUUUAAUUCUUCAUGUCUUUUUGAAGUAAUUUUCUCUAGCUGCCACUCAAAUUUCAAUUAAUUCUAAGGAAGGUAGAGAACAAAAAAAUUAAUUUAGGCAUACCGACAUUUCUUAAAAAAUAAAAUCUAAUUAAUUAAUGUAAAGACACGUCAUACUACUCUGUUAAAAAAAAAGACAAAAGAAGUUAGAAAAAUGAAAAAGAUUUGCAUUUAUUAGUUUAGUCUUUUAGAAUAUUUUAAUCAAGAAUUUGAAAAUGUGAAGAGUUAAUACAGCUCAUUAAAUUUAUUUAAUAUAAUGAAGAAAGGAAAGUGCAUAGGCUUUGCUUAGUUUAGCUAUAUUCACAGAAUGUGUUGUGUCGCAAGUUCAAUUUUAUGUAAGAUCUCGAGAAGUAUGAAAUGAUAUAUACAUCGAAAAUAGUAAAAAAUAUAGUGUAUAAUGCAUAAAAGAUUAAAAAAAAAUUAUCUUGUGUUAUAUUUUUUUAUUUUGUAGUUAAAUUUUUUUGUUUUCUAGUGAUAGUGUACUAUUUUUUUGUGCUCGUAUGGAGUGCUGUUUAUGCUAAGGUGUGAUUGUAGCAUACAAAAUGAAGACACUGUUUGUAAUACAAUACUGUCGUUUCUGUCUUUGUAGUAUUUUGCUGGUGUUCAAAAAUCAUUUCCAUAUAUAAAACAUCUUUUCCACUACCGAUACAGUCAUAUUGUGACAUUUUGCAUACUAUAAUUAAAAUCUCCCUCUAAAGGUUUAUCUCCGACGAAGCUUUAAUUUGCUUGCCAAUCUGGCCAUGGAAACUUUUUCCUUGUUAUUGCAUCUCCUGCUUCUAGGUUUUGCUCAUGCAGAAACCAAUAGCUUCAUCUAUAAUGGGUUUAUCCAAGCAAACUUGAGCUUGGACGGAACAGCUUUCGUAAGAAAAGAUGGGAUUCUUGCUGUAUCAAACGAUCAAGGGAGAAUUCUUGGGCAUGCCAUCUAUCCAUCUCCUCUUCGAUUCAAACAAUUAUCCAAGUACAAUAUUAAUAAUAAUACAAUAUCACACACAGCUUUAACCUUCAGCACCAACUUUGUCUUUUCCAUCGUUCCCAAAUAUCCUCAACUUGGAGGUCAUGGUCUUGCUUUCGUUCUAAUGUCCAGAAAACAACCUCCGAGUUGUCUUGCAAAUCAGUACCUGGGCCUUCCAAACGACACCAGCAACGCAAAAUUCUCUACUCGUAUAUUGGCAGUAGAGUUUGAUGCCGUUCAAAACCUCGAGCUCCAAGACAUAAAUGACAACCAUGUUGGAAUAGAUAUAUCCAGUUUAAUUUCUAACAUAUCUGAGCCAGCUGCUUAUUAUUUUUCAAAAGGAAGCAAUAUCAACGACGAUAACAUCUCUGUUGUUCUCAAGAGUGGGGAUCCUAUUCAAGCGUGGAUUGAUUAUAACAGCCAGGAGAUGUUGAUAAACGUCACAAUAUCUCCUCUUGGCAUACCAAAGCCCCAUCGGCCUUUGAUAUCAUAUCCAAUUGAUCUGGCCACAGUAUUGGAUGAGUACAUGUAUGUCGGCUUCUCUGCUUCAACUGGUUUGCUUACAGCCUUCCAUAAUGUGCAUGGCUGGAGCUUUAAGAUCGGUGGGACUGCACGAGAACUGGAUGUAACUAUGCUUCCAUUUCAUGCACGGCCAAAAUCUAAACAAGUCGUGCAUAAGAAGGGAUUUGCAGUUGGUAUCACUCUUGCAAGCGUUAUUCUGGUAAUCUUUGUUAUCAUUGCUGCGAUUCUUGUCCUUCGCAGAAUUAGAAAUGGAGAUGACAUCUUGGAAGACUGGGAAGUUGAAUAUGGUGCUCGUAGAUUCAGAUAUUCUGAGCUCUACUCGGCGACAAAGGGCUUCCGGGAGAAGAAUCUUGUCGGAUCUGGAGGAUUUGGAAAAGUCUACCGGGGUGUAAUUCCAAGCACUGGUCUGGAAGUUGCAAUAAAGCGAGUUGCACAUAAUUCACGUCAGGGAAUGAAGGAAUUUGUUGCUGAAAUAACAAGCAUGGGACGACUUCGGCAUCGUAAUCUUGUGCAGUUACACGGAUGGUGUCGAAGGCAAGACGAGCUCCUCCUUGUUUAUGACUACGUACCAAAUGGUAGCCUUGACAAACUUUUGUUCGACAAUGAUCAGCAGAAGAAAAAAAUACUAAAUUGGGAUCAAAGGUACAAAAUCCUCAUCGGUGUGGCUCAAGCUUUGCUUUAUCUGCAUGAAGAAUGUGAUCAAAGGGUAGUUCAUCGAGAUGUGAAGCCAAGUAAUGUCUUAAUCGAUGCAGAUCUCAAUCCGAAGCUUGGGGAUUUCGGGCUUGCUAGGGCUUAUGAUCACAAUAUUAAUCCACAAACGACCCAUAUUGUAGGGACGCUAGGUUAUUUAGCCCCAGAAUUGACAAGAACCGGAAAAGCAACAACAAGUACAGAUGUGUUUGGUUUUGGAACAUUAAUGCUAGAAGUAGCUUGUGGAAGAAGGCCAAUCGAGCCCCAAAGAACCGCAAUGGAGUUAGUAUUGGUGGAUUGGGUUAGAGAGCUACAUAGUCAAGGGCAGAUCACAAGAGCAAUUGAUCCAACACUCGAUUAUUUUGAUCCACAAGAAGCUGAGCUGGUGCUUACCCUUGGCUUACUCUGCUGUGAUCCUCAUCCAGAUUUUAGACCAAGCACGAGAAGGGUGGUGCAAUUUCUACUGCGAGAUGCAAGCCUUCCCCAAGCGCCUCUUGACAUUCACCAUGAAUUUCCAAGGGCAAUACCAGAAUUAUCUGAAGAUGAUUCUGACCCGUCCUCCUGUAGAAUGACAUCAUCUACUAGUUUCACAAGCUUUGACAAGAAAGAAUCCGGUAGUAGUCAAAUAACUAGGGUUACUUUUUAAUUAUGUACCUACUAAAAUGUACAAGAAAGAAAGCAUCACACGGAAAUGUAGAACUCCGUUUAUGUACUUUUUAACGUUUCUUGUUUCAAACUUUUCUUUGCAAAAUAUGUAACAGAAUAUACAGGGGCUCGGAUCAGUUCUCUGUUAUGAGUGUUGUCCUCUUAUCUUUCGUAUAAGAACAUCUUAAGAGGAAAUCCAAAAAAAAAAAAAAAACACUUUCCAUCAAUUUUUCGUUUUAUAUACUUGAUCAAAUUAUAUUUAAUUGUCAAUCAUUCAAGUUGACGGCUAACAAAAACAUGGAUUAAUUGACAAUUUUCCUCUAAAACUAAAUUUAAGUUUCACAUAACAUAUUAAUCUUUCAGCUUCCUCGGAUAUAUUCUUUAAAUUUUUCUACUUUUUUAUGGGGUCAUAAUUGGGUUUAAAAAAAGUUUUAUAUUAUACACAUAUAUUUUUCGAAAGGUAUGACCGAACAAAAUUCAAAUUAGAUUUUUUAGCCUCCUGCUCCCUGGAUUCAGCACCAAUAUUAAGUAAAGAAAAAUUAUUGAAAACCAUUAGGACAGGUCUCUAGGAGUUAGAUUCAAAGGAAGCUUGGCGCAAUAAUAAUUUUUAAUAUUUUGUGAAGCCGUGGAUCCUCAUGCUAAAUUGAAGAACAUGUUUUAUGUUUGUCAUUAAUUCGCUUGAAGUAUAAAUUAAUCUAUUUAAAAACGGCUUUAUUUAUAGUAAAAAAAAAGAAGAAAAAGAAAGCUUUUAGAAACAUAAUUGUUUAGGGGGAAAUCUGGGUGCUAAUGUAGGCCAAUAAUUCAAUUACAUAUGGUAAGAAAAGUCAAUUAAAGGAAGUUAAUUUGUUUAACUAGGCCUUAAGAUAUCUCAUAGAGAGAUAGGAGAUAAGGUUAUUGAAGAAAAUGACAGUUUUAGUAAAAUACUCAAUAUUAAAAGGUAUUAUUGGAAGCUAGAUUUUGAUGGUUAGGGCCAAUGCAUGAAUAGUACACACCACCUUGAGAGAAAACAAAAAUAUCUUCUUUUGGCUAAGGAUGAGAAGCCAAUAAGAAUGGAGAUUCUAGCCAAACAAUGUGAAAAGGCCACAUCAGUUAUCCUUUGAUGCCACUAGAAAAGCAAGAGGACCACAAGGCUGGGAAGUCAGCAUGUGUCCAGCUAUGGAGGCAAAAAGAUAGCUAGAGGGUUCCUUACUUCUCAAGCUCAUUGAUGUCACCAUCAAGGGACCAUAAGGCAAAUAUAUUAAAAUAGCCUUCUUGAGGGAGGCUAGCCAUUAAAUAAGCACCAUGUACCUAAAAUUAUCAAAAUUCCCUCAGGAACACUCGUAUAUAUGCUCCACAUGUUCAAUCUUGAAGGGGCUCUCUCGAUCUCUAGCUCUACAUCUCUCCUUUUGCUUCAUAGCCCUAGGCCUCUUUUUUCCAAAUUUGAUUUCUAUAAAGGUUGCUUUAUCUUCUUAUCCCUCCAUUUUUACAUUUUCAUGGAAGAUCUUGACCAUCUCAUCUCCUAAAAUAGCGUUUUCCUUUAUUAUUCUCUUAGAAAACUCUUUAAUCUUCAUUAAAUCAACAUCUCCCUCAUGUUAUUAUUCAUUAUAAACAACCUUUAUUGAAGUUUUGUUGAUAUUGCAGAGCAAAUAAUCUAAUAUUUCUUUUAUAUAGUGGAUUGAAGAUGAGUUGCUCACGUGAACAUCGGCCAGAGAGGUGAAGCGCAUAAAAUCUUCUGUGUUCUUUAUUGCUUAUGCUUAUUUUUUGCUUAUUAUGAUAGUUUUGAUAUCCAUAUCGUAUUUCCCAUAUGAACUGGUCUGAGUUAUACUAGGAGCUCUACUAAGGUCCCCAGAUUAACUCUCUAGAGCUAUCCUCGAGUUCAACAAACCUAUUCCCUGAGCUCUCUUAAGGUUCCUAUAUCAACUCCCUAAAUUAACUCCUAAGAGCUCCACGGGUUCGCCAUAAUAUUCCAAACUUAGAACACUACAGCUCACAUCCUAGAUCACCUCAGAUAUACCUCUUGCCUUGAACAAUAGAAAUACACACCUAAAUCCAAACAUACCCUAAUCUCCCCUAAAGUAUAAAUUUUAUUUGUUUUAAUAAGAUUUGAACAAGAUUAGGUGGGAACUACUGCUUAAUGGUUUAAAUCGGAUCCUAGCAAAAAUCUGGUUAAAACAAUAAUUAUAACUAAAUUUGAAAGUAUUUAGAACCAUCUUGUUAAUUUCUGAAUGAAUAUUGAACAAUAAUAAAUAAAGACGUGUCUUGUAAUGAAUAGUUUGUCUUUUUAAUUCUUAAAGUACAAAAUAAGUAUUACCUAAUCUUCAUUGAUAAAACGUUUAAUUACUCAUUAGGGAUAAAUAAAGAAAAGUAAUUUAAUUUUCAAGUAAUUUAAUGUUUAACUUUUAGAUAUAACGUUAUAAGUAUAUAUUUGUUUAAUAAACAGACAUUGAGACUAGAAAUUUUUUUUUAUGUAAUUGUAUUUUUAAUAAAGUAAAAAUAGGGACCUAUUUGAAAUUCUGCAGGGUCUUGCUCGGUAUGCAGUUUAUGACAACUUUUGCUAGCUCCAUCUUCUAACUAAAACAAGAGGUUUAGGGUCCAAAAUUGCUCAAUUUCUGAGGAGGAGAUUUAAAAAUUCUAGCCACUUUGUUUAAAUUAAAUAAAAAAAUUAAUCAAUAAAUGACGUCAAGUAAUAUUGGCGCAUUUUAAAGUAUAUUAGAUGUUGAAACCGAACAAUAUUUUGAAGGCCUAAAUUUUCUCUAACCUAAUUUUAUUUUGUUCUUUUUAUUUUCUUACGCUUCUUGUUAUAGCAAAUUUGAGUCCGUAACAUUUUGCGUCAAAGCUAGACAAUAAAGUAAGGAGUAAAUCGUAGCAAUUUAGCAACGGCUGGCAAGCUUACACAAAUGAGUGGAUUCCAUAUUCCUCGAACAAAAGCAAUUUGGCAACAAACAAUAUUGAUGAAAUAUUAAGAAUGUCGAAUGCAAAGAUGAAUUCAUUUUCAAGCGGCAAAAAUAACAAAUAUGUAGAAGAAAAUUGUGUGCUUGUGUGAUGGGAUGGUUAUGGGUUCUGUUUAGCUUUUUCGAAAUCUGAUUGAUUCAGCAAGAUCUAGACUGAGAAAACUUCGAAGUUUUUUUAAUGAGAUUCGGUUCUUUGAUUUUCUUUGUAUUUCUUCUUGAUUUCAGUUUGAUUUUUCAAGAGCUGAACAAAAUUUAAACCAAUUUCUUUGAUAUUUUCAGACAAAAUAUUAACUGAAUUAAAAACUAAAGUAAAUCCAACUUGAAAUUUUGGUUUAUUCCGGCUAAGACCAAUAACGAACCCGAUCAUUUUAUUCGGGCAACUUCUGAUAGCCUAUUUACAUAAAAUAAAAGAUUGUUUUGUCCUAGGGUCUCUUAUUCAGUUCAAAGACCAAAUAAUAAUAAUAAUAAUCAUUGGGGGAUUAACAUUUUAUUUAGGGUUCCAAAAAUAUUUUAUAUUAAUCGCAGGUGUUGAUAUUUUCACCCCAUUUUCUUUUUGUAAUGACAAGUCCACUGUAAAUAUACCUCAUUAAAAUAGAUUUGAAUGCUGAGCUGCCCUUUUUACUAACCUUUUACAAAGAUACAAUUAAUAAUUAUUGGAUAAAAAUAUAAAACUAAUUAACUAUUAGUUAUAUAUUAUUAUACAUGUUUAUGUGUCAGAAAAUUAUGAAGAGUUGAAUACAGGUCAGCUCAAUAUUAAAUUUAAAUCAUAUUAAAAUCUGUGGUAGAAUAUUAUAAAGAACUGAGUAGAAGUCAGCUCAGCACUAUAUUUAAAGUCCAUUAAAAUUUAUGAAGAUGUCUUAUUUUAUAAACAAAACUCUCUGAAUCUCCAAAUUACCCUUGUAGAAUUUGAUACUUCCAUGCCCUGCCGUUUGCAUCUUCUUCCACAGCCGCUUUGCCACUUUUUUCCUUUCCUAAAUGAGCAAAAUAAAUAAUGGGGCGUUGUUACCGAACAAAAUAUUCAGAGGUUGGGGGAAUCCCCACCCAUAUUUACAAGAAUAUAUGUAAAUUUUUUACGGUGUUAAGAGUACCAUUAGGAUUAGUGUUUUAAUUUUUUAUUGUUAUUGUUUUAUCAAGGGAUUUGGUUCACUGAUUUUCAAUCAUUAUUAUUUGACUAAUAAAAGGAGUAGAGAAUAAAAGAUGGAUUUGAAUUACCCAUACCUCUACAUUUAAAAAUUAGUAAACAAAACGUUCUUUUCAAUGAGAAAAGAUAAAAGAGAUCAAAUUUUGUUUUUACUCUUUCCAUCAUUUUUAUUGCUAGAACCGUAAUGUCUUACUAGGGGUGUUCGCGGAUCGAAUUUUACAGAUUGGAUAUCAGUUCAUAUCCGAUCCAUAAUUUUGUGGAUUAUAAUUUUUCAAUCCAAUCCAAUCCACGGAUUGAUUAAACUCAACUCAAAUCCAAUUCAUAUAUCUGCGGAUCGGAUGCGGAUUUGACUCAAUCCAUAUCCAAUCCAUACGUCUGCGGAUCUGAUGCGGAUUUAACUUAAUCCAUAUCCAAUCCACCAUUUUACGCAUUAGUUUCCGAAUAAAACAUUUUUAGUUCUCCCCAAUCCAUGAACUAAUGAAAUAAACAAAAAAUCUAAUAUAAACAAUUUUCACUACCAAUUAAAUUUAAAAUUGAAUAAAAUUAAAACAAAUUAAUUGUUAAAUAAAACUAAAAUAAUACAUUCAAAGUUUCAAAAUAUAGCACAUUGAGAUUAAUUGUUCAAAUAAGGCUACAAUAAUACGUUUAAAGUUUCAAAAUAUAACACAAUAAGAUUAAUUGUUCAAAUAAAGUUACAAUAAUACAUUAAUAUAACACCAAAGUUAAUUGUUCAAAUAAAGCCACAAUUAAUUGAAAUAGCGAAGUUUCUGAAACCAAACAUAGUCUAAUCCUUCACUAGGGCUGUUGUACUUGUCGAAAAGUGGUGAUUACAGAGCCGUCAACGAUGGGAACCAGGAGAAGUACAGGUGGCGAUCUUGAAGGUUGUGAUAGUGCAAUUGUUUGGUUGGAACCAGUGAUUGUGAAGUGACUCGAUGGACUCGGGGAAGAAGAUGACUUGCUCUCAUUGGAAUCGUGCAGUCGACGUCCUUCAAAUCGGUGUCGAGAGUGUAUUGAAUCAGUAUUGGGUGUUGCUAGUGAAUGUGAUGGUGGGGAAGCUUCAGGUUUUUUGUUUGCAAAUUAUUGGUGACUUGGCGUUAUGUUACUUUGAUUUUGGGUGACUUUGCAAAUUGUUGGUAACUUGACGUUAUGUUACUUUGCUUUUGCUAGUGCGUGUGAGUUUGCUUUUAUUUUUAUUUUUACAAUUUCUACAAGUUAUAUUUGUAUAUUUGAUUAUUUAAUUAUUUUUUUAUUUUAUAUUAUUAUUGGGUAAUGGCUAAGAUAUGUUAUAGUGCUUAUUUAACUAUGUAAUGCCACAUUUAUAAUAUUCUUUAAUUAAAUUUAUAAUAAUUUUUAACUAUAUAUAUAUUUUGCGGAUUCACGGAUUUUUACGGAUUUACAGAAGUAAAUCCAUAUCCAAUCCAUCAACUGCGGAUUUUUAAAUUUUCAAUCUAUAGCCAAUCCACGAAUCCACGGAUCGGAUUUAUACGGAUCAGAUUUUCACAGAUCAGAGGGAUUGAGCGGAUCGAAUUGGAUUAUGAACACCCCUAUGUCUUACCAUAUAUGUAUGAGCCCAGAAUUCAUCAAAUAUAUUCUUUUCCUUUUUACGGUGGGAAAUUUACAUAGUUAGCCUAAAAGUUUUCUAGUUUUUCAAAAUUGCCCCCUCUAAUUUUUUUUAUCAUAAUUGGCCAAAUAUAAAUUUUUUCAACACAUUUACCCUCGUUCUCAUCUUGCUCAAGCUCCCAAUGAACGACAAAAUCCUAAAGUCUUGCAAUCAUCGGCAACACAACAACAACAUGUUAGUAGUGGUGACGGCGGCUUCAAUUUUCCAUUUCCCAUAAACUUCAUUUGAGGGCAACUUCUCUAAUUACCAGAAAGCAUGUUUAAUUUGGUGAGUAAAAUCUGAUUUGUUGUUGAUUUAAAAUUAAAUUACACUAUUUUAUAGAAAUUAGUGGUAAAAAAAAUAGUGUAUUAGGUUUAUAUUGGUAACAAUUUGCUAAAUAUAUUAUAAGGUUACUUGUUGCACAUAAAGUGUUUGAUGAAAUGUGCUUGAGAUUAUUAUUUGAUUAUUUGAGUGUUUGAAAUGAUGUGUGGUGUUUGCAGUGUUGUAUAGUAUGAGAAUGAGAAUGAUAGUGACUAACCAUCGAGAUUAUGAUGAUGAUGAUUUAUGGUUGUUGAGAAUGUCAAAUAAAAUGGCAUUGAAUGGAAAUUGUCAAAGACACGAUCCACACCGAACGGCAACGACACAGUUGGUGAAGAAGCUUCCAUAAUAUUCGUAUCUAAUUUUUGAAAAAAUUACAACCUCUGCAUGUAUAAAUAUGAUCAAUGUAUAACGUUUUACUUGAGAAAUGAAAAACACUCAUUUAUUCAUGGUAUCAGAGCCCAAUUUGCUGCUCUAUUUGUAACAAAAACAGAGAGAACCAAAUUCUUCCCACAACCAUUUUUCUUCUUUAAAAUCAUUCCUAGCAUUACAGAAACCCAUGCCAAUAAAAAAAUAAGCCACCCAUAAAUAAAAACUUAGGUUUACAAAUCUAUCAACAGUCCCAUAAAUUUUCCCAGAGAGUGAUCUUCAAAAACAAAGAAUACCAUCAAUUUUCUCAGCUUCCAGUAAGCAAACUGUAAAAAUUUCGCAUUCAAACACAGCCACACGUACCUUCCGGAAUCCUUCACCACCAACUCGCCCUCACGCGCUCCAGAGGUUGAAGAAGACAAAAAAUGACGUGUCAUUUUCUUAAGGAGAAACAAAAUGACUUGUCAUUUUAUUCCGUCAGAAAUGACAUGUCGUUUUCUUAAGGAGAAACAAAACGACUUGUUAUUUUUACCCUAAAAAUAUUUUUCCCCCGUUUGAAGCUAUACAACAUUUUUUCUUUCUAAACAUGUUCCCCCCCCCCCCCCCAAAAGAAAAGAAAAGAAAAAGAAAAAAAAAUAGAGAAAACUCUAACUGAAUCUACUCAUGUUAUCAUUCAAUCCGUUUAGUCUGAUGGAGCAUGUAAUGCCAGAAUUAUCCUUACCCAGACAAACUACAAUGUUUGGUCUUAAAUAAUGGAGAUGCAUCUCACAGAAAGAGAAAAACUCUACAUAUAUUCGUAGCAGCACAAAGCCAUUUGACGAAUCUUCAAAGGAAUAUGAGAAAUGGUAUAGUGAGAACCAAAAAGUAAAAAGAUGGUUACUCAUAUCCAUGUCUCCUGAGAUCAUAAAACGAUAUUUAUGAAUUCCUACAGCUUAUGAAAUCUGGAAUGCAUUAUCAAAAGCCUUUUUAUGAUGGAAGCAAUAAUUAUAAGUUUUCACUCUAAACUAGAAGGCGUUCUCUACCAAGCAAAAUGGACGACCACUCUCUAAAUUAUACGGAGAAUUGAUCGAAAUAUUUCGAGAACUUGAUCACCGAGAUAAAGUGGUCAUAAAGAAUCUAGAAGAUGUUGUAAUAUACAAAAAGUCUGUUGAAAGAUUGAGAGUGCACAUUUUUCUUGCUGGGCUAGAUGAAGAAUUUGAUCAAGUUCGUGGAGAAAUUCUACAAAAAGAUGCUAUCUCAAACUUAGAAGAAUGAUAUUCUCUUAUCCGAAGAGAAGAUGUACGACAAAGCACACUAAACAAGGUGGACAACUCAGAAAUGUUUGUUGUGAUAGCACGUCAACAACCUCAAAAGAAGCUUGUUGACAAGUCAUCACUCUAUUGCACUCAUUGUAGGAAGAAGGGUUAUACGAGAGAAUAAUUUUUUGAAAUCGUUGGAUAUCUUGACGGGUGGGAUACUCGAAGGAAGAACACCAAGUAGGGAUAAAAAUGACAGUAGUUGAAUCUACAUCCACUAGAAAUCUUAAAAAAGAAUAUUCAAUGCAAAUUGCAACCUCUGUCAAUCAAGGUUAGUCCCUUAAACUCUUACAUCUGUUAUUAAUAGUACAUGGAUAAUUGAUUUUGGUGCAACUGAUCAUAUGACUUUUGAUUCUUGAUAAGUUUCUUAAUUGAAACCAUCUUCACAAAAACAUGUUUCCACUGCAAACGGAACCACAACCUCAGUUAUUGAGGAAGGAUCUUUACGACUCACAAAUAAAUUAAAUUUAAGCCCUGUGUUAAUUGUUCUAUCUUUAAAUUAUAAUCUUUUUUUUUGUGUCUUAAAUAACCACUUCCUUAUCAUGUGUUGUAAUUUUUUGGUUUGAUCAUUGCGUGUUUAAGGACAUCCAAACGAAGCAAAUGAUUGGUUAUGGUAUUAGACAAGGCAACUUGUAUUACCUGGAGAUGACAUUAACAAGCACUAAAAAGUUAAGCCCCACAUUAGUAGCAGACAGUUCCAUGAAGAAAAAGAAAUCAGAAAUUUGGUCACGGUAUAAAUAUUUAGGGCAUGUGUCAUUUGUUUACUUAAAAAUAUUGUUUCCUAGUUUGUUUCUGAAAUUUGAUGUUUGUAACUUUAAAUGUGAUGUUUGUGAACUUUCAAAAAGCCAUCGAACUACAUUUACAUUGUCUUUAAAUAAGAAUCCAGUUCAUUUCAUGGUAGUACAUUCUGAUGUAUGGGGACCAUCUAAAGUUUGGUUUGUUAUAUUUAUUGAUGAUUGUAGCAGAAUGACAUGGAUUUCUUUUUAUAAAAUCAAAAGACAAAGUAAACUCUUUAUUUCAAAGCUUUCAUAAAAUGGCAACGACUCAAUUUCAGACACAAAUUCGAGUUUUACAUACUGAUAAUGGAGGUGAGUGUAUGAGCACAGUAAUUCAAUAGUUUCUGCAAUCACAAGGAAUUGUCCACCAAACCACUUGUGUGGGGACACCUCAACAAAAUAGCGUUGCUGAAUGAAAAAAAAAAAUUUACUAGAAGUUGUUCGAGCAUCACUAAUCCAAGCCCGCAUGCCACUAUCUUAUUGUGGAGAAGCACUGGCAUCCGCAACGUACUUAAUCAAUUGAACACCUUCAAGCUCCCUUGGAUUCUAGACUCCUUUCUAAGUUCUAAAUGAAGCAAUUUUUUCACCAAAUGUGCUGAAUUUAGCCCCACACGUGUUUGGUUGUGUUGUUUUCGUUCUAUUACUAUGACAAGACAAAUUAUCUCCUCGAGCACUACGUUGUGUGUUUGUAGGGUAUGCCUUACAUCAAAAGGGGUACCGAUGCUAUCAUCCUCCAUCAAGAAAAAUAUAUAUCACCACGGACGUUGUCUUUAAAAAAUAUAUAUCACCACGGACGUUGUCUUUCAUGAAGAUAUUAGGUACUACCCAUCGGAGCCUGAAUUUCGAGGGGAGUAUAAUGAAGAGGAAAUUCAUACUAUUACAUAUCUCCCACUUGAAGAAGAUCAAUUUUCCAUUAAGGUAGUAAACCUUCAAGAUACUGGAAAGAAAAUGGCGAUGAUUCUUAGACUGAAACAAGUGAAGACACAUUUGGGGAGCAAAAUAACUCAGACAUAACCACAAUCAAGAAUGAGUCCCAUGAAGAACCACAUGAAGAAAUACCUAACCAAUAAUCUACAGAGGAUGUUCCUACCACAAAUCCCAGUCUAAUCAGAAAAAUACUUCCCUAGCGUCAAAAUAGAGGUAUCCCUAAACCCACAUAUGAGUCUAACCUCUCUAGUAGAGUCAAAUACCUUAUAAGCCAUUUUGUGUCUAACCACCGCUUGUCAGAAUCAAAUCAGUCAUUUAUGAAUCAAUUAUCUACUAUAUCUAUUCCUAACAGUGUGCAGGAAGCUUUAAAAGAUCCAAAGUGGAAAGCAGCUAUGAAUGACGAAAUGAGAUCUCUUUAAAAAAAUCAGCCGAUGGAUCUAAAUUAUAAAAUACAAGGCAGAUGGCUCUAUUGAACGAUAUAAAAUAAGGCUCGUAACUAAGGGUUACACCCAAACCUACGGGAUAGAUUAUACUAAUACGUUUGAACCAGUAUAAAAAAUUAAUAUUAUUCGUAUUUUAUUAUCAUUAGCAGCAAACUUUGAUAGACUAGUGCAACAGUUUGAUGUAAAAAAUGCUUUCCUCCAUGGAGACCUGUCUAAAGAAAUUUAUAUGGAUCUGCCACCAGGAUGCAGUGGAUCAGAACGACUCAAUCAAUAAGUAUGCAAAUUAAAGAAAUCAUUAUACGGGUUGAAGCAAUUCCCAAGAGCAUAGUUCGGGAAAUUCAUAAAGGCUAUGAGUUUUUUUGGCUAUAACCAAAGCAAUUCAGAUCACACAUUGUUCAUUAAAAAAUGACAAGGUACUUGUCCCACACAAGGCUAGAUCUUGCUUAUGCAUUGAAUGUUAUAAGUCAGUUCAUGUAUAAUCCCGGAGAACAACAUAUGAAAGCAGUAAUGUGGAUCCUGAGGUACCUAAAGUCAAAUCCUGGAAAAAGAAUCUUAUUUUCCAAAAAUGAAGAUUACAACAACAUAGAAGUUUAUACUGUUGUAGAUUGGGCAGGGUUAGCUAGUGAUAGAUGCUUUACCUUAGGCGACUUUACCUUUAUGAGAAGCAACCUUGUCACAUGGAAAAGCAAGAAACAGCAUGUCGUUGCUCGUUCGAGUCCUGAAGCAGAAUAUCAAGGCAUGGUCUUUGGGGUAUGUGAAGGGCUAGGGUUAAGCUUUAUCUUAAAAGAUUUUGGCUAUCAAUCACAACAACCAAUACAACUAUACCGUCACAAGACAGUUGUAUGAGAUAUUGCUCAAAACCCAGUUCAGCACGAUCGAACAAAACACGUCGAGGUAGAUAGAUUUUUCAUCAAGGAUGAAAAAAAAUCUUAGAACUGCCGAAAAUUCGAUCAGAAGAUUAACUUGCAGAUAUUUUAACGAAGGCCAUUUCUAGUAGAGCAUUUAUAAAAUUCCUAGACAAGAUGGGUAAGCAAGACAUCUAUGCACCAACUUGAGGGGGAGUGUUGAGAAUAUCAAAUAAAACAGCGUUGCAUGGAAGUUGUCAAAGACACGAUUCACACUAAACGGCAACGGCACGGUUGGUGAAGAUCCUUCCAUAAUAUGUGAUAAUUCUAUGAAAUGAGAGUUAUUACAUCAAUUCUAGACUUAAAUCAAGAUUACUUAGAGAGCAAAUAGGGUGUUUUUAUUACAUUUUGGUUAUAUUUUGCAUAAACAUUCAUUUUAGUUAAGUCUUAAUAAGUUUUGCUUGAAUCAAACUAAUUUGUGUUCAAAACAGGUGCAUAAUUGUAGGUUUUCAGAAAGUCUUAAUUCAUGAAGGGAUGCUAAGACAUUAGAUUAGCAAGAGGAGGAAAGAAGAUGGCCGCAAAAAAAGUAAAACACAAUUGAGAACAGUGCAGUGUUGUAGUUGUUGUUAGAGCAACAUGUGCUGUAGCAAUCUGGGAGCAAUAAGGGAGAAAACUUAGGCACGGGCCAGCUGCAGAAUCGCGAUCUACAUGUUUCCUAAUUUAACUCAUGCAUGCCCACAAACUUUCAUUUACCUUAGUUUGCAGUAUAAAAGGGGCGCGCGCACCACAUAAAAAGGCGGCAAGGGAAUUAUCAUUAAGACAUUAGAGAAAAGAGGAGAAGAAGAUCAGAAUUAAGAGGGACGACUUUAGUAGAAUUGAGAUUUCCAGCAGAGUUAUUUGGAUUGCUUUUUACCGUUCUCAACUUUUACUUUUCUUCUUUCUGAUGUAUCCUGUGAACAAUAUAUUUAUGUUUGAUUUUCUCAUUUAGAAUAUGAACUAGAUUUGCUUGUAGUUGAGUGACAAACGAUCCAAUGGGUUCUUGACUAUUCUUAUGUGUUGUUAUGUCAUUGCUAUAGCAUUUUACUCUAGUAGUUAUUAUUAAUAUAAUUGUUAUUUUGGUUGACCACUCAUUUAACAAUUCAAGUUAAGAUAGAGCCGCAAAAGGGCAUGUCUUAGUGGAUAUUAUUAUAGUAUUACUUGAUCUUGAUUUAAGUUUCCUGGAUUAAGUUAUCUUGAAUCCCAUAAGGGCUACACUUGAAGUUAAGAUUUGUGACACACUAGACAUAAGUGCUCACCUUGUAGGGUGGAGAGACUAAAGGGUCAUAAAGCCAUACCAUAAGUAGAUUAGCAACUGGUCAUUAUUAAUAGAUUUAAGGGUAUGAGAGUUCCAAUAUGCGACAGCUGAGGAUGCAGAGUAAUUUUGCCCAGUGCUGCAGCACUUGCCGUAACAACUGGUGUUAACUUGAUGAAAAGCAGUCAGCCUAAAAGGAGAGUUUGAUCAUUCAACUACCAUAGUCUAAAUUGAAUCUUAGACACAUUUAAUUUAGUUUAUUUCAUUACGGUAUUAUUUUACUUUAUUCUCUCACAAUCAUCAAUUACGAUAGAACCCACUUUAUGUUUGUUAACUUCGCACUUAAGUAGUUUGCACUAUUGUGAUCGCUAUAGCACUUCAAAUAACAUCAAUCCCUGUGGAGAUGAUCUUGAAUAUUCAUCACUGUAUACCUGCACAUUGGCAUUAGUAGCAUUUGAUUAUAAAAUUUACCAACAAUAUGCGUAUCUAAUUUUUGAAAAAAUUGUAACAUCUGUAUGUAUAAAUAUGAUCAAUGUAUAACGUUUUACUUAAGAAAUGAAAAACACUCAUUUCUUAAGUGGUGUUAUAUUGUGAGUGUGUUUUGGUGUGAUAGGCACCAUAUGUGCCUUUGUUUUGAUGCCUAUUGCACCAAAACACAAUUCAAAUUAUGUUGUAUUUUAGGGCAAUGCCACUGUUGCACCAAGUGUGACAAACAAUUGUACAUAAAUAAUCAGUUUAUAUGUUAUGUUGUGUUUUAUGUGCCACAAAUGCUUAUCACCCAAACUGUGUUUUGGUUUUUUGUCUCUUUUUAAAAGUUUUAAUUGUUUUGUUAAUUUUAUAAAUGUUAUUGACCAUUUCUUUUGUGUGAUUCAUCAUAGAUAAAUGGCGAAGAAUUAACUGAUCAAGUAUAAACCAUCCAGACCGAGAAAUUUGUGUUUUGAUGUGACAUGCACUUGUCUCUCAAGCUUAACUGCAACAGGUACUUAUCACAUGUGUGAAAGUGCUUAUAGAAGCUCAAGUGCCACAAGCAUCUAUCACCUAAGCUCAAGUGUUGUAGGCACUUGUCGCACAUUUUAUGGGUUUGUAUUUUACUUUGUCUUUACUCAAAAUUUGUUUUUUUUUUUGUUCUAAUCUAUUAACUCAAACUAAGCAUUUUAUGAACCCACAUCAAUUUACAACAAAAAGUAGAUAAUAUUUACAACAACAAUGACAUCAAUUUAUUGAGAGUAGUGAGAUUUGGAGAUUUGUAGAGAGUGAUAUCGUGAUUUGUUGAGAGUAGUGAGGAUAUUUUUAUUUAAAAGUUAGAUAUUUGGUUAGUUAUAAUAGAAAAAUUUCGAAGGGCCAAUUUUAAGAAAUCUAAAAUUUUUUAGGCUAGCUAUUGCAUUUCCCAUGACAAAAUUAAAAUUGAGCAUGCCGACCCUUAGGCUUUGUGAUUGCAAUUCAAGUUUCUAAUGAUGUGGCAAUCACAACGAACCCUUUUUUUUUUUUUUAAUUGGAUUGCAAAUCUUCGAUUCAUGGGAAUGGUGCUUUUCAUUUUAGGAAACUAACCCUAAUAAAUUAUUAAAUUAUAAAAGUAACCACAAAUACAUUUUUUAUUUUUUCUAUCAAACUUAGCCAAAUGCCAUUCAUUUGGAUGAAUUACCCUUGUCAUUCAAAUCACAGAAACCAAAAGUACCGAUACUACACCUUGAUGCGCUCUCGAUUGUCAAUGGCAUGGAGAUUUUUCCUAAUUCAUGCGUCAAUGUUUUAUUUGGUGUCAUUACUUUUCGAUCAUAUUUUUUGUUGGGUCAUUAUUGAAUUUUUGGUUUAUAUAAUGAAUUGAGUUGUGUCUUGGUCAUUUAAAAUUUAUCAGUGGCAUGCGUGCUAAUAUAUAUAUAUUUUUUAAAUGUUAGUGAAUGAAACAUUAUUUGUUCAAUUUUUUUUUAUUGUCCAUGACAAUUAAAAUCAAGGGAAAUUAUCCACGGACCACUCAUUUUUAAAUUUUUUUAAAAAAUACACAAUUCUUUUUUUUAAUACCUGAUUUGUGCUCUUGCUAUCAAACUUCUCAAUUUCUAAGACCUAAUUUCUGCUCUUAUAUCCUAAUUGAUUUUUUAACUUCUUCACAAAAUUUAACUUUUGGCUAUAAGAUCACAAGCAUUAAACAUAAACCCAAAUUUAUAAAACAAAAUAAUUUCUUCUCAAGUUUAUAACAAUCAAACUUGAAAACACAAAAUACUCAAAUAACCCAUGAAAAUUUAAAAGAAGACGACCAAACCCUCAAAAAAUAAAAGCAGCGGUAGAUGCAGUGGUUCAAUACGGCAGCAUCCAGCUGAUGUUAUUGCCACCUGUUGUAGGACUGAAGCCUUUACUGUCACUACUUUCACUUUGAAGAACCAACAGUAAAGAAGAAAAAUGAAGAACAAGAAAAGAAGAAGAAGAAGAAGAGAAGAACAAAGAAGCAUUAAAGAACCAACAGCAAAGAGGAAAGAAAGACGACGAACUAUGAUUUUUUUUGGGUACCGAAAUAGGGUAAAUUAGUCAUUUAAUAUUUAAGGGUAAAAUAGUUCUUUAAUAUUUAUUUAUGAUAAAAAAGAAAUUUUAUGUUUUGGGGUUAAAAAAGUCAUUUGAGUAAUAUUCGGUUAACUCUUAUCGUGAAAGCUCUUAAUGUGAAAGUGGAGGAGUGAUCCAUUCUAUAAAGGGUGGUGAUAUUUCCACCCUACAAAUUUUAUAAACCCACUCCCUUUUCAAAAAAUCAUUACCACAAAUGCACAUUAUUUUUUUAAAAUUUAAAUUAAGAAGAAUUUAAAUAUUUAAUCAAUUAAAUUCAUAUUCAAUUUUUUAUGAGACUAUAUAUUUUUAUUAUAUUUGAUCAAUAAGGUUGCUUUAACAUAAAUUAAUAUGAUUAUUUUACCCCCACAAGGUAAAAGUAUCAAAAUAUCUAAAAAUUUACUUUCAAUUUUUUUAAUAUUUUAAUGAUGCAUAAGUAGUAUUUUAUUAGUAUGAUUAUUAAUAUUCCACUAAACUAAAAAGAUAUAAUUAAGACAUGUGGAGUAUUAAAAAUUAUUAAAUUUAUGUAAAUCAUAUUAGAUUAUAACACAUAAAACUAAAUGCCUAAAGAAUUAGUUACAAUAACAUAUAUUUCUUAGGGUAAUUUGGUUAUUUUAUAUUAUAAAGGUAAAAUGUUCAAAUUAAACUUAUCUUAAAACAACUUUACAUAUUGAUUGUUAAAAGACUAAGUUUGAAAAGAAAAAAAAUUAUAAAAAUGAUUUAAUUAAUUAAUUGUUCAAACUUAUUAUUAAUUUGUAAUUUUAUAAAAUACAGUGAACUUAUUGUAAUUAUUUUAUGGAGGUGGGGUGGGUUUAUAAAAACAAUGGGAUGUAAAUAUCGACACCCUUCCAUAAAGUUUAGGUGGAAUGCUGACAAAAAAAAAAGAUUUGAGUAUUUUUGGAAAAAAGUCUAAAAAAACGAGUGGUCUGUGGAUAAUUGCCAUAAAAUUAAACAAUUAAUGCUAGCAACUCUUCAAGCAUUAAAGAUCAAGAUUUUCAUGUGAUAACUUUGAGAUCAAAUGGAAAAUCAACUAUUUUAGGCAUCUUAUUAAUUUUUCUUAUACUAUACAUUAUUAUUGUGAAUUAAUGAUAAAAUAUGAAUCUUAAGGUAUUCUAUUUAUUAUAAUUCCAGAAUCAUAACAUAUUUACUUGAACAUGAUUUAGACUAUGAUAAAAUACUAUGAUAUUAAUGUUGUUUAGAUAUAUAUUAUUUAUUUAACAUUCAAAUUAAAUAAUGGUACAAAUGUAAAACUGCAUAUUUUCAAUUUUUAAAGUUGAAAGAACAACAAACUUGAUAUUUAUUUUCAAAGAUUCAAACAAAAUAAACAAAUAUGCUUUUUAGAUUCACAUAUUCAAAUCUAUUUAAAAUUCAAAUUGAUUUAAAUCUAUUCACAUUUCAAAUAAAAAAAAUAUUGGUAUUGAAUGAAUAUAGUAGGAACAUCAAACACAAAACUAGAGGACUAAUAUGUUGAAAUAUGUGAACCAAUAAAUGAGAAAGUUUAACCAAAGUUAGAGCCUAUUCUAACAAAAACAAAAUUAUAAAAAUUAAAGCUAGUAAUUAUUUCAAAUAAUUGAAAUUGUGCUAAGUUACUAUGAAUAUUCAACACAAAUGAAAUAAUUAGUUCAGACAAGAACUCGUAAGAGAGAAAAUUUAAGCAAAAUUAGGAAAUCUUUAAAUGAAAAAUGAAAGUUGGAAUAUAACUUAAAAUAUUGGUAUCGAAUUUGGUACGAAUAUCAAAUACAAAAUUGAUGGACUAAUAACUUGAAACGUGGGAACCCAUAAGUGAAAAAGCUUAAGCAAAAUUAACGACUAGUCUAAGAAAUAUAAUUCUUAUAUUUAACCCAAAUAAUUGAAAUCUUACUAAAUUAAUGAGAAUACACAAUACAAAAUUAGUGGAAUAAUAGUUGAAAUAUAUAAACCCACAUGAAAUGAAGUUUAACUAAAAUUAUGAACUCGUCUCAUAGAAAUGAAAGUUGUUUAGAAUCUAACUCAAAAUAUUGGUAUUUAACGACAUUAGUAGGAAUAUAAAACAUGAAAAUAGUGAACUAAAAAGUGAAUAUAUGAAACCUAUAAGUUUAACCAAAAUAAGUUACUAAUCUAACAAAACUAAAUUUAUAAAAAAUAAAAAUUUAGUAUCUAACCUAUAUAAUUGGAAUCUUACAAAGUUAAUGGAAAUACUCAACACAAAAAUGAUGGAAUAAUUAGUUGAAAUUACUGAGCCUAAAUAGUAGAAAAUAUAACGAAAAUGUGAACUUAUCCAAUAGGAAAUGAAUUUACUUACAUUCUAACCCAAUAUAUUAGUAUUUAAGGAAUUUAAUAGGAACAUCAAAGACAAAGCUAGUGGAUUGAGAAGUGAAAACAAAUAAAUUAGUAAGUGAAAAAGGUUAAAAAAAAUUAGAGUUGUGUGAAAUCAAAUUGCAACAUCCAAUUAAUAUAUUGGUAUUUAACUAAAAGAGUUGCAUAUGAUUAUUUUAUAGUUUUUUAAUAUCAUUUAAAUUAUAAUAUUUUUCUCAUUCAAAUAUUUUUAUGUUAGUUAUUUACAAAUUUUCUUAUUUUUCAGCAUUAAAAAUAAAUUGUCAAAAAUUAUUUAGAAAACACCAAAAUCACCAGCUGUUCAAGUUGUAAUGCACCUCUGUCCGCGGCCAAUUAAAUACCGGCUCCAUUCUCUCUUCUAGUCUUCUUCAUAAUUUUACGUUGUACACUUUUUAUUUUCUUUUUCUACGCUACACAUGUUUGUUUUUUCAUUUUUUCUUUUUUUUUCCUCAGUGUUUUUGCAUGUUGAUAAUUGUAUAGUUGCUCUUAGACAAUCACAUUCGCUUGGAUAAACUUCUUUUUAUCAUGGAAAAUGAUCUUUGCACAAUCCCUAUUUUAUCAUAUGUACAUUGUUGAGUGUUAGAAAAUGCAUAUUUAUAAGGAGAAAACCGUCAUUUUACAUUUCAAGUCUUACUAACAACCCUUACUUUUAUGUAUUUAACAUUCUUGUGAUUUAAUUACGUGUGUUUUAUUUUAAUUAAGUAAUUUAUGUAUUUUAGGGGCAUUAUAGUUAUUUCAUAAUAAAGGAGAGAUCAGACAGCAAAACGGACAUCACUUUUGAACUCAGGACGGUCGAAAACCUUAGGAGGAGCAUAAAAGGAAAAAUGACACUAUUCACAUGUACGGUACUAUUCACGUAUACGGGACUGUAUACGUUACUGUUCACGGCACUGUUCACAUAGACGGAUCGAUGACGUGGCAUUGACCGAUGAUGUGGCAUUGACUGAUGAGGUGUCACGAUCCUGUUGGACUAAAAUUCUUAUGUACUGUUGAUGGUGACGUGGCAGCAUAUCAGUGGACGAAAAAUCUCGCGUACGGUGUAUGCAUCACACAGGAUUAUUUUCAACCAAACCGCGUUACUGUUCAUCCGGGUCAAACCGCGUUACUGUUCAAAGUCGGGUCAAACCGUGUUACUGUUCAUCCGCGUGGUCAAACCGUGGACUGUUGACUGAUGACGUGGCGCAAUCCUGAGCGUUCAAACUGUUUUUAAUCCGAUGGCCAUGAUUUACUCCAUGUAUCUAUAAAAAGGGGGCCUCUCCCCCCUAAAUGGAUAUCUCUGAAUCCAUUUUUGGGAUCCAUUUUCUGUAAUUCCCUCUCCAUCUUGUAUUUUCUUCGUAUUUUAAUAAAUUUCCAUUUUGCCCCUAGUUCAAUUAUGAGUGGCUAAUUUUCUUUCAAGCUUGGGUUGAAGGUGAAGUCUCAACAUGUGUCAUGGGCUUAAUUUGGUAAAUUUAUUUUCUCUUCCCCUCUAGUUUUUGUGGAUGUUUUGACUUCUCGUCGAAAAAUAAUACUAAUCUUGUCUAGUACUGCCUUGGUUACACCGGCCCUCUAGUACAAGGUUAUUAUUAUUUGGCACGAUAAGCCCUUAGCACCAUAUUGAUUAGAGCGUGGUUCAUGAGGUGUGGAUUCCCCCCUCAUGAUUUAAUUGGCAUUAAUACGGAUUAUUUAGCCCAUGAUGCAUGUUGAUACGGAUCCAGAUACCCAAGUACGUCAUUUCAAUAGAAUUCUCUUCAAUUUAUUCUCACCAUUUCAAUACCAAUUUUAGAAUUUAUUCUCGCCAUUUUAAUUUAAGUUUUAGCAUAUUCCAAUCAUUUCCACCACAAAUCCAAUCACCCAUUCACAAAAAUUAAUUCUACACAAUUAAAAUCCACCUCCUCGUGGGAUCGACACUCGUCACCAUUAAUCUAUACUACAACAUAUUCGUGCGCUUGCGAGUACAUUAAAAUUUGCACAACAAGUUUUUGGCGCCGUUGCCGGGGAGGUAAGUAAUUUUAAUUCAUAGAAUUAAUUUUUUUGAAUAAUUUCUUUUAUUUGUUUUCUUGUAUUUUUUUUAAAUUAAAAAAAAGAAAAAAAAAAGUGAAUCUACAUUUAAAGGUUAGUAUUUCUUUUCUUUUUCUCUUCUUUAAAAUUCUGUAAUUUAAUUUUCCAUUUAUUUUUCUUUGUAAUUUUUUUUUGUUUAUCUUAUUAAUUUAAUUUUUAGUUAAUUUCUUUCACGUAUUUAUUUUUGUGUAUUUUUAUAGAAAGGUUGUAAUAGCGCAAUAAGGUUAGUAUCGUAAUUUCUCCCUCUUCUUUAUUUUUAUUUGUUUUGUUCUCAUCUUUAUUUUUUGUUUUGUUUGCAUCUUUAUUUUUAUUUUAUUUAUUUUGCAUGCAUGGUCGUAGGUCAUUAUUACCUAAUCUUGAACCUAUAGACCUUGAAUUAGAAAAAACACUUCGCACACACAAACACGUUAAAAAUAAAAUGGAUUUACAAGCACCACAGGAGAGGCCAUUUAAGGACUAUUUUAGUCCCUUAGCUAAUUUGAGCACGUCAUGCAUAAGAUACCCAAAUGUAGCUGCUAGGAGUUUUGAAUUAAAACCUAGUGUGUUAAAUUGUCUCCCUACAUUUUAUGGCCUAGAAAAUGAGGAUCCAUAUAAUCAUUUGAAUGAUUUUCAUGCCAUUUGUCAAACAUUCAAAUAUGAGAAUUUUUCAGAUGAUGAUGUUAAACUUAGACUAUUCCCAUUUUCUUUAAAAGAUAGAGCUCGUUCAUGGUUAAAUACUUUACCUGCUAAUAGCAUUUCAUCAUGGGAACAAAUGGUAACGAAAUUUUUGAAUAAAUAUUUCCCAGUGCAUAAAACCAAUGCUAUUCGCAGGGAAAUCUCAGAGUUUACCCAGAGAGAGGACGAGCAAUUUUUCGAAACAUGGGAGCGAUUCAAUGGGCUACUCUUGAAGUGUCCACAUCAUGGGUACGAGAAAUGGCACCAAUGCCAAUACUUUUUGGAGGGAUUACUACCAAAUGUGCAAGAAUGGCUAAUGGCAACAAGUAGAGGAGAGCUAAUGUCAAAAAGUGCAUCAGAAAUUUUCAUGCCAUUUGUCUCAAGGAUUCCAACAGAAUGGACCAGCAGCUCCAGCUCCACCAAUGCAACAAAUUUCUCAAGUUCCUCAAGCCUCUCAGCCACCAUUUAGACCAUACAAUCAGAACCAGAACCACUCUCAACCUAGACCAUGGGAGGAUGCAUUCCAGAAUUUCAGGAAUGUUACUCACUCCACGAUUGAGCAACAGAACCGCACCAUUGAUGGACUACGAAAUGAGUUGAGAGUAGGCUUCAACUCACAAGCUCAAUCGGUUUCAAGCCUCGAGAAGAUGGUGGGACAACUUGCUUCUUCAGUUCAGACCUUGGCAAUGACCGUUGAGAAAGGCAAAUUUCCAAGUCAACCAGUGCCUAAUCCUAAAGGAGUACAUGAAGCAAGUACCAGUUCACCACAGCAGCAUGGAGAGGUCAAAGCAGUAAUGACCUUGCGAAAAGGAAAAGAAGUCGACAACAAAGUGGAGAUGCCGGUGACAAAAGAAAAUCAAAUCGUGCCUGUGAAUGUUGAGGACUCACCACCGGAGGAAAAAGAAGAAACCAACCCACGGGAAUAUGUUCCCAAAGCUCCAUUUCCUCAGAGGUUAGCUAAAGGAAAAAAGGGAAAAUCCACAGGUGAGAUUCUUGAAAUCUUCAAACAGGUAAGUGUUAACAUCCCUUUGCUUGAUGCUAUUAAACAAGUUCCAUCUUAUGCCAAGUUUCUUAAAGACCUUUGUACUAAAAAGAGAAAUAUGCAUGCUCAAAAGAAGGCAUUUUUAACAGAAAACGUUAGUUCUAUACUCCAACAUAAAAUUCCUUUAAAAUGCAAAGACCCAGGCUCCCCCACUAUCUCAUGUAGUAUAGGGAACCACACAAUUGAGAAUGCUUUGUUGGAUUUAGGAGCUAGUGUAAAUUUGUUGCCUUAUUCAGUAUUUGUGAAACUUGGAUUUGGAGAAUUACACCCAACUCCAGUGGUGUUACAGCUUGCAGAUCGGUCCACGAAAAUACCUCGUGGUAUUGUGGAGGACGUGCUUAUCCAGGUAGACAAGUUUUAUUUUCCUGUUGAUUUUAUUGUAAUUGACACUCAACCAAUACAGGAUUCAAGGAAGCACAUCCCCAUUAUUCUAGGCCGACCUUUUUUGGCAACUGCGGAUGCUCACAUUCAAUGCAGGACUGGAAAUAUGCAGUUGUCCUUCGGCAACAUGACUAUGGAGCUGAACAUCUUCAACAUUGCCAAACAACCUCACAGUGUAGAUGAUGGAAUUGUUGAUGUGGAUUUAAUUGAAGCAUUAGUUGAUGAUACUUUUGUUUCAAACCUUAGUGAUGAUCCUUUACAAACAUGUUUAACUCACUUUGGUUUGGAUUUUGAUAUUGACAGAUCGGUUGAUGAGGUCAACGCCCUGCUUGACUCAGCACCAUCCAUGGACACUAAUAAAUGGAAGUCAAGAGUUGAACAACUAGCACCAUCAGAGAAGAAACUCAUCCCAUCAUCAGAAUCACCACCGAAACUCGAGCUCAAACCAUUGCCCAACACAUUGGAAUAUGCAUUUUUGGGAGAAGAAAGUACUCUGCCGGUAAUCAUCUCAUCAUCCCUAAAUGACGAACAAAAAGGUAAGUUGUUGGAUGUUUUAAAAGAGCACAAAGGAGCAUUAGGAUGGACCAUAGCAGACAUUAAAGGUAUAAACCCAGUAGACUGCAUGCAUUACAUUCACCUUGAUGAAAAUGCUAAAUCUACUAGGGAAAUGCAACGUCGGUUAAAUCCUAAUAUGAAAGAAGUUGUUAGAACAGAAGUCCUUAAGCUAUUAGAUGCUGGUAUCAUUUACCCCAUUUCUGAUAAUGAAUUGAUACCCACUAGAGUAACUACAGGAUGGCGUGUAUGCAUUGAUUAUAGAAAGUUGAAUUCUGUCACACGUAAAGACCAUUUUCCUUUACCAUUUAUUGAUCAAAUGCUUGAUAGAUUAGCAGGCCAUGAAUUUUAUUGCUUUCUAGAUGGCUACUCAGGAUAUAAUUAGAUUCCCAUAGCACCAAAAGAUCAAGAGAAAACUACUUUCACUUGCCCUUUUGGCACAUUUGCAUAUAGGAGAAUGCCAUUUGGAUUAUGUAAUGCACCUGCUACAUUUCAACGAUACAUGUUGAGCAUUUUUUCUGAUAUGGUUGAACGAUUCCUUGAAGUCUUUAUGGAUGACUUUUCUGUCUUUGGUGACUCGUUUGAUCAAUGUUUACAUCAUCUAACACUAGUUCUGCAGAGAUGUAUCGAGAAGAACUUGAUCUUAAAUUGGGAGAAAUGCCAUUUUAUGGUAAAACAAGGUAUUGUUCUCGGUCACAUCAUUUCGAGCAAAGGUAUUGAGGUUGACAAAGCCAAGGUGGAUCUCAUUUCUAAUCUUCCUCCACCCAAAACAGUCAGAGAAGUAAGAUCUUUCCUUGGGCAUGCUGGGUUCUAUAGACGUUUCAUUAAAGAUUUUAGCAAAGCUUCUAGACCCUUAUGCAAUUUACUUGCUAAGGAUGUACCUUUUGUCUUUGAUGAUUCAUGUCUUGUUGCGUUUGAAAAAUUAAAGCAUUUGUUGACAUCAUCACCCAUCAUUCAGUCCCCGAACUAGAGUUUACCAUUUGAACUCAUGUGUGAUGCAUCUGAUUAUGCAGUAGGAGCAGUAUUAGGAGAAAGAGUUGAUCGAAUUCCCCACGUUAUUUACUAUGCUAGUCUGACAUUGAAUGAUGCACAGUUGAACUAUUCAACUACUGAAAAAGAAAUGCUAGCAGUAGUGUUUGCAUUAGAGAAAUUUCGAUCUUAUCUCAUUGGUUGUAAAAUAACUAUAUUCACAGAUCAUGCUGCUCUUAAAUAUCUUCUCACAAAGAAAGAUGCAAAAGCUAGACUAAUUCGUUGGGUGUUACUUUUGCAGGAAUUUGACUUGGAAUUCAAAGAUAAAAAAGGGACAGAAAAUGUUGUGGCGGACCACCUCUCUCGUCUCCAUCUUGACACAAUUACAGAGCCAUUAAUAUUGAAUGAGUCAUUUCCAGAUGAACAAUUAAUGAGUGUGGAAGUAUUACCUUGGUAUGCUGAUAUAGUUAAUUAUCUUGUUACAGGUAAACUUCCUGAGCAUUGGACCAAGCAAGACAAGGCAAAAUUCUUUGCAGAGAUAAAGAAUUUCUUUUGGGAUGACCCGUAUUUGUUCAAGUAUUGUGCGGAUCAAAUUGUUAGACGAUGUGUCCCAGAAAGUGAAAUUCAGAAUAUCCUUUCAUUUUGCCAUGAACAAGCUUGUGGAGGCCAUUUCAGUGCUAAGAAAACAGCGACUAAAGUUUUACAAUGUGGUUUCUAUUGGCCAUCUAUAUUUCGAGAUGCUUACACUUUCUGUUCUUCAUGUGAUAGGUGUCAACGAAUGGGAAGCAUUACACGAAGGAACAUGAUGCCACUAAAUCCAAUUUUAGUGGUUGAGAUUUUUGACGUAUGGGGUAUCGACUUCAUGGGACCCUUNNNNNNNNNNNNNNNNNNNNNNNNNNNNNNNNNNNNNNNNNNNNNNNNNNNNNNNNNNNNNNNNNNNNNNNNNNNNNNNNNNNNNNNNNNNNNNNNNNNNNNNNNNNNNNNNNNNNNNNNNNNNNNNNNNNNCGCUUUGGAUUCCCUCGAGCAAUAAUCAGUGAUGGUGGUGCCCACUUUUGUAACAAAGCAUUCAAAGCUCUUUUGACAAAGUAUUCAAUCACACACAAAGUGGCGACCCCGUAUCAUCCGCAAACCAGUGGCCAAGUUGAGAUCUCCAAUCGAGAAAUAAAGCACAUAUUAGAAAAGACAGUGAGGCCAGACAGAAAAGAUUGGUCAUUAAGACUUGAUGAUGCCUUAUGGGCAUAUAGAACGGCUUUCAAGACCCCGAUUGGGAUGUCACCCUACAGGCUAGUGUAUGGAAAAGCUUGCCACCUACCUGUGGAACUCGAGCAUCGUGCAUAUUGGGCCAUCAAGAAAUUCAAUUUUGACAUGCAGCAAGCCAGCUCAGAAAGAAGAUUACAGCUGGCAGAACUUGAAGAAAUUCGCAAUGAUGCAUACGAAAAUGCCAAGAUUUACAAGCAACGAAUGAAAGUCUUCCAUGAUAAGCAAAUUAUGAGGAAAUCGUUCACUCCAGGUCAGAAAGUGCUUUUAUUCAAUUCUCGCUUGCACCUAUUCCCAGGUAAGUUACGCUCUCGUUGGUCUGGUCCCUUUAUUGUUCAUACUGUUUUUCCACAUGGGGUAAUUGAAAUUAAGGACCCAAAGAACGGUGUCACGUUUAAAGUUAAUGGUCAAAGAUUAAAGCCAUAUCUAGAGUACCAACCACAUAACGAAGACACCGAAAUAAAUUUGAGUGACCCACCAAAUUUGAAUUGAUUUUUUUUUCUUUUCGUUGAUUUGAUUUUUCUUUCUUUCUUUUUAUUAUUAUUCUUUUGCUAAUUGAAAUUGUUUUUGCAUAAGUGUGUUUAUUUUACCAUUAAGUUUUCUCUUAUCAUUUUUAAUCAUGAGUCUCAUACUUAGACCGUUCCUCCUGAACAUUCUUAAACCACUUCAACGUGUCAAAACUCAUCUCAAAAGGCAGAUUCAAUUUUGUAAAACACAACGCAUUUGGGCUCUACAACCACCAGAGUUAGUAGCCUAUGUUGAGGGUUUAGAACGCCAACUCAGAGACAUUGAGAGAAGUGUUUACGACAUCCAGUUGGAGCUUGAGGUAAAUUCAAUAAGAGGACGAUUUUAAUUUUCUUUGUGUGUUUUAAUUUGUUUUUCUGUUUGUGUGCUUUAGUUUGUUACCCCGGUGAAGUGGCGGAUAACGGUACUCCGUGACAAUCAAGUCGGUUACUUCAGUUUCCCAUAAUAACUGAUAUUCUGAGGCGAAGGUAUGGACAGAAAUGAGAUUCUAGCAAAGCUUCACAAGCGAUUCCCUUCACUUCCUUAGAAUGCCCUCCUUACGAUCUAUAAAGCUCGGUCCGAACGCAUGCGAUUGCUCAUGAGGAAUAACAUACCUGCUGAUAUCCGUUGGUUAAUUGAGGCGAAAGUACGAUCGACAGGUGAGUUACCUCCAAAAUUUAUUGCAUUCAUGCCUGGUUGUGGUAAAGGAAAUUAUGCAAGAAAACGACGAGCUCGAAGAAUUUCUGUUGCUUGUCAUAAGUGUGCUAGAAUGAGUUGCAAUAAAAACCCAUGUUCUUUAGGAAUGGUGUCUGACAACAGGGAAGAUAAGAUUCAAUUCAUUAGGGAUGGCUUGGAUAAGGAGUCAUUGGAUGAUAUCCUUUUGUCUCUUGAAACGCAUCCCAGUGGAUAUGUGCAAGGAGCAAUUCUCCAGCUAUGGCCAUUAUUCCAGAAAGAGCAUGCACGAUAUAGUCUCGGGAAUCUGACUAUAAACGACCCUGUUUGCCAGUUUAUAAGAAAACUGGAUAGGAAGCCUAUCCUCGACCCAUAGAGGGCGUUCAAGCCGUUUCUGGACGUAAAAUCAGAGGAAGAUGUGAGCCACAGUCGCAACUACCUGUAAAUAUCCUUUUACUUUAUUGUUAUUUUAUUUCACUAUUGUCUUAUUGUUUGCAUUAUUGUCUUUAAUAAUUUUAUUACUGUUUGCUUUUUCCUUUUUACUGUUUUCUUUUUGACUUGCGAGCCACGUGCUUUACGCGUUAUUUGACACUGAUAUAUUACCUCAUACACAACCAUGACCCACUAUCACCAAGACUCUUAAAUGUGAUUUCUUUUUUGUCAAGCACUCACAAAUUGUUUUCGAGAAGUAUCACAAUGGCAGCUACUCCCAAUAGACAAUUUAAGAACAUUUGUGUACUUUCUGGAUUUACCUAUGGCAAACAUAAAGAGUUCGUUGAGGCAGCCAUAGAUCUUGGUCGAAGCAUAGCAGCGAGAAAAUUACACUUGGUGUAUGGAGGAGGUAAUCGAGGGUUAUCAAAAAUGGUAUCAGAAGCAGCUUUUAUCAGAGGAAGUCAAGUGUUAGGCAUCAUCCCAAGAGUCCUAAAACCAUUGGGCAGUUCGUCUGACUCAUCAACUGGAGAAGAGUUAGUCGUCUCAGGUAUGCAAGAAAGAAUAACUGAAAUGCUUAAUUAUGCUGAUGCUUUUAUUUUCCUUCCAGGAGAUCUUGCAACACUGGAGGCACUUAUGACACUAGCAUCUUGGGCCCAUUUACACAUUCACCAGAAACCCAUCGGUUUGUUAAAUGUCAAUAACUUUUAUGAUGGUUUUAUCGCAUUUCUUAACCAUGCAAUAAAAAACUAUUUCAUUCCUUCUAAUGUGAAAAAACUCUUUAUUUGUGCUCACUCUGCUACUGAGCUACUUGAUAUGUUACAAGCUUAUAAACCGGAGCCAAACCCCUGGACCUUUGUGUUGGAGCGACCAAAUAAUGAUGGUAACAGUAGCCGCAGUAAGAAGUACAAAUUAGAUUUAACUCUCCGCCUAUAAAUAUUUUCUUCUGUGUUGCACCACCCAGGUGAUGUCUUCUAAACUCUACUUCUUUCAUUUCAAACAUUGAGGACAAUGUUUCGUUCUGGUUGGGGGGAGGGAAUAGUCGACAAUUGUGGAAUUUUGGUUAAGUUUUUACUAAUUUUUUGUUGUAGAAACUAACUGUUGCUAACUUUUUGUGUUGAAGAUGGCUGAAUAUGGAGUGUAGUUACUCUAGAAACGCAUCUUCAUUGUUUGAAAAAAAAAAUAUUCAAAAAAAAAAUUCAAAAAAAAAACAAUUAGACAUUUUCUUUUUCUUUAUUAAGUUUUGAUGUUUAUUUUUCUUCUUUUUAAUUUCUCCUCUAUGAAUAUACAUUUUCCAACUUUUGAGUCGAAGAUGGCUGAAUAUGGAGUGUAGUGCCUCUAGAAACGCAUCUUCUUAGUAAAAAAAAAAAAAAAACCAUUUUUCGUUUUCUAUCAUUUUAAGUAUAACUUUUCUAAUUAGUUUUUAUGCAUCAUUUUCAUAUCUCUGCAUACAUAUUUUCCUUUCAUGUUUAGAAUAGGUUGGGGGGGAGAAUGUUGUUUAAAAAAAAAAAUUAUGUGAUUUGUUUUAACAUUAGAUGACAUGAUUAAUUUCAAAUUUUAGUAUUUGUAUUAUCUUUGGUCUUAAGUGAUGUUACAUUAUGUUUGCUACUCUACAUGUUGAUGUCGGAGACAAAUAUGCGUUGCUUGAAGGAAUGAACAUGUCAUAAUAAGUACCAAGUGAGUUUUUGAGCCUAUCAUUUUUCUUGGAGAGUAACCCUUUUGCCCAUUCUUUAUACAGCUUAACAGUUUAUUAUUGUAUACACGAUCUCUAGAUUUCUUUUGAGUUAACCCUUAAUAAAAAAAAAGAAAAAAAAAAGUGUGUUGCUACAUUUGGAGGCCCAUCUAACUAGUAGAUAUGGAAGGUUAUUUAGAGCCCUAAAAGACGAUGGAAAGGCCAUCUUUGAUCCGUUUGAGCCUUUCUAGCCAUCCAUUUUAUUAAAUAUCCAUAGUUAACCCUUUUGAGCCUUUAAAAAAAAAAACAUUUUUUUUGUCAACUUAUUAUCUUGACCCACUCCGAUUUGGAGUAUUAUCCGAUAUUUUAUAAGUUCCAUAACCUAUUUAUGUUUGAGAAAAUGUAAAUAAUUAUGUUGUUCAGUGAAGUAUACAAAAAAAAAAACAACAAAACAAAAGUUGUUGUUUCAAAAGAAUAAAAAUAAAAAUAAUAGGUGAAAUCCACCUUGCAACUUCCAAAAAAUAAAAAAAUAAAAAAAUUCUUUGCAUUUUUCUCAAACAUACACUUUGUUUUCCUUAUUUCCUUUCUUUGUUAACCAUGUCCCUAGCCUACGUUACAUCCUAAUAAAAGUCCUUCAUGAUUUUAGGGAACUAUAAUCUGAAGUAGAAGCUAGUUAUAUGGGCUAAAAAGAUGUAGUGGUGCAUAUAAAAAAAAUAAAUAAAUAAAUUGGGUUGACUAACAGUUUUUAUUUGACUUGAGAUCGUAUUAUUUUUAAGCUGAGGGCAUAUUUAUUUCAUCUUGGUGAGAGCAUGUGAUAUCACUUCUUCAUUAUUUUCUCUCAAUUACCAUUCAUUGGAGUGACUAUUUUUAUUGGGUUUAAUUUAUUUGUAAGAGUGUCACUACUUCCAGUGAGAUUUUGGGGUUUGACAUGUCAUUCUUGAAAGUAGUUAUAACAAAGUCUACUGGGCUGAUUCAUGUGGAUGGUUGAUGUGGGUGUGAUGUUGCUUUAGACUAGAGAUAAUGCUUAUACUUUUAUUUGAUUGCUAUCAUUAAUCUGAUUGAAUAAACACAAGUGUUUCUAAAAAAAAAAAAAAUCAUUUUGAAUUUGAAUUUUGUUUUCGCUUUAUUUGCUAGGGACUAGCAAUAAGCUGGUUGGGGGGUGUGUUGAGUGUUAGAAAAUGCAUAUUUAUAAAGGAGAAAACCGUCAUUUUACAUUUCAAGUCUUACUAACAACCCUUACUUUUAUGUAUUUAACAUUCUUGUGAUUUAAUUACGUGUGUUUUAUUUUAAUUAAGUAAUUUAUGUAUUUUAGGGGCAUUAUAGUUAUUUCACAAUAAAGGAGAGAUCAGACAGCAAAACGGACAUCACUUUUGAACUCAGGACGGUCGAAAACCUUAGGAGGAGCAUAAAAGGAAAAAUGACACUAUUCACAUGUACGGUACUAUUCACGUAUACGGGACUGUAUACGUUACUGUUCACGGCACUGUUCACAUAGACGGAUCGAUGACGUGGCAUUGACCGAUGAUGUGGCAUUGACUGAUGAGGUGUCACGAUCCUGUUGGACUAAAAUUCUUAUGUACUGUUGAUGGUGACGUGGCAGCAUAUCAGUGGACGAAAAAUCUCGCGUACGGUGUAUGCAUCACACAGGAUUAUUUUCAACCAAACCGCGUUACUGUUCAUCCGGGUCAAACCGCGUUACUGUUCAAAGUCGGGUCAAACCGUGUUACUGUUCAUCCGCGUGGUCAAACCGUGGACUGUUGACUGAUGACGUGGCGCAAUCCUGAGCGUUCAAACUGUUUUUAAUCCGAUGGCCAUGAUUUACUCCAUGUAUCUAUAAAAAGGGGGCCUCUCCCCCCUAAAUGGAUAUCUCUGAAUCCAUUUUUGGGAUCCAUUUUCUGUAAUUCCCUCUCCAUCUUGUAUUUUCUUCGUAUUUUAAUAAAUUUCCAUUUUGCCCCUAGUUCAAUUAUGAGUGGCUAAUUUUCUUUCAAGCUUGGGUUGAAGGUGAAGUCUCAACAUGUGUCAUGGGCUUAAUUUGGUAAAUUUAUUUUCUCUUCCCCUCUAGUUUUUGUGGAUGUUUUGACUUCUCGUCGACAAAUAAUACUAAUCUUGUCUAAUACUGCCUUGGUUACACCGGCCCUCUAGUACAAGGUUAUUAUUAUUUGGCACGAUAAGCCCUUAGCACCAUAUUGAUUAGAGCGUGGUUCAUGAGGUGUGGAUUCCCCCCUCAUGAUUUAAUUGGCAUUAAUACGGAUUAUUUAGCCCAUGAUGCAUGUUGAUACGGAUCCAGAUACCCAAGUACGUCAUUUCAAUAGAAUUCUUUUCAAUUUAUUCUCACCAUUUCAAUACCAAUUUUAGAAUUUAUUCUCGCCAUUUUAAUUUAAGUUUUAGCAUAUUCCAAUCAUUUCCACCACAAAUCCAAUCACCCAUUCACAAAAAUUAAUUCUACACAAUUAAAAUCCACCUCCUCGUGGGAUCGACACUCGUCACCAUUAAUCUAUACUACAACAGAUUCGUGCGCUUGCGAGUACAUUAAAAUUUGCACAACAUACAUCUAACCACCAUAAAAGUUUAAUAUGUUCUUGACACCACCUUUGUUUUUAAAUUUGUAUCAAUAAACAAUUUUGACCAUUAGAGUUUAAAUAAAAUAAUCAUUUUACCCUUAAACGAAUUAACAAACUAUUUUAUCCUACAAAAUUUUUAAAAAUAAAAAAAUUAUAAUUACCAUUUAAUCAAUUGAUAAAAUACUAUUGAAAAAUUGGAUGUGUGAGUACUAUUUAAUUAAAUGAUAAAAUAUUAUUGAUUUUUUAAAUCCUUUUAACCUAAAGAACAUGCAAUACUCAUCUCAAAUAUUUUUCUUUUUUUUUUCCCAUCAAACGCACAAUCACAAUUAUCAAACAAUUUUGAUCAUUUAAAUUAAUCACCAGGAUCAUAAUAGUCUAAACUAAUUUUGAAUAAUAAAAAAAUAUAAUUACAAAAAUUAUCGUUUAAUUUUUUUUAUAAAAACUAACAUCUUUAAUUUUUAGAUUUAUUUGUUUUAUUAAAUUUAGAGGUAUUUUUGUAAAUAUAAUUUUUUAUUUUUAAAAAUUUUGUAUGAUAAAAUGAUCUUUUAAUUUAUUUAGGGGUAAAAUGAUUAUUGUAUUUAAAUUCUUAGUGUUAAGUGGUUGAUUGAUAUAAGUUUAUAAACAAAGGUGGUAUAAAGAACAUGUAAAAAUUUUAUGGUAGUUAAAUGUACAUAUAACAAAAUAGUGGUGGUGCAGAGACAAUUUUCCUCUUAUUAUUAUUAUUAUUAUUUUUCAUGUCUCAUGUUGAUAACAUAUGUUACAUCACCUAUUUGAUGGUGUUAGCCGAUUUAUUCUUCUUUUUUCUUUUAUGUAAAAUCAUGGGAUAUAUCACAAGAUUUCUUUUUGAAAUAUUAAAUUCUAUAAAUAUAUUUUGUAAUCCAAAAUAUAUUGGGACCCUAUAAAUAAACACUUAUGCACAACUUAGAUUUCUUAUAUCAUAGAAUUUUGAUAAAUUAUUAGCAUUGAGACUAUGAAAUUUAUUAAUUUAGCGAGUAAUAAUUUAAUGAUAAAUUAAUAAACAAAUUAAUAAUUAUUAAUUCACCAAGAUAGCAUCACGUUCACAAUAAAAUUUUUCUUUUUUAUGAAGUAUAGAGAUGGUAUAAUUAGAGAAUACAGUGAUUCUUCAAAUUAUGUGGAACGAUUUUGAUAUGAUCUUAAUUAAGUUGAUGAGAACCAUCAAGGGAAUACCAUUAAAACUUCAAUGGAUCCUUUGCACAUUCAUGGAGGCCCAAUUACAAGAGCAAAAGCCAAAAAGAUGCAAGCUGCUUUAAAUGGAUUAAUUGAGAAAAUAUGGAUUGAAAAUGCAAUUCAAGAUGCAAGACAUCAUGAAUUGGGCUUGAAGAGAAGACAAGGCAUUGUGGGCAUUAUUCAAGUUAUUGGGCAGCCAAAUACACAAUUUGUAUCAAAUGCAAAAAGGUCAAAUUCGAAAUAAAAACUGUAUUGAUUGAGCUAGAAGUAAUGUGAAACCUAUAUAUCGUUGGAAAGAUAAUUAAGUUAGCUUUCCAAUAAAUUUUACAGAGCUAGAUUUGGAGUUAUCUAGAAGGCAUUAUGACCAAUUCAUUACAGCUUGUUCGGACUUGGGAUUUUCAACGACUCCUUUGUUUUUCAACUUCAUUUGUUUGUUUUGUUUCAAGUUUGUCAAUGUGUAAGGUAAGUCUACCAUCAAUGAUGAUGGGCUAACAUUAAGUUUUUCAAUGAUAGCAUUAAUUAUAGUAGGUUAGCAUUAAAUUUGUCAAAAAUAACAUUAAUUAUGGUGGGUUGGUGAAGACUUUUGAAACAUCCUUUGACAAACCUACUUGGAGGGUUGUUCCAAUGUUUUCAUUUGUAUUUUUAGGAUCUUGGGUUUCUUUUAGCCUAUUUAAAUUCAACAACCUUGUAUGUAAGAAUAUUAGAGAUUAAUGUUAUUUGAAUUUGAAAGAUUAUUCUUUCUUUGGUUCUUUUGAGAACUAGUGAACUUAUCAAGAAUUUGCAUUCUUGUGGCGUUCUAAAUUUAGACUUAUCACUCACCUUCUCAUCUAUUUCUUGAGUGUGGCGUCAAUAUCAUUUUCUAUACCUUUGGUUCAUGUUUUUUUAAGCAUUGGGUCAAGGUUUUGUUUGUCAUAAAUCUGUUUAGAACUUUCUUGGGAAGUUAAAACUACAAAUUAAAUGUGGGUUUCAAGGUUUCAUUGUGGGAUUCACAUCAUAAGUGAACCAAUCACUUGAUAAUUCUUUAACUAAAUGGAAGGCUUACAACAUUGCAUCAGUACAAAAAAGAAAAUCGUAAACAUAUUAUAUGUAUUGAAUUUCAAUUUAGUUAAUUAUUAAUUUCUGUCCUAUAGAAAAAUAAGAUUUUUUUUCCAAAGCUUACUUUUUAUUAAUUUAUCGAACUAUUCAGUUACCACAAUGACCCCCAGAUCAAAAUCAACAAAAAAUAUUAUUUACUCAAAGUUAUUAUUUUAUCAAUUGUUAAUUUAAUAAAACUCUACUGUGUUUCUUGAACACUUAUAAUUGAGGGCUUGAGCAGUGUGAGACUACACACCUAGUGCCAUAUAUUUCAUUACUUCUUUACUAUGGAUGUAUGAAAAUUUGAAUUGAAUGCAGUACAAUAUUGUAUAUUAUAUUUUUGGAAAAAGACAUUCUUACAAAAGAUUUCACAACACUUUGUAUAAAAUUGUGUGUUUUAAUAAAACAAAAUUGUAAAACAUUCAUAAAAUUUUAAACAUUAAUCAUUUACAUCCCUAUUUUGAUUCUUGGGUUGAUAAAUGUCAACAAAAAUGGUAUCAGAGCCAAGUUUUAGGUUCAGAAUAUAAAAGUAGAAGAAAUAGUUGUUUAUUUUGUAAUUAAUGGAGGAUAUAAUUUAAUGAUAGAUAGUAAUACAAUUAAGGAUAACAUAACUAAAUAUAGACAAUAUUAUUAUUUAGAACAAAAUAUAUUAGAUGAUAGCAACUAGAACAAUUGUAUUUAUCCAGAGAGCUCAUGAAAUUAGAAUUGGAGAACUCAUAAUAAUAAAGAAUAUAAAUUUCAACAUAGAUCCUAAUCUCCUAUUCACAGUUAGGAGAGAGGUUUAUAGAAAUAAUUGUUCACAUCCACAAUUACAUUGUGAAGGUUGCUUGAUUUGUGAGCAUAAACGAACUGAUUGUGCCAAUACCACAUGACGCCAAAUAACAUUGACCUAUCCUUCUCAUUAGUGAUCCUCAAGUGGUUUUUCAUAUUAUAAACAAUCCAUGCACGAACAUCCAAUGUAAAACAGGUAUGACUUGUGUGUUUCGAAAUAAGGGCUAACCAAAUGCGUUUAUAGUCAACAUAAUCCCCGACUGCAUGGAUAGCAUCCUCUAUGAUAUGCCCACACUGCAUGCAAGUACUAUCAUUAAGCACUUCUCUUCGUGAUAAUUUAGUAUUAUUUUUCAAUCUAUUAUGCAUCAAUAGCCAAAGAAAGCACUGAAUGCUUUGGGGGCCUCUCAAUCUCCAAAUCAAAACCCAAAGGGAAUUAUUUUCAUUUAGCAUCGGUCUAAAGAGGGAUAAAUAAUCUGACCUCACGCUAAACAAACCAGACCGCGAUGGAGCCCAAUAACAACAGUCAACUUCAUUGCUAACAGAAGGGGGCAUAGUGCUUGCUAUUUUGAGAAUUAUAUGGUGGGGUAGAAAAGAAGCAAAACAAUCCCAGUUCCAAGCACCAUUAUUAUCGACAAAAUUAGCUACACACUCAUUUAAUAUGUUUUCAGUGAUUGUACCGGAAGUAUAAGAUUGCAACCAAUGCCCAUCCUCCAGCCAAUAAUCUUUCUAAAAUCUAGUCAACUUCCCAUUCCCAAUUGCCCAGCGAGUCCCUUAGAGAACCUCAUUCCAUAAGUUUCCCGCGAAUUUUCAUAAAGGAGAACUAUAUCAAGUAGGACGUUUUAGAGGAAGGUUUUCUUUAUCAACGCCAUAUUUAAACAUCAAUACUUGAAUUUAGAAGCUGUGGGGUGAUUCCAUAUGACCCCAACCAAUUUUCAUUAGCAAGGCUUUAUUCAUGAGAUUAAGAUCUUUAAGGCCAAGGCCCCUACAGAAAUUAAGGAGUUGUGCUCUAUCCCACUUAAUAAGGUGUGUGCGAUGAGUCUCGUUAAUCUCGUUCUAGAUAAAAUGCUUGUAAAUCUGAUCAAUUUUACUAUGAAUACUUACAGGUAGCAUGCAGGUCUGCAUGGAAUAGGUUGGGAGAGCCAUAAUGAUCGAUUGCGUUAAUGUUAUUUGACCUACAAGAGAAAGAUAAUUGGUUGUCCAGCCUGGAAGUCUUUGUAGUGCUAAUGGUGGUCAAGGAUAAGGUACCAGUUUCAGUGGGAGACAUUGAGUUUACAUGAGAAAUAUGGGAGAUUUCAUAGAGAAUGUAUGAGUUAGUGACAAUGGUAAACAUGAUUAAACGCGCGAACUAACAUAAAAUGAAAUACAAAAACUAAAUGAUAGAGCACAAUUUUUGAAAAAAGUUUAUUCUUCAAUCCACCAUCAAUUAAACAGAAGCAAGCCACUGUCAUUCUAAGUAAAAAAAUAUAACAACAUCACAUACAUAGGAAUAAUUUUUCAAUAUGGGAAUCUUGAACUUUUCAGUAAAAAAAAUCAGUUUACAAUUUUAUAGGUAUGUGAAAAAUAAAGUUUAUAACAUUGUAAAUCAGAUCACCAGCCAGAAUCUGACUCCACCUACAUGGUUUAGUAAUCAACUAUAACAUUGCAUCCAACAAUGGCGUCACCAGAUUUAAAAUCUGGUCGAUGCAUUUGAGCAAUUGCAUAUCCACCAGUCAAUAGGAACUCGCUAGUGUUGCAAUCGAUGGGCAUCUUACGGACAGGAAUAAUCGACCUGUUGUUGCCAAGGAGGCUGAUACAGCUGCCAUUAUUAGGACCAUCAAUGAACACAAAGCUCAUGGACAUGAUGAUAGCUAGUUGAUGCUGACAAGCCGACCCGUAAAGCCCUUGAGCACGACCAACAAGCUUUGAUUGAGGACUAGUAAUUUCUAUCGACGAAUCAUCCACCAAAUCACAACGCAGAAACAAGUUGGUGACUUGUAAGUAUCAGUGGCUUGAGCAAUGCUUUUUGCCACUAUGUUUUUUUUUUGUUGUCUCUUUUGCAAAAUCAAGCCCCGUAGCCAAAGUCUCUCUGAUCGUAUUGCUGUUGCUGCCACCGGGCAAAUGAUGAGCAAUAAAAAAACUGCUUAAAACAUUGUAGUAACUUUAAAACAAGGCAUGAAAUUAAAAGGAAGAGAAUAAAUGAUGCACUUUUGAAGGUAGAAAAGAAGGAUGAUUCAAGAUUCAUUUCAAAUGUUUUUGAAGUGUUUUGAUCAAUGAAUAUCCAAAGGCUGCUUAACUACAAAGGUGAAGUGGGAAGAAAUUUUGACAUUUUGUUACAUUGAGCUAGCCAGCGAAUGUAUAUGAGGGGCUUCACAUGUACACAUAAAAAAGGAAGAUUAAUUACUCGUGGUUUUUUAUUAAGAAAAAAAAAUGGCUUGCUUAAAAUAUAGAGUGUGGUUAAUUUCAUUGAAGGACAUGACUCAAAGGAAAAGAAAAAGAAAUCUAAUAAUAAACUAAACAAAAAAUAAUGCCCAAAACAAUAAAUUUAAUUAAAUGUACAUUGAAAUUACCUUUAUAAUGCAACAAGAUAUUAAAAUCAAUAGUUAACUCUAAAAAAUGAAGCGUAAUUUAUUUAAUACUUAUUUAUGGACUCUUUCAAUUCCAUUAAAGCCACUGCAAGUUGUUUUUCAAUAUUCACUUAGAUAAAUAGAGGCUCAUGCCUUUCUGAUUCUUCCACAUCUCUUUCAAUUCUAAUUAACCCGUUUGUAAUUCUCUUAAGAAAUUAAAAAAUGUCGAAGAGUCUUACUUUCAUCAUUUUGGCUUUGCUUGUAGUGGCAAACACUAAAAACAUGCUUAUUUCAGCCAGUAGAACUGGCCAAGGAUCUAAGCCAGAGGUUUUAUUUUCUAUUAACCCUACAGCAUCACCUGACAUUGUUGAUUGCUCAGGGCUCACAAGUGAAGAGUGUUUGAUCGAGAUGAUUAAGAAAGCACUUGUAGACUAUCGAUACCCCUGCCCUGAGGGGGGGUGCAAAUGAUAUUGUUAAUAAGUUAUUUCUUUUACCUUGUAGGAGUGCUUUUGCAAUAACGAUCAAUUACAGUGAAAUUGAAUUCGUGUUUUUAAUAAAAUAAAACAUUAAUCCAUUAUGCAUAGGUAAUAUUAUGUCAUAUGUUUUUGGUGUGUGUAUCUCCUACUGCUUUGUUAUAGAUGCAUCGUCGAAUCAAUCUUCAAAAAAUCAAUUUCUUUAAAUAAUAGCAAUUAUCAACCAAUCAACAUUACUAUGUUGGUACCAUUUGUAAUAUUUAAAUUUUAAGUCUAUCUACUUUUAGGGUGAGAUUAUUGAUUCCUAAGAAAAAUAAUAAAAUAAACCCUCAUUAUCGAAAUCCUAUAUUACUAAGCUGUCUGAUUUAAUUUAAUGUUAAACUUUAAUUUAACCCCUGAAAAUGUCCAGACUUACCUACAUUUAUUGCUAAGAUAUGAUUUAAAAGUUCAUCAAUGUGCACCUCAUUUAUGCUCAUCUUUUGAAGAACAAAUAGGGUGGAUUGAGAUUUUCAUGCUUUUGGAGGGUAAAUUAAAGAUAGUUAUUAGGAGGGAACGAAUUGAAGUUUGUUUUUAAAUGCAAAGAUGUUUUCUUUUAGUUUAUAUGAGAUAGUUCGUUUGACUUUAAUUUAACAUAUGUUUUUGUAAUUGAAAUAUAGAUACUUCGUUAUUUUUGUUAUUUAGCUAAGUAAUAUAAUAUUAUAUUUAAUUGAUCACUUAAAAAAUGUUUAUGCAUUAAAAGGUUGUUACAAGUGAAUAAAAGUUAUAGAUUUUAUUUUGAAAUUAAAUUCUAAAAAUAAAUUUAAGAGUUAGUGUUUCAUUUUCUGGAUGUAAAUGCCCUUCACCAAUUUCAUUUUAAAAACACACCAAAAUCCAAGUAAUUUUUUUGCUCUCCUCUCUCAACUAAAAUCUUUCUAUCUUAGACUUCACGUGAUGGAGUUCCAACACUAGUUUGAAGUUCGCAAGAGUAGUGAGGUUAUGUUGCCGAGACCAUUUGACUUUGCAAUAUCCUAAGGGACAUUUGCUAAUAUAACCUAAGUACUACUGAGAAAAUGACAAAUCCUUUUUAAGGACAUUGUAACUGCACAUGCCUCAGUUUAGUUUAUGUUCUUCUCUUUCUUAUUGAUCUAUACUAGAGAAAUUAUCUCUACACCAACUCUAUUUUAUCAUAUGUACAUCCAGAUACCACAAAAUUGUAACAUGUUCUUUGUACUACCAUCAUUUCUGAACUUGUAUUAAUCGACUAAUUCAACUUAACUGGGGUCUUCACUUUUAAGGCACUACCGGGGUGGCCAUUGCCCUCAUUGCUUAUGUACCUUAACUUCAUAUAGAUUUUUACUUUUUUUCGAUCCCUUUUUUGGAGCACAAGUAGAUUGUCGAUUAAUGCCAAACGCACAAGAAUGUGGUCAGAUGCCUAGAUUAGGGAAAAAUAAUGAAAUUUAAAGUAAUACACCAGAUUGCUGAUGUAUUAACAUUAUAUUGAAAUUCAAUAUUUGGCUACCAACAAGCACAUAUUAUAUAUAAAGAAUUAAACACGCAAAUAAACAUAAAAUGAAAUACUUAAAUAAAAUGAUAGAGCGCAUGUUUUGGAAAAGUUUAUUCCUCAAUCCACCACUAAUUAAAUAGAAGCAAGUCACUGUCAUUCUAUGUAAACAUACAUAACUAAUCGCCUACUUAGGAAUAAUAUUUUGAUUUGGGAAUCUUGAAUUUUUCAUUAAAAAAUCAGUUUACAAUAUUAUAAGUACGUGAAAAAGAAAGUGUAUCUUGUAUGAGAGUUUUUUGCAUUACCGAUCAAUUGUAAUGAAAUCGAAGCUGCGUUUUAAUAAAAAGAAGAAAUGGAUCACACAUACAUAGUUCAUACUUCUAAAUGUUGGAUUCAAAUUUAUUAAAACACAACACGGGCAAAGUCACUAGCAAAUAAGAAAGAAUAGCAAAGUCAUUCUUAGGGAAUAUAUUGAAUAUCACUCUAGAUAUGUUAGAGUAGUAAACUUCACUCUGUAUUUUAUUAGAAGUAAUAGGACCAUUUGGUCCAUAUAUUGAAGAUGUAUCUACCUACAAAAGCAUAGUUAAUGGCCAACAAUAUCUCAUCUUAACCACACCAGAGAUAUCAUUUACAAUGUAUAAGCUAAAUUAGUAUAUGGCUGCUCCUACACUUCAACAUCUAAUGGCUUGUAAACGAGUGUUAAGGUACUUAAAGGAACUGGAAGAUAUGGAUGAAACUAAUUGGAUUCACAGAUACAAAGUAGGCAUGUGAUUUGGAUGACAAAAAAUCCAUUGGAGUUUACUACAUAUACUUGGGAAACAAUUUAAUACAUGGUCAUCAAAAAAGCAAUCUAUGGUAGCAAGGUCCAGUGCAGAAAGUGAAUAUAGAGCACUUGCAGAAUUAACUUGGUUGCAAUCAUUAUUCAGUGAAAUCGGAAUACAAUGUACAUUAGUUCCAUCAAUUUGGUGUGAUAAUGCAAGUGCCACUGAAUUAUCCAAGAAUCCAAUCUAUCACUCAAGAACUAAACAUAUUGAGUUGGAUAUGCACAUUGUGAGAGGCAAAAUACUUGUAAAAGAACUUGAAAUCAGUUAUAUAACAUGUGCAGAACAAAUUGCCCAAUUAUAUCUUUACAUAUUAAUUUUGCUAGUAUAAUAUCCUUGAGAAUAAUUGAAUCAAAUGAUUUUGUUACUUUGGCAAUAAUUAAAUAAUAUUAGAUUGAAUUGUUGUGUCAUUCGUUUAGCUUAUUUUAACCCUAUGUAAAAUUAGCUUCGGCAAGUAAAAUGAAAUUUACAUUAUUAAAAUCUUUGUUUGUGGUAAUAAAAGUUCACUUGGAAUUUUAUAAUAUCAACUUGAAAUUUAACUCAAAGUAUUGGUAGUUAAGGAUUUCAAUAGAAAUAUUAAAUAGAAACAAGUAGUUAACAAGUUAAAACAAGUUAACCUAUAAUUGAGUAUGUUUAACUAAACUUAGGGGCUAAUUUUACAAAAAGUUAAACAAUAGAAAGUAAAUUUGGCAUUAAACCCAAAUAGUUAAAAUUUUACCAAGUUAUUGGAAAUAGUCAAACAAAAGCAUUGAAAUAAUAGUUGAAACACAUAAGUUAAAAAGGGAUAAAAUAUUAACCAAAUUCUAAUUUUAAAACUCAUCCAAUAAGAAAUGAAUUUACUUAGAAUUUAACAAAAAGUAUUGGUAUUUAAUGAACUUAAUAUGAACAUUAAACGCAUAGCUGGUAGAUUUAUAAGUUAGAAAUAUGUAAACCUAGAAGUAAGAAGGUUUAACCAAAAUUAAGGAAUAAAAAAAAUAAAAAAGUCCAAUUGGUAUUUAACCUAAAUAAUUGCAACCUUACCUAAUCAGUAGGAAUAUUCGACAAAAAGAUAGUGGAAUAAUUAAUUGAACCAUAUGAACCUAGAAGGGAGAAAAUUUAAGCAAAAUUAGGAACUUAUCCAAUGGGAAUAAAUAUUAUUUGGAAUCUAACCCAAAAUUGGUAUUAAAUGAACGUAGUAGGAAUAUAAAACAUAAAACUAGUAAACUACUAAUUAAGUUGAAGUAUGUGGACCUAUAAGUGAGAAAAUUUAACCAAAAUUAGAGACUAGUUUAACCAAAAAUAAAAUUAUAAAAAAUAAAUUUGGUGCUUACCCUCAAUAAUUAGAAUCUUAUUAAGUUAAUAGAAGUAUUCAACACAAAAAUAUGGAAAUUAGUAGUUGAAACUGGAACCCAUAAGAGAGAAAGUUCAAGUAAAAUUUGGAACUCAUCCACCAGAAAUAAAUUUAACUUGGAAUCUAACCAAAAUAUUGGUAUUGAAUGAAUAUAGUAGGAACAUCAAACACAAAACUUGAGGACUAAUAUGUUGAAAUAUGUGAACCAAGAAAUGAGAAAGUUUAACCAAAGUUAGAGCCUAUUCUAACAAAAACAAAAUUAUAAAAAUUAAAGCUAGUAUUUAUUUCAAAUAAUUGAAAUUGUACUAAGUUACUAUGAAUAUUCAACACAAAUGAAAUAAUUAGUUGAGACAAGAACUCGUAAGAGAGAAAAUUUAAGCAAAAUUAGGAAAUCUUUAAAUGAAAAAUAAAAGUUGGAAUAUAACUUAAAUAUUGGUAUCGAAUUUGGUACGAAUAUCAAAUACAAAAUUGAUGGACUAAUAACUUGAAACGUGGGAACCCAUAAGUGAAAAAGCUUAAGCAAAAUUAACGACUAGUCUAAGAAAAUAUAAUUGUUAUAUUUAACCACAGUAAUUGAAAUCUUACUAAAUUAAUGAGAAUACACAAUACAAAAUUAGUGGAAUAAUAGUUGAAAUAUAUAAACCCACAUGAAAUGAAGUUUAACUAAAAUUAUGAGCUCAUCUCAUAGAAAUGAAAGUUGUUUAAAAUCUAACUCAAAAUAUUGGUAUUUAACGACAUUAGUAGGAAUAUAAAACAUGAAAAUAGUGAACUUAAAAGUGAAUAUACGAACCUAUAAGUUUAACCAAAAUAAGUUACUAAUCUAACAAAACUAAAUUUAUAAAAACUAAAAAUUUAGUAUCUAACCUAUAUAAUUGGAAUCUUACAAAGUUAAUGGAAAUACUCAAUACAAAAAUGAUAGAAUAAUUAGUUGAAAUUACUGAGCCUAAAUAGUAGAAAAUAUAACGAAAAUGUGCUUAUCCAAUAGGAAAUGAAUUUACUUAUAUUCUAACCCAAUAUAUUAGUAUUUAAGGAAUUUAAUAGGAACAUCAAAGACAAAGCUAGUGGAUUGAGAAGUGAAAACGAAUAAAUUAGUAAGUGAAAAAGGUUAAAUGAAAUUAGAGAUGUGCGAAAUCAAAUUGUAACAUCCAAUUAAUAUAUCGGUAUUUAACUAAAAGAGUUGGAUAUGAUUAUUUUAUAGAUUUUUAAUAUCAUUUUAAUUAUAAUAUUUUUCUCAUUCAAAUAUUUUUAUGUUAGUUAUUUAUAAAUUUUCUUAUUUUUCAGCAUUAAAAAUAAAUUGUCAAAAAUUAUUUAGAAAACACCAAAAUCACCAGCUGUUCAAGCUGUAAAGCGACUAUGUAAUAGACAACAACUAGAUAAGUUGGAUGAUCCUUCAUUUUAUUCUCCCUUGCAAGCAGCAAUUUUCAUGGGAUUUUACUUUUGGUUGCCACUACUUACUGUGUCAAAUAGUCCAAGGAAAGGAUGGUAAAGAUAGUGUGUGGAUUAGUCAAAUCCACAUGCACCUUUGUUCUCGGCCAAAUAAAUAUCGGCUCCAUUCUCUCUUCUAGUCUUCUUCAUAAUUUUACGUUGUACACUUUUUAUUUUAUUUUUCUACGCUACACACGUUUUUUUUUCUUUUUUUUUCCUCAGUGUUUUUGCAUGUUGAUAAUUGUAUAGUUGCUCUUAGACAAUCACAUUCGCUUGGACAAACUUCUUUUUAUCAUGGAAAAUGAUCUCUACACUGCUCCUAUUUUAUCAUAUGUACAUCUAACCACCACAAAAGUUUAAUAUGUUCUUGACACCACCUUUAUUUUUAAAUUUGUAUCAAUAAACAAUUUUGACAAUUAGAGUUUAAAUGAAAUAAUCAUUUUACCCUUAAACGAAUUAACAAACUAUUUUAUCCUACAAAAUUUUUAAAAAUAAAAAAAUUAUAAUUACCAUUUAAUCAAUUGAUAAAAUACUAUUGAAAAAUUGGAUGUGUGAGUACUAUUUAAUUAAAUGAUAAAAUAUUAUUGAUUUUUUUAAUCCUUUUAACCUAAAGAACAUGCAAUACUCAUCUCAAAUAUUUUUCUUUUUUUUUCCCAUCAAACAUACAAUCACAAUUAUCAAACAAUUUUCAUUAUUUAAAUUAAUCACCAGGAUCAUAAUAGUCUAAACUAAUUUUGAAUAAUAAAAAAAUAUAAUUACAAAAAUUAUCGUUUCAAUUUUUUUUUAAUAAAAACUAACAUCUUUAAUUUUUAGAUUUAUUUGUUUUAUUAAAUUUAGAGGUAUUUUUGUAAAUAUAAUUUUUUUAUUUUUAAAACUUUUGUAUGAUAAAAUGAUCUUUUAAUUUAUUUAGGGGUAAAAUGGUUAUUGUAUUUAAAUUCUUAGUGUUAAGUGGUUUAUUAAUAUAAGUUUAGAAACAAAGGUGGUAUAAAGAACAUGUAAAACUUUUAUGGUAGUUAAAUAUACAUAUAACAAAAUAGAGGCGGUCCAGAGAUAAUUUCCCUCUUAUUAUUAUUAUUAUUAUUAUUAUUAUUAUUAUUUUUCAUGUCUCAUGUUGAUAACAUAUGUUACAUCACCUAUUUGAUGGUGUUAGCCGAUUUGUUCUUCUUUUUUCUUUUCUGUAAAAUUGAUUGACACUAAAAAGUGUACAUUUAAUAAGGAUAAAAUUAUUAGUUUUUCACUUAUUGUGUCGAUUAAUGCAUUCAUUAUUUCUAAAUUAUUUUAAUACUCCCCAAAUAUAUUUUAUGUUAAAUUAAUUCGUAAUUUGUUAAUUUUUAUCUUGUAAAUAUUUUUCAGGAAUAAAUAUGGAAUUGAAAUUGAAAGUGAGAACAAAGAAGAACUACUGGAACACAAUUGAGGAGAUCUAAUAAUAAAAAUAAAUAAAAUAAAAAAUAAAUAAAGAACAAAAAGACAAAAGAGUAAAAGGCAAGCAAAACAUUGGUUGCCUGAGAUGGUCAGGAGGCCAUCACGCCUCCUGGCCAUCACACUUCUCAACAUUUAUUUAAAUUUUAAAAAAUAAAAUAAUAAUAUAAUAAUAAAUUAAAUAAGAAUCAAAAGAAUGAAAAUGAGGCAAUUGUUGCCUAUAAAAGCCGAAGUAUUGGGAAGCUGAAGGGGGAGAGCUAUUUUGAGAGCUUAAGCCGAGAGAGAAUUUGAGAGCUAAAGCUGAGACUGAAGAUUUUCUUUCUUUCUUUGGUUCUUUUCUUUUCUUGUUUCCAUUUGUAUCAAUUUUCUUUGUAAUAUAUUUCAAAAAGUUUAUUAAAUAAGAAGAGUGUUGUGUUUUCUUUCAAUAUGAGUAGCUAAUUUUAUUAAGCUGAUGUGAAGGGUGAAGCUCAAUAUUUCAAACUAUUAAUUAUUAUUAUUUUCUCAAAUGAGUUUUUUUAAUUCUUUUCUAAUUAUUUUUAUAUUAUGUAAUUUAUAAAUCUCACUGGAUUUUAUGGUAUUUUGACAUAAUGUUGACACAUUAAUAUAGUGUGGCACAUUAGGUACUUUAUUCUAUAUUUAUCCACAUACAUAGAAUUAAAUGAUAUAAUAAUUAAUUGAUAAAAGUGAGGCAAAAUAUAAAUGAGAGAGUAUUAAAAUUAUAGUUUGAAUACAGAGAGUGGAUCCUAAACCUUAUCUUAUUUUUAAAUUGAUUUCAAAUAAUUUCUUUUCCCCACAAUUAAUUUUCUUAGUUUUACUAGAUUUAAAAUUUCCUGUGGUUUGACCCCGGUCUCACCAGGUUAUAUUAUAACUAGACACUCUUAUACUUGAGAGUAAUACACUUUUGAGUCGUGUCAAGUUUUUGACGCCGUUACCGGAGAGUUUUCUAAAUUUGGUAUUAGUUUGUCUUUACUUUUAUUUUAAUAUAUUUUUUGUUUUGUCGUUACCAUCUUUCCGUAAUUCUAUUUUAUUCUCUUUUUGUAAAACUUCAGGCGCCCCUCUUCUUUUCAAACCUUAACAUUAUUCAUAAAAUUUUUGACAAACUUCAUCUUAGCCUAGAAACCUUUGCAAAUCAGUUCCCAAAUCAAAUUUAUUUCUUUAAAUUUCUGCAAUUUACUUUCUGCAUUUAUUUUAAAUGGUCGGUUCUACCUCCUGACUGUUAUUUAAAUUUUGUUAAUUUAUGUAUUUUUAUUUAUAUGGUUGGUUCUACCGCCUAGCAUUUUAAUUUCAGUUUAUUUAUUUUUGUGCAUUAAUUAAUUUAAUUUUAUGUUUUAUUAUAUGGCUGGUUUUAAAAUACCGCCUAAACUGUUUCUUUUAAUGGCUGGUUUCACCGCCUAAUUUAUUUAUUUAUUUUUUAGUUUGUUUAUUUUUAUUUCAUAUUUUUUUUUGCUUAUUUGAUUUCCAGUUUAUUUUUAUUUCUGCAAUUUUCAUUUAGCGUUUUUGCAUCAUUAGUUUAGCACACAUCAUUAGCAUUGUAUGCGUUGUUGGUCUUGUACAAAUAGUGGUAGAUUGAUUAGAAAAUCACCUUCACCACCCUUAAAUAUGGCUGACAUAGGAGCUGAAAAUUUUUCGGAGCACGAAAAUGACCAAGCCUUACAAAAUCUUCAUGAACAACCUAGGACCCUUAGAGACUUCAUGCAUCCUACUAGAACAGGGUCACCAUCAUGUAUAUUUUUCCCUCCUGAUGCAUCACGUUUUAAUUUCAAGCCUGGUAUAAUUCAACUUUUGCCUACCUUUCAUGGUUUUGAGUCUCAAAAUCCAUAUUUGCAUUUAAGGGAAUUUGAGGAAGUCUGUAACACCUGUACUGAUCAAAAUUGUAGCAUGAAUAUAAUCAGGCUUAAGUUUUUUCCUUUCUCACUUAAGGAUAAAGCUAAAACUUGGCUAUAAAAUCUUAGGUCAUAAUCCAUCAGAACUUGGGAUGAAAUGCAAGCACAAUUUUUUAAAAAAUUCUUCCCACCCCACAGAACGUUUUGAAAAGACAAAUCACCAUUUUCACUCAAAAAUCAGGAGAAACUUUGUACCAAUGUUGGGAUAGGUUUAAAGAACUACUUAACAUUUGCCCACAUCACGGUUUUGAAACAUGGAGAUUAGUGUCUUAUUUCUACGAGGGAUUAACAUCCCAAGGUAGACAAGUUAUUGAAAUGAUGUGUAAUGGUGAGUUUAGGGACAAAAAUCCUGAAGAUGCAUUAGACUAUCUUGACUAUAUAGCAGAAAAUGCACAACACUGAGAUACAAUUGGUUUUUAUGAGUGAUCAAGUAAACCCCGGUCAUCUCCAUCUGGUGGAGGCAUGCAUAAUCUUAGGGAAGACCAUGAUUUUCAAGCCAAAUUUGCAUCGUUAGCUAGAAAAGUCGAAGCAUUAGAGUCGAAAAAAAAUGAUCAUGUAAAGUCUGUUAAAAAUAUUUAAUGUUAUGUUUGCGAUUCUACUGACCAUUUUACGCAGGACUGCCCAACUUUACCAGCCCUAAGAGAAAGUUUGCAUGAACAAGUAAAUGUUGUUGACAAUUUCAAAAGGCCAAAUCCAAAUCUAUACUCCCAAACUUACAACUCUGGUUGGAGAAACCACCCAAAUUUCAGUUGGAGAAAUGAUAAUCAUGCACAAUCUUCACAACGUGUUUUUGUUCUUUAUUUUUUUUUAUUUUAUUGAUUAUUUAUUAUUACAUCUCUUCAAUUUUGUUCCCGCUUUCAAUUUCAAUUCCAUCUUUAUUCCUAAAAAAUAUUUACAAGAUAAAAAUUAACAAAUUACGAAUUAAUUUAACAUAAAAUAUAUUUGGGAAGUAUUAAAAUAAUUUAGAAAUAAUGAACGCAUUAAUCGACACAAUAAGUGAAAAACUAAUAAUUUUAUCCUUAUUAAAUGUACACUUUUUAGUGUCAAUCACACCCCCCAACCAGCUUAUUGUUAGGCCCUAGCAAUUUAAGCGAUAAAAGUUUAGUAAAAUUUCAAACUCAAAUUGAAAAUCAUUUUUUUUUAAAAUUAUGUUUACUUUUUCCAUCAGAUUAAUGACAACAAUCAAAUAAAAGUAUAAGCAUUAUCUUCAGCCUAAAGAAAAUAACACCCGCUCAAAACAGUUCAGUAACAAGCCACUUUUAAGAAUGAUACAUUAAACCCCAAAAUCUCACAAUUAGGAGUGACUAUCUCAAAAGAAGAUAUACUCCAAAUUAAUUUGUCACUCUAAAAAAAUGGUAAAUUUGAGAGAAUAAUAAAAUAAUAUCACACGCUCUCACCAAGAUAAAAAUUAAUGCCCAAAACUUAGAAAUAAAAUGAUAUCAAAUCCAAUGAAUUACUAGCAAAAUUUAUUUUUAUUUUUACUUAUCACCACAUCUUUUAGUCCAUAUUACCAGUUUUUACUUCAGAUUAUAGUUCUCAAAAAUCGAGAAGGACUUUUAUUAGGACGUAACGUAGGCUAGGGUUAUGGCUAACAAAAAAGGUAAUAGGGAAAAUAAAAAUAAAUCUUUGAAAAAUAGGGGACUUUUUGGAGAUUAUAAGGUGCUCUUUUUUUUUUUUUCAAAGGCUCAAAGGGGUUAACUAUGGAUUCUUUAUAAUAGGGUUGGCUAGAAAGGCUCAAACGGAUCAAAGAUGGCCUUCUGUCAUCUUUUAGGGUUCUAUAUAAUCUUUCAUAUCCACUAGUUCAAUGGACUUUUAUAUGUGGUUGCACAAACUUUUUUUUUUUUAAAUAUUGAUAUCUUGUACAAUAAAUUGUGAAGCUGUAUAGGCAAACAAGGUUACUCUCUAAGGAUAACAGGCUCAAAAACUCGCUUGGUCUUUUUAUAACAUGUACAUUCAUCCAAAUGGCUUAAUCAAUUUCACUCAUUCAAUUUCUCAAUUUACGUUUUAACAUGCAAAGGGAAAAAUAUAGUGUAACAUAACUCAAGGCCAAAGAUAAUACGAAUACUAAAAUUUGAAAAUCAUAAUGUUAUCCAGUAUUGAAAGAUCAUACCAAAAAAUAAAAUAAAUUUUUUUAAGAAAGCACUAAAAAAUUAGGACUAAUUGCAGAAACUUAAGGGAGAUGAUUAAGAGAAAAAGACCGAAAACAAAAAGUUAGAAAAUUUUUUUUUUGGAAGAAAACACAAAAAUUAAGAAGAUGCGAUUCUAGAGACACUACAUUCUAUAUUCUAUCAUCUUCAACUCAAAUUUUUAUCCAAAGUUAGUCUUUACAACAAAAAUUAGUAAAAACAUCACUAGGAAUGAGACAUUCCACAAUUAUCAACUAUUCCCUCUCUCCAACCUGAAGGAGACAUUGUCCUCAAUGCCUAAAGAAAGGAGUAGAGUUUAGAAGAUAUCACCUGGCCAUUGCUGGAAAUAUUUACAAAUGGAGAGUUAAAUCUAAUUUACACUUUUUACGAGAGUUACUGCCAUCGUUAUCAGUUGCCCAAUCCAAUGCCAAAGUUAUGGGAUCUAGCUUUGGUUUGUAAGCUUGCAAAAAGUCAAGCAACUCAUUAGCAGUAUGAGCACAAAUGACGAGUUUUUUUUGCUGAGGAUGGAAUGAAAUAAUUUUUUAUUGUAUGAUUAAGAAAUGUUAUUAAGCCAUCAUAAAAGUUAUUAAUAUUUAACAAACCGAUUGGUUUUUUAUGGAUAUUCAAAUGGGCCCAGGAAGCAAAUGUAAUUAGCGCCUCCAAAGUUGCAAGGUUUGCUGGCAAGAAAAUAAAAGCGUCAGCAUGAUUUAACAUUUCGGAUAUUCUUUCUUGCAUACCUGAGACAACUAACUCUUCUCCAGUUGGUGAGUCUGGUAGCCAUCCUAAAGGUUUUAAGGCUUUUGGAAUGAUGCCUAGCACUUGGCUUCCUCGAACGAAAGCAGCUUCAGAGACAAGCUUUGAUAAUCCUCGGUCACCUCCUCCAUAUACAAGAUGUAGUUUCCUCUCUGCUAUAGCACGACCAAGAUCUACAGCUACUUAAACGAACUCCUUAUACUUUCCAUAGCGAAAUCCAGAAAGCACACAAAUAUUUUUAAGUUGACUGCUUGAAGUUGCUGCCAUUACAAAAAUUCUAAAGAGAAACAAUUUGUGAGUGCUUAAAAAGGAGUUCCUAUUUAAGGAUCUUGGUGACGGACAUAAUGAUGUACAUUUGUAAAUGGGGUGGUGUGUUUGUCAAAUGACGCGUGAAGCUUUUAGCUUAAUAAUUCAAAUGCAAACAGUGAAAAAAAAAGCAAACAAUGAUUAGAUAAAAUAAAAAAAACAAUAAUAAUAAUAAUGAAAAAGAUAAAAGAACAGUAAAAUAAAAGGAUAUUUACUGGUAGUUGUGAUUGUGGCUCACAUCUUCCUCUGGUUUUACGUCCAGUAACGGCUUGAACGCCCUCUAUGGGUCGAGAAUAGGAUUCCCAUCCAGUUUUCUUAUAAAUUGGCAAAUAAGGUCUUUUAGAGUCAGAUUCCCAAGACUAAACUGUGCACUUUCCUUUUGGAACAACUUCCACAAAUUUUGAAUUUCACGUUAAACAUAUAUGCUCGGAUGCGUCUCAAGAGAUCGUAAGAUAUCAUCCAACGAUUCUUUACUCAUGCUAUCCUUAACGAAUUUGAUUUUAUCUUCACGAUUUACAGAAACCAUUCCUAAAGCUUUACAACGUGGAUUUUUGCAAGCAAGUCUUACACAAUGAGAACAUUCAGAGCCAAGUCGCUUAGCUCUUCUUUUUUUAGCAAAUGUACUUUUACCAAAACCAGGCAUGUAGGAACUGAAUGGAUCAGGAAACUCACCUGCCAAUCGGACCUUUGCUUCGAUUAACCACCGAAUGUCAGCAGGAAUCCCAUUGAUCAUUAACAAACGCAGUCAUUCACAACGAGCUUUAUAACUCUUCUUAAGAGUAUUUUGAGGGAGAGAAGGAAAACGUUGAUGCAAAUUUUGUUGUAUUUCUUCCAUGUUUGACAUUGAGGUUUCAGUUAUUGUGGUAAACUGAGAAUACCGACUUAAAAAGUCACGGAGUACUAUUAUCCGCCAUUUAUACAGGAGAGUGAAUCAAAACAAAACAAAUCAAAUCUGCAAAAUCAAAUCAAAAGUGAAAAAUAACAACAAAAUAAAACAAAAACACACAAGGAAUAUAACUCACCUUCGUCCUUUUAUUGAAUCCAGUUCUAAUUGCAGAUUAUAAAUACCAUCAUCUAUUUUCUUGAGUUGUCUUUCUAGAUCUUUCACGUCAGAUACUAACUCUGGUGGUUGCAGAUCCCGAAUGAGAUGUAAUUUACAAAAUCAGAGCAAUUUCCUUAGGUGAAAUUUUACAUGAAAAAGCGUUUUAAAAUGAUCGAAAAUGAAAUUUCUCAUGGAGGUACUCAUGAUAAGUAUAAAAAUUUGGUGAGCUAAAUCACAAUUGUCAAACAACACACAAUUAAAACAAUGCAAUGCACUCCAUUCAAGACAUAGGGAAAAGGGAAAAGAAAAAGAAAUCAAAUAAUUCAAACGAUAAAGUAACAGUAAAUCAAAUUCACAAAACGUUAAAAUGAACAGGCUUAAUCAAAAUUUUGGUGGGUCACUCAAAUGGAAUUCGGUAUCUGCUUUAUGUGGUUGGUAUUCCAGAUAUGGUUUCAAUAUUUGGCCAUUAACUUUAAAUGUGACACCAUCCUUUGGAUUCUCAAUUUCUACGGCUCCAUAUGGAUACACAUUUUUUACAACAAAUGAACCAUUCAACUUUGACUUUAACUUCCCUAGAAAGAAAUGAAGACGAGAAUUAUGAAGCAACACUUUUUGACCAAUUUCAAAUGUUUUCUGAAAAAUUCUUUUGUCAUGAAAAAUUUUGGUUCUUGCCUUAAUAAUUUUGGAAUUAUCAUAUGCAUCAUUCCUUAAUUCCUCAAGUUCAUUUAUUUGCAAUUUACGCACAUUGCCAACAUCAUCAAGAUUUGAAUUAAAAGCUUUAAUGGCCCAAAAUGAUUUAUGUUCAAGUUCUACUGGUAAGUGGCAAGAUUUUCCAUAAACAAGCCGAUAGGAUGACAUUCCUAAAGAUGUUUUAAAAGCAGUACUCUAUGCCCAAAGUGCAUCAAUUAGUCGAAGAGACCAAUCUAUACAGUUUGGAUUAACUGUUUUUUCUAAAAUUUGUUUUAUCUCCCUAUUUGCUAAUUCAACUUGACCACUUGUUUGAGGGUGAUAAAGGGUAGCAACCUUAUGUGUAAUUCCAUAUUUCUUCAUUAAAGACUCAAAUGGCUUAUUACAAAAAUGCUUACCUCCAUCACUGAUAAUGGCUUGAGGUAUUCAAAAUCUGCUCAAAAUAUUUUCUUCUAAAAAGCGGAUCACAAUCUUGUGAUCAUUGUGCCGACAAGGAAUCGUCUCGAUCUAUUUUGAAACAUAAUCAACAGCAACCAAAAUGUAUACAAAUCCAAAUGAUGAUGGGAAAAGACCCAUAAAAUCAAUUCCUCAACAAUUAAAUAUUUCAAUGACAAUGAUGGGGUUUAAAGGCAUCAUGUUCCGCUUUGAAAUAGACCCUAUCAUUUGAUAAUUCUUACACAUUUUACAGAAUGCAUGUGAAUCUUUAAAUAAUGUAGGCCAAUAAAAUCCACACUGCAAUAUUUUGCAGCUAUCUUUUUUGAAGAAAAAUUGCCACCGCGUGCUUCAGAAUGACAAAAUUGAAUGACCCUACUUACCUCGUCGUCUGGUAUGCAUCUUUGAAAAAUUUGAUCGAAGCAGUACUUGAACAGGUAUGGCUCAUCCCAGUAAAAGCUUUUUACUUCAGUUAAGAAUUUCUUCUUGUCUUGGGAACUCCAGUCACAUGGCAUUUCACUUGUUGUAGGAUAAUUAACAAUAUUAGCAUACCAAGGCAUUUUGUUUAUAGAAAACAAAAAUUCAUCAGGGAAAGAAUCAUUGAUGGGUGUUGUUUCAAUUGAAGACUCAUUUGUAAGUCUUGAAAGAUGAUCUGCAACAACAUUUUCAGCGCCCUUUUUGUCUUUGAUUGUCAAAUUAAAUUCUUGAAGUAGCAAAAUCCAUCGUAUUAACCUUGGUUUGGCAUCCUGUUUUGACAUUAAAUAUCUCACAGCAGCAUGAUCAGAAUAAACAACAGUACAUGAACCAAUUAAAUACGAACGAAAUUUAUCCAAUGCAAAUAUUACAGCAAGUAGUUCUUUCUCAGUUGUAGUGUAAUUCAUUUGAGCAGUAUUCAAAGUUCUACUUGCAUAAUAGAUGACAAAGGGCUUACCUUCCUUUCUUUGACCCAGAACAACGCCAAUGGCAUAAUCACUAGCAUCACACAUUAGCUCAAAAGGUAAAGACCAAUCAGGGGGUUGCAUUAUUGGGGCUGAUGUCAAAAAACUAAUUAUCUUUUCACAAGCUUGUUGACAAUCUUUAGUCCAUUCAAAUUGUGUGUCUUUUAUUAGGAGGUUACAAAUUGGUCUAGAUAAGGCACUAAAAUCUUUUAUAAACCUCCUAUAAAAUACUGCAUGUCCUAAAAAAAGGGACUUCUCUAAUUGUCUUUGGUGAGGGUAAUUUUGAAAUGACUUCAACUUUGGCUUUAUCAACUUCGAUUCCUUUUAAAGACACAAUAUGGCCUAAGACAAUUCCAGAAGUGGUCAUGAAAUGACAUUUUUCCCAAUUUAAAACGAGUCCUUUUUCUUUGCACCUUUCCAAAACUUUUUCUAGAUUAUCAAGACAUGUAUCAAAAGAAUUACCAAAUACAGUUAAAUCAUCCAUAAAAACCUCUAGACAAUUUUUAACCAUGUCACUAAAAAUGCUUAGCAUGCACCUUUGAAAUGUUGCAGGAGCAUUACAAAGUCCAAAGGGCAUUCUCCUAAAUGCAAAUGUUCAAAAUGGGCAUGUGGAUGUGGUCUUUUCCUGGUCUUCUAAGGCUAUAGGGAUUUGAUAAUAGCGAGAGUAGCCAUCAAGAAAGCAGUAGUAAGGAUGUCCAGCUACUCUUUCGAGAAUUUGGUCUAGAAAUAGAAGAGGAAAAUGAACUUUUCUAGUGGCAUCAUUUAAUUUUCUGUAAUCAAUGCACAUGCGCCAACUAGAUGGAAUUCGUGUUGGGAUUGAUUCACCUUUUUCAUUUUUUACAACAGUUAGUCCAGAUUGUUUUGGUACUACUUGUGUUGGACUUAUUGAUUUACUAUUAGAGAUAGGGUAGAUAAUUCCUACAUCUAGUAGUUUAAGGACCUCAUUUUUUACCACUUCUUUCAUAUGAGGGUUUAGUCUUCUCUGUGGUUGACGGGUUGUUUUGGCAUUUUCCUCUAAGUGUAUUCGGUGUGUGCAAAUUAAAGGAUUAAUGCCUUUUAUGUCUUUUAAGGUCCAACCAAGUGCAAUUUUAUGCCUUUUUAGUACAGAUAACUUACCCUCUUGAUCAUGUGUGAGUUGAGAAGAAAUUACCACCGGAUAUGUCUGCUGCUCUUCUAGAUAGGCAUACUUCAAUUCUUCUGGUAAGAGCUUUAAUUCGAGCUCUGGUGCUUCCUCUUCGUUUGCUUCUUUAUGUUGUAUUGUAUCUUCAAAGUUCGAUUGGUCAUCGUCACCUAUAGGUACCUGCAUAGAAUCAAGUGUAGGACAUAUGUUAGCAGUAUCAAAAUCUAAUUCCUUACUUGAUUCAACCGAACCAGCAAAAAAAAAAUUUCCGCAGAGUUUGUAAAAUUCUCAUCCUGAAUGUGUUCCUCAAUGAUUGGGUCGAUGAGAUCAAUUUCAUCAUUCUCAUUAUCAUCAUCUUCUUGGUGGUGAGGUUGUUUACACAUGUUGAACACAUUGAGUUCCAGUGUCAUGUGGCCAAAAGAUAAAUUCAUUAAUCCAUUCCUGCAAUUUAUCAAAGCAUUAGCAGUAGCUAAAAAUGGUCGACCCAAUAUAACAGGAAUUUGUUUGCAUUCAUUAGCAAUUGGUUCAAUUUCCAAAAUAAUAAAAUCCACAGGAUAUAUGAAUUUAUCAGCAAGUAAAAGAGUGAUAGAAGUUGGUUUUAACUUACCGAGAUUGAGUUGUUGGUACACUGAGUAAGGAAGUAAAUUAACACUGGCACCAAGAUAAAGUAAAUCAUGUCCAAUUUUAUGAUCCCCAAUAGUGCAAGAAAUAGUUGGACAACCAGGAUCCUUGUAUUUCAAAGCACUAUUGGUUGAGAGAAUGGAACUUACCUGUUCUGCUAGAAAAGCUCUCUUUUGCACCUUAUGUUUCCUUUUCACCGUGCACAGAUCUUUCAGAAAUUUAGCAUAGGACGGCACCUGGUUAAUGACAUCCAGCAGAGGAAUGUUGACCUUUAGUUGUUUAAAAACUUUAUAAAUUUCGGUUUCAUUUCUUUGGCUUGAUCAGUGCUUGAGGAAAUUGGGUUACAAGAGGAGAGUUGAUUAUUUCUUCAUGGGUUAAAGGUUCGACAACCUCUUCUCUAUUUUCUGAAAUUGAAUCUUUACUAGUUUCACGAGGGUCCACAAUGUGUUUUUCAACUACUUUACCGCCACGAAGGGUUAUAACCGAUUUGACUUGACUCAUAUUUUGGUUUCCUGAAUUUCCCAUUUUAGGAUGUUGUUGACUUUUGGGGUUUGGUUUAGGUUGAGUAGGAAACUUUCCUUUUUCAUGUAUGGUCAGAGCAGAUGUAAGUUUGGAGAUAAUUUCUGUCAAAUUGCUUAAGGUUUGCAUCUUUUGGUUAUUGAUUGACUCUUGUUUUUUAAUAAACAAAUACAAUGUGUCUUUCAGAGUUUUUCUUGGUGGUGGGACAUAUGGUGGGUAACUUUGGGAGUUUUGGAAAUUUUGACAUGGAGGGGCUGGUUGUGAAGGUUGUGCAUGAUUGUCAUUUCUGCAACUGAAAUUUGGGUGGUUUCUCCAACUAGAGUUGUAAGUUUGGGAGUAUGAAUUUGGAUUUGGCCUUUUGAAAUUGUCAACGACAUUUACUUGUUCAUGCAGACUUUCUCUCAGGGCUGGUAAAGUUGGACAGUUCUGCGUAGAAUGGUCAGUAGAAUCGCAAACAUAACAUGAAAUAUUUUGAACAGACUUUACAUGAUCAUUCUUUUUCGACUAUAAUGCUUCGACUUUUCUAGCUAAUGGUGCAAAUUUGGCUUGAAAAUCAUGGUCUUCCCUAAGGUUAUGCAUGCCUCCACCAGAUGGAGAUGACUGGGGUUUACUUGAUGACUCAUAAGAACCAACUGUAUCCCAGUGUUAAUAAAAAUUGAAAGCAAUAAAUUAAAUAAAAGUACAAGAACAAAUGAGUAAGAGAGAAGAGAAACAAACACACGAAAUUUUACAUGGUUCGGCAAUCCCCACCUACGUCCAUGCCUCCAAGCGAUCCAAUCUUGAGGAUUUCACUAUCCGAGCCUUUCCAAGGCUUCAACCGUUUACAAUUGACUUCAAGGCGUCAAUGAACCUUUACAACAAAGAGAUUAUCUCCCAAUCUCUUCACUCAAGUGUCUUACACACUCAAACUUUUACAAUUAAGAUGAAGAAAUGGAAGUUACAAUAAAACUCACUCAAAGAGUAGAUAUUCAAAAAUGAAGAACAAGAAAUGAUUCAAUGUUUUGUGAUUUACAAAUUGAAAGCUCAAGAUAUCUCGUGUGCUUUUUGUUUAUGCUUGGUGGAGAGCUUGAAAAUGAGUUGGAUUUGAGUUUAUAUAGUUUAAGCUAAAAAACUAGCCGUUAUGCAUAUUUUGGUCGUAACCGGCUUGCUUGCCAUUUAGGAAUCCGGUAAGCUACUUUUAUGUUACUGUUAAGGCAAAAAUUUGAAUUUCAGAAUAUCCGGCUUGCCGCUUUUCAUAUCCGGCAAGCCGCUUUUGAAAUCCGAAUUGCCGCUAGUGAAAUUCGAUAAGCCAUUUAUGCUCCAGAAGCUUACUGCCAAAAAUCUGGUUUGCCAUUUACCAUAUCCGGUAAGCCGCUUGCUACAGUGACUACUACAAUGAAAUAUUUUCCAAAUUUACAGUUUAACCUAAAAUUUUAUAAAACUAUAUUAUGGCCCAAAAUGUUAUGAAAGUUUACAAAUAGGUCCAAUUUCAUAAUUUUAAAUAAUGCUUUGUCAAUCCCAAAACUUUAUGAAAUUAUGAUUUCGCCCAAACUAUGUAAAAUUAUAGAAUGACCCAAAAAUAUUUAAAUAGUUUCAAAUAGGUCCAAAUCUAACAUUUAAAACAUUAUCAAAGAUUUUAAAAUACUUUCAUUUUAGUCCAAAAUACUUUAAUUCCAUAACAUCAUUUUCUUAUUAUAAAAGCACAAUUCCUAAAUCUUUGCUUCAUCAAUACAUGUGGUUUGUUAUCAUCAAAAUGAAUAUUUAUAGCCAUAUAGGCUAACAGAUUUGUCUUUUGAAAGAAUUUGUUCUGUGGGGUGGGAAGAAUUUUUUCAAAAAUUGUGCUUGCAUUUCAUCCCAAGUUCUGAUGGAUUUUGACCUAAGAUUUUGUAGCCAAGUUUUAGCUUUAUCCUUUAGUGAGAAAGGAAAAAACUUAAGCUUGAUUAUAUUCAUGCUACAAUUUUGAUCAGUACAGAUGUUACAGACUUCCUCAAAGUCCCUUAUAUGCAAAUAUGGAUUUUCAAACUCAAAACCAUGAAAAGUAGGAAGAAAUUAAAUGAUACCAGGUUUGAAAUUAAAACAUGAUGCAUCAGGAGGGAAAACUAUGCAUGAUGGUGACCCUGUUCUAGUAGGAUGCAUGAAAUCUCUAAGGGUCCUAGGUUGGUCAUGAAGAUUUUGCAAGGCUUGAUCAUUUUCGUGCUCCGAAAAAUUUUCAGCUCCUAUGUCAGCCAUAUUUAAGGGUGGUGAUGGUGAUUUUCUAAUUAAUCUACCACUAUUUGUACGAGACCAAUGACGCAUGCAAUGCUAAUGAUGUGUGCUAAACUAAUGAUGCAAAAACGCUAAAUGAAAAUUGCAGAAAUAAAAAUAAACUGGAAAUUAAAUAAGCAAAAAAAAUACGAAAUAAAAAUAAACAAACUGAAAAAUAAAUAAAUAAAUUAGGCGGUGAAACCAGCCAUUAAAAGAAACAGUUUAGGCGGUAUUUUAAAACCAGCCAUAUGAUAAAACAUAAAAUUAAAUAAAUUAAUGCACAAAAAUAAAUAAACUGAAAUUAAAAUGCUAGGCGGUGGAACCGACCAUAUAAAUAAAAAUACAUAAAUUAACAAAAUUUAAAUAACAAUCAAGCGGCAGAACCAACCAUUUAAAAUAAAUGCGAAAAGUAAAUUAAAGAAAUUUAAAUAAAUAAAUUUAAUUUGGGGACUGAUUUGCAAAGGUUUUUGGGCUAAGAUGAAGUUUCUCACAAAUUUUAUAGAUAAUGUUAAGGUUUGAAAAGAAGAGGGGUGCUAACUGAAGUUUUACAAAAAGAGAAUAAAAUAGAAUCACAAAAAGAUUGUAACGACAAAACAAACAAAAAUAAAUUAAAAUAAAAUAAAAAUAAAGUAAAGACAAACAAAUACCAAAUUUAGAAAACUCUCCGGCAACGGCGCCAAAAACUUGACACGACUCAAAAGUAUGUUACUCUCAAGUAUAAGAGCGUCUAGUAAUAAUAUAACCCGGUGAGACCAGGGUCAAACCACAGGGAGUUUUAAAUCUAGUAAAACUAAGAAAAUUAAUUGUGGGGAAAAGAAAUUAUUUGAAAUCAAUUUAAAAAUAAGCUAAGGUUUAGGAUCUACUCUCUGUAUUCAAACUAUAAUUUUAAUACUCUCUCAUUUAUAUUUUGCCUCACUUUUACCAAUUAAUUAUUAUAUCAUUUAAUUCUAUGUGUGUGGAUAAUUAUAGAAUAAAGUACCUAAUGUGCCACACUAUAUUAAUGUGUCGAUAUUAUGUCAAAAUACCAUAAAAUCCAGUGAGAUUUAUAAAUUAACAUGAUAUAAAAAUAAUUAGAAAAGAAUUAAAAAAAACUCAUUUGAGAAAAUAAUAAUAAUUAAUAGUUUGAAACAUUAAGCUUCACUCUUCACCUCAACUUAAUAAAAUUAGCUGCUCAUAUUGAAAGAAAACACAACACUCUUUUUAUUUGAUAAACUUUUUGAAAUAUAUUACAAAGAAAAUUGAUACAAACGGAAAUAAGAAAAGAAAAGAAAAGAAACAAAGAAAGAAAGAAAAUCUUCAGUCUCGGCUUCAGCUCUCAAAUUUUGCUCUCCAGCUUCCCCCCGCUCUUAAAUUUCUCCUCUUUUUUUAUAGGCAACAAUUGCCUUUAACUUUCUUUAUUUUAUUAUUUAUUUAUUAUUUUAUUAUUAUUUUAAAAUAUAUAAGUGUGUUGAAAUGUGUGAUGGUCAGGAGGUGUAAUGGCCUCCUGACCAUCACCAACAUGUUUUUGUUCUUUUGUUCUUUUUUUUAUUGAUUAUUUAUUAUUACAUCUCUUCAAUUUUGUUCCAGUAGCUCUUCUUUGUUCCCGCUUUCAAUUCCAAGUCCAUCUUUAUUCUUGAAAAAUAUUUACAAGAUAAAAAUUAACAAAUUACGAAUUAAUUUAACAUAAAAUAUAUUUGGAGAGUAUUAAAAUAAUUUAGAAAUAAUGAACGCAUUAAUCGACACAAUAAGUGAAAAACUAAUAACUUUUUAUUGUCAAUCACACCCCCAACCAGCUUAUUGUUAGGUCCUAGCAAUUUAAGCAAUAAAAGUUUAGUAAAAUUUCAAACUCAAAUUGAAAAUCACACCCUCUCAAAACAGUUCAGUAAAAUCCUGUAAAAUGAUCAAUCAUCAGAGCUACAUUAAUCAAGCCAAUUUUAAGAAUGAUACAUCAAACCCCAAAAUCUCACGAUUAAGAGUGACUCUCUCAAAAGAAGAUAUACCCCAAAUUAAUUUGUCACUCUAAAAAAAUGGUAAAUUUGAGAGAAUAAUAAAACAAUAUCACACGCUCUCACCAAGAUAAAAAAUAAUGCCCACAACUUAGAAAUAAAAUGAUCUCAAGUCCAAUAAAUUACUAGCAAAAUUUAUUUUUAUUUUUACUCAUCACCACAUCUUUUAGUCCAUAUUACCAGCUUUUAUCUAGAAGAAUACACAUGUAGCUUUGAAGAAUUACAUUAUAAAUGUGAAUUUGAUAAAGUUGAAAAUACCAUAUGCUAUUAUAAUGAUCAAUAUUUUAUAAAGAUACCAGAUCCAUGGGGGAAAACGAUUAUGUUAGAAUAUAACAAUGAAUAAAUUGAUACCCUAAGAAAUAGGAUCAGAUUUGCUCGAAAUAGAAUUACUGAACGGUAUGUUGAAAUAAGAGUUAAGAGACUUUGGUAAAGUCCCCAUAGUUCAGCUUCCAUAAUGGAACAACUACCCAAAUUCAUGUUAAAACCGCAAACCCAUUCCCUACAAUAAUUCCUCACCAAGCCACCAGCAUUAGCCAAUCCCGAUCUCUUUAAAGCCCCAUCAGUAUUGAGCUUGAAGAACGACCACUUUGGGGGCAGCCAAUAGAUCCAUCUUUUAGUUUUUGGAACUCUCUGACUAUCUAAAGACUUUAUAAGCAGCGAUGCUUUUUUCCGUGCAAUUGUUCACAUCCACAAUUGCGUUGUGAAGGCUGCUUGAUUUGUGAGCAUAAACGAACUCAUUGUGCCAAUAUCACAUGCGCCAGACAUGACGUCAAAUAACAUUGACCUAUCCUUCUCAUUAGAGAUCCUCAAGUGGUUUUUCAUAUUAUAAACAAUCCAUGCAUGAACAUCCAAUGUAAAACAGGUAUGACUUGUGUGUUUCGAAAUAAGGGCUAACCAAAUGCACAUAGAGUCAACAUAAUCCCCAACUGCAUGGAGAACAUCCUCUAUGAUAUGCCCACGCCGCAUGCAAGUACUAUCAUUAAGCACAUGUCUUCGCGAUAAUUUAGCAUUAUUUUUCAAUCUAUUAUGCAUCAGCAGCCAAAGAAAGCACUGAAUGCUUUAGGGGCCUCUCCAUCUCCAAAUCAAAACCCAAAGGGAAUUAUUUUCAUUUAGCAUCGGUCUAAAGAGGGAUAAAUAAGCUGACCUCAUGCUAAACGAACCAGACCGCGAUGGACCCCAAUAACAACAGUCAACUUCAUCGCUAACAGAAGGGGGCAUAAUGCUUGCUAUUUUGAGAAUUAUAUGGUGGGGUAGAAAAGAAGCAAAACAAUCCCAGUUCCAAGCACCAUUAUUAUCGAUAAAAUUAGCUACACACUCAUUUAAUAUGUUUUCAGUGAUUGUACCGAAAGUACAAGAUUGCAACCAACGCCCAUCCUCCAGCCAAUAAUCUUUCCAAAAUCUAGCCAACUUCCCAUUCCCAAUAGCCCAGCGAGUCACUUAGAGAACCUCAUUCCAUACGUUUCCCACGAAUUUUCAUAAAGGAGAACUAUAUCAAGUAGGACGUUUUAGAGGAAGGUUUUUUUUAUCAACGCCAUAUUUAAACAUCAAUACUUGAAUCUAGAAGCUGUGGGGUGAUUCAAUAUGACCCUAACCAAUUUUCAUUAGCAAGGCUUUAUUCAUGAGAUUAAGAUCUUUAAGGCCAAGGCCCCCACAUAAAUUAAGGAGUUGUACUCUAUCCCCUUAAUAAGGUGUAUGCGAUGAGUCUCAUCAAUCUCGUUCUAGAUAAAAUGCUUGCAAAUCUGAUCAAUUUUACUACGAAUACUUAGAGGUAGCAUGAAGGUGUGCAUGGAAUAGGUUGGGAGAGCCAUAAUGAUCGACCGUUAAUGUUAUCGGACCUACAAGAGAAAGAUGUUUGGUUGUCCAACCUGGAAGUCUCUGUAGUGCUAAUGGUGGUCAAGGAUAAGGUACCAGUUUCAGUGGGAGACAUUGAGUUUGCAUGAGAAAUCUGGGAGAUUUCAUAGAGAAUGUAUGAGUUAGUAACAAUGGUAAACAUGAUUAAACGCGUGAACUAACAUAAAAUGAAAUACAAAAACUAAAUGAUAAAGCACGAGUUUUGAAAAAAGUUUAUUCUUCAAUCCACCAUCAAUUAAACAGAAGCAAGCCACUGUCAUUCUAAGUAAAAAAACAUAACAAAACCACCUAUAUAGGAAUAAUUUUUCAAUAUAGGAAUCUUGAACUUUUCAUGAAAAAAAUCAGUUUACAAUAUUAUAGGUACGUGAAAAAUAAAGUUUAUAACAUUGUAAAUCAGAUCACCAGCUAGAAUCUAACUCCACCUACAUGGUUUAGUAAACAACUAUAACAUUGCAUCCAACAAUGGCGUCACCAGAUUUAAAAUCCGCUCGAUGCAUUUGAGCAAUUGCAUAUCCACCAAUCAAUAGGAACUUGCCAGUGUCGCCGACGAUGGGCAUCUUACGGACAGGAACAAUCGACCUGUUGUUGCCAAGGAGGCUGAUAUAGCUACCAUUAUUAGGACCAUCAACGAACACAAAGCUCAUGGACAUGAUGAUAGCUAGUUGAUGCUGACAAGCCGACCCGUAAAGCCCUUGAGCACGACCAACAAACUUUGAUUGAGGACUAGUAGUUUCUAUCGACGAAUCAUUUGCCAAAUCACAACGCAGAAACGAGUUGGUGACUUGUAAGUAUCAGUGGCUUGAGCAAUGCUUUUUGCCACUACGUUUUUUUUGUUGUCUCUUUUGCGAAAUCAAGCCCCGUAGCCAAAGUCUCUCUGAUCGUAUUGAUGUUGCUGCCACCGGGCAAAUGAUGAGCAACAAAAAAACUACUUAAAACAUUACAGUAACUUUAAAACAAGGCAUGAAAUUAAAAGGAAGAGAAUAGAUGAUGCACUUUUGAAGGUAGAAAAGAAGGAUGAUUCAAGAUUCAUUUCAAAAUUUUUUGAAGUGUUUUGAUCAGUGAAUAUCCAAAGGUUGCUUAACUACAAAGGUGAAGUGGGAAGAAAUUUUGACAUUUUGUUACAUUGAGCUAGGCAGCGAAUGUAUAUGAGGGGCUUCACUUGUACACAUAAAAAAGGAAGAUUAAUUACUCGUGGUUUUUUAUUAAGAAAAAAAUGGCUUGCUUAAAAUAUAGAGUGUGGUUAAUUUCAUUGAAGGACAUGAUUCAAAGGAAAAGAAAAAGAAAUCUAAUAAUAAACUAAACAAAAAAUAAUGGCAAAAACAAUAUAUUUAAUUAAAUGUACAUUGAAAUUACCUUUAUAAUGCAACAAGAUAUUAAAAUCAAUAGUUUACGUUAAUAAAUGAAGCGUAAUUUAUUUAAUACUUAUUUAUGGACUCUUUCAAUUCCAUUAAAGCCACUGCAAGUCGUUUUUCAAUAUUCACUCAGAUAAAUAGAGGCUCAUGCCUUUCUGAUUCUUCCACAUCUCUUUCAAUUCUAAUUAACCCGUUUGCAAUUCUCUUAAGAAAUUCAAAAAUGUCGAAGAGUCUUACUUUCAUCAUUUUGGCUUUGCUUGUAGUGGCAAACACUAAAAACAUGCUUAUUUCAGCCAGUAGAACUAGCCAAGGAUCUAAGCCAGAGGCUUUAUUUUCUAUUAACCCUAUAGCAUCACCUGACAUUGUUGAUUGCUCAGGGCUCACAAGUGAAGAGUGUUUGAUCGAGUUGAUUAAGAAAGCACUUGUAGACUAUCGAUACCCCUGCCCUGAGGGGGGGUGCAAAUGACAUUGUUAAUAAGUUAUUUCUUUUACCUUGUAAGAGUGCUUUUGCAAUAAUGAUCAAUUACAGUGAAUUUGAAUUUGUGUUUUUAAUAAAAUAAAACAUUAAUCCAUUAUGCAUAGGUAAUAUUAUGUCAUAUGUUUUUGGUGUGUGUAUCUCCUACUGCUUUGUUAUAGAUGCAUCGUCGAAUCAAUCUUCGAGAAAUCAGUUUCUUUAAAUAAUAGCAAUUAUCAACCAAUCAACAUUACUAUGUUGGUACCAUUUGUAAUAUUUAAAUUUUAAGUCUAUCUACUUUUAGGGUGAGAUUAUUGAUUCCUAAGAAAAAUAAUAAAAUAAACCCUCAUUAUCGAAAUCCUAUAUUACUAAGCUGUCCGAUUUAAUUUAAUGUUAAACUUUAAUUUAACCCCUGAAAAUGUCUAGACUUACCUACAUUUAUUGCUAAGAAUAUGAUUUAAAAGUUCAUCAAUGUGCACCUCAUUUAUGCUCAUCUUUUGAAGAACAAAUAGGGUGGAUUGAGAUUUUCAUGCUUUUGGAGGGUAAAUUAAAGAUAGUUAUUAGGAGGGAACGAAUUGAAGUUUGUUUUUAAAUGCAAAGAUGUAUUCUUUUAGUUUAUUUGAGAUAGUUCGUUUGACUUUAAUUUAACAUAUGUUUUUGUAAUUGAAAUAUAGAUACUUCUUUAUUUUUGUUUUUAAGCUGAGUAAUAUAAUAUUUAUAUUUAAUUGAUCACUUAAAAAAUGUUUAUGCAUUAAUAUGUUAAUUUUUCGCGCCUUGGAAGGUAAUAAUUUUUUUUUAUAAAAAAAUAAUGCAAGCAACAGUAAGAAUUAAGAUUAAUCAUAUAAUGAUGCAAACUAUGGACAUACUAAUAAGUUGGUACACGGAAUCUUAAUCAAUGAUGUCUGGUUUCAGCUUUCCUUGUUUUUUCUUUCUUCGGUAAUGCUCUUAAGAUGUUAUGAAUUAAACAAAUAUAUGUUCCCAAUUAUGCACUCUUAUCAUAUAAGGAGCAUCAUAAACAGAGGAAAAACAAUUUCAAGUUUGGUGACCAAAAAGACUUGAAACAAUGCCUAAUGUCUUUGAAAGAAGUAGGGGAUUCAACAUAACUGUGUGGACUGAAUAGAGAAGUAGUAGCAAAUAGAACACUCAACAUAAAAGGCACCGAACAAAAUACAGUUAAAAGGCUGUUACAAGUGAAUAAAAGUUACAGAUUUUAUUUUGAAAUUAAAUUCUAAAAAUAAAUUUAAGAGUUAGUGUUUCAUUUUAUGGAUGUAAAUGCCCUUCUCCAAUUUCAUUUUAAAAACAUACCAAAAUCCAAGUAAUUUUUUUGCUCUCCUCUCUCAACUAAAAUCUUUCUAUCUUAGACUUCACGUGAUGGAGUUCCAACACUAGUUUGAAGUUCGCAAGAGUAGUGAGGUUAUGUUGCCGAGAACAUUUGACUUUAUAAUAUCCUAAGGGACAUUUGCUAAUAUAACCUAAGUACUACUGAGAAAAUGACAAAUCCUUUUUAAGGACAUUGUAACUGCACAUGCCUCAAUUUAAUUUAUGUUCUUCUCUUUCUUAUUGAUCUGUACUAGAGAAAUUAUCUCUACACCAACUCUGUUUUAUCAUAUGUACAUCUAGAUACUACAAAAUUUUAACAUGUUCUUUGCACUACCAUCAUUUCUGAACUUGUAUUAAUCGACUAAUUUGACAAUAAUAAUUAAAAUAAAAUGACCAUUUUACCCCUAAGUGAUCUAAAAGACCAUUUUAUCCCACGAAAUUUUUAAUUAAAAAACUAUGAUUACCAUUUAACUAAUUGAUAAAAUAUUAUUGAAAAAUCAACCUGCGCGUACUAUUUAACUAAUGGAUAAAAUAUUAUUGAUUUUUUCAAUUCUUUUGACCUAAAAAAUGUGUAAUUCCCAUCUUAAAUAUUUUCCUUUUUUUUUUAUCAAUUGUACAGUCACAAUUAUAAGACAAUUUUCAUUUUUUAAAUUAAUCACCAAAAUAACAAUAGUUUGAAUCAAUUUUGAAUAAUAAAAAUUAUAAAUUGGAAAAUGUAUCGAGUAAAAAUUAUAAUUAUAAAAAUUAACAUCGCAGAUUUUGAGAUUUUUUUUAUUAAAAUCAAAGGUAAUCUCAUAACUAUAAUUUUUUUUUUCAAAAAUUUUGUAGGAUAAAAUAGUCUUUCAUUUCAUUCAAGAAUAAAAUGGUCAUUUUAUUUCAUUUCUUAGUGUGAAAGUAGUUCACUGAAAAAACUUUAGAAACAAAGUGGUGAAAGAACAAGUUAAAAAUUUGUGGUAGUUAGAUAUAUGUAUGACAAAACAGUGGUGGUGCAGAGAUAAUUUCCCUUCAUACAAGGUUAUUAAAAAAUUUUGUUUCAAUAAACUCAUGACAAGUGUGUAGCUAGCUUACUAGUAAACUUAGGCACUCUUAGAAAGAUUCUAAAGCAAAAGUAAUGCCUGAAAAAUCUAGAUUUAAGUAAGGCCAUUUGUGACCCUUUUAGUCUUUUCUAAGAACUCAACUGGUAUAUUUUUUCAUACACUAUGGAUUGUUUUAUGUCAUUUAUUAGCAAUAAUUUUCAACAUAUAUUCCCAAACUUUACCAUUUUAUAGCUUGAAGUUCAUAGGGCUUUGGAAUUAGAUCAUUUACAAAAAUCUUUACAAGGUGAUAAUGAUACGGAGAGAAUAUGUAAAUUUUAAGUCAGCCAGUAUGAGGGCGCCUUCAACUUAAUUGGGGUCUUCACUUUUAAGGCACUACCAGGGUGGCCAUUGCCCUCAUUGCUUAUGUACCUUAACUUCAUAUAGAUUUUUACUUUUUUUCGAUCCCUUUUUUGGAGCACAAGUAGAUUGUCGAUUAAUGCCAAACGCACAAGAAUGUGGUCAAAUGCCUAGAUUAGGGAAAAAUAAUGAAAUUUAAAGUAAUACACCAGACUGCUGAUGUAUUAACAUUAUAUUGAAAUUCAAUAUUUGGCUACCAACAAGCACAUAUUAUAUAUAAAGAAUUAAACACACAAAUAAACAUAAAAUGAAAUACUUAAAUAAAAUGAUAGAGUGCAUGUUUUGGAAAAGUUUAUUCCUCAAUCCACCACUAAUUAAAUAGAAGCAAGUCACUGUCAUUCUAUGUAAACAUACAUAACUAAUCGCCUACUUAGGAAUAAUAUUUUGAUUUGGGAAUCUUGAAUUUUUCAUUAAAAAAUCAGUUUACAAUAUUAUAAGUACAUGAAAAAGAAAGUGUAUCUUGUAUGAGAGUUUUUUGCAUUACCGAUCAAUUGCAAUGAAAUCGAAGCUGCGUUUUAAUAAAAAGAAGAAAUGGAUCACACAUACAUAGUUCAUACUUCUAAAUGUUGGAUUAAAAUUUAUUAAAACACAACACGGGCAAAGUCACUAGCAAAUAAGAAAGAAUAGCAAAGUCAUUCUUAGGGAAUAUAUUGAAUAUCACUCUAGAUAUGUUAGAGUAGUAAACUUCACUCUGUAUUUUAUUAGAAGUAAUAGGACCAUUUGGUCCAUAUAUUGAAGAUGUAUCUACCUACAAAAGCAUAGUUAAUGGCCAACAAUAUCUCAUCUUAACCACACCAGAGAUAUCAUUUACAAUGUAUAAGCUAAAUUAGUAUAUGGCUGCUCCUACACUUCAACAACUAAUGGCUUGUAAACGAGUGUUAAGGUACUUAAAGGAACUGGAAGAUAUGGAUGAAACUAAUUGGAUUCACAGAUACAAAGUAGGCAUGUGAUUUGGAUGACAAAAAAUCGAUUGGAGUUUACUACAUAUACUUGGGAAACAAUUUAAUACAUGGUCAUCAAAAAAGCAAUCUAUGGUAGCAAGGUCCAGUGCAGAAAGUGAAUAUAGAGCACUUACAGAAUUAACUUGGUUGCAAUCAUUAUUCAGUGAAAUCGGAAUACAAUGUACAUUAGUUCCAUCAAUUUGGUGUGAUAAUGCAAGUGCCACUGAAUUAUCCAAGAAUCCAAUCUAUCACUCAAGAACUAAACAUAUUGAGUUGGAUAUGCAUGUUGAGUGUUAGAAAAUGCAUAUUUAUAAAGGAGAAAACCGUCAUUUUACAUUUUAAGUCUUACUAACAACCCUUACUUUUAUAUAUUUAACCUUCUUGUGAUUUAAUUACAUGUGUUUUAUUUUAAUUAAGUAUUUUAUGUAUUUUAGGGGCAUUAUAGUCAUUUCACAAUAAAGGAGAGAUCAGACGGCAAAACGGACAUCACUUUUGAACUCAGGACGGUCGAAAACCUUAGGAGGAGCAUAAAAGGAAAAAUGGCACUAUUCACAUGUACGGUACUAUUCACGUGUACGGUACUGUAUACGUUACUGUUCACGACACUGUUCACAUAGACGGAUGAUGACGUGGCAUUGACCGAUGAUGUGGCAUUGACUGAUGAGGUGUCACGAUCCUGUUGGACUAAAAUUCUUAUGUACUGUUGAUGGUGACGUGGCAGCAUAUCAGUGGACGAAAAAUCUCGCGUACGGUGCAUGCAUCACACAGGAUUAUUUUCAACCAAACCGCGUUACUGUUCAUCCGGGUCAAACCGUGUUACUGUUCAUCCACGUGGUCAAACUGUGGACUGUUGACUGAUGACGUGGCGCAAUCCUGAGCGUCUAAACUGUUUUUAAUCCGAUGGCCAUGAUUUACUCCAUGUAUCUAUAAAAAGGGGGCCUCCCCCCCCUAAUUUGAUAUCUCUGAAUCCAUUUUUGGACUCUGUUUUCUGUAAUUCCCUCUCCAUCUUGUAUUUUCUUCGUAUUUUAAUAAAUUCCUAUUUUGCCCCUAGUUCAAUUAUGAGUGGCUAAUUUUCUUUCAAGCUUGGGUUGAAGGUGAAGUCUCAACAUGUGUCAUGGGCUUAAUUUGGUAAAUUUAUUUUCUCUUCCCCUCUAGUUUUUGUGGAUGUUUUGACUUCUCGUCGACAAAUAAUACUAAUCUUGUCUAGUACCGCCUUGGUUUCACCGGCCCUCUAGUAUAAGGUUAUUAUUAUUUGGCACGAUAAGCCCUUAGCACCAUAUUGAUUAGAGCGUGGUUCAUGAGGUGUGGAUUCCCCCCUCAUGAUUUAAUUGGCAUUAAUAAGGAAUAUUUAGCCCAUGAUGCAUGUUGAUGCGGAUCCGAAUACCCAAGUACGUCAUUUCAAUAGAAUUAUCUUCAAUCUAUUCUUGCCAUUGCAAGUCAAAUUUUAGAAUUUAUUAUCGCCAUUUCAAUUCCAAUUUUAGAAUAAUUUAAAUCACUUCCACCACAAUUCCAACCACCCAUUUACAAAAUUAAUUCUACAUAUAAUUAAAAUCCACCUCCUCGUGGGAUCGACACUCGUCACCAUUGAUCUACACUACAAUAGAUUCGUGCGCUUGCGAGUACAUUAAAAUUUGCACAACAAGUUUUUGGCGCCGUUGCCGGGGAGGUAAGUAAUUUUAAUUCAUAGAAUUAAUUUUUGUGAAUAAUUUCUUUUAUUUGUUUUCUUGUAUUUUUUUUAUUAUUAAAAAAAAAAGAAAAAAAAAGUGAAUCUACAUUUAAAGGUUAGUAUUUCUUUUCUUUUUCUCUUCUUUAAAAUUUUGUAAUUUAAUUUUCCAUUUAUUUUUCUUUGUAAUUUUUUUUUAUCUUAUUAAUUUAAUUUUUAGUUAAUUUCUUUCACGUAUUUAUUUUUGUGUAUUUUUAUAGAAAGGUUGUAAUAGCGCAAUAAGGUUAGUAUCGUAAUUUCUCCCUCUUCUUUAUUUUUAUUUGUUUUGUUCCCAUCUUUAUUUUUUGUUUUGUUUGCAUCUUUAUUUUUAUUUUAUUUAUUUUGCAUGCAUGGUCGUAGGUCAUUAUUACCUAAUCUUGAACCUAUAGACCUUGAAUUAGAAAAAACACUUCGCACACACAAACACGUUAAAAAUAAAAUGGAUUUACAAGCACCACAGGAGAGGCCAUUUAAGGACUAUUUUAGUCCCUUAGCUAAUUUGAGCACGUCAUGCAUAAGAUACCCAAAUGUAGCUGCUAGGAGUUUUGAAUUAAAACCUAGUGUGUUAAAUUGUCUCCCUACAUUUUAUGGCCUAGAAAAUGAGGAUCCAUAUAAUCAUUUGAAUGAUUUUCAUGCCAUUUGUCAAACAUUCAAAUAUGAGAAUUUUUCAGAUGAUGAUGUUAAACUUAGACUAUUCCCAUUUUCUUUAAAAGAUAGAGCUCGUUCAUGGCUUAAUACAUUGCCUGCUAAUAGAAUUGCAUCAUGGGAACAAAUGGUUACAAAAUUUUUAAAUAAAUAUUUCCCAGUGCAUAAAACCAAUGCUAUUCGCAGGGAAAUCUCGGAGUUUACCCAGAAAGAUGACGAGCAAUUUUUCGAAACAUGGGAGCGAUUCAAUGGGCUACUCUUGAAGUGUCCACAUCAUGAGUACGAGAAAUGGCACCAAUGCCAAUACUUUUUGGAAGGAUUAUUGCCGAAUGUGCAAGAAUGGCUAAUGGCAACGAGUGGAGGAGAGCUAAUGUCAAAAAGUGCAUCAGAGAUUUGGGAAUUCUUCCAGCGACAAGCAGAUAAUUCCCAACAACGGAGUCGAUCACUCAAGACUACUAGAAGAAUUAAAGGAGUGAAUGAGGUUCAAAUUGGCGAAUCAAGUUCAGAAAUUAAAGAAGUCAAAGCGAUAAUUGAAGGUCUCUCUCGACAAAUAGCAUCAUUAUCGACUGCUAAAUCAACAGAGCCACAUGACCAUGACUCAUACUCAGAUCAAGCCAAUGCCAUAGGUGUAAUGAGAAAGCUAUCAAAUUACAACCCAUACUCCAACACAUAUAACCCUGGAUGGAGAGACCACCCCAAUUUUUCAUGGUCUCAAGGAUUCCAACAGAAUGGACCAACAGCUCCAGCUCCACCAAUUCCACAAAAUCCUCAAGCCUCUCAGCCACCAUUUAGACCAUACAAUCAGAACCAGAACCACUCUCAACCUAGACCAUGGGAGGAUACAUUCCAGAAUUUUAGGAAUGUUACUCACUCCACGAUUGAGCAACAGAACCGCACCAUUGAUGGACUACGAAAUGAGUUGAGAGCAGGCUUCAAUUCACAAGCCCAAUCAGUUUCAAGCCUCGAGAAGAUGGUGGGACAACUUGCUUCUUCAGUUCAGACCUUGGCAAUGACCGUUGAGAAAGGUAAGUUUCCAAGUCAACCAGUGCCUAACCCUAAAGGAGUACAUGAAGCAAGUACCAGUUCACCACAGCAGCAUGGAGAGGUCAAAGCAGUAAUGACCUUGCGAAAAGGAAAGGAAGUCGACAACAAAGUGGAGAUGCCGGUGACAAAAGAAAAUCAAAUUGUACCUGUGAAUGUUGAGGACUCAUCACCGGAGGAGAAAGAAGAAACUAACCCACGAGAAUAUGUUCCGAAAGCUCCAUUUCCUCAGAGGUUAGCUAAAGGAAAAAAGGGAAAAUCCACAGGUGAGAUUCUUGAAAUCUUCAAACAGGUAAGUGUUAACAUCCCUUUGCUUGAUGCUAUUAAACAAGUUCCAUCUUAUGCCAAGUUUCUUAAAGACCUUUGUACUAAAAAGAGAAAUAUGCAUGUUCAAAAGAAGGCAUUUUUAACAGAAAACGUUAGUUCUAUACUCCAACAUAAAAUUCCUUUAAAAUGCAAAGACCCAGGCUCCCCCACUAUCUCAUGUAGUAUAGGGAACCACACAAUUGAGAAUGCUUUGUUGGAUUUAGGAGCUAGUGUAAAUCUUUUGCCUUACUCUGUAUUCGUGAAACUUGGACUGGGAGAAUUACACCCAACUCCAGUGGUGUUACAGCUUGCAGAUCGGUCCACGAAAAUACCUCGUGGUAUUGUGGAGGACGUGCUUAUCCAGGUAGACAAGUUUUAUUUUCCUGUUGAUUUCAUUGUAAUUGACACUCAACCAAUACAGGAUUCAAGGAAGCACAUCCCCAUUAUUCUAGGCCGACCUUUCUUGGCAACUGCGGAUGCUCACAUUCAAUGCAGGACUGGAAAUAUGCAGUUGUCCUUCGGCAACAUGACUAUGGAGCUAAACAUUUUCAACAUUGCCAAACAACCUUACAGUGUAGAUGAUGGAAUUGUUGAUGUGGAUUUAAUUGAAGCAUUAGUUGAUGAUACUUUUGUUUCAAACCUUAGUGAUCCUUUACAAACAUGUUUAACUCACUUUGGUUUGGAUUUUGAUAUUGACAGAUCGGUCGAUGAGGUCAAUGCCCUGCUUGACUCAACACCAUCUAUGGACACUAAUAAAUGGAAGUCAAGAGUUGAGCAACUAGCACCAUCAGAGAAGCAACUCAUUCCAUCAUCAGAAUCACCACCGAAACUCGAGCUCAAACCAUUGCCCAACACUUUGGAAUAUGCAUUUUUGGGAGAAGAAAGUACUCUACCGGUAAUCAUCUCAGCAUCCCUCAAUGACGAACAAAAAGGUAAGUUGUUGGAUGUUUUGAAAGAGCACAAAGGGGCAUUAGGAUGGACCAUAGCAAACAUUAAAGGUAUAAACCCAGUAGACUGCAUGCAUUACAUUCACCUUGAUGAAAAUGCUAAAACUACUAGGGAGAUGCAACGUCGGUUAAAUCCUAACAUGAAAGAAGUUGUUAGAACUGAAGUCCUUAAGCUAUUAGAUGCAGGUAUCAUUUAUCCAAUUUCUGAUAGUUCAUGGGUCAGUCCUGUACAAGUUGUCCCCAAAACGUCAGGAGUCACAGUAGUUACGAAUGCUGAUAAUGAAUUGAUACCCACUAGAGUAACUACAGGAUGGCGUGUAUGCAUUGAUUAUAGAAAGUUGAAUUCUGUCACACGUAAAGACCAUUUUCCUUUACCAUUUAUUGAUCAAAUGCUUGAUAGAUUAGCAGGCCAUGAAUUUUAUUGCUUUCUAGAUGGCUACUCAGGAUAUAAUCAGAUUCCCAUAGCACCAAAAGAUCAAGAGAAAACUACUUUCACUUGCCCUUUUGGCACAUUUGCAUAUAGGAGAAUGCCAUUUGGAUUAUGUAAUGCACCUGCUACAUUUCAACGAUGCAUGCUAAGCAUUUUUUCUGAUAUGGUUGAACGAUUUCUUGAAGUCUUUAUGGAUGACUUUUCUGUCUUUGGUGAUUCAUUUGAUCAAUGUUUACAUCAUCUAACACUAGUUCUGCAGAGAUGUAUCGAGAAGAACUUGGUCUUAAAUUGGGAGAAAUGUCAUUUUAUGGUAAAACAAGGUAUUGUUCUCGGUCACAUCAUUUCGAGCAAAGGUAUUGAGGUUGACAAAGCCAAGGUGGAUCUCAUUUCUAAUCUUCCUCCACCUAAAACAGUCAGAGAAGUAAGAUCUUUCCUUGGGCAUGCUGGUUUCUAUAGACGUUUCAUUAAAGAUUUUAUCAAAGUUUCUAGACCCUUAUGCAAUUUACUUGCUAAGGAUGUACCUUUUAUCUUUAAUGAUUCAUGUCUUAUGGCGUUUGAAAAAUUAAAACGGUUGUUGACAUCAUCACCCAUCAUUCAGGCCCCAAACUGGAGCUUACCAUUUGAGCUAAUGUGUGAUGCAUCUGAUUAUGCAGUAGGAGCAGUAUUAGGACAAAGAGUUGAUCGAAUUCCCCAUGUUAUUUACUAUGCUAGUAUGACAUUAAAUGAUGCACAGUUGAACUAUUCAACUACUGAAAAAGAAAUGCUAGCAGUAGUGUUUGCAUUAGAAAAAUUUCGAUCUUAUCUCAUUGGUUGUAAAAUAAUUAUAUUCACAGAUCAUGCUGCUCUUAAAUAUCUUCUCACAAAGAAAGAUGCAAAAGCCAGACUAAUUCGUUGGGUGUUACUUUUGCAGGAGUUUGACUUGGAAUUCAAAGAUAAGAAAGGGACAGAAAAUGUUGUGGCGGACCAGCUCUCUCGUCUCCAUUUUGACACAAUUACAGAAUCAUUACCAUUGAAUGAGUCAUUUCCAGAUGAACAAUUAAUGAAUGUGGAAGUAUUACCUUGGUAUGCUGAUAUAGUUAAUUAUCUUGUUACAGGUAAACUUCCAGAGCAUUGGACCAAGCAAGACAAGGCUAAAUUCUUUGCAGAGAUAAAGAAUUUCUUUUGGGAUGACCCGUAUUUGUUCAAGUAUUGUGCAGACCAAAUUGUUAGACGAUGUGUCCCAGAAAGUGAAAUUCAGAAUCUCCUUUCAUUCUGCCAUGAACAAGCUUGUGGAGGCCAUUUCAGUGCUAAGAAAACCGCGACUAAAGUUUUACAAUGUGGUUUUUAUUGGCCAACUAUAUUUCGAGAUGCUUACACUUUCUGUUCUUCAUGUGAUAGGUGUCAACGAAUGGGGAGCAUUACGCGAAGGAACAUGAUGCCACUAAAUCCAAUUUUAGUGGUUGAGAUUUUUGACGUAUGGGGUAUCGACUUCAUGGGACCCUUUCCCCCGUCUUUUGGUCAUCAAUACAUAUUGGUUGCUGUUGACUACGUAUCGAAAUGGGUAGAAGCAAUUCCAUGUAGGACCAAUGAUCACAAGGUGGUGAUAGGAUUUUUGAAAAGCAACAUUGUCUCGCGCUUUGGAUUCCCUCGAGCAAUAAUCAGUGAUGGUGGUGCCCACUUUUGUAACAAAGCAUUCAAAGCUCUUUUGACAAAGUAUUCAAUCACACACAAAGUGGCGACCCCGUAUCAUCCGCAAACUAGUGGCCAAGUUGAGAUCUCCAAUCGAGAAAUAAAGCACAUAUUAGAAAAGACGGUGAGGCCGGACAGAAAAGAUUGGUCAUUAAGACUUGAUGAUGCAUUAUGGGCAUAUAGAACGGCUUUCAAGACCCCGAUUGGGAUGUCACCCUACAGGCUAGUAUAUGGAAAAGCUUGCCACCUACCUGUGGAACUCGAGCAUCGUGCAUAUUGGGCCAUCAAGAAAUUCAAUUUUGACAUGCAGCAAGCCAGCUCAGAAAGAAGAUUACAGCUGGCAGAACUUGAAGAAAUUCGCAAUGAUGCAUACGAAAAUGCCAAGAUUUACAAGCAACGAAUGAAAGUCUUCCAUGAUAAGCAAAUUAUGAGAAAAUCGUUCACUCCAGGUCAGAAAGUGCUUUUGUUCAAUUCUCGCUUGCACCUAUUCCCAGGUAAGUUACGCUCUCGUUGGUCUGGUCCCUUUAUUGUUCAUACUGUUUUUCCACAUGGGGCAAUUGAAAUUAAGGACCCAAAGAACGGUGUCACGUUUAAAGUUAAUGGUCAAAGAUUAAAGCCAUAUCUAGAGUACCAACCACAUGGAGAAGACACCGAAAUAAAUUUGAGUGACCCACCAGAUUUGAAUUGAUUUUUUUUUUCUUUUCAUUGAUUUGAUUUUUCUUUCUUUCUUUUUAUUAUUAUUCUUUUGCUAAUUGAAAUUGUUUUUGCAUAAGUGUGUUUAUUUUACCAUUAAGUUUUCUCUUAUCAUUUUUAAUCAUGAGUCUCAUACUUAGACCGUUCCUCCUGAACAUUCUUAAACCACUUCAACGUGUCAAAACUCAUCUCAAAAGACAGAUUCAAUUUUGUAAAACACAUCGCAUUUGGGCUCUACAACCACCAGAGUUAGUAGCCUAUGUUGAGGGUUUAGAACACCAACUCAGAGACAUUGAGAGAAGUGUUUACGACAUCCAGUUGGAGCUUGAGGUAAAUUCAAUAAGAGGACGAUUUUAAUUUUCUUUGUGUGUUUUAAUUUGUUUUUCUAUUUGUGUGCUUUAGUUUGUUACCCCGGUGAAGUGGCGGAUAACGGUACUCCGUGACAAUCAAGUCGGUUACUUCAGUUUCCCAUAAUAACUGAUAUUCUGAGGCGAAGGUAUGGACAGAAAUGAGAUUCUAGCAAAGCUUCACAAGCGAUUCCCUUCACUUCCUCAGAAUGCCCUCCUUACGAUCUAUAAAGCUCGGUCCGAACGCAUGCGAUUAUUCAUGAGGAAUAACAUACCUGCUGACAUCCGUUGGUUAAUCGAGGCUAAAGUACGAUCGGCAGGUGAGUUACCUCCAAAAUUUAUUGCAUACAUGCCUGGUUGUGGUAAAGGAAAUUAUGCAAGAAAACGACGAGCUCGAAGAAUUUCUGUUGCUUGUCAUAAGUGUGCCAGAAUGAGUUGCAAUAAAAACCCAUGUUCUUUAGGCAUGAUGUCUGAUAACAGGGAAGAUAAGAUUCAAUUCAUUAGGGAUGGCUUGAAUAAGGAGUCAUUGGAUGAUAUCCUUUUGUCUCUUGAAACGCAUCCCAGUGGAUAUGUGCAAGGAGCGAUUCUCCAGUUAUGGCCAUUAUUCCAGAAAGAGCAUGCACGAUAUAGUCUCGGGAAUCUGACUAUAAACGACCCUGUUUGCCAGUUUAUAAGAAAACUGGAUAGGAAGCCUAUCCUCGACCCAUAGAGGGCGUUCAAGCCGUUUCUGGACGUAAAACCAGAGGAAGAUGUGAGCCACAGUCGCAACUACCUGUAAAUAUCCUUUUACUUUAUUGUUAUUUUAUUUCACUAUUGUCUUAUUGUUUGUAUUAUUGUCUUUAAUAAUUUUAUUACUGUUUGCUUUUUCCUUUUUACUGUUUUCUUUUUUACUUGCAAGCCACGUGCUUUACGCGUUAUUUGACACUAACAUAUUACCUCAUACACGACCAUGACCCACUAUCACCGAGACUCUUAAAUGUGAUUUCUUUUUUGUCAAGCACUCACAAAUUAUUUUUGAGAAGUAUCACAAUGUCAGCUACUCCCAAUAGACAAUUCAAGAACAUUUGUGUGCUUUCUGGAUUUACAUAUGGCAAACAUAAAGAGUUCGUUGAGGCAGCCAUAGAUCUUGGUCGAAGCAUAGAAGCGAGAAAAUUACACUUGGUGUAUGGAGGAGGUAACCGAGGGUUAUCAAAAAUGGUCUCAGAAGCAGCUUUUAUCAGAGGAAGUCAAGUGUUAGGCAUCAUCCCAAGAGUCCUAAAACCAUUGGGCAGUUCGUCUGACUCAUCAACUGGAGAAGAGUUAGUCGUCUCAGGUAUGCAAGAAAGAAUCACUGCAAUGCUUAAUCAUGCUGACGCUUUUAUUUUCCUUCCAGGAGAUCUUGCAACACUAGAGGCACUUAUCACACUAGCAUCUUGGGCCCAUCUGCACAUCCACCAGAAACCCAUCGGUUUGUUAAAUGUCAAUAACUUUUAUGAUGGCUUUAUCGCAUUUCUUAACCAUGCAAUAAAAAACUAUUUCAUUCCCGCUAAUGUGAAAAAACUCUUUAUUUGUGCUCACACUGCUAAUGAGCUACUGGAUCUAUUACAAGCUUAUAGACCGGAGCCAGACCCCUGGACCUUUGUGUUGGAGCGUCCAAAUAAUGAUGGUAACAAUAGCAGUAGUAAGAAGUACAAAUUAGAUUUAACUCUCCGCCUGUAAAUAUUUUCUUCUGUGUUGCACCACCCAGGUGAUGUCUUCUAAACUCUACUUCUUUCAUUUCAAACAUUGAGGACAAUGUUUCGUUCUGGUUGGGGGGAGGGAAUAGUCGACAAUUAUGAAAUUUUGGUUAAGUUUUUACUAAUUUUUUGUUGUAGAAACUAACUGUUGCUAACUUUUUGUGUUGAAGAUGGCUGAAUAUGGAGUGUAGUGACUCUAGAAACGCAUCUUCAUCGUUUAAAAAAAAAAUUAAAAAAAAAACUUAAAAAAAAAAAUUAAGACAUUUUCUUUUUUCUUUAUUAUGUGUUUAUGUUUAUUUUUCUUCUUUUUAAUUUAUCCUCUAUAAAAAUGCAUUUUCCAACUUUUGAGUCGAAGAUGGCUGAAUAUGGAGUGUAGUUCCUCUAGAAACGCAUCUUCUUUAAAAAAAAAAUAAUAAAAAAAUUAUUUUCUUUUCUAUCAUUUUAAAUGUAACUUUUCUAAAUUAAUUUUUCUACAUCAUUUUCACAUUUCUGCAUGCAUAUUUUUUUUUUUUUUAUGUUUAGAAUAGGUUGGGGGGUAGAAUGUUGUUUAAAAAAAAAAUUUUUUUGAUUUGUUUUAACAUUGGGUGACAUGAUUAAUUUAAAUUUUAGUAUUUGUAUUAUCUUUGAUCUUAAGUGAUGUUACAUUAUGUUUGCUACUNNNNNNNNNNNNNNNNNNNNNNNNNNNNNNNNNNNNNNNNNNNNNNNNNNNNNNNNNNNNNNNNNNNNNNNNNNNNNNNNNNNNNNNNNNNNNNNNNNNNNNNNNNNNNNNNNNNNNNNNNNNNNNNNNNNNNNNNNNNNNNNNNNNNNNNNNNNNNNNNNNNNNNNNNNNNNNNNNNNNNNNNNNNNNNNNNNNNNNNNNNNNNNNNNNNNNNNNNNNNNNNNNNNNNNNNNNNNNNNNNNNNNNNNNNNNNNNNNNNNNNNNNNNNNNNNNNNNNNNNNNNNNNNNNNNNNNNNNNNNNNUUCUAGCCAUCCCUUUUAUUAAAUAUCCACAGUUAACCCUUUGACCCUUUAAAAAAAAAAAAAAAAACAUUUUCUUUUGUCAACUUAUCAUCUUGACCCACUCCGAUUUGGAGUAUUACCCGAUGUCUUAUAAGUUCCAUCACCUAUUUAUGUUUGAGAAAAUGUAAAUAAUUAUUUUGUUCAGUGAAGUUAUGCCAAAUAAAAGCAAAAAACAAAAAAAACAAAAAAACAAAAAAACAAAAAAACACCAAAACAAAAGUUGUUGUUUCAAAAGUUGUUGUUUCAAAAGAACAAUAAUAGGUGAAAUCCACCUUGCAACUUCCAAAAAAAAAAAAAAAAAAUCUCUGCAUUUUUCUCAAACAUACACUUUGUUUUCCUUAAUUCCUUUCUUUGUUAACCAUGUCCCUAGCCUACGUUACAUCCUAAUAAAAGUCCUUCCUGAUUUUAGGGAACUAUAAUCUGAAGUAGAAGCUAGUUAUAUGGGCUAAAAAGAUGUAGUGAUGCAUAAUUAAAAAAAAAAGAAAGAUAAAUAAAGUGGGUUGACUAACAUUUUAUUUGACUUGAGAUCGUAUUAUUUCUAAGCUGAGGGCAUAUUUAUUUCAUCUUGGUGAGAGCAUGUGAUAUCACUUCUUUAUUAUUUUCUCUCUCAAUUACCAUUCAUUGGAGUGACUAUUUUUAUUGGGAUUAAUUUAUUUGUGAGAGUGUCACUACUUCCAGUGAGAUUUUGGGGUUUGACAUGUCAUUCUUGAGAGUAGCUAAAACAAAGUCUACUGGGCUAAUUCAUGUGGAUGGUUGAUGUGGGUGUGAUGUUGCUUUAGACUGGAGAUAAUGCUUAUACUUUUAUUUGAUUGCUAUCAUUAAUCUGAUGGAAUAAAUACGAGUGUUUCUAUUAAAACAAAAAAAAAAUUAUUUUGAAUUUGAAUUUUGUUUUCGCUUUAUUUGCUAGGGACUAGCAAUAAGCUGGUUGGAGGGUGUGUUGAGUGUUAGAAAAUGCAUAUUUAUAAAGGAGAAAACCGUCAUUUUACAUUUUAAGUCUUACUAACAACCCUUACUUUUAUAUAUUUAACCUUCUUGUGAUUUAAUUACAUGUGUUUUAUUUUAAUUAAGUAUUUUAUGUAUUUUAGGGGCAUUAUAGUCAUUUCACAAUAAAGGAGAGAUCAGACGGCAAAACGGACAUCACUUUUGAACUCAGGACGGUCGAAAACCUUAGGAGGAGCAUAAAAGGAAAAAUGGCAUUAUUCACAUGUACGGUACUAUUCACGUGUACGGUACUGUAUACGUUACUGUUCACGACACUGUUCACAUAGACGGAUGAUGACGUGGCAUUGACCGAUGAUGUGGCAUUGACUGAUGAGGUGUCACGAUCCUGUUGGACUAAAAUUCUUAUGUACUGUUGAUGGUGACGUGGCAGCAUAUCAGUGGACGAAAAAUCUCGCGUACGGUGCAUGCAUCACACAGGAUUAUUUUCAACCAAACCGCGUUACUGUUCAUCCGGGUCAAACCGUGUUACUGUUCAUCCGCGUGGUCAAACCGUGGACUGUUGACUGAUGACGUGGCGCAAUCCUGAGCGUCCAAACUGUUUUUAAUCCGAUGGCCAUGAUUUACUCCAUGUAUCUAUAAAAAGGGGGCCUCCCCCCCCUAAUUUGAUAUCUCUGAAUCCAUUUUUGGACUCUGUUUUCUGUAAUUCCCUCUCCAUCUUGUAUUUUCUUCAUAUUUUAAUAAAUUCCUAUUUUGCCCCUAGUUCAAUUAUGAGUGGCUAAUUUUCUUUCAAGCUUGGGUUGAAGGUGAAGUCUCAACAUGUGUCAUGGGCUUAAUUUGGUAAAUUUAUUUUCUCUUCCCCUCUAGUUUUUGUGGAUGUUUUGACUUCUCGUCGACAAAUAAUACUAAUCUUGUCUAGUACUGCCUUGGUUUCACCGGCCCUCUAGUAUAAGGUUAUUAUUAUUUGGCACGAUAAGCCCUUAGCACCAUAUUGAUUAGAGCGUGGUUCAUGAGGUGUGGAUUCCCCCCUCAUGAUUUAAUUGGCAUUAAUAAGGAAUAUUUAGCCCAUGAUGCAUGUUGAUGCGGAUCCGAAUACCCAAGUACGUCAUUUCAAUAGAAUUAUCUUCAAUCUAUUCUUGCCAUUGCAAGUCAAAUUUUAGAAUUUAUUAUCGCCAUUUCAAUUCCAAUUUUAGAAUAAUUUAAAUCACUUCCACCACAAUUCCAACCACCCAUUUACAAAAUUAAUUCUACAUAUAAUUAAAAUCCACCUCCUCGUGGGAUCGACACUCGUCACCAUUGAUCUACACUACAAUAGAUUCGUGCGCUUGCGAGUACAUUAAAAUUUGCACAACAAUGCACAUUGUGAGAGGCAAAAUACUUGUAAAAGAACUUGAAAUCAGUUAUAUAACAUGUGUAGAACAAAUUGCCCAAUUAUAUCUUUACAUAUUAAUUUUGCUAGUAUAAUAUCCUUGAGAAUAAUUUGAAUCAAAUGAUUUUGUUACUUUGGCAAUAAUUAAAUAAUAUUAGAUUGAAUUGUUGUGUCAUUUGUUUAGCUUAUUUUAACCCUAUGUAAAAUUAGCUUCGGCAAGUAAAAUGAAAUUUACACUAUUAAAAUCUUUGUUUGUGGUAAUAAAAGUUCACUUGGAAUUUUAUAAUAUCAACUUGAAAUUUAACUCAAAGUAUUGGUAGUUAAGGAUUUCAAUAGAAAUAUUAAAUAGAAACAAGUAGUUAACAAGUUAAACCAAGUUAACCUAUAAUUGAGUAUGUUUAACUAAACUAAGGGGCUAAUUUUACAAAAAGUUAAACAAUAGAAAGUAAAUUUGGCAUUAAACCCAAAUAGUUAAAAUUUUACCAAGUUAUUGGAAAUAGUCAAACAAAAGCAUUGAAAUAAUAGUUGAAACACAUAAGUUAAAAAGGGAUAAAAUAUUAACCAAAUUCUAAUUUUAAAACUCAUCCAAUAAGAAAUGAAUUUACUUAGAAUUUAACAAAAAGUAUUGGUAUUUAAUGAACUUAAUAUGAACAUUAAACGCAUAGCUGGUAGAUUUAUAAGUUAGAAAUAUGUAAACCUAGAAGUAAGAAGGUUUAACCAAAAUUAAGGAAUAAAAAAAAUAAAAAAGUCCAAUUGGUAUUUAACCUAAAUAAUUGCAACCUUACCUAAUCAGUAGGAAUAUUCGACAAAAAGAUAGUGGAAUAAUUAGUUGAACCAUAUGAACCUAGAAGGGAGAAAAUUUAAGCAAAAUUAGGAACUUAUCCAAUGGGAAUAAAUAUUAUUUGGAAUCUAACCCAAAAUUGGUAUUAAAUGAACGUAGUAGGAAUAUAAAACAUAAAACUAGUAAACUACUAAUUAAGUUGAAGUAUGUGGACCUAUAAGUGAGAAAAUUUAACCAAAAUUAGAGACUAGUUUAACCAAAAAUAAAAUUAUAAAAAAUAAAUUUGGUGCUUACCCUCAAUAAUUAGAAUCUUAUUAAGUUAAUAGAAGUAUUCAACACAAAAAUAUGGAAAUUAGUAGUUGAAACUGGAACCCAUAAGAGAGAAAGUUCAAGUAAAAUUUGGAACUCAUCCACCAGAAAUAAAUUUAACUUGGAAUCUAACCAAAAUAUUGGUAUUGAAUGAAUAUAGUAGGAACAUCAAACACAAAACUUGAGGACUAAUAUGUUGAAAUAUGUGAAUUGUAACAUCCAAUUAAUAUAUAUGUAUUUAACUAAAAGAGUUGGAUAUGAUUAUUUUAUAAUUUUUAAUAUCAUUUUAAUUAUAAUAUUUUUCUCAUUCAAAUAUUUUUAUUUUAGCAUUUUUGCAUCAUUAGUUUAGCACACAUCAUUAGCAUUGCAUGCGUCGUUGGUCUCGUGCAAAUAGUGGUAGAUUGAUUAGAAAAUCACCUUCACCACCCUUAAAUAUGGCUGACAUAGGAGCUGAAAAUAUUUCGGAGCACGAAAAUGACCAAGCCUUGCAAAAUCUUCAUGAACAACCUAGGACCCUUAGAGACUUCAUGCAUCCUACUAGAACAUGUCACCAUCAUGCAUAUUUUUCCCUCCUGAUGCAUCACGUUUUAAUUUCAAGCCUGGUAUCAUUCAACUUUUGCCUACCUUUUAUGGUUUUGAGUCUCAAAAUCCAUAUUUGCAUUUAAGGGAAUUUGAGGAAGUCUAUAACACCUGUACUGAUCAAAAUUGUAGCAUGAAUAUUAUUAGACUUAAGUUUUUUCCUUUCUCACUAAAGGAUAAAACUAAAACUUGGCUACAAAAUCUUAGAUCAGAAUCCAUCAGAACAUGGGAUGAAAUGCAAGCACAAUUUUUGAAAAAAUUCUUCCCACCCCACAGAACAAAUUCUUUCAAAAGACAAAUUACCACUUUCACUCAAAAACCAGGAGAAACUCUCUACCAAUGUUGGGAUAGGUUUAAAGAACUACUUAACAUUUGCCCACAUCACGGUUUUGAAACAUGAAGAUUAGUGUCUUAUUUCUAUGAGGGAUUAACAUCCUAAGGUAGACAAGUCGUUGAAAUGAUGUGUAAUGGUGAGUUUAGGGAUAAAAGUCCUAAAGAUGCAUUAGACUAUCUGGACUAUAUAGCAGAAAAUGCACAACACUAGGAUAUAGUUGGUUCUUAUGAGUGAUCAAGUAAACCCCAAUCAUCUCCAUCUGGUGGAGGCAUGCAUAACCUUAGGGAAGACCAUGAUUUUCAAGCCAAAUUUGCAUCGUUAGCUAGAAAAUUCGAAGCAUUAGAGUCGAAAAAGAAUGAUCAUGUAAAGUCUGUUCAAAAUAUUUCAUGUUAUGUUUGUGAUUCUACUGACCAUUCUACGCAGGACUGUCCAACUUUACCAGCCCUGAGAGAAAGUCUGCAUGAACAAGUAAAUGUCGUUGACAAUUUCAAAAGGCCAAAUCUAAAUCCAUACUCCCAAACUUACAACUUUGGUUGGAGAAACCACCCAACUUUCAGUUGGAGAAAUGAUAAUCAUGCACAAUCUUCACAACCAGUUCCUCCACGCCAAAAUUUUCAAAACUCUCAGAGUUACCCACCAUAUGUCCCACCACCAAGAAAACCUCUGGAAGACACAUUGCAUUCAUUUAUUGAAAAACAAGAGUCGAUAAAUAACCAAACGAUGCAAACCUUAACCAAUUUGACAGAAACUAUCGCCAAACUUACAUAUGCUCUGACCAUACAUGGAAAAGGAAAGUUUUCCGCUCAACCUGAACCAAACCCCAAGAGUCAACAACAUCCUCAAAUGGGAAAUUCAGGAAAUCAAAAUAUGAGUCAAAUCAAAUCGGUUAUAACCCUUCGUGGUGGUAAAGUAGUCGAAAAACACAUUGUGGACCCUCGUGAAACUAGUAAAGAUUCAAUUUCAGAAAAUAAGGAAGAGUCUUUCGAACCUUUAAACCAUGAAGAAAUAACCAACUCUCCUCUUGUACCCUCAUUUUCUCAAGCACUGAUCAAGCCAAAGAAAUCAAACCACAGUCCAUAAAUUUAUGAAGUUUUUAAACAAGUUAAGGUCAACAUUUCUCUACUGGAUGUCAUUAAACAGGUGCCUUCUUAUGCUAAAUUUCUGAAAGAUCUGUGCAUAGUGAAAAGGAAACAUAAGGUGCAAAAGAGAGUUUUUCUUGCAGAACAAGUAAGUUCCAUUCUCUCAACCAAUAGUGCUUUGAAAUAUAAGGAUCCUAGUUGUCCAACUAUUUCUUGCACUAUUGAGGAUUAUAAAAUUGGACAUGCUUUACUUGAUCUUGGUGCUAAUGUUAAUUUGCUUCCUUACUCAGUGUACUAACAACUCAAUCUCGGUGAGUUAAAACCAACUUCUACCACUCUUUUACUUGCUGAUAGAUCGAUUAAGGUCAAGAGGAAUAAUGAAGAUGAAUUAGUUCAAGUCGAUAAAUUCAUAUAUCCUCUGGAUUUUAUUGUUCUGGAAACGGAACCAAUUGCUAAUGAAUGCAAAUAAAUUCCUGUUAUAUUGGAUCGACCAUUUUUAGCUACUGCUAAUGCUUUGAUAAAUUGCAGGAAUGGAUUAAUGAACUUAUCUUUCGGCAACAUGGCACUGGAACUCAAUGUGUUCAACAUGUGUAAACAACCUCACCACCAGGAAGAUGAUGAUAAUGAGAAUGAGGAAAUUGAUCUCAUCGAGCCAAUCAUUGAGGAACACAUUCAGGAUGAGAAUUUUAGAAACUCUGCAGAAAUUUGUUUUGCUAGUUUUGUUGAAUCAAGUAAGGAAUUAGAUUUCGAUACUGCUAGCAUAUGCCCUACAUUUGAUUCUAUGCAGGUACCUAUAGGUGACGAUGACCAAUCGAACUUUGAAGAUACGGUACAACCUGAAUAAGCAAACGAAGAGGAAGCAUUAGAGCUCGAAUUAAAGCCCUUACCAGACGAAUUGAAGUAUGCCUAUCUUGGAGAGCAGCAGACAUAUCCGGUGGUAAUUUCUUCUUAGCUCACGCAUAAUCAAGAAGGUAAGUUGUUAUCUGUACUAAAAAGGCAUAAAACUGCAUUUGGUUGGAUAUAAAUGAGAGUAUUAAAAUUAUAGUUUGAAUACAGAGAGUGGAUCCUAAACCUUAUCUUAUUUUUUAAAUUGAUUUCAAAUAAUUUAUUUUCCCCACAAUUAAUUUUCUUAGUUUUACUAAAUUUAAAACUUAUUGUGGUUCGACCCCGGUCUCACCGGGUUAUAUUAUAACUAGACACUCUUAUACUUGAGAGUAAUACACUUUUGAGUCGUGUCAAAAAUCAUGGGCUAUAUCACCAGAUUUCUUUUCGAAAUAUUAAAUUCUAUAAAUAUAUUUUGUAAUCCAAAAUAUAUUGGGACUCUAUAAAUAAACACUUAUGCACAACUUAGAUUUCUUAUAUAGUAGAAUUUUGAUAAAUUAUUAGCAUUGAGACUAUGAAAUUUAUUAAUUUAGCGAGUAAUAAUUUAAUGAUAAAUUAAUAAAAAAAUUAAUAAUUAUUAAUUCACCAAGAUGCAUCACGUUCAUAGUAAAAUUUUUCUUUUUUAUGAAGUAUAGAGAUUGUAUAAUUAGAGAAUAUAUUAAUUCUUCAAAUUAUGUGAAACGAUUUUGAUAUGAUCUUAAUUAAGUGAACCAAUCACUUGAUAAUUCUUUAACUAAACGAAAGGCUUACAACAUUGCAUUAGUACAACAAAGAAAAUAGUAAACAUAUUAUAUGUAUUUAAUUUCAAAUUAGUUAAUUAUUAAUUUGUGUCCUAUAGAAAAAUAAGAUUAUUUUUUCCAAAUCUUACUUUUUUAUUAAUUUAUCGAACUAUUCAGUUACCACAAUGACCCCCAGAUCAAAAUCAACAAAAAUUAUUAUUUAUUCGAAGUUAUUAUUUUAUCAAAUAUUAAUUUAAUAAAAUUCUACUGUGUUUUUUGAACACUUAUAAUUGAGGGCUUGAGCAGUGUGAGACUACAUACCUAGUGCCAUAUAUUUCAUUAUUUCUUUAUUAUGGAUGUAUGAAAAUUUGAAUUGAAUGUGGUACAAUAUUGUAUAUUAUAUUUUUGGAAAAAGACAUUCUUACAAAAGAUUGCGCAACACUUUGUAUAAAAUUGUGUGUUUUAAUAAAACAAAAUUGUAAAACAUUCAUAAAAUUUUAAAGAUUAAUCAUUUACAUCCCUAUUUUGAUUCUUUGGUUGAAAAAUGUCGGCAAAAAUGGUAUCAGAGCCAAGUUUUAGGCUCAGAAUAUAAAAAUGGAAGAAAUAGUUGUUUAUUUUGUAAAUAAUAGAGGAUAUAAUUUAAUGAUAGAUAGUAAUACAAUUAAGGAUAACAUAACUAAAUAUAGACAAUAUUAUUGUUCAGAACAAAAUAUAUUAGAUGAUAACAACUAGAACAAUUGUAUUUAUCCGGAGAGCUCAUGAAAUUAGAAUUGGAGAACUCAUAAUAAUAAAGAAUAGAAAUUUCAACAUAGAUCCUUCUCUCAUAUUCACAGUUACGAGAGAAGUUUAUAGAAAUAAUUUUUCUUGGAAAUAAUGGAAUAAUGAGGAUUAUAUAGAUGAACUUGUGAUUGAUUAUAAUAGAUUUUUAACUAUUAACCAAAGAGAUGAAUACAAUUGGAAUAAAUAAAGGAUCAGAAGUGAAUACUAUCCUUCUAGCAACAUUCUGAUAGGAUACAAAGAUUUAAUUAUAUAUAAGCUUUGUUAUAUACAUAAAGGAUUAGAAGAAAACAAUAUUUCUAAGGAUAUAAAAAAUAUUAUAUAUCACAAAUACUUGAUAGAAUAUAAUGAAAUAUUAUACAGAUGGUAUUAUGAAUAUAUUACUAGAACCAUUGAUAAUUUCACAAAAUAUAGAAACCAAUAAAUUUCCACCUUCUCGCUAUAGGCAUAGAGGAUUUACUUAUGAAAGAUUUCAACCAUUUGAUUUGGUAAAUGAUUUUGAUAUGUAAGGAAGUAAUAAGUUAAACUAGAUUUCUCUAUAUUUAUUAAAUAAAUUUGGAAAUCCUAAUUUAACCAUAAAUGAUAUAGAAGAAAGUGCAAAUGAAAUACUUGAAAUUAAAAGCUUUAAUACUGAAAAUAUAACACAAGUUAAAAUGUUAAAAGAUCAAAUGAGUGAAGAAUUUGAUUCACUCAAACAAUUAUAAAAGACUUCAAAAUUGAAGAUUAAGAUAGAUUGGAAUAAGAAAUCAUUAAUGUCAUGAACAAAAAUUCAAUUGAAGAUAAAUUAAAUAAGAUAGAAAUUCAAUUACAUAAAAUUAGAAAAAUCGUUGAACAACUUGGUAAUAAGUUUGAAUAAGUAUAAAUGGAAAAUUAAAAAAGGAUUGAAGAACAAAAGAUUAGUAACAAUAUGGAAGAAUUACUCAAUGGUAAUUCAAGAACAAAAUAAAGUUUUACUAGAUACCAUAACCUAGUACAAUGAAAAGAAAAAUAAAGAAAUGCUAGCAAUAUCAUGAUCAAUAUUUAACAAAGUAAAUGAAGAUAAAAAAAUUAGUAAGUUUAAGGAUGCUAAGCAAAAAUGUAGACAAUGGAAGAAUUAUCUAAUCCAGAAAUAUUGGAGGAAGAAUAUGAAGAGGAAGAAGAUGUAUUUAUUAAUUUAUAAGAUAUUGAAAAUAAACUAGAACUUCUAAAAUGAAUGAAUCAAAGCCAAGAGACUUUGAACAAGGAGAAUUUAGUAAUAGAGCUUCUUAUGCUAGGGAACAAAUACCACCUCAUGAAAGACUACAAGGUCAAUAUUUUAGGGUUAACAAACCUAAAAAAAAAUAUAAAACUCUAGGAGAAUAUAGAGAAAGACUAAUCAACCAUGAUGUAGUAUGGUUAGAUUUAGACUGUGUCAAAAAUAGUGAUAAACUUAUUACCACUUAGGUUAAAUCUAUGAAAAUUGCAUUUGCAUUUAACAAAAUAGAUAGAAACAAUGGUAUAGAGUUCCUUAAAACUUCAUUUAUACGAAUAGUGUCAUAUUGGUUUAUGGGAUUGAAAGAUACCGACAAAAAUAAAAUAUUAUAUAGCGAAAAUAAUAAUUAAAACGAAAGCUUGGAUCAAGUCUUAAAUAAAUUUGAAAAUAAAAUAAGAAAAGAAUUCUUACGAGAAGAUUGGGAAAUUGAUUUUCAACAGGAAAUAAAGAGGAAACGGAUGGAAAACGUAAUGAAGCUAAAAACACUUGAAAUAUGUAAUAUAUUUUAUCUAGAAGAAUACACAUGUAGCUUUGAAGAAUUACAUUAUAAAUGUGAAUUUGAUAAAGUUGAAAAUACCAUAUGCUAUUAUAAUGAUCAAUAUUUUAUAAAGAUACCAAAUCCAUGGGGGAAAAUGAUUAUGUUAGAAUAUAACAAGGAAUAAAUUGAUACCCUAAGAAAUAGGAUCAGAUUUGCUCGAAAUAGAAUUAGUGAACAGUAUGUUGAAAAAAGAGUUAAGAGACUUUGGUAAAGUCCCCAUAGUUCAGCUUCCAUAAUGGAACAACUACCCAAAUUCAUGCUAAAACCGCAAACCCAUUCCCUACAAUAAUUCCUCACCAAGCCACCAGCAUUAGCCAAUCCCGAUCUCUUCAAAGCCCCAUCAGUAUUGAGCUUUAAGAACAACCACUUUGGGGGCUGCCAAUAGAUCCAUCUUUUAGUUUUUGUAAUUCUCUGACUAUCUAAAGACUUAUAAGCAGCGAUGAUUUUUUCCGUGCAGUUGUUCACAUCCACAAUUACGUUGUGAAGGGCUGCUUGAUUUGUGAGCAUAAACGAACUCAUUGUGCCAAUACCACAUGCGCCAGACAUGACGCCAAAUAACAUUGACCUAUCCUUCUCAUUAGUGAUCCUCAAGUGGUUUUUCAUAUUAUAAACAAUCCAUGCACGAACAUCCAAUGUAAAACAGGUAUGACUUGUGUGUUUCGAAAAAAGGGCUAACCAAAUGCGUUUAGAGUCAACAUAAUCCCCGACUGCAUGGAGAGCAUCCUCUAUGAUAUGCCCACACCGCAUGCAAGUACUAUCAUUAAGCACAUGUCUUCGCAAUAAUUUAGCAUUAUUUUUCAAUCUAUUAUGCAUCAGCAGCCAAAGAAAGCACUGAAUGCUUUGGGGGCCUCUCCAUCUCCAAAUCAAAACCCAAAGGGAAUUAUUUUCAUUUAGCAUCGGUCUAAAGAGGGAUAAAUAAGCUGACCUCACGCUAAACAAACCAGACCGCGAUGGACCGCAAUAACAACAGUCAACUUCAUCGCUAAUAGAAUGGGGCAUAGUGCCUGCUAUUUUGAGAAUUAUAUGGUGGGGUAGAAAAGAAGCAAAAUAGUCCCAGUUCCAAGCACCAUUAUUAUCGAUAAAAUUAGCUACAUACUCAUUUAAUAUUUUCAGUGAUUGUACCGAAAGUAUAAGAUUGCAAUCAACGCCCAUCCUCCAGCCAAUAAUCUUUCCAAAAUCUAGCCAACUUCUCAUUCCCAAUAGCCCAGCGAGUCCCUUAGAGAACCUCAUUCCAUACAUUUCCCACGAAUUUUCAUAAAGGAGAACUAUAUCAAGUAGGACGUUUUAGAGGAAGGUUUUUUUUAUCAACGCAUAUUUAAACAUCAAUACUUGAAUCUAGAAGCUGUGGGGUGAUUCAAUAUGACCCCAACCAAUUUUCAUUAGCAAGGCUUUAUUCAUGAGAUUAAGAUCUUUAAGGCCAAGGCCCCCACAUAAAUUAAGGAGUUGUACUCUAUCCUACUUAAUAAGGUGUAUACGAUGAGUCUCGUCAAUCUAUUUCUAGAUAAAAUGCUUGCAAAUCUGAUCAAUUUUAUUACGAAUACUUAGAGGUAGCAUGAAGGUCUGCAUGGAAUAGGUUGGGAGAGCCAGAAUGAUCGACUGCGUUAAUGUUAUCGAACCUACAAGAGAAAGAUGUUUGGUUGUCCAACCCGUAAGUCUCUGUAGUGCUAAUGGUGGUCAAGGAUAAGGUACCAGUUUCAGUGGGAUACAUUGAGUUUGCAUGAGAAAUCUGGGAGAUUUCAUAAAGAAUGUAUGAGUUAGUGACAAUGGUAAACAUGAUUAAAUGCGUGAACUAACAUAAAAUGAAAUACAAAAACUAAAUGAUAGAGCACGAGUUUUGAAAAAAGUUUAUUCUUCAAUCCACCAUCAAUUAAACAGAAGCAAACCACUGUCAUUUUAAGUAAACAAACAUAACAAAACCACCUACAUAAGAAUAAUUUUUCAAUAUAGGAAUCUUGAACUUUUGAUGAAAAAAAAUCAGUUUACAAUAUUAUAGGUACGUGAAAAAUAAAGUUUAUAACAUUGUAAAUCAGAUCACCAACUAGAAUCUAACUCCACCUACAUGGCUUAGUAAACAACUAUAACAUUGCAUCCAACAAUGGCGUCACCAGAUUUAAAAUCCGCUCGAUUCAUCUGAGCAAUUGCAUAUCCACCACUCAAUAGGAACUCGCCAAUGUCACCGAUGAUGGGCAUCUUACGGACAGGAACAAUCGACCUGUUGUUGCCAAGGAGGCUGAUAUAGCUACCAUUAUUAGGACCAUCAACGAACACAAAGCUCAUGGACAUGAUGAUAGCUAGUUGAUGCUGACAAGCCGACCCGUAAAGCCCUUGAGCACGACCAACAAGCUUUGAUUGAGGACUAGUAGUUUCUAUCGACGAAUCAUUCGCCAAAUCACAACGCGGAAACGAGUUGGUGACUUGUAAGCAUCAGUGGCUUGAGCAAUGCUUUUUUCCACUACGUUUUUUUUGUUGUCACUUUUGCGAAAUCAAGCCCCGGAGCCAAAGUCUCUCUGAUCGUAUUGAUGUUGCUGCCACCGGGCAAAUGAUGAGAAACAAAAAAAUUGCUUAAAACAUUAUCGCCAGUGUCACCGAGAAUAGAUGAUGCACUUUUGAAGGUAGAAAAGAAGGAUGAUUCAAGAUUCAUUUCAAAUUUUUUUGAAGUGUUUUGAUAAGUGAAUAUCCAAAGGCUGCGUAACUACAAAGGUGAAGUGGGAAGAAAUUUUGACAUUUUGUUAUAUUGAGCUAGCCAGUGAAUGUAUAUGAGGGGCUUCACUUGUACACAUAAAAAAGGAAGAUUAAUUACUCGUGGUUUUUUAUUAAGAAAAAAAAUAGCUUGCUUAAAAUAUAGAGUGUGGUUAAUUUCAUUGAAGGAGAUGACUCAAAGGAAAGGAAAGAAAAAAGAAAUCUAUAUAUAUAAACAAAAAAUAAUGCCAAAAACAUAAAUUUAAUUAAAUGUACAGUGAAAUUACCUUUAUAAUGCAACAAGAUAUUAAAUUCAAUAGUUAACGCUAAUAAAUUAAGCGUAAUUUAUUUAAUACUUAUUUAUGGACUCUUUCAAUUCCAUUAAAGCCACUGCAAGACGUUUUUCAAUAUUAACUCAGAUAAAUAGAGGCUCAUAUCUUUCUGAUUCUUCCACAUCUCUUUCAAUUCUAAUUAAGCCGUUUGCAAUUCCCUUAAGAAAUUAAAAAAUGUCGAAGAGUCUUACCUUCAUCAUUUUGGCUUUGCUUGUAGUGGCAAACACUAAAAACAUGCUUAUUUCAGCUAGUAGAACUGGCCAAGGAUCUAAGCCAGAGGCUUUAUUUGCUAUUAACCCUACAGCAUCACCUGACAUUGUUGAUUACUCAGGGCUCACAAGUGAAGAGUGUUUGAUCGAGAUGAUUAAGAAAGCACUUGUAGACUAUCGAUACCCCUGCUCUGAGGGGGGGUGCAAAUGAUAUUGUUAAUAAGUUAUUUCUUUUACCUUGUAGGAGUGCUUUUGCAAUAACGAUCAAUUACAGUGAAAUUGAAUUUGUGUUUUUAAUAAAAUAAAACAUUAAUCCAUUAUGCAUAGGUAAUAUUAUGUCAUAUGUUUUUGGUGUGUGUAUCUCUUACUGCUUUGUUAUAGAUGCAUCGUCGAAUCAAUCUUCGAGAAAUCAGUUUCUUUAAAUAAUAGCAAUUAUCAACCAAUCAACAUUACUAUGUUGGUGCCAUUUGUAAUAUUUAAAUUUUAAGUUUAUUUACUUUUAGGGUGAGAUUAUUGAUUCCCAAGAAAAAUAAUAAAAUAAACCCUCAUUAUCAAAAUCCUAUAUUACUAAGCUGUCCGAUUUAAUUUAAUGUUAAACUUUAAUUUAACCCCUGAAAAUGUCCAGACUUACCUACAUUUAUUGCUAAGAAUAUGAUUUAAAAUUUCAUCAAUGUGCACCUCAUUUAUGCUCAUCUUUUGAAGAACAAAUAGGGUGGAUUGAGAUUUUCAUGCUUUUGGAGGGUAAAUUAAAGAUAGUUAUUAGGAGGGAACGAAUUGAAGUUUGUUUUUAAAUGCAAAGAUGUAUUCUUUUAGUUUAUUUGAGAUAGUUCGUUUGACUUUAAUUUAACAUAUGUUUUUGUAAUUGAAAUAUAGAUACUUCUUUAUUUUUGUUAUUCAGCUAAGUAAUAUAAUAUUUUUGUUAUACUUCAAAAGUGUAUUACUCUGUAGUAUAAGAGUGUCUAGUUAUAAUAUAACCCGGUGACACCGAGGUCGAACCACAUGAAGUUUAAAUCUAGUAAAACAAAGAAAAUUAAUUGUGGGGAAAAGAAAUUAUUUAAAAUCAAUUUAAAAAUAAGUUAAGGUUUAUGAUCCACUCUCUGUAUUCAAACUAUAAUUUUAAUACUCUCUCAUUUAUAUUUUGCCUCACUUUUGCCAAUUAAUUAUUAUAUCAUUUAAUUCUAUGUGUGUGGAUAAAUAUAGAAUAAAGUACCUAAUGUGCCACACUAUAUUAAUGUGUCGAUAUUAUGUCAAAAUACCAUAAAAUCUAGUGAGAUUUAUAAAUUAACAUGAUAUAAAAAUAAUUAGAAAAGAAUUAAAAAAAACUCAUUUGAGAAAAUAAUAAUAAUUAAUAGUUUGAAACAUUGAGCUUCACUCUUCACCUCAGCUUAAUAAAAUUAGCUACUCAUAUUGAAAGAAAACACAACACUCUUUUUAUUUGAUAAAAUUUUUGAAAUAUAUUACAAAGAAAAUUGAUACAAACGGAAAUAAGAAAAGAAAAGAAACAAACAAAGAAAGAAAAUCUUCAGUCUCGGCUUCAGCUCUCAAAUUUUGCUCUCCAACUUCCCCCCGCUCUUCAAUUUCUCCUCCCUUUUUAUAGGCAACAAUUGCCUUUAACUUUCUUUAUUUUAUUAUUUAUUUAUUAUUUUAAAAUAUAUAAGUGUGUUGAAAUGUGUGAUGGUCAGGAGGCGUAAUGGCCUCCUGACCAUCACCAACGUGUUUUUGUUCUUUUGUUCUUUUAUUUUUUAUUUUUUUUAUUUUAUUGAUUAUUUAUUAUUACAUCUCUUCAAUUUUGUUCCAAUAGUUCUUCUUUGUUCCCGCUUUCAAUUUCAAUUCCAUCUUUAUUCUUGAAAAAUAUUUACAAGAUAAAAAUUAACAAAUUACAAAUUAAUUUAACAUAAAAUAUAUUUGGGGAGUAUUAAAAUAAUUUAGAAAUAAUGAACGCAUUAAUCGACACAAUNNNNNNNNNNNNNNNNNNNNNNNNNNNNNNNNNNNNNNNNNNNNNNNNNNNNNNNNNNNNNNNNNNNNNNNNNNNNNNNNNNNNNNNNNNNNNNNNNNNNAUCAAACCCCAAAAUCUCACGAUUAGGAGUGACUAUCUCAAAAGAAGAUAUACCCCAAAUUAAUUUGUCACUCUAAAAAAAUGGUAAAUUUGAGAGAAUAAUAAAACAAUAUCACACGCUCACACCAAGAUAAAAAUUAAUGCCCACAACUUAGAAAUAAAAUAAUAUCAAAUCCAAUGAAUUACUAGCAAAAUUUAUUUUUAUUUUUACUCAUCACCACAUCUUUUAGUCCAUAUUACCAGCUUUUACUUCAGAUUAUAGUUCCCAAAAAUCAAGAAGGACUUUUAUUAGGAUGUAGCGUAGGCUAUGGUUAUGGCUAACAAAAAAGGUAAUAGGGAAAAUAAAAAUAUAUGUUUGAAAAAUAGGGGACUUUUUGGAGAUUAUAAGGUUCUUUUUUUUUUUCAAAGGUUCAAAGGGGUUAACUAUGGAUUCUUUAUAAUAGGGUUGACUAGAAAGGCUCAAACGGAUCAAAGAUGGUCUUCUAUCAUCUUUUAGGGUUCUAUAUAAUCUUUCAUAUCCACUAGUUCAGUGGACCUUUAUAUGCGGCUGCACAAACUUUUUUUUUUUUUAAUAUUGAGAUCUUGUACAAUAAAUUGUGAAGCUGCAUAGGCAAACAAGGUUACUCUCCAAGGAUAACAGACUCAAAAACUCGCUUGGUCUUUUUAUAACAUGUACAUUCAUCCAAAUGGCUUAAUCAAUUUCACUCAUUCAAUUUCUCAAUUUACGUUUCAAGAUGCAAAGGGAAAAACAUAGUGUAACAUAACUCAAGGCCAAAGAUAAUACGAAUACCAAAAUUUGAAAAUCAUCAUGUUAUCCAAUGUUAAAAGAGCACACCAAAAAAGAAAAUAAUUUUUUUUUAAGAAAGCACUAAAAAAUUGGGGCUAAUUGCAGAAACUUAAGGGAGAUGAUUAAGAGAAAAAGACCGAAAACAAAAAGUUAAAAACAUUUUGUUUUGGAAGAAAACAAAAAAAAUUAAGAAAAUGCGUUUCUAGAGACACUACAUUCUAUAUUCUGUCAUCUUCGACUCAAAUUUUUAUCCAAAGUUAGUCUUUACAACAAAAAUUAGUGCAAACAUCACUAGGAAUGAGACAUUCCCAAUUAUUAACUAUUCCCUCCCCCCAACCUGAAGGAGACAUUGUCCUCAAUGUCUAAAGAAAGGAGUAGAGUUUAGAAGAUAUCACCCGGCCAUUGCUGGAAAUAUUUACAGACGGAGAGUUAAAUCUAAUUUAUACUUUUUACGAGAGUUACUGCCAUUGUUAUCAGUUGCCCAAUCCAACGCCAAAGUCAUGGGAUCUGGCUUUGGUUUGUAAGCUUGCAAAAGAUCAAGUAACUCAUUAGCAGUAUGAGCACAAAUGAAGAGUUUUUUCGCUGAGGAUGGAAUGAAAUAAUUUUUUAUUGCAUGAUUAAGCAAUGUUAUUAAGCCAUCAUAAAAGUUAUUAACAUUUAACAAACCGAUUGGUUUUUUAUGGAUAUUCAAAUGGGCCCAUGAAGCAAAUGUAAUUAGCGCCUCCAAAGUUGCAAGGUCUCCUGGCAAGAAAAUAAAAACGUCAGCAUGAUUUAACAUUUCAGAUAUUCUUUCUUGCAUACCUGAGACAACUAACUGUUGAGUGUUAGAAAAUGUAUAUUUAUAAAGGAGAAAAUCAUCAUUUUACACUUCAAGUUUUACUAACACCUUUACUUUAUGUAUUUAACCUUCUUUUGAUUUAAUUCCGUGUGUUUUAUUUUAAUUAAGUAUUUUAUGUAUUUUAGGGGUAUCAUAGUCAUUUCACAAUAAACGAGAGAUCAAACGACAAAACGGACAUCACUUUUGAACUCAGGACGGUCAAAAACCUUAGGAGGAGCAUAAAAGGAAAAAUGGCACUGUUCACAUGUACGGUACUGUCUACGUUACUGUUCACGACACUGUUCAUAUAGACGGAUCGAUGACGUGGCAUUGACCGAUGAUGUGGCAUUGACUGAUGAGGUGUCAUGAUCCUGUUGGUCUAAAAUUCUGAUGAACUAUUGAUGGUGACGUGGCAGCAUAUUAGUGGACCAAAACUUGCGCGUACGGUAUACACAUUACACAGGAUUAUUUUCAACCAAAUCGCAUUACUGUUCAAGCCGGGUCAAACCAUGUUACUGUUCACCCGCGUGGUCAAACUGCGUACUAUUGACUAAUGACGUGGCGCAAUCCUGAGCGUCCAAACUGUUUUUAAUCCGAUGGCCAUGAUUUACUCAAUGUAUCUAUAAAAAAUGGGGCUCCCCCCUAAUUUGAUAGCUCUGAAUUCAUUUUUGGACUCCAUUUUCUGUAAUUCCUUCUCCAUCUUGUAUUUUCUAGGUAUUUUAAUAAAUUUUCAUUUUGCCCCUAGUUCAAUUAUGAGUAGCUAAUUUUCUUUCAAGCUUGGGUUGAAGAUGAAGUCUCAAUAUGUGUCAUGGGCUUUAUUUGGUAAAUUUAUUUUCUUUUCCCCUCUAAUUUUUGUGGAUGUUUUGACUUCUCGUCGACAAAUAAUACUAAUCUUGUCUAGAUACUGCCUUGGUUUCAUCGGCUCUCUAGUACAAGGUUAUUAUUAUUUGGCAUGAUAAGCCCUUAGCACCAUAUUGAUUAGAGCGUGGUUCAUGAGGUGUGGAUUCCCCCCUCAUGAUUUAAUUGGCAUUAAUAAGGAUUAUUUAGCCCAUGAUACAUGUUGAUACAGAUUCAGAUACCCAAGUACGUCAUCUCAAUAGAUUUCUCUUCAAUUUAUUCUCGCUAUUUCAAUUCCAAUUUUAGGAUAAUCCAAAUUAUUUUCACCACAAAUCCAACCACCCAUUUACAAAAUUAAUUCUACACACUAUUAAAAUCCACCUUCUCGUGGGGAUCGACACUCGUCACCAUUAGUCUAUUCAAAAGAUAAAAUAACGGUGAUUAGAUAAAAUAAAAAAUAAAAAUAAUAAUAAUGCAAAAGAUAAAAGAACAGUAAAAUAAAAGGAUAUUUACUGGUAGUUGUAAUUGUGGCUCACAUCUUCCUCUAGUUUUACAUCCAGUAACGGCUUGAACGCCCUCUAUAGGUCGAGGAUAGGGUUCCCAUCCAGUUUUCUUAUAAACUGGCAAACAAGGUCUUUUAGAGUCAGAUUCCCAAGACUAAACUGUGCACUUUUCUUUUGGAACAGCUUCCACAAAUUUUGAAUUUCACGUUGAACAUAUCCGCUCGGAUGUGUCUCAAGAGAUCGUAAGAUACCAUCCAACGAUUCUUUACUCAUGCUAUCCUUAACGAAUUUGAUUUUAUCUUCACAAUUUACAAAAACCAUUCCUAAAGCUUUACAACGUGGAUUUUUGCAAGCAAGUCUUACACAAUGAGAACAUUCAGAGCUAAGUCGCUUAGCUCUUCUUUUCUUAGCAAAUGUACUUUUACAAAAACCAGGCAUGUAGGAAAUAAAUUGAUAAAAAAACUCACUUGGACCUUUGCUUCAAUUAACCAGCGAAUGUCAGCAGGAAUCCCAUUGAUCAUUAACAAACGCAGUUGUUCACAACGAGCUUUGUAACUCUUCUUAAGAGCAUUUUGAGGGAGAGAAGGAAAAGGUUGAUGCAAAUUUUGUUCUAUUUCUUCCAUGCUUGACAUUGAGGUUUCAGUUAUUGUGGGAAACUGAGAAUACCGACUUAAAAAGUCACGGAGUACCGUUAUCUGCCAUUUAUACGAGAGAGUGAAUCAAAACAAAACAAAUCAAAUAUGCAAAAUCAAAUCAAAAGUGAAAAAUAACAACAAAAUAAAACAAAAACACACAAGGAUUAUAACACACCUUCGUCCUUUUAUUGAAUCUAGUUCCAAUUACAAAUUAUAAAUACCAUCAUCUAUUUCCUUGAGUUGUCUUUCUAGAUCUUUCACGUGAGAUACUAACUCUGGUGGUUACAGAUCCCAAAUGGGAUGUAAUUUACAAAAUCAGAGCAAUUUCCUCAGGUGAAAUUUUACAUGAAAAAGCAUUUUAAAAUAAUCGAAUAGGAAAUUGCUCAUAGAGGUACUCAUGACAAGUAUAAAAAUUGGGUGAGCUAAAUCACAAUUGUCAAACAACAUAAAAUUAAAACAAUGCAAUGCACUCCAUUCAAGACAUAGGGAAAACGAAAAAGAAAAAGAAAUCAAAUAAUUCAAACGAUAAAGUAACAGUAAAUCAAUUCCCCAACAAUCAAAUAAAAAGGCUUAAUCAAAAUUUUGGUGGGUCACUCAAAUGGAUUCCAGUAUCUGCUUCAUGUGGUUGAUAUUCCAUAUAUGGUUUCAAUCUUUGGCCAUUAACUUUAAAUGUGACACCAUCCUUUGGAUUCUCAAUUUCUACGGCUCCAUCACAUUUUUUAUAACAAAUGGACCAUUCCACUUUAACUUUAACUUCCCUGGAAAUAAAUGAAGACGAGAAUUAUAAAGCAACACUUUUUGACCAAUUUCAAAUGUUUUCCGAAAAAUUAUUUUGUCAUGAAAAAAUUGACGNNNNNNNNNNNNNNNNNNNNNNNNNNNNNNNNNNNNNNNNNNNNNNNNNNNNNNNNNNNNNNNNNNNNNNNNNNNNNNNNNNNNNNNNNNNNNNNNNNNNNNNNNNNNNNNNNNNNNNNNNNNNNNNNNNNNNNNNNNNNNNNNNNNNNNNNNNNNNNNNNNNNNNNNNNNNNNNNNNNNNNNNNNNNNNNNNNNNNNNNNNNNNNNNNNNNNNNNNNNNNNNNNNNNNNNNNNNNNNNNNNNNNNNNNNNNNNNNNNNNNNNNNNNNNNNNNNNNNNNNNNNNNNNNNNNNNNNNNNNNNNNNNNNNNNNNNNNNNNNNNNNNNNNNNNNNNNNNNNNNNNNNNNNNNNNNNNNNNNNNNNNNNNNNNNNNNNNNNNNNNNNNNNNNNNNNNNNNNNNNNNNNNNNNNNNNNNNNNNNNNNNNNNNNNNNNNNNNNNNNNNNNNNNNNNNNNNNNNNNNNNNNNNNNNNNNNNNNNNNNNNNNNNNNNNNNNNNNNNNNNNNNNNNNNNNNNNNNNNNNNNNNNNNNNNNNNNNNNNNNNNNNNNNNNNNNNNNNNNNNNNNNNNNNNNNNNNNNNNNNNNNNNNNNNNNNNNNNNNNNNNNNNNNNNNNNNNNNNNNNNNNNNNNNNNNNNNNNNNNNNNNNNNNNNNNNNNNNNNNNNNNNNNNNNNNNNNNNNNNNNNNNNNNNNNNNNNNNNNNNNNNNNNNNNNNNNNNNNNNNNNNNNNNNNNNNNNNNNNNNNNNNNNNNNNNNNNNNNNNNNNNNNNNNNNNNNNNNNNNNNNNNNNNNNNNNNNNNNNNNNNNNNNNNNNNNNNNNNNNNNNNNNNNNNNNNNNNNNNNNNNNNNNNNNNNNNNNNNNNNNNNNNNNNNNNNNNNNNNNNNNNNNNNNNNNNNNNNNNNNNNNNNNNNNNNNNNNNNNNNNNNNNNNNNNNNNNNNNNNNNNNNNNNNNNNNNNNNNNNNNNNNNNNNNNNNNNNNNNNNNNNNNNNNNNNNNNNNNNNNNNNNNNNNNNNNNNNNNNNNNNNNNNNNNNNNNNNNNNNNNNNNNNNNNNNNNNNNNNNNNNNNNNNNNNNNNNNNNNNNNNNNNNNNNNNNNNNNNNNNNNNNNNNNNNNNNNNNNNNNNNNNNNNNNNNNNNNNNNNNNNNNNNNNNNNNNNNNNNNNNNNNNNNNNNNNNNNNNNNNNNNNNNNNNNNNNNNNNNNNNNNNNNNNNNNNNNNNNNNNNNNNNNNNNNNNNNNNNNNNNNNNNNNNNNNNNNNNNNNNNNNNNNNNNNNNNNNNNNNNNNNNNNNNNNNNNNNNNNNNNNNNNNNNNNNNNNNNNNNNNNNNNNNNNNNNNNNNNNNNNNNNNNNNNNNNNNNNNNNNNNNNNNNNNNNNNNNNNNNNNNNNNNNNNNNNNNNNNNNNNNNNNNNNNNNNNNNNNNNNNNNNNNNNNNNNNNNNNNNNNNNNNNNNNNNNNNNNNNNNNNNNNNNNNNNNNNNNNNNNNNNNNNNNNNNNNNNNNNNNNNNNNNNNNNNNNNNNNNNNNNNNNNNNNNNNNNNNNNNNNNNNNNNNNNNNNNNNNNNNNNNNNNNNNNNNNNNNNNNNNNNNNNNNNNNNNNNNNNNNNNNNNNNNNNNNNNNNNNNNNNNNNNNNNNNNNNNNNNNNNNNNNNNNNNNNNNNNNNNNNNNNNNNNNNNNNNNNNNNNNNNNNNNNNNNNNNNNNNNNNNNNNNNNNNNNNNNNNNNNNNNNNNNNNNNNNNNNNNNNNNNNNNNNNNNNNNNNNNNNNNNNNNNNNNNNNNNNNNNNNNNNNNNNNNNNNNNNNNNNNNNNNNNNNNNNNNNNNNNNNNNNNNNNNNNNNNNNNNNNNNNNNNNNNNNNNNNNNNNNNNNNNNNNNNNNNNNNNNNNNNNNNNNNNNNNNNNNNNNNNNNNNNNNNNNNNNNNNNNNNNNNNNNNNNNNNNNNNNNNNNNNNNNNNNNNNNNNNNNNNNNNNNNNNNNNNNNNNNNNNNNNNNNNNNNNNNNNNNNNNNNNNNNNNNNNNNNNNNNNNNNNNNNNNNNNNNNNNNNNNNNNNNNNNNNNNNNNNNNNNNNNNNNNNNNNNNNNNNNNNNNNNNNNNNNNNNNNNNNNNNNNNNNNNNNNNNNNNNNNNNNNNNNNNNNNNNNNNNNNNNNNNNNNNNNNNNNNNNNNNNNNNNNNAUCAAAUAUUUCAAUGACAAUGAUGGGGUUUAAAGGCAUCAUCUUCCGCUUUGAAAUAGACCCUAUCAUUUGACAAUUCUUACACAUUUUACAGAAUGCAUGUGAAUCUUUAAAUAAUGUAGGCCAAUAAAAUCCACACUGCAAUAUUUUACAGUUGUCUUUUUUGAAGAAAAAUGGCCACCGUAUGCUUCAGAAUGACAAAAUUAAAUGACCCUACUUACCUCGUCGUCUGGUAUGCAUCUUCGAAAAAUUUGAUCGGAGCAGUACUUGAAUAGAUAUGGCUCAUCCCAGUAAAAGCUUUUUACUUCUGUUAAGAAUUUCUUCUUGUCUUGGGAACUCCAGUCACAUGGCAUUUCACCUGUUGCAAGAUAAUUAAUAAUAUUAGCAUACUAAGGCAUUUUGUUUAUAGAAAACAAAAAUUCAUCAGGGAAAGAAUCAUUGAUGGGUGUUGUUUCAAUUGAAGACUCAUUUGUAAGUCUUGAAAGAUAAUCUGCAAUAACAUUUUCAGCGCCCUUUUUGUCCUUGAUUGUCAAAUUAAAUUCUUGAAGUAGCAAAAUCCAUCGUAUCAACCUUGGUUUGGCAUCCUGUUUUGACAUUAAAUAUCUCACAGCAGCAUGAUCAAAAUAAACAACAGUAGAUGAACCAAUUAAAUACGAACGAAAUUUAUCCAAUGCAAAUAUUACAGCAAGUAGUUCUUUCUCAGUUGUUGUGUAAUUCAUUUGAGCAGUAUUCAAAGUUCUACUUGCAUAAUAGAUGACAAAGGGCUUACCUUCCUUUUUUUGACCCAGAACAGCGCCAAUGGCAUAAUCACUAGCAUUACACAUUAGCUCAAAAGGUAAAGACCAAUCAGGGGGUUGCAUUAUUGGGGCUGAUGUCAAAAGACUAAUUAUCUUUUCAAAAGCUUGUUGACAAUCUUUAGUCCAUUCAAAUUGUGUGUCUUUUAUUAAAAGGUUACAAAUUGGUCUAGAUAAGGCACUAAAAUCUUUUAUAAACCUCCUAUAAAAUCCUGAAUGUCCUAAUAAAGAACGGACUUCUCUUAUUGUCUUUGGUGAGGGUAAUUUUGAAAUGACUUCAACUUUAGCUUUAUCAACUUCGAUUCCUUUUGAAGACACAAUAAGGCCUAAGACAAUUCCAGAAGUGAUCAUGAAAUGACAUUUUUCCCAAUUUAAAACAAGUCCUUUUUCUUUGCACCUUUCCAAAACAUUUUAUAGAUUAUCAAGACAUGUAUCAAAAGAAUUACCAAAUACAGUUAAAUCAUCCAUAAAAACCUCUAGACAAUUUUCAGCCAUGUCACUAAAAAUGCUUAGCAUGCACCUUUGAAAUGUUGCAGGAGCAUUACAAAGUCCAAAGGGCAUUCUCCUAAAUGAAAAUGUUCCAAAUGGGCAUGUGAAUGUGGUAUUUUCCUGGUCUUCUAAGGCUAUAGGGAUUUGAUAAUAGCCAGAGUAGCCAUCAAGAAAGCAGUAGUAAGGAUGUCCAGCUACUCUUUUGAGAAUUUGGUCUAGAAAUGGAAGGGGAAAAUGAACUUUUCUAGUGGCAUAAUUUAAUUUUCUAUAAUCAAUGCACAUGCGCCAACUAGAUGGAAUUUGUGUUGGGAUUGAUUCACCUUUUUUAUUUUUUACAACAGUUAUUCUAGAUUUUUUUAGUACUACUUGUGUUGGACUUACCAAUUUACUAUUAGAGAUAGGGUAGAUAAUUCCUACAUCUAAUAGUUUAAGGACCUCAUUUUUUACCACUUCUUUCAUAUGAGGGUUUAGUCUUCUUUGUGGUUGAUGGGUUGUUUUGGAAUUUUCCUCUAACUGUAUUCGGUGUGUGCAAAUUAAAGGAUUAAUGCCUUUUAUGUCUUUUAAGGUCCAACCAAAUGCAAUUUUAUGCCUUUUUAGUACAUAUAACAACUUACCCUCUUGAUCAUGUGUGAGUUGAGAAGAAAUUACCACCGGAUAUGUCUGCUGCUCUCCAAGAUAGACAUACUUCAAUUCUUCUGGUAAGGGCUUUAAUUCGAGCUCUGGUGCUUCCUCUUCGUUUGCUUCUUCAGGUUGUACCGUAUCUUCAAAGUUCGAUUGGUCAUCAUCACCUAUAGGUACCUGCAUAGAAUCAAGUGUAGGACAUAUGUUAGCAGUAUCAAAAUCUAAUUCCUUACUUGAUUCAACAGAACCAACAAAACAAAUUUCCGCAGAGUUUGUAAAAUUCUCAUCCUGAAUGUGUUCCUCAAUGAUUGGCUCAAUAAGAUAAAUUUCAUCAUUCUUAUUAUCAUCAUCUUCUUGGUGGUGAGGUUGUUUACACAUGUUAAACACAUUCAGUUCCAGUGUCAUGUCGCCAAAAGAUAAAUUCAUUAAUCCAUUCCUGCAAUUUAUCAAAGCAUUAGCAAUAGCUAAAAAUGGUCGACCCAAUAUAACAGGAAUUUGUUUGCAUUCAUUAGCAAUUGGUUCCGUUUCCAAAACAAUAAAAUCCACAGGAUAUAUGAAUUUAUCGACUUGGACUAAUACAUCUUCAAUUAUUCCUUUUGGAACCUUCAUCGAUCUAUCAGCAAGUAAAAGAGUGGUAGAAGUUGGUUUUAACUCACCAAGAUUGAGUUGUUGGUACACUGAGUAAGGAAGUAAAUUAACACUAGCACCAAGAUCAAGUAAAUCAUGUCCAAUUUUAUGAUCCCCAAUAGUGCAAGAAAUAGUUGGACAAUCAGGAUCCUUGUAUUUCAAAGCACUAUUGGUUGAGAGAAUGGAACUUACCUGUUCUGUUAGAAAAGCUCUCUUUUGCACCUUAUAUUUCUUUUUCACCGUGCACAGAUCUUUCAGAAAUUUAGCAUAGGAUGGCACCUAUUUAAUGACAUCCAGCAGAGGAAUGUUGACCUUUACUUGUUUAAAAAUUUCAUAAAUUUCUAGACUGUGGUUUCAUUUCUUUGGCUUGAUCAGUGCUUGAGGAAAUUAGGGUACAAGAAGAGAGUUGGUUACUUCUUCAUGGGUUAAAGGUUCGAUAAACUCUUCCAUAUUUUCUAAAAUUGAAUCUUUACUAGUUUCACGAUGGUCCACAAUGUGUUUUUCAACUACUUUACCACCACGAAGGGUUAUAACCGAUUUGACUUGACUCAUAUUUUGGUUUCCUGAAUUUCCCAUUUUAGGAUGUUGUUGACUCUUGGGGUUUGGUUCAGGUUGAGUAGGAAACUUUCCUUUUUCAUGUAUGGUCAGAGCAGAUGUAAGUUUGGAAAUAGUUUCUGUCAAAUUGGUUAAGAUUUGCAUCUUUUGGUUAUUGAUUGACUCUUUUUUUUCAAUAAACGAAUGCAAUGUGUCUUUCAGAGUUUUUCUUGGUGGUGGGACAUAUGGUGGGUAACUCUGGGAGUUUUGGAAAUUUUGACGUGGAGGGGCUGGUUGUGAAGGUUGUGCAUGAUUGUCAUUUCUCCAACUGAAAUUUGGGUGGUUUCUCCAACUAGAGUUGUAAGUUUGGGAGUAUGAAUUUGGAUUUGACUUUUUGAAAUUAUCAACGACAUCUACUUGUUCAUGCAGACUUUCUCUCAGAGCUGGUAAAGUUGGACAGUCCUGCGUAGAAUGGUCAGUAGAAUCGCAAACAUAACAUGAAAUAUUUUGAACAGACUUUACAUGAUCAUUCUUUUUCAACUCUAAUGCUUCGACUUUUCUAGCUAAUGAUGCAAAUUUGGCUUGAAAAUCAUGGUCUUCCCUAAGGUUAUGCAUGCCUCCACCAGAUGGAGAUGACUAGGGUUUGCUUGAUGACUCAUAAGAACCAACCGUAUCCCAGUGUUUUGCAUUUUCUGCUAUAUAGUCAAGAUAGUCUAAUGCAUCUUCAGGACUUUUAUCCCUAAACUCACCAUUACACAUCAUUUCAAUGACUUGUUUACCUUAGGAUGUUAAUCCCUCGUAGAAAUAAGACAUUAAUCUCCAUGUUUCAAAACCGUGAUGUGGACAAAUGUUAAGCAGUUCUUUAAACCUAUCCUAACAUUGGUAGAGAGUUUCUCAUGGUUUUUGAGUGAAAGUGGUGAUUUUGAAAUAAAAGUGUGCAACCCAAGAGGGGGGGUGAAUUAGAAUUUUAAAAAUUAUCCUAGCAAAUCUACACAACAAGCAAUCUAAUGUCUUAAUAAAAAUUGAAAGCAAUAAGUUCAAUAAAAGCACAAGAACGAAUGAGUAAGAGAGAAGAGAAACAAACACACGAAAUUUUACGUGGUUCGGCAAUCCCCGCCUACGUCCACGCCUCCAAGCGAUCCAAGCUUGAGGAUUUCACUAUCCGAGCCUUUCCAAGGCUUCAACCGUUUACAAUUGACUUCAAGGUGUCAAUGAACCUUUACAACAAAGAGAUUAUCUCUCAAUCUCUUCACUCAAGUGUCUCACACACUCAAACUUUUACAAUUAAGAUGAAGAAAUGAAAGUUACAAUAAAACUCACUCAAAAAGUAGAUAUUCAAAAAUGAAGAACAAGAAAUGAUUCAAUGUUUUGUGAUUUGCAAAUUGAAAGCUCAAGAUAUUUCGUGUGCUUUUUGUUUAUGCUUGGUGGAGAGCUUGAAAAUGAGUUGGAUUUGAGUUUAUAUAGUUUAAGCUAAAAAGCUAGCCGUUAUGCACAUUUUGGUCGUAAUCGGCUUGCCGUUUAGAAAUCUGGUAAGCUGCUUUUAUGUUACCGUUAAGGCAAAAAUUUGAAUUUCAGAAUAUCCGGCUUGCCGCUUUUCAUAUCCGGCAAGCCGCUUUUGAAAUCUGGAUUGCCGCUUGCGAAAUCCGGUAAGCCGUUUAUGCUCCAGAAGCUUACUGCUCAAAAUUUGGUUUGUCAUUUACCAUAUCCGGUAAACCGCUUGCUACAGUGACUGCUACAGUGAAAUAUUUCUUAAAUUUACAGCUUAACCUAAACUUUAUAAAAUUAUAUUAUGGCCCAAAAUGUUAUGAAAGUUUAUAAAUAGGUCUAAUUUCAUAAUUUUAAAUAAUACUUUGUCAAUCCCAAAACUUUAUGAAAUUAUGAUUUUGUCCAAACUAUGUGAAAUUAUAGAAUGACCCAAAAUAUUUAAAUAGUUUCAAAUAGGUCCAAAUCUGAAAUUUAAAACAUUAUCAAAGAUUUUAAAAUACUUUCAUUUUAGUCCAAAAUACUUUAAUUCCAUAACAUCAUUUUCUUAUUAUAAAAGCACAAUUCCUAAAUCUUUGCUUCAUCAAUACAUGUGGUUUGUUAUCAUCAAAAUCAAUCUUUAUAGGCAUAUAGGCUAACAGAUUUGUCUUUUGAAAGAAUUUGUUCUGUGGGAUGGGAAGAAUUUUUUCAAAAAUUGUGCUUGCAUUUCAUCCCAAGUUCUGAUGGAUUCUAACCUAAGAUUUUGUAGCCAAGUUUUAGCUUUAUCCUUUAGUGAGAAAGGAAAAAACUUAAGCCUGAUUAUAUUCAUGCUACAAUUUUGAUCAGUACAGAUGUUAUAGACUUCCACAAAUUCCCUUAAAUGCAAAUAUGAAUUUUCAGACUCAAAACCACGAAAAGUAGGAAGAAAUUGAAUGAUACCAGGUUUGAAAUUAAAACGUGAUGCAUCAGGAGGGAAAACUAUGCAUGAUGGUGACCCUGUUCUAGUAGGAUGCAUGAAAUCUCUAAGGGUCCUAGGUUGGUCAUGAAGAUCUUGCAAGGCUUGGUCAUAUUUAAGGGUGGUGAAGGUGAUUUUCUAAUUAAUCUACCACUAUUUGUACGAGACCAACGACGCAUGCAAUGCUAAUGAUGUGUGCUAAACUAAUGAUGCAAAAACGCUAAAUGAAAAUUGCAGAAAUAAAAGUAAACUGGAAAUUAAAUAAGCAAAAAAAAUACGAAUAAAAAUAAACACUGAAAAAUAAAUAAAUAAAUUAGGCGGUGAAACCAACCAUUAAAAGAAACAGUUUAGGCGGUAUUUUAAAACCAGCCAUAUAAUAAAACAUAAAAUUAAAUAAAUUAAUGCACAAAAAUAAAUAAACUGAAAUUAAAAUGCUAGGCGGUAGAACCGACCAUAUAAAUACAAAUACAUAAAUUAACAAAAUUUAAAUAACAGUCAAGCGGUAGAACUGACCAUUUAAAAUAAAUGCGGAAAGUAAAUUACAGAAAUUUAAAUAAAUAAAUUUGAUUUGAGGACUGAUUUGCAAAGGUUUUUGGGCUAAGAUGAAGUUUUUCACAAAUUUUAUGGAUAAUGUUAAGGUUUGAAAAGAAGAGGGGUGCUAACUAAAGUUUUACAAAAAGAGAAUCAAAUAGAAUCACGGAAAGAUGGUAACGACAAAACAAACAAAAAUAAAUUAAAAUAAAAUAAAAAUAAAGUAAAGACAAACGAAUACCAAAUUUAGAAAACUCCCCGGCAAUGGCGCCAAAAACUUGACACUACUCAAAAGUGUGUUACUCUCAAGUAUAAGAGUGUCUAGUUAUAAUAUAACCCGGUGAGACCGGGGUCGAACCACAUGGAGUUUUAAAUCUAGUAAAACUAAGAAAAUUAAUUGUGGGGAAAAGAAAUUAUUUGAAAUCAAUUUAAAAAUAAGUUAAGGUUUAGGAUCCACUCUUUGUAUUCAAACUAUAAUUUUAAUACUCUCUUAUUUAUAUUUUGCCUCACUUUUACCAAUUAAUUAUUAUAUCAUUUAAUUCUAUGUGUGUGGAUAAAUAUAGAAUAAAGUACCUAAUGUGCCACACUAUAUUAAUGUGUCGACAUUAUGUCAAAAUACCAUAAAAUCCAGUAGAUUUAUAAAUUAACAUGAUAUAAAAAUAAUUAGAAAAGAAUUAAAAAAAAACUCAUUUGAGAAAAUAAUAAUAAUUAAUAGUUUGAAACAUUGAGCUUCACUCUUCACCUCAGCUUAAUAAAAUUAGCUGCUCAUAUUGAAAGAAAACACAACAAUUUUUUUAUUUGAUAAACGUUUGAAAUAUAUUACAAAGAAAAUUGAUACAAACGGAAAUAAGAAAAGAAACAAAGAAAGAAAGAAAAUCUUCAGUCUCGGCUUCAGCUCUCAAAUUUUGCUCUCCAGCUUCCCCUCGCUCUUCAAUUUCUCCUCCCUUUUUAUAGGCAACAAUUGCCUUUAACUUUCUUUAUUUUAUUAUUUAUUUAUUAUUUUAUCAUUAUUUUGAAAUUAUAUAAGUGUGUUGAAAUAUGUGAUGGUCAGGAGGCGUAAUGGCCUCCUGACCAUCACCAACAUGUUUUUGUUCUUUUGUUCUUUUUUUUAUUGAUUAUUUAUUAUUACAUCUCUUCAAUUUUGUUCCAGUAGUUCUUCUCUGUUUCUGCUUUCAAUUCCAAGUCCAUCUUUAUUCCUGAAAAAUAUUUACAAGAUAAAAAUUAACAAAUUACGAAUUAAUUUAACAUAAAAUAUAUUUGGGGAAUAUUAAAAUAAUUUAGAAAUAAUGAACGCAUUAAUCGACACAAUAAGUGAAAAGCUAAUAAUUUUAUCCUUAUUAAAUGUACACGUUUUAGUGUCAAUCACACCCCCAACCAGCUUAUUAUUAGGCCCUAGCAAUUUAAGCGAUAAACGUUUAGUAAAAUUUCAAACUCAAAUUGAAAAUCAUUUUUUUUUAAAUUGUGUUUACUUCUUCCAUCAAAUUAAAUGUGAAUUUGAUAAAGUUGAAAAUACCAUAUGCUAUUAUAAUGAUCAAUAUUUUAUAAAGAUACCAGAUCCAUGGGGGAAAACGAUUAUGUUAGAAUAUAACAAGGAAUAAAUUGAUACCCUAAGAAAUAGGAUCAGAUUUGCUCGAAAUAGAAUUAGUGAACCGUAUGUUGAAAAAAGAGUUAAGAGACUUUGGUAAAGUCCCCAUAGUUCAGCUUCCAUAAUGGAAUAACUACCCAAAUUCAUGCUAAACCCGCAAACCCAUUCCCUACAAUAAUUCCUCACCAAGCCACCACAAUUAGCCAAUCCCGAUCUCUUCAAAGCCUCAUCAGUAUUGAGCUUGAAGAAUGACCACUUUGGGGGCUGCCAAUAGAUCCAUCUUUUAGUUUUUGGAACUCUCUGACUAUCUAAAGACUUUAUAAGCAGCGAUGCUUUUUUCCGUGCGAUUGUUCACAUUCACAAUUACAUUGUGAAGGCUGCUUGAUUUGUGCGCAUAAACGAACUCAUUGUGCCAAUACCACAUGCGCCAGACAUGACGCCAAAUAACAUUGACCUAUCCUUCUCAUUAGUGAUCCUCAAGUGGUUUUUCAUAUUAUAAACAAUCCAUGCACGAACAUCCAAUGUAAAAAAGGUAUGACUUGUGUGUUUCGAAAUAAGGGCUAACCAAAUGCGUUUAGAGUCAACAUAAUCCCCGACUGCAUGGAGAGCAUCCUCUAUGAUAUGCCCACACCGCAUGCAAGUACUAUCAUUAAGCACAUGUCUUCGCGAUAAUUUAGCAUUAUUUUUCAAUCUAUUAUGCAUCAGCAGCCAAAGAAAGCACUGAAUGCUUUGGGGGCCUCUCCAUAUCCAAAUCAAAACCCAAAGGGAAUUAUUUUCAUUUAGCAUCGGUCUAAAGAGGGAUAAAUAAGCUGACCUCACGCUAAACGAACCAGACCGCGAUGGACCCCAAUAACAACAGUCAACUUCAUCGCUAACAGAAGGGGGCAUAGUGCCUGCUAUUUUGAGAAUUAUAUGGUGGGGUAGAAAAGAAGCAAAACAGUCCCAGUUGCAAGCACCAUUAUUAUCGAUAAAAUUAGCUACACACUCAUUUAAUAUGUUUUCAGUGAUUGUACCGAAAGUAUAAGAUUGCAACCAACGCCCAUCCUCCAGCCCAUAAUCUUUCCAAAAUCUAGCCAACUUCCUAUUCCUAAUAGCCCAGCGAGUCCCUUAGAGAACCUCAUUCCAUACGUUUCCCACGAAUUUUCAUAAAGGAGAACUAUAUCAAGUAGGACGUUUUAGAGGAAGGUUUUCUUUAUCAACGCCAUAUUUAAAUAUCAAUACUUGAAUCUAGAAGCUGUAGGGUGAUUCAAUAUGACCCCAACCAAUUUUCAUUAGUAAGGCUUUAUUCAUGAGAUUAAGAUCUUUAAGGCCAAGGCCCCCACAUAAAUUAAGGAGUUGUACUCUAUCCCACUUAAUAAGGUGUAUGCGAUGAGUCUCGUCAAUCUCGUUCUAGAUAAAAUGCUUGCAAAUCUGAUCAAUUUUAUUACGAAUACUUAGAGGUAGCAUGAAGGUCUACAUGGAAUAAGUUGGGAGAGCCAGAAUGAUCGACUGCAUUAAUGUUAUCGGACCUACAAGAGAAAGAUGUUUGGUUGUCCAGCCCGGAAGUCUCUGUAGUGCUAAUGGUGGUCAAGGAUAAGGUACCAGUUUCAGUGGGAGACAUUGAGUUUGCAUGAGAAAUCUGGGAGAUUUCAUAGAGAAUGUAUGAGUUAGUGACAAUGGUAAACAUGAUUAAACGCGUGAACUAACAUAAAAUGAAAUACAAAAACUAAAUGAUAAAGCACGAGUUUUGAAUAACAUUUAUUCUUCAAUCCACCAUCAAUUAAACAGAAGCAAGCCACUGUCAUUCUAAGUAAACAAACAUAACAAAACCACCUACAUAGGAAUAAUUUUUCAAUAUAGGAAUCUUGAACUUUUCAUGAAAAAAAAUCAGUUUACAAUAUUAGAGGUACGUGAAAAAUAAAGUUUAUAACAUUGUAUUAGUGGCUUGAGCAAUGCUUUUUGCCACUACGUUUUUUGUUGUUGUCUCUUUUGUGAAAUCAAGCCCCGUAGCCAAAGUCUCUCUGAUAGUAUUGAUGUUGCUGCCACCGGGCAAAUGAUGAGCAACAAAAAAACUGCUUAAAACAUUGCAGUAACUUUAAAACAAGGCAUGAAAUUAAAAGGAAGAGAAUAGAUGAUGCACUUUUGAAGGUAGAAAAGAAGGAUGAUUCAAGAUUCAUUUCAAAUUUUUUUGAAGUGUUUUGAUUAGUGAAUAUCCAAAGGCUGCUUAACUACAAAGGUGAAGUGGGAAGAAAUUUUGACAUUUUGUUACAUUGAGCUAGCCAGCGAAUGUCUAUGAGGGGCUUCACUUGUACACAUAAAAAAGGAAGAUUAAUUACUCGUGGUUUUUUAUUCAGAAAAAAAAUGGCUUGCUUAAAAUAUAGAGUGUGGUUAAUUUCAUUGAAGGACAUGAUUCAAAGGAAAAGAAAAAUAAAUCUAAUAAUCAACUAAACAAAAAAUAAUGCCAAAAACAAUAAAUUUAAUUAAAUGUACAGUGAAAUUACCUUUAUAAUGCAACAAGAUAUUAAAAUCAAUAGUUAAUGCUAAUAAAUGAAGCGUAAUUUAUUUAAUACUUAUUUAUGGACUCUUUCAAUUCCAUUAAAGCCACUGCAAGUCGUUUUUUAAUAUUCGCUGAGAUAAAUAGAGGCUCAUGCCUUUCUGAUUCUUCCACAUCUCUUUCAAUUCUAAUUAAGCCGUUUGCAAUUCUCUUAAGAAAUUAAAAAAUGUCGAAGAGUCUUACUUUCAUCAUUUUGGCUUUGCUUGUAGUGGCAAACACUAAAAACAUGCUUAUUUCAGCCAGUAGAACUAGCCAAGGAUCUAAGCCAGAGGCUUUAUUUUCUAUUAACCCUAUAGCAUCACCUGACAUUGUUGAUUGCUCAGGGCUCACAAGUGAAGAGUGUUUGAUCGAGUUGAUUAAGAAAGCACUUGUAGACUAUCGAUACCCCUGCCCUGAGGGGGGGUGCAAAUGAUAUUGUUAAUAAGUUAUUUCUUUUACCUUGUAGGAGUGCUUUUGCAAUAACGAUCAAUUACAGUGAAAUUGAAUUCGUGUUUUUAAUAAAAUAAAACAUUAAUCCAUUAUGCAUAGGUAAUAUUAUGUCAUAUGUUUUUGGUGUGUGUAUCUCCUACUGCUUUGUUAUAGAUGCAUCGUCGAAUCAAUCUUCCAGAAAUCAGUUUCUUUAAAUAAUAGAAAUUAUCAACCAAUCAACAUUACUAUGUUGGUACCAUUUGUAAUAUUUAAAUUUUAAGUCUAUCUACUUUUAGGGUGAGAUUAUUGAUUCCUAAGAAAAAUAAUAAAAUAAACCCUCAUUAUCGAAAUCCUAUAUUACUAAGCUGUCUGAUUUAAUUUAAUGUUAAACUUUAAUUUAACCCCUGAAAAUGUCCAGACUUACCUACAUUUAUUGCUAAGAAUAUGAUUUAAAAGUUCAUUAAUGUGCACCUCAUUUAUGCUCAUCUUUUGAAGAACAAAUAGGGUGGAUUGAGAUUUUCAUACUUUUGGAGGGUAAAUUAAAGAUAGUUAUUAGGAGGGAACAAAUUGAAGUUUGUUUUUAAAUGCAAAGAUGUAUUCUUUUCGUUUAUUUGAGAUAGUUCGUUUGACUUUAAUUUAACAUAUGUUUUUGUAAUUGAAAUAUAGAUACUUCUUUAUUUUUGUUAUUCAGCUAAGUAAUAUAAUAUUUAUAUUUAAUUGAUCACUUAAAAAAUGUUUAUGCAUUAAUAUGUUAAUUUUUCGCUGCUUGGAAGGUAAGAAUUUUUUUUUUAUAAGAAAAUAAUGCAAGCAACAAUAAGAAUUAAGAUUAAUCAUAUAAUGAUGCAAACUAUGGACAUGCUAAUUAGUUGGUACACGGAAUCUUAAUCAAUGAUGUCCGGUUUCAGCUUUCCUUGUUUUUUCUUUCUUCGGUAAUGCUCUUGAGAUGUUAUGAAUUAAAUAAACAUAUGUUCCCAAUUAUGCACUCUUAUCAUAUAGGGAGCAUCAUAAACAGAGGAAAAAAAAAUUUCAAGUUUGGUGACCAAAAAGACUUGAAACAAUGCCUAAUGUCUUUGAAAGAAGUAGGGGAUUCAACACAACUGUGUGGACUGAAUAGAGAAGUAGUAGCAAAUAGAACACUCAACAUAAAAGGCACCAAACAAAAUACAGUUAAAAGGUUGUUACAAGUGAAUAAAAGUUACAGAUUUUAUUUUGAAAUUAAAUUCUAAAAAUAAAUUCAAGAGUUAGUGUUUCAUUUUCUGGAUGUAAAUGCCCUUCACCAAUUUCAUUUUAAAAACACACCAAAAUCCAAGUAAUUUUUUUGCUCACCUCUCUCAACUAAAAUCUUUCUAUCUUAGACUUCACGUGAUGGAGUUCCAACACUAGUUUGAAGUUCGCAAGAGUAGUGAGAUUAUGUUGCCGAGACCAUUUGACUUUGUAAUAUCCUAAGGGACAGUUGCUAAUAUAACCUAAGUACUACUGAGAAAAUGACAAAUCCUUUUUAAGGACAUUGUAACUGCACAUGCCUCAGUUUUAAUUUUAUGUUCUUCUCUUUUCUUAUUGAUCUAUACUAGAGAAAAUAUCUCUACACUAACUCUGUUUUUAUCAUAUGUACAUCUAGACACCACAAAAUUUUAACAUGUUCUUUGCACCACCAUCAUUUCUGAACUUGUAUUAAUCGACUAAUUUGACAAUAAUAAUUAAAAUAAAAUGACCAUUUUACCCCUAAGUGAUCUAAAAGACCAUUUUAUCCCACGAAAUUUUUAAUUAAAAAAAUAUGAUUACCAUUUAAUUAAUUGAUAAAAUAUUAUUGAAAAAUCAACCUGCGAGUACUAUUUAAUUAAUGGAUAAAAUAUUAUUGAUUUUUUCAAUUCUUUUGACCAAACAAAUGUGUAAUUCUCAUCUUAAAUAUUUUCCUUUUUUUUUAUCAAUCUUACAGUCACAAUUAUCAAACAAUUUUCAUUUUUUAAAUUAAUCACCAAAAUAACAAUAGUUUGAACCAAUUUUGAAUAAUAAAAAUUAUAAAUUGGAAAAUGUAUCGAGUAAAAAUUAUAAUUAUAAAAAUUAACAUCGCAGAUUUUGAGAUUUUUUUCUAUUAAAUCAAAGGUAUUCUCAUGACUAUAAUUUUUUUUUUCAAAACUUUUGUAGGAUAAAAUAGUCUUUCAUUUCAUUCAAGAAUAAAAUGGUCAUUUUAUUUCAUUUCUUAGUGUGAAAGUAGUUCACUGAAAGAACUUUAGAAACAAAGUGGUGAAAGAACAAGUUAAAAAUUUGUGGUAGUUAGAUAUAUGUAUGACAAAACAGUGGUGGUGCAGAGAUAAUUUCCCUUAAUACUAUUGACAAGUGUGUAGCUAGCUUACUAGUAAACUUAGGCACUCUUAGAAAGAUUCUAAAGCAAAAGUAAUGCCUGAAAAAUCUAGAUUUAAGUAAGGCCAUUUGUGACCCUUUUAGUCUUUUCUAAGAACUCAACUGGUAUAUUUUUUCAUACACUAUGGAUUGUUUUAUGUCAUUUAUUGGCAAUAAUUUUCAACAUAUAUUCCCAAACUUUACCAUUAUAUAGCUUGAAGUUCAUAGGACUUUGGAAUCAGAUCAUUUACAACAAUCUUUACAAGGUGAUAAUGAUACGGAGAGCAUAUGUAAAUUUUAAGUCAAUCAGUAUGAGGGCGCCUUCAACUUAAUUGGGGUCUUCACUUUUAAGGCACUACCGGGGUGGUCAUUGCCCUCAUUGCUUAUGUACCUUAACUUCAUAUAGAUUUUUACUUUUUUCGAUCCCCUUUUUGGAGCAUAAGUAGAUUGUCGAUUAAUGCCAAACGCAUAAGAAUAUGGUCAGAUGCCUAGAUUAUAGAAAAAUAACGAAAUUUAAAGUAAUACAUCAGACUGCUGAUGUAUUAACAUUAUAUUGAAAUUUAAUAUUUGGCUACCAACAAGCACAUAUUAUAUAAAAAGAAUUAAACAAGCAAAUAAGCAUAAAGUGAAAUACUUAAAUAGAAUGAUAGAGCGCAUGUUUUGGAAAAGUUUAUUCCUCAAUCCACCACUAAUUAAAUAGAAGCAAGUCACUGUCAUUCUAUGUAAACAUACAUAAACAAUCACGUACUUAGGAAUAAUUUUUUGAUUUGGGAAUCUUGAAUUUUUCAUUAAAAAAUUAGUUUACAAUAUUAUAAGUACGUGAAAAAGAAAGUGAUCGUGUACGAGGGUUUUUUGCAUUACCGAUCAAUUGCAGUGAAAUCAAAGCUGCGUUUUAAUAAAAAGAAGAAAAGGAUCACACAUACAUAGUUCAUACUUCUAAAUGUUGGAUUAAAAUUUAUUAAAACACAACACGGGCGAAGUCACUAGCAAAUAGCAAAGAAUAGCAAAGUCAUUCUUCGGGAAUAUAUUGAAUAUCACUCUAGAUAUGUUACAGUAGUAAACUUCACUCCAUUUUAUUAGAAGUAAUAGGACCAUUUGGUCCAUAUAUUGAAGAUGUAUCUACCUACAAAAGCAUAGUUAAUGGCCAACAAUAUCUCAUCUUAACCACACCAGAGACAUCAUUUACAAUGCAUAAGCUAAAUUAGUAUAUGGCUGCUCCUACACUUCAAAAUCUAAUGGCUUGUAAACGAGUGUUAAGGUACUUAAAGGAACUGGAAGAUAUGGAUGAAACUAAUUGGAUUCACAGAUACAGAGUAGGUAUGUGAUUUGGAUGACAAAAAAUCUAUUGGAGUUUACUACGUAUACUUGGGAAACAAUUUAAUACAUGGUCAUCAAAGAAGCAAUCUAUGGUAGCAAGGUCCAGUGCAGAAAGUGAAUAUAGAGCACUUGCAGAAUUAACUUGGUUGCAAUCAUUAUUCAGUGAAAUCAAAAUACAACGUACAUUAGUUCCAUCAAUUUGGUGUGGUAAUGCAAGUGCCACUGAAUUAUCCAAGAAUCCAAUCUAUCACUCAAGAACUAAACAUAUUGAGUUGGAUAUGCACAUUGUGAGAGGCAAAAUACUUGUAAAAGAACUUUUAAUCAGUUAUAUAACAUGUGCAGAACAAAUUGCCCAAUUAUAUCUUUACAUAUUAAUUUUGCUAGUAUAAUAUCCUUGAGAAUAAUUUGAAUCAAAUGAUUUUGUUACUUUGGUAGUAAUUAAAUAAUAUUAGAUUGAAUUGCUGUGUCAUUUGUUUAGCUUAUUUUAACCCUAUGUAAAAUUAGCUUCGGCAAGUAAAAUGAAAUUUACAUUAUUAAAAUCAUUGUUUGUGGUAAUAAAAGUUCACUUGGAAUUUUAUAAUAUCAACUUGAAAUUUAACUCAAAGUAUUGGUAGUUAAGGAUUUUAAUAGAAAUAUUAAAUAGAAACAAGUAGUUAACAAGUUAAAACAAGUAAACCUAUAAUUGAGUAUGUUUAACUAAAAUUAGGGGCUAAUUUAACAAAAAGUUAAACAAUAGAAAGUAAAUUUGGCAUUUAACCCAAAUAGUUAAAAUUUUACCAAGUUAUUGGAAAUACUCAAACAAAAGUAUUGAAAUAAUAGUUGAAACACAUAAGUUAAAAAGGAAUAAAAUAUUAACCAAAUUCUAAUUUUAAAACUCAUCCAAUAAGAAAUGAAUUUAAUUAGAAUUUAACAAAAAGUAUUGGUAUUUAAUAAACUUAAUAUGAACAUUAAACGCAUAGCUGGUAGAUUUAUAAGUUAGAAAUAUGUAAACCUAGAAGUAAGAAGGUUUAACCAAAAUUAAGGCAUAAAAAAUAUAUAAAAAAUUCCAAUUGGUAUUUAAAUUAAAUAAUUGCAACCUUACCUAAUCAGUAGGAAUAUUCAACAAAAAAAUAGUGGAAUAAUUAGUUGAACCAUAUGAACCUAGAAGGGAGAAAAUUUAAGCAAAAUUAGGAACUUAUCCAAUGAGAAUGAACAUUAUUUGGAAUCUAACCCAAAAUUGGUAUUAAAUGAACGUAGUAGGAAUAUAAAACACAAAACUGGUAAACUACUAAUUAAGUUGAAGCUUGUGGACCUAUAAGUGAGAAAAAUUAACCAAAAUUAGAGACCAGUUUAACCAAAAAUAAAAUUAUAAAAAUUAAAUUUGGUGCUUACCCUCAAUAAUUAGAAUCUUAUUAAGUUAAUAGAAGUAUUCGAUACCAAAAUUAUGGAAAUUAGUAGUUGAAACUGGAAACCAUAAGAGAGAAAGUUCAAGUAAAAUUUGGAACUCAUCCACCAGAAAUAAAUUUAACUUGGAAUCUAACCAAAAUAUUGGUAUUGAAUGAAUAUAGUAGGAACAUCAAACACAAAACUAGAGGACUAAUAUGUUGAAAUAUGUGAACCAAUAAAUGAGAAAGUUAACCAAAGUUAAAGCCUAUUCUAACAAAAAAAAAUUAUAAAAAUUAAAGCUAUUAUUUAUUUCAAAUAAUUGAAAUUGUACUAAGUUACUAUAAAUAUUCAACACAAAUGAAAUAAUUAGUUGAGACAAGAACUCGUAAGAGAGAAAUUUUAAGCAAAAUUAGGAAAUCUUUAAAUGAAAAAUGAAAGUUGGAAUAUAACUUAAAAUAUUGGUAUCGAAUUUGGUACGAAUAUCAAAUACAAAAUUGAUGGACUAAUAACUUGAAACGUGGGAAACCAUAAGUGAAAAAGCUUAAGCAAAAUUAACGACUAGUCUAAGAAAAUAUAAUUGUUAUAUUUAACCCAAAUAAUUGAAAUCUUACUAAAUUAAUGAGAAUGCACAAUGUUCCUAUUGAAUUCCUUAAAUACUAAUAUAUUGGGUUAGAAUGUAAGUAAAGUCAUUUCCUAUUGGAUAAGUUCACAUUUUCGUUAUAUUUUCUACUAUUUGGGCUCAGUAGUUUCAAUUAAUUAUUCCAUCAUUUUGGUGUUGAGCAUUUCCAUUAACUUUGUAAGAUUCCAAUUAUAUAGGUUAGAUACUAAAUUUUUAUUUUUUAUAAAUUUAGUUUUGUUAGAUUAGUAACUUAUUUUGGUUAAACUUAUAGGUUCGUUUAUUCACUUUUAAGUUCACUAUUUUCGUGUUUUAUAUUCCUACUAAUGUCGUUAAAUACCAAUAUUUUGAGUUAGAUUUUAAACAACUUUCAUUUCUAUGAGAUGAGUUCAUAAUUUUAGUUCAACCUCAUUUCAUGUGGGUUUAUAUAUUUCAACUAUUAUUCCACUAAUUUUGUUCAGAAUAUAAAAAUGGAAGAAAUAGUUAUUUAUUUUGUAAAUAAUGGAGGAUAUAAUUUAAUGAUAGAUAGUAAAUAUAGACAAUAUUAUUAUUCAGAACAAAAUAUAUUAGAUGAUAACAACUAGAACAAUUGUAUUUUUCCGGAGAGCUCAUGAAAUUAGAAUUGGAGAACUCAUAAUAAUAAAGAAUUGAAAUUUCAACAUAGAUCCUAUUCUCCUAUUCACAGUUAGGAGAGAGGUUUAUAGAAAUAAUUUUUCAUAGAAAUAAUGGAAUAUUAAUUAUGUUGAGGAUUAUAUAGAUGAACUUGUGAUUGAUUAUAAUAGAUUUUUAACUAUUAAGCAAAGAGAUGAAUACAAUUGGAAUAAAUAAAGGAUCAGAAGUGAAUACUAUCCUUCUAGCAACAUUCUAAUAGGAUACAAAGAUUUAAUUAUAUAUAAGCUUUGUUAUAUACAUAAAGGAUUAGAAGAAAACAAUAUUUCUAAGGAUAUAAAAAAUAUUAUAUAUCACAAAUACUUGAUAGAAUAUAAUGAAAUAUUAUACAUAUGGUAUUAUGAAUAUAUUACUAGAACCAUUGAUAAUUUCAAAAAAUAUAGAAACCAAUAAAUUUCCACCUUCUCGCUAUAGGCAUAGAGGAUUUACUUAUGAAAGAUUUCAACCAUUUGAUUUGGUAAAUGAUUUUGAUAUGUAAGGAAGUAAUAAGUUAAACUAGAUUUCUCUAUAUUUAUUAAAUAAAUUUGGAAAUCCUAAUUUAACCAUAAAUGAUAUAGAAGAAAGUACAAAUGAAAUACUUGAAAUUAAAAGCUUUAAUACUGAAAAUAUAACACAAGUUAAAAUGUUAAAAGAUCAAAUGAGUGAAGAAUUUGAUUCACUCAAACAAUUAUAAAAGACUUCAAAAUUGAAGAUUAAGAUAGAUUGAAAUAAGAAAUCAUUAAUGUCAUGAACAAAAAUUCAAUUGAAGAUCAAUUACAUAAAAUUGGAAAAAUCAUUGAACAACUUGGUAAUAAGUGACAAGACUCAAAAGUGUAUUACUCUCAAGUAUAAGAGUGUCUAGUUAUAAUAUAACUUGGUGAGACCGGGGUCGAACCACAUGGAGUUUUAAAUCUAGUAAAAGUAAGAAAACUAAUUGCGGGGAAAAGAAAUUAUUUGAAAUCAAUUUAAAAAUAAGCUAAGGUUUAGGAUCCACUCUCUGUAUUCAAACAAUAAUUUUAAUACUCUCUCAUUUAUAUUUUGCCUCAUUUUUACCAAUUAAUUAUUAUAUCAUUUAAUUCUAUGUGUGUGGAUAAAUAUAGAAUAAAGUACCUGAUGUGCCACACUAUAUUAAUGUGUCGAUAUUAUGUCAAAAUACCAUAAAAUCCAGUUAGAUUUAUAAAUUAACAUGAUAUAAAAAUAAUUAAAAAAGAAUUAAAAAAACUCAUUUGAGAAAAUAAUAAUAAUUAAUAGUUUGAAACAUUGAGCUUCACUCUUCACCUCAGCUUAAUAAAAUUAGCUACUCAUAUUAAUAGAAAACACAACACUCUUUUUAUUUGAUAAAAUGUUUGAAAUAUAUUAUAAAGAAAAUUGAUACAAACGGAAAUAAGAAAAGAAAAAAAACAAAGAAAGAAGAAAAUCUUCAGUCUCGGCUUCAGCUCUCAAAUUUUGCUCUCCAAUUUCCCCCCGCUCUUCAAUUUCUCUCCCUUUUUAUAGCAACAAUGAUUUAACUUUCUUUAUUUAUAUUUAUUUUAUUAUUUAUUUAUUAUUUUAAAAUAUAUAAGUGUGUUGAAAUGUGUGAUGGUCAGGAGGCAUAAUGGCCUCCUGACCAUCACCAACGUGUUUUUGUUCUUUUGUUCUUUUAUUUUUUAUUUUUUAUUUUUAUUUUAUUGAUUAUUUAUUAUUACAUCUCUUCAAUUUUGUUCCAGUAGUUCUUCUUUGUUCUCGCUUUUAAUUUCAAUUCCAUCUUUAUUCAUGAAAAAUAUUUACAAGAUAAAAAUUAACAAAUUACGAAUUAAUUUAACAUAAAAUAUAUUUGGGGAGUAUUAAAAUAAUUUAGAAAUAAUGAACGCAUUAAUCGACACAAGAAGUGAAAAACUAAUAAUUUUAUCCUUAUUAAAUGUACACUUUUUAGUGUCAAUCACACCCCCCAACCAGCUUAUUGUUAGGCCCUAGCAAUUUAAGCGAUAAAAGUUUAGUAAAAUUUCAAACUCAAAUUGAAAAUCAUUUUUUUAAAAAAUUGUGUUUACUUCUUUCAUCAGAUUAAUGACAACAAUCAAAUAAAAGUAUAAGCAUUAUCUUCAGCCUGAAGAAAAUCACACCCGCUCAAAAUAGUUCAGUAAAAUCUUGUAAAAUGAUCAAUUAUCAGAGCUACAUUAAUCAAGCCACUUUUAAGAAUGAUACAUCAAACCCCAAAAUCUCACGAUUAAGAGUGACUAUCUCAAAAGAAGAUAUACCCCAAAUUAAUUUGUCACUCUAAAAAAAUGGUAAAUUUGAGAGAAUAAUAAAACAAUAUCACACGCUCUCACCAAGAUAAAAAUUAAUGCCCACAACUUAGAAAUAAAAUGAUAUCAAAUCCAAUGAAUUACUAGCAAAAUUUAUUUUUAUUUUUACUCAUCACCACAUCUUUUAGUCCAUAUUACCAGCUUUUACUUCAGAUUAUAAUUCCCAAAAAUCGAGAAGGACUUUUAUUAGGACGUAACGUAGGCUAUGGUUAUGGCUAACAAAAAAGGUGAUAGGGAAAAUAAAAAUAUAUGUUUGAAAAAUAGGGGACUUUUUGGAGAUUAUAAGGUGCUCUUUUUUUUUUUUCUCAGGUUCAAAGGGGUUAACUAUGGAUUCUUUAUAAUAGGGUUGGAUAGAAAGGCUCAAACGGAUCAAAGAUGGCCUUCUGUCAUCUUUUAGGGUUCUAUAUAAUCUUUCAUAUCCACUAGUUCAAUGGACUAUUAUAUGCGGCUGCACAAACUUUUUUUUUUAAUAUUGAGAUCUUGUACAAUAAAUUGUGAAGCUGUAUAGGCAAACAAGGUUACUCUCCAAGGAUAACAAACUCAAAAACUCGCUUGGUCUUUUUAUAACAUGUACAUUCAUCCAAAUGGCUUAAUCAAUUUCACUCAUUCAAUUUCUCAAUUUACGUUUCAACAUGCAAAGGGAAAAACAUAGUGUAAUAUAACUCAAGGCCAAAGAUAAUAUGAGUACCAAAAUUUGAAAAUCAUCAUGUUAUCCAAUGUUAAAAGAUCACAUCAAAAAAGAAAAUAAUUUUUUUUAAAGAAAGCACUAAAAAAUUGGGACUAAUUGUAGAAACUUAAGGGAGAUGAUUAAAAGAAAAAGACCGAAAACAACAAGUUAGAAACAUUGUUUUUUGGAAGAAAUCACAAAAAUUAAGAAGAUGCGUUUCUAGAGACAUUACAUUCUAUAUUCUGUCAUCUUCGACUCAAAUUUUUAUCCAAAGUUAGUCUUUACAACAAAAAUUAGUAAAAACAUCACUAGGAAUGAGACAUUCCAUAAUUAUCAACUAUUCCCUCCCCCCAACCUGAAGGAGACAUUGUCCUCAAUGUCUAAAGAAAGGAGUAGAGUUUAGACGAUAUCACCUGGUCACUGCUGGAAAUAUUUACAGACGGAGAGUUAAAUCUAAUUUACACUUUUUACGAGAGUUACUGCCAUCGUUAUCAAUUGCCCAAUCCAACACCAAAGUCAUGGGAUCUGGCUUUGGUUUGUAAGCUUGCAAAAGAGUGCAAAAGAUCAAGUAACUCAUUAGCAGUAUGAGCACAAAUGAAGAGUUUUUUCGCUGAGGAUGGAAUGAAAUAAUUUUUUAUUACAUGAUUAAGAAAUGUUAUUAAGCCAUUAUAAAAGUUAUUAACAUUUAACAAACCGAUUGGUUUUUUAUGGAUAUUAAAAUGGGUCCAGUAAGCAAAUGUAAUUAGCGCCUCCAAAGUUGCAAGGUCUCCUGGCAAGAAAAUAAAAACGUCAGCAUGAUUUAACAUUUCGGAUAUUCUUUCUUGCAUACUUGAGACAACUAACUCUUCUCCAGUUGGUGAGUCUGGUAGCCAUCCUAAAGGUUUUAAGGCUUUUGAAAUGAUGCCUAGCACUUGGCUUCCUCGAACGAAAGCAGCUUCAGAGACAAGCUUUGAUAACCCUCGGUCACCUCCUCCAUAUACAAGAUGUAGUUUCCUCUCUGCUAUAGCACGACCAAGAUCUACGGCUACUUAAACGAACUCCUUAAACUUUCCAUAGCGAAAUCUAGAAAGCACACAAAUGUUUUUAAGUUGACUGCUUGAAGUUGCUGCCAUUACAAAAAUUCUAAAAAGAAACAAUUUGUGAGUGCUUGAAAAGGAGUUCCUAUUUAAGGAUCUUGGUGACGGACAUAAUGAUGUACAUUUGUAAAUGGGGUGGUGUGUUUGUUAAAUGACGUGUGAAGCUUUUAGCUUAAUAAUUCAAAUGCAAACAGUGAAAAGAAAAAGUAAAUUGUGAUUAGAUAAAAAAAACAAUAAUAAUAAUAAUGCAAAAUAUAAAAGAACAGUAAAAUAAAAGGAUAUUUACUGGUAGUUGUAAUUGUGGCUUACAUCUUCCUCUGAUUUUACAUCCAGUAACGGCUUGAACGCCCUCUAUGGGUCGAGGAUAGGGUUCCCAUCCAGUUUUCUUAUAAACUGGCAAACAAGGUCUUUUAGAGUCAGAUUCCCAAGACUAAACUGUGCACUUUCCUUUUGGAACAGCUUCAACAAAUUUUGAAUUUCACGUUGAACAUAUAUGCUCGGAUGCAUCUCAAGAGAUCGUAAGAUAUCAUCCAACGAUUCUUUACUCAUGCUAUCCUUAACGAAUUUGAUUUUAUCUUCACGAUUUACAGAAAUCAUUCCUAAAGCUUUACAACGUGGAUUUUUGCAAGCAAGUCUUACACAAUGAGAACAUUCAGAGCCAAGUCGCUUAGCUCUUCUUUUUUUAGCAAAUGUACUUUUACCAAAACCAGGCAUGUAGGAAAUGAAUAGAUCAGAAAACUCACCUUCCAAUCGGACCUUUGCUUCGAUUAACUAUCGAAUGUCAGCAGGAAUCCCAUUGAUCAUUAACAAACACAGUUGUUCACAACGAGCUUUGUAACUCUUCUUAAGAGCAUUUUGAGGGAGAGAAGGAAAAUGUUGAUGCAAAUUUUGUUGUAUUUCUUCCAUGCUUGACAUUGAGGUUUCAGUUAUUGUGGGAAACUGAGAAUGCCGACUUAAAAAGUCACGGAGUACCGUUAUCCGUCAUUUAUACGAGAGAGUGAAUCAAAACAAAACAAAUCAAAUCUGCAAAAUCAAAUCAAAAGUGAAAAAUAGCAACAAAAUAAAACAAAAACACACAAGGAAUAUAACACACCUUCGUCCUUUUAUUGAAUCCAGUUCCAAUUGCAGAUUAUAAAUACCAUCAUCUAUUUCCUUGAGUUGUCUUUCUAGAUCUUUCACGUGAGAUACUAACUCUGGUGGUUGCAGAUCCCAAAUGGGAUGUAAUUUACAAAAUCGGAGCAAUUUCCUCAGGUGAAAUUUUACAUGAAAAAGCGUUUUAAAAUUAUCGAAAAGGAAAUUGCUCAUGGAGGUACUCAUGACAAGUAUAAAAAUUUGGUGAGCUAAAUCACAAUUGUCAAACAACACACAAUUAAAACAAUGCAAUGCACUCCAUUCAAGACAUAUGGAAAAGGAAAAAGAAAAAGAAAUCAAAUAAUUCAAAUGAUAAAGUAACAGUAAAUCAAAACAAAACGUUAAAAUGAAAAGGCUUAAUCAAAAUUUUGGUGGGUCACUCAAAUGGAAUUCGGCAUCUGCUUUAUGUGGUUGGUAUUCCAGAUAUGGUUUCAAUCUUUGGCCAUUAACUUUAAAUGUGACACCAUCCUUUGGAUUCUCAAUUUCUACGGCUCCAUAUGGAUACACAUUUUUUACAACAAAUGGGCCAUUCAACUUUGACUUUAACUUCCCUGGAAAUAAAUGAAGACGAGAAUUAUAAAGCAACACUUUUUGACCAAUUUCAAAUGUUUUCCGAAAAAUUCUUUUGUCAUGAAAAAAUUUGGUUCUUGCCUUAAUAAUUCUGGAAUUAUCAUAUGCAUCAUUCCUUAAUUCCUCAAGUUCAUUUAUUUGCAAUUUACGCACAUUGCCAGCAUCAUCAAGAUUUGAAUUAAAAGCUUUAAUGGCCCAAAAUGAUUUAUGUUCAAGUUUUACUGGUAAGUGGUAAGAUUUUCCAUAAAUAAGCCGAUAGGGUGACAUUCCUAAAGAUGUUUUAAAAGCAGUACGAUAUGCCCAAAGUGCAUAAAUUAGUCGAAGAGACCAAUCUAUACGGUUUGGAUUAACUGUUUUUUCUAAAAUUUGUUUUAUCUCCCUAUUUGCUAAUUCAACUUGACCACUUGUUUGAGGGUGAUAAAGGGUAGCAACCUUAUGUGUAAUUCCAUAUUUCUUCAUGAAAGACUCAAAUGGCUUAUUACAAAAAUGCUUACCUCCAUCACUGAUAAUGGCUUGAGGUAUUCAAAAUCUGCUCAAAAUAUUUUCUUCUAAAAAGCGGAUCACAAUCUUGUGAUCAUUGUGCCGACAAGGAAUCGUCUCGAUCUAUUUUGAAACAUAAUCAAUAGAAAUCAAAAUGUAUACAAAUCCAAAUGAUGAUGGGAAAAGACCCAUAAAAUCAAUUUCCCAACAAUCAAAUAUUUCAAUGACAAUGAUGGGGUUUAAAGGCUUCAUGUUCCGCUUUGAAAUAGACCCUAUCAUUUGAUAAUUCUUACACAUUUUACAGAAUGCAUGUGAAUCUUUAAAUAAUGUAGGCCAAUAAAAUCCACACUGCAAUAUUUUGCAGCUGUCUUUUUUGAAGAAAAAUUGCCACCGAAUGCUUCAGAAUGACAAAAUUGAAUGACCCUACUUACCUCGUCGUCUGAUAUGCCUCUUCGAAAAAUUUGAUCGGAGCAGUACUUGAACAGGUAUGGCUCAUCCCAGUAAAAGCUUUUUACUUCAGUUAAGAAUUUCUUCUUGUCUUGGGAACUCCAGUCACAUGGCAUUUCACUUGUUGUAGGAUAAUUAACAAUAUUAGCAUACCAAGGCAUUUUGUUUAUAGAAAACAAAAAUUCAUCAGGGAAAGAAUCAUUGAUGGGUGUUGUUUCAAUUGAAGACUCAUUUGUAAGUCUUGAAAGAUGAUCUGCAACAACAUUUUCAGCGCCCUUUUUGUCCUUGAUUGUCAAAUUAAAUUCUUGAAGUAGCAAAAUCCAUCGUAUUAACCUUGGUUUGGCAUCCUGUUUUGACAUUAAAUAUCUCACAGCAGCAUGAUCAGAAUAAACAACAGUACAUGAACCAAUUAAAUACGAACGAAAUUUAUCCAAUGCAAAUAUUACAGCAAGUAGUUCUUUCUCAAUUGUAGUGUAAUUCAUUUGAGCAGUAUUUAAAGUUCUACUUGCAUAAUAGAUGACAAAGGGCUUACCUUCCUUUCUUUGACCCAGAACAACGCCAACGGCAUAAUCAUUAGCAUCACACAUUAGCUCAAAAGGUAAAGACCAAUUAGGGGGUUGCAUUAUUGGGGCUGAUGUCAAAAAACUAAUUAUCUUUUCAAAAGCUUGUUGACAAUCUUUAGUCCAUUCAAAUUGUGUGUCUUUUAUUAGGAGGUUACAAAUUGGUCUAGAUAAGGCACUAAAAUCUUUUAUAAACCUCCUAUAAAAUACUGCAUGUCCUAAAAAAAGGGACUUCUCUAAUUGUCUUUGGUGAGGGUAAUUUUGAAAUGACUUCAACUUUGGCUUUAUCAACUUCGAUUCCUUUUGAAGACACAAUAUGGCCUAAGACAAUUCCAGAAGUGGUCAUGAAAUGACAUUUUUCCCAAUUUAAAACGAGUCCUUUUUCUUUGCACCUUUCCAAAACUUUUUCUAGAUUAUCAAGACAUGUAUCAAAAGAAUUACCAAAUACAGUUAAAUCAUCCAUAAAAACCUCUAGACAAUUUUUAACUAUGUCACUAAAAAUGCUUAGCAUGCAACUUUGAAAUGUUGCAGGAGCAUUACAAAGUCCAAAGGGCAUUCUCCUAAAUGCAAAUGUUCCAAAUGGGCACGUGAAUGUGGUCUUUUCCUGGUCUUCUAAGGCUUUAGGGAUUUGAUAAUAGCCAGAGCAGCCAUCAAGAAAGCAGUAGUAAGGAUGUCCAGCUACUCUUUCAAGAAUUUGGUCUAGAAAUGGAAAGGGAAAAUGAACUUUUCUAGUAGCAUAAUUUAAUUUUCUGUAAUCAAUGCACAUGCGCCAACUAGAUGGAAUUCGUGUUGGGAUUGAUUCACCUUUUUUAUUUUUUACAACAGUUAUUCCAGAAUUUUUUGGUACUACUUGUAUUGGACUUACCCGUUUACUAUUAGAGAUAGGGUAGAUAAUUCCUACAUCUAAUAGUUUAAGGACCUCAUUUUUUACCACUUCUUUCAUAUGAGGGUUUAGUCUUCUUUGUGGUUGACGGGUUGUUUUGGCAUUUUCCUCUAAGUGUAUUCAGUGUGUGCAAAUUAAAGGAUUAAUGUCUUUUAUGUCUUUUAAGGUCCAACCAAAUGCAAUUUUAUGCCUUUUUAGUACAGAUAACAACUUACCCUCUUGAUCAUGUGUGAGUUGAGAAGAAAUUACCACCGGAUAUGUCUGCUGCUCUCCAAGAUAGGCAUACUUCAAUUCUUCUAGUAACGGCUUUAAUUCGAGCUCUGGUGCUUCCUCUUCGUUUGCUUCUUUAGGUUGUACCGUAUCUUCAAAGUUCGAUUGGUCAUCAUCACCUAUAGGUACCUGCAUAGAAUCAAGUGUAGGACAUAUGUUAGCAGUAUCAAAAUCUAAUUCCUUACUUGAUUCAAUAGAACCAGUAAAAAGUAAAUUUCCGCAGAGUUUGUAAAAUUCUCAUCCUGAAUGUAUUCCUCAAUGAUUGGCUCGAUGAGAUCAAUUUCAUCAUUAUCAUUAUCAUCAUCUUCUUGGUGGUGAGGUUGUUUACACAUGUUGAACACAUUGAGUUCCAGUGUCAUGUUACCAAAAGAUAAAUUCAUUAAUCCAUUCCGGCAAUUUAUCAAAGCAUUAGUAGUAGCUAAAAAUGGUCGACCCAAUAUAAAAAUGGUCGACCCAAUAUAACAGAAAUUUGUUUGCAUUCAUUAGCAAUUGGUUCCGUUUCCAAAACAAUAAAAUCUACAGGAUAUAUGAAUUUAUCGACUUGGACUAAUACAUCUUCAAUUAUUCCUUUUGGAACCUUCAUCGAUCUAUCAGCAAGUAAAAAAGUAGUAGAAGUUGGUUUUAACUCACCGAGAUUGAGUUGUUGGUACACAGAGUAAGGAAGUAAAUUAACACUGGCACCAAGAUCAAGUAAAUCAUGUCCAAUUUUAUGAUCCCUAAUAGUGCAAGAAAUAGUUGGACAAUCAGGAUCCUUGUAUUUCAAAGCACUAUUGGUUGAGAGAAUGGAACUUACAUGUUCUGCUAGAAAAGCUCUCUUUUGCACCUUAUGUUUCCUUUUCACCGUGCACAGAUCUUUCAGAAAUUUAGCAUAGGACGACACCUGUUUAAUGACAUCCAGCAGAGGAAUGUUGACCUUUACUUAUUUAAAAACUUCAUAAAUUUCUGGACUGUGGUUUCAUUUCUUUGGCUUGAUCAGUGCUUGAGGAAAUUGGGGUACAAGAGGAGAAUUGGUUAUUUCUUCAUGGGUUAAAGGUUCGACAAACUCUUCCCUAUUUUUUGAAAUUGAAUCUUUACUAGUUUCACGAGGGUCCACAAUGUGUUUUUCAAUUACUUUACCACCACGAAGGUUAUAACCGAUUUGACUUGACUCAUAUUUUUGUUUCCUGAAUUUCCCAUUUUAGGAUGUUGUUGACUCUUGGGGUUUGGUUCAGGUUGAGCAGGAAACUUUCCUUUUUCAUGUAUGGUCAGAGCAGAUGUAAGUUUGGAGAUAGUUUCUGUCAAAUUGGUUAAGAUUUGCAUCUUUUGGUUAUUGAUUGACUCUUGUUUUUCAAUAAACGAAUGCAAUGUGUCUUUCAGAGUUUUUCUUGGUGGUGGGACAUAUGGUGGGUAGCUCUGGGAGUUUUGGAAAUUUUGACGUGGAGGGGCUGGUUGUAAAGGUUGUGCAUGAUUGUCAUUUCUCCAACUAAAAUUUGGGUGGUUUCUCUAACCAGAGUUGUAAGUUUGGGAGUAUGAAUUUGGAUUUGGCCUUUUGAAAUUAUCAACGACAUUUACUUGUUCAUGCAAACUUUGUCUUAGAGCUGGUAAAGUUGGACAGUCCUGCGUAGAAUGGUCAGUAGAAUCGCAAACAUAACAUAAAAUAUUUUGAACAGACUUUACAUGAUCAUUCUUUUUUUACUCUAAUGCUUCGACUUUUCUAGCUAAUGAUGCAAAUUUGGCUUGAAAAUCAUGGUCUUCCCUAAGGUUAUGCAUGCCUCCACCAGAUAGAGAUGACUAGGGUUUACUUGAUGACUCAUAAGAACCAACUGUAUUCCAGUGUUGUGCAUUUUCUGCUAUAUAGUCAAGAUAGUCUAAUGCAUCUUCAGGACUUUUAUCCCUAAACUCACUAUUACACAUCAUUUCAAUGACUUGUCUACCUUGGGAUGUUAAUCCCUCGUAGAAAUAAGACACUAAUCUCUAUGUUUCAAAACCAUGAUGUGGACAAAUGUUAAGCACUUCUUUAAACCUAUCCCAACAUUGGUAGAGAGUUUCUCCUAGCUUUUUAGUGAAAGUGGUGAUUUUGAAAUAUAAGUGUGCAACCCAAGAGGAGGGGUGAAUUGGAAUUUUAAAAAUUAUCCUAGCAAAUCCACACAACAAGCAAUCUAAUGUCUUAAUAAAAAUUGAAAGCAAUAAGUUCAAUAAAAGCACAAGAACAAAUGAGUAAGAGAGAAGAGAAACAAACACACGAAAUUUUACGUGGUUCGGCAAUCCCCGCCUAUGUCCAUGCCUCAAAGCGAUCCAAGCUUGAGGAUUUCACUAUCCGAGCCUUUCCAAGGCUUCAACCGUUUACAAUUGACUUCAAGGUGUCAAUGAACCUUUACAACAAAGAGAUUAUCUCCCAAUCUCUUCACUCAAGUGUCUCACACACUCAAACUUUUACAAUUAAGAUGAAGAAAUGAAAGUUACAAUAAAACUCACUCAAAGAGUAGAUAUUCAAAAAUGAAGAACAAGAAAUGAUUCAAUGUUUUGUGAUUUACAAAUUGAAAGCUCAAGAUAUCUCGUGUGCUUUUUGUUUAUGCUUGGUGGAGAGCUUGAAAAUGAGUUGGAUUUGAGUUUAUAUAGUUUAAGCUAAAAAAACUAGCUGUUAUGCACAUUUUGGUCUUAACCGGCUUGCCGUUUAUGAAUCCGAUAAGCUGCUUUUAUGUUACCGUUAAGGCAAAAAUUUGAAUUUCAGAAUAUCCGGCUUGCUGCUUUUCAUAUCCAGCAAGCCGCUUUUGAAAUCUGGAUUGUCGCUUGUGAAAUUCGGUAAGCCGUUUAUGCUCCAGAAGCUUACUGCCCAAAAUCCAGUUUGCCAUUUACCAUAUCCGGUAAGCCGCUUGCUACAGUGAAAUAUUUUCCAAAUUUAUAGUUUAACCCAAAACUUUAUAAAACUAUAUUAUGGCCCAAAAUGUUAUGAAAGUUUACAAAUUGGUCCAAUUUUAGAAUUUUAAAUAAUGCUUUGUCAAUCCCAAAACUUUUUGAAAUUAUGAUUUCGCCCAAACUAUGUGAAAUUUUAGAAUGACCUAAAAAUAUUUAAAUAGUUUCAAAUAGGUCCAAAUCUGAAAUUUAAAACAUUAUUAAAGAUUUUAAAAUACUUUCAUUUUAGUCCAAAAUACUUUAAUUCCAUAACAUCAUUUUCUUAUUAUAAAAGCACAAUUCCUAAAUCUUUGCUUCAUCAAUACAUGUGGUUUGUUAUCAUCAAAAUCAAUAUUUAUAGCCAUAUAGGCUAACAAAUUUGUCUUUUGAAAGAAUUUUUUCUAUGGGGUGGGAAGAAUUUUUUCAAAAAUUGUGCUUGCAUUUCAUCCCAAGUUCUGAUGGAUUCUAACCUAAGAUUUUGUAGCCAAGUUUUAGCUUUAUCCUUUAGUGAGGAAGGAAAAAACUUAAGCCUGAUUAUAUUCAUGCUACAAUUUUGAUCAAUACAGAUGUUACAGACUUCCUCAAAUUCCCUUAAAUGCAAAUAUGGAUUUUCAGACUCAAAACCAUGAAAAGUAGGAAGAAAUUGAAUGAUAUCAGGUUUGAAAUUAAAACGUGAUGCAUCAUGAGGGAAAAUUAUGCAUGAUGGUUACCCUGUUCUAGUAGGAUGCAUGAAAUCUCUAAGGGUCCUAGGUUGGUCAUGAAGAUUUUGCAAGGCUUGGUCAUUUUCGUGCUCCGAAAAAUUUUCAGCUCCUAUGUCAGCCAUAUUUAAGGGUGGUGAAGGUGAUUUUCUAAUUAAUCUACCACUAUUUGUACGAGACCAACGACGCAUGCAACGCUAAUGAUGUGUGCUAAACUAAUGAUGCAAAAAAGCUAAAUGAAAAUUACAUAAAUAAAAAUAAACUCGAAAUUAAAUAAGCAAAAAAAAAAUACGAAAUAAAAAUAAACGAACUGAAAAAUAAAUAAAUAAAUUAGGCAGUGAAACCAGCCAUUAAAAGAAACAGUUUAGGCGGUAUUUUAAAACCAGCCAUAUAAUAAAAAAUAAAAUUAAAUUAAUUAAUGCACAAAAAUAAAUAAACUGAAAUUAAAAUGCUAGGUGGUAGAACCGACCAUAUAAAUAAAAAUACAUAAAUUAACAAAAUUUAAAUAACAGUCAAGCGGUAGAACCGACCAUUGAAAAUAAAUGCGGAAAGUAAAUUACAGAAAUUUAAAUAAAUAAAUUUGAUUUGGGAACUGAUUUGCAAAGGUUUUUGGGCUAAGAUGAAGUUUCUCACAAAUUUUAUGGAUAAUGUUAAGGUUUGAAAAGAAGAGGGGUGCUAACUGAAGUUUUACAAAAAGAGAAUAAAAUAGAAUCACGGAAAGAUAGUAACGGCAAAACAAACAAAAAUAAAAUAAAAUAAAAUAAAAAUAAAGUAAAGACAAACGAAUACCAAAUUUAGAAAACUCCCGGGCAAUGGCGCCAAAAACAUGACACAACUCAAAAGUGUGUUACUCUCAAGUAUAAGAGUGUCUAGUUAUAAUAUACCCCGGUGAGACCGGGGUCGAACCACAUAGAGUUUUAAAUCUAAUAAAACUAAGAAAAUUAAUUGUGGGGAAAAGGAAUUAUUUGAAAUCAAUUUAAAAAUAAGCUAAGGUUUAGGAUCCACUCUCUGUAUUCAAACUAUAAUUUUAAUACUCUCUCAUUUAUAUUUUACCUCACUUUUACCAAUUAAUUAUUAUAUAAUUUAAUUCUAUGUGUGUGGAUAAAUAUAGAAUAAAGUACCUAAUGUGCCACACUAUAUUAAUGUGUCGAUAUUAUGACAAAAUACCAUAAAAUCCAGUGAGAUUUAUAAAUUAACAUGAUAUAAAAAUAAUUAGAAAAGAAUUAAAAAAACUCAUUUGAGAAAAUAAUAAUAAUUAAUAGUUUGAAACAUUGAGCUUCACUCUUCACCUCAGCUUAAUAAAAUUAGCUACUCAUAUUGAAAGAAAACACAACACUCUUUUUAUUUGAUAAACUUUUUGAAAUAUAUUACAAAGAAAAUUGAUACAAACGGAAAUAAGAAAAGAAAAGAAACAACGAAAGAAAGAAAAUCUUCAGUCUCGGCUUCAUCUCUCAAAUUUUGCUCUCCAGCUUCCCCCCGCUCUUCAAUUUCUCCUCCCUUUUUAUAGGCAACAAUUGCUGAUGAGCAUAAUUUGUAUACAUAUUUUACCGUUUAUUAUCUAAUUACUAGUUAUUUUUAUUAGUUAUUUUUAAUUAAUUGAAUUAUUUUAUUGCAUGGGGAAUUAAUUGGAGAUUGGAAAUAAAAAGUACAAAAAGAAUAACAAUUUAAAAGAAUAUUAGUUGAAGCCGUGACAGAGUUAAGAGUCAAGAGCAAUUUGCAUUGAAUUUCAAUUCUCCAACUGGGUUGCACGUGCAUGGCAUUGCAAAAGUGGAAAGCAAUUUAAAUAGGACCCGCACUUGGCUUUCAUAAUUGGAAAAGGAAUCCAAAAGCAAUUCUAAGGGUGAUCAUGUGUGAGAGCUAAAGCAAAUAAAAGGGCAAGCCUUUUGGCUUUAGGAUUUAAGAGGUGGGGCCCAUUUCAAAGAUUAUAAAAGGGAGUUUUGGCUUUUGGAGAAGGAGGCAGCCAUUGGACGGAAACAAAAGGGUGCAUACGCAAGGUUGGGAGAGAGUAUUCGGCAGAAGCAGCAGUUCGGCUUCCAUGGCUGAUUUUAUUUCUUGUGUUACUCUCAAUUCAAGUAUGUCUAGCUAAUUUUCUUAUACUGAGGUUAAGGAUGAAACCCUAUUUAAUGAAAUAAUUAUCUUUGUAUUUAAUUAAUUCCUUAUAUAUGUUCUUUGAUGAUUAUGGUUUUUAUUUCACAUGAUUAAUUGGAUGUAAAUAAAAUCUUUUCAUCAAUUCUGUCAUGCAUUAUUGAUUGUUAGGAUUAAUAUUUGAUUAAAUCUAUGCUUGGAUCUAUAAAGUUUAUACAUGAUUGUCUUUGAUUUUAUGUCUUUCAUUAAAUUGUUCACAUAGAAUGCUUAGGGAAACUUUGACUCUUUGUUAUUCAAUAUGUUUACAUGAAAUUCUUAGAUGUCAUACUAUUAAGCAGAAAAAGAACCUACAUAAGAUUAAUUUUAUUUGGGCUUAAUUGUUAUAUCUAUAAGAUGACAUAGAUUGAUUUCGAGUUGUCACUCUAAAAUUGGGGAUUAAUGAAUAUUUAGAUAAUUACUAGUUGAAUAGUGGUGGAUUCUGAAACCUUGGUAAUUCUUAUCUUAUUGAAUUCUCCUUUAUUUUAAUUGCUUCCUUGUUUAAUUGGUUUAAUUUUCUUAGAAACUCAAUUUUGGUCAACUAGGUUAGAAUUAAUGUUAAUUUUAGAUUUAAAUUAGACUUUUCAAUUUAUAACAAUCCCUGUGGGAUCAACCUCGUUACCACUAUUAUAUCUCUAGAUUUGUGCGCUUGCGAGUAUAUUAAAAUUUUCAUAACAAGUUUUUGACGCCGUUGUCGGAGAUUGUACUAGAAAGUCAGUUUAAUCUAGGUUAAUUUGAUUCUUCCACUAGUUAUAAUUUAGGUUGUCUUUUAUUUUAUUUAUUCAAUUUUUAUUAAAAAAAACAAAAAAAAAUUUAAUUUUAAUUUAAUUUUAUUUUGAAUUUAUUGUUUAGUUGUUUGCUUUCUUUUAUUUAAUUUUGUUUAUUUUUAUUAUUGUUGUUUUAUUUUUCUUCUUUGUCUAGUUAGUUUAUGAGUGUUUGGGAACGCGAUUCAACAAAUCGUUUGGUAAAAAAAGAGUCGAAAAUUGAUAGUAGUCGAGAUAGUUCUUCGGAAGUGAUGGAUGACCCCAAUAGAUUAUUGCCAAUACUUCCACCAGUGCAAGCAGAGAAAACCCUUAGAGAAUAUUUUUCACCACUUGCAGCCAACCAACCAUCUUGUAUUGUGUUGCCACAAACUACAGCAACACACUUUGAAUUUAAGCCCUCUGUCAUUCAACUUUUGCCAUCCUUCCAUAGGUUAGAGAGAGAGGACCCAUAUUUUCACAUUAAGGAAUUUCUUGACAUAUGCUCUACAUUCCGUUUUCAAAAUUUUAAUGAUGAGUCAAUUAGGCUUCGUAUGUUCCCUUUCUCAUUAAAAGACAAAGCAAAAGCUUGGUUGAAUUCACUUCCUGCUGGGUCCAUUAGUACAUGGGAUAAAUUGAGUAAUAAGUUUCUCACCAAGUUUUUUCCUAUGUCUAGAACAAAUGCCCUUAGGAGAGAGAUAAGUGAUUUUUAUCAAAGAGAGGGUGAGCAAUUUUACGAGUGUUGGGAAAGAUUCAAUGAUUUACUCCUUAAGUGUCCCCACCAUGGUUUUGAAAAAUGGAGACUUAUACAAUACUUUUAUAACGGUUUAACCAUGUCAAAUCGUCAUAUGGUAGAGUCUAUGAAUGGUGGGAGAUUUUUGAACUUACAUGAAUGGGCCGCAUGGGAUUUCUUUAAUUCACUUUCUGAAAUUUCUCAACAGUGGGAUUUUUCAAAUCAAAGGGAAAAAUCAUCUCAAGUUUCUAGAAAGGGGUUAUAUGAAGUUAAGGAUGAUUUAGAUAUGAAAUCCAAUCUAGCUACACCUUCUAGGAAAGUAGAUGCCUUAGUUAUGAACCAAUCCAUAAAUUAUCAUCCUAGUGUAGCUAAUGAGGUUUGUGCUAUUUGUUCUAACUUGUCUCAUACAGCACAGAAUUGUCCAUCAUUACCAGUCUAUCCAGAGGCUUAUUCUGAGUAGGUACAUGCCUUACAAUCAUAUGAGAAAACCUCCAAUAGUCCAUAUUCAUCCACAUAUAAUCCUAAUUGGAGGAAUCACCCUAAUUUUUCUUAGAAACAAAAUCAACCUUUGUCAAACCAAGGAGGGCAACAAUUUAACAUGCCCAAUCAACAAUUUGUCCCUCCUAACCAAGUAUAUCCUCCUGCCCAACAACCUAUGUCUCAAUUUGUUGCACCCCAACAAAGAAAGCCUUCUUUAGAGGAUACACUUCAAAGUUUCAUUUAGUCAACCCAACAAGCUUUUCAGUCAAAUACUCAAGCUAUUCUGAAGCUUGAACAUCAAUUGGGUCAAUUAGCAACUACUAUAGCGGAGAGAGAAAAAGGAAAAUUUCCAAGUCAACCAAUUCCCAAUCUUAAAGGAGUGCAUGAAGUUGAAUCGAGUUCAAGCCAUCAGCAUGAAGAAGCAAAAUCUGUUAUGACCUUGAGAAGAGGAAAGUUAUUUGACAACAAGGUGGAGGUUCAAACAAGAAAAACAUAUAAGUCUACUUCUUCAAAUCCAGUUCCAUCACAAGACUCAUCACCAAAUGAUCCAGAAGAGAGUGACCCACCAGCUUACAUUCCCAAGGCUCCUUUUCUUCAGGUUAACAAAGGUAAAGAAAGGGACUUCAACAGGUGAGAUUAUAGAAAUCUUCAAGCAGGUAAGUAUAAACAUCUCUUUACCCGAUGCUAUUAAGCAAGUUCCUUCCUAUGCCAAAAUUUUGAAAGAUUUAUGCACUAAAAAGAGAAAUUUGCAUGUCACUAAAAAGGCAUUUUUAACUGAACAAACUAACAAUUUACUUCAAUGUAAAAUGCCACCAAAAUUUAAGGAUCCUGGUUCGCCUACUAUCUCAUGUGUUAUAGGGAACCAAUGUUUUGAUAAAGCAUUAUUGGAUUUAGGCGCUAGUGUUAAUCUCUUGCCUUAUUCCGUUUACAUGCAGCUUGGACUAGGUGAGUUAAAAUCAACUCCUAUUAUUUUGCAACUUGCUGAUAGGUCAAUGAAAAUACCUCGUGGUAUUAUAGAGGAUGUGUUGAUACAGAUUGAUAAAUUUUAUUAUCCUGUUGAUUUUAUUGUUAUUGAUACUCAACGUGUACCGGAUCCGAAGAAACACACCCCAAUUAUUCUAGGUCGUCUUUUCUUAGCUACAACUGAUACUCAUAUUAGUUGCAGGACUGGAAACAUGCAAUUUUCUUUUGGUAACAUGACCAUGGAAUUAAACAUUUUUAAUAUUCCCAAGCAGGCACAAGAAGAUGAUGAAGUCGUUGAAGUAGAUAUGAUAGAAGCAUCAAUUGAUGACUCACUUAUUUCUAACCACUGUGACAAUCCAUUAAUACCAUGCACAACUGACUCUGAUUUCUCUGUUCAUGUUGAUAGUGGUAUUGAAGAAGUUAAUGCUUUACUUGAUUCGACUCUUAUCAUAGAUCUAAUUAAGUGGAAAGAAAAGAUUGAGCCACUUCCUCCUGAAGAGAAAAUUGAACUAUUCAAGUUGGAGUUACUUCCUAAAAAAGUGAAACAUAGGUCACAUUCUGACAUGAAAAAGGUGGUAAGAUCUAAAGUGCUUAAAUUAUUAGAUUUUUAUACUACUUCAGAUAACUCUCAGGAAAGCAUGGAACAGAAGAGAUCAAGGCAGUGUGAUAUUGAGGAGUUUCAUUACCAUCAUCUUUUUAUAGAUAAAAUACUCCAGUGCUUAGUCAAUUAUGUUUUCUGGCAUUUUCUAUAUAAUUGCUUUGCUUUUCACCAAAUUCUUAUUGAUCCUGGUUGAUUUGUUGUUUACAUUAAUUAGUUAGUUAUUAGGAUUUUUUUAUUUUUUAUUUUUAUUAUUUAUAUUUCUUCUAACGUUUUCUUUUAGUUAUCAUUUUUUUAAGCUUUCACAGCCCAUCCAGGUGUGUUCUCUCCAACUUUCUUUUUAUUAUUUAUGUUUUGUUAUUAUUUUUUCUUCUCUCAUUUGUAUAUCUUUUGUUUGUGAAACAUUGAGGACAAUAUUCCGAAUAAGUUUGGGGGUGGGAAUAGUGUGUGCUUUGUUUGUUAAAAUUUUUUUUUUUGUUUGUUAAAAAAAAAUUGUGUUUUUUUUUUGUUUUUAUGUGAAAAGCCAAUGAUAAGAAUUUGAUUGACAAUGAAUAUGAUUUUUAGAAAUGGUUGAAUAUUGUCUUAGUUUAUACUUGAUUCUUGUGUUAGUUCCUCUUGAUGGAGAUUCUUUAAAAUAUAAGCACUAAUGUCAAUUCUUUCAUAAUUUUGACUUGAAAUUUGAGAUUGACGCAGCUUGAGUUGAGAAUUUUAGAAAGAGUAAAUGACUGUUUGUCUUGAUUCUUAUCUCCACAAUACAAAAUAGUAUACAGAGGUGCCAAAGUCAGAAAUAGCUACCUAUAACCCUUAAGAGUGAAGCUACCCUUGAGUAAUUUGGUCCUAUGUACCACAAGUAUGUAGAGGAUAAUCUACCAUGAGAAGAAGGCUACCUUAAGGGGUAGAGUGAAAGCUCCUGACUAUGGUUAAGAAAAAAAAAGAAAAAAAAAAGAAAAAAGGAAAAGAAAAAAAAUCAAGUGCAUCUGCUAAAAAAAAUCAAUAAAAAAAAUGCACAUAAAAGCCUAUGAAAAACAAAUUGGAGAUUAAGAUGAUAAGAUUAGUUUGACCUACUCUUUUCUUUGUUUGAGGCGAAGGCUGUUGAUAUUAAGGAUUUUGGGAAUGGAUUUGAUUGAAUUGAUUUUACACACACACUACAAGAAUCGAAAGAGAGAUGAGAUUGAUUAUUGAAUUAAAGUUAGAAUUUUGCCAAUAUUUGAAAUUUUCUUUGAGCUAUAUAAUUUAUGUAAUCUUUGAGGCUAUCUUCAUGUUUUGUUUAAAGCUUGUUGUUCUUUUCAUUUUAUUUUUAUUUUAAUUCUUUGAAAAAUGAUGUUUGUGGGUAUCAUCAUUGAAGCCCUCACGAGACUACAACUCGUCCACUAGGGCCGCCUAGGGGUUUAAAGGCUUGUUGCAUACACUAAAUGCAAUCGCGAUUACCUGCGAAAGUGGUUUAAUUAGGAUUUACUUUUUGUGUUGUUAUUUUUAUUUUUGUUUUAAGUUUUAGUUUUGCUCGAGGACUAGCAAAAUCUAAGUUUGAGGGUAUUUGAUGAGCAUAAUUUGUAUACAUAUUUUACCGUUUAUUAUCUAAUUACUAGUUAUUUUUAUUAGUUAUUUUUAAUUAAUUGAAUUAUUUUAUUGUAUAGGGAAUUAAUUGGAGAUUGGAAAUAAAAAGUACAAAAAGAAUAACAAUUUAAAAGAAUAUUAGUUGAAGCCGUGACAGAGUUAAGAGUCAAGAGCAAUUUGCAUUGAAUUUCAAUUCUCCAAUUGAGUUGCACAUGCAUGGCAUUGCAAAAGUGGAAAGCAAUUUAAAUGGGACCCGCACUUGGCUUUCAUAAUUGGAAAAGGAAUCCAAAAGCAAUUCUAAGGGUGAUCACGUGUGAGAGCUAAAGCAAAUAAAAGGGCAAGCCUUUUGGCUUUAGGAUUUAAGAGGUGGGGCCCAUUUAAAAUCUUUUCAUCAAUUCUGUCAUGCAUUAUUGAUUGUUAGGAUUAAUAUUUGAUUAAAUCUAUGCUUGGAUCUAUAAAGUUUAUACAUGAUUGUCUUUGAUUUUAUGUCUUUCAUUAAAUUGUUUACAUAGAAUACUUAGGAAAACUUUGACUCUUUGUUAUUCAAUAUGUUUACAUGAGAUUCUUAGAUGUCAUACUAUUAAGUAGAAAAAGAACCUACAUAAGAUUAAUUUUAUUUGGGCUUAAUUGUUAUAUCUAUGAGAUGACAUAGAUUGAUUUCGAGUUGUCACUCUAAAAUUGGGGAUUAAUGAAUAUUUAGAUAAUUACUAGUUGAAUAGUGGUGGAUUCUGAAACAUUGGUAAUUCUUAUCUUAUUGAAUUCUCCUUUAUUUUAAUUGCUUCCUUAGUUUAAUUGGUUUAAUUUUCUUAGAAACUCAAUUUUGGUCAAUUAGGUUAGAAUUAAUAUUAAUUUUAGAUUUAAAUUAGACUUUUCAAUUUAUAACAAUCCCUGUGGAAUCGACCUUGUUACCACUAUUCUAUCUCUAGAUUCGUGCGCUUGCGAGUAUAUUAAAAUUUCACAACAAUUGCCUUUAAUUUUCUUUAUUUUAUUAUUUAUUUAUUAUUUUAUUAUUAUUUUAAAAUAUAUAAGUGUGUGGAAAUGUGUGAUGGUCAGGAGGCGUAAUAGCCUCCUGACCAUCACCAACAUGUUUUUGUUCUUUUGUUCUUUUUUUCUUUUUUUUAUUGAUUAUUUAUUAUUACAUCUCUUCAAUUUUGUUCUAGUAGUUCUUCUUUGUUUCCGCUUUCAAUACCAAGUUCAUCUUUAUUCCUGAAAAAUAUUUACAAGAUAAAAAUUAACAAAUUACGAAUUAAUUUAACAUAAAAUAUAUUUGGGAAAUAUUAAAAUAAUUUAGAAAUAAUGAAUGCAUUAAUCGACAUAAUAAGUGAAAAACUAAUAAUUUUAUCCUUAUUAAAUGUACACUUUUUAGUGUCAAUCACACCCCCAACCAGCUUAUUGUUGGGCCCUAGCAAUUUAAGUGAUAAAAGUUUAGUAAAAUUUCAAACUCAAAUUGAAAAUCAUUUUUUUAAAAAAAUUGUGUUUACUUCUUCCAUCAUAUUAAUGACAACAAUCAAAUAAAAGUAUAAGCAUUAUCUUCAGCCUAAAGAAAAUCACACCGACUCAAAACAGUUCAGUAAAAUCCUGUAAAAUGAUCAAUCAUCAUAGCUACAUUAAUCAAGCCACUUUUAAGAAUGAUACAUCAAACCCCAAAAUCUCACGAUUAAGAGUGACUCUCUCAAAAGAAGAUAUACCCGAAAUUAAUUUGUCACUCUAAAAAAAUGGUAAAUUUGAGAGAAUAAUAAAACAAUAUCACACGCUCUCACCAAGAUAAAAAAUAAUGCCCACAACUUAGAAAUAAAAUGAUCUCAAGUCCAAUGAAUUACUAGCAAAAUUUAUUUUUAUUUUUACUCAUCACCACAUCUUUUAGUCCAUAUUACCAGCUCUUAUCUAGAAGAAUACACAUGUAGCUUUGAAGAAUUACAUUAUAAAUGUGAAUUUGAUAAAGUUGAAAAUACCAUAUGCUAUUAUAAUGAUCAAUAUUUUAUAAAGAUACCAGAUCCAUGGGGGAAAACGAUUAUGUUAGAAUAUAACAAGGAAUAAAUUGAUACCCUAAGAAAUAGGAUCAGAUUUGCUCGAAAUAGAAUUAGUGAAUGGUAUGUUGAAAAAAAAGUUAAGAGACUUUGGUAAAGUCCCCAUAGUUCAGCUUCCAUAAUGGAACAACUACCCAAAUUCAUGCUAAAACCACAAACCCAUUCCCUACAAUAAUUCCUCACCAAGCCACCAGCAUUAGCCAAUCCCAAUCUCUUCAAAGCCCCAUCAGUAUUGAGCUUGAAGAACGACCACUUUGGGGGCUGCCAAUAGAUCAAUCUUUUAGUUUCUGGAACUCUCUGACUAUCUAAAGACUUUAUAAGCAGCGAUGCUUUUUUUCGUGUGAUUGUUCACAUCCACAAUUACGUUGUAAAGGCUGCUUGAUUUGUGAGCAUAAACGAACUCAUUAUGCCAAUACCACAUGUGCCAGACAUGACUCCAAAUAACAUUGACCUAUCCUUCUCAUUAGUGAUCCUCAAGUGGUUUUUCAUAUUAUAAACAAUCCAUGCACGAACAUCCAAUGUAAAACAGGUAUGACUUGUGUGUUUCGAAAUAAGGGUUAACCAAAUGCGUUUAGAGUCAACAUAAUCCCCGACUACAUGGAGAGCAUCGUCUAUGAUAUGCCCACACUGCAUGCAAGUACUAUCAUUAAGCACAUGUCUUCGCGAUAAUUUAGCAUUAUUUUUCAAUCUAUUAUGCAUCAGCAGCCAAAGAAAGCACUGAAUGCUUUGGGGGCCUCUCCAUAUCCAAAUCAAAACCCAAAGGGAAUUAUUUUCAUUUAGCAUCGGUCUAAAGAGGGAUAAAUAAGCUGACCUCAUGCUAAACGAACCAGACCGCGAUGGACCCCAAUAACAACAGUCAACUUCAUCGCUAACAGAAGGGGGCAUAGUGCCUGCUAUUUUGAGAAUUAUAUGGUGGGGUAGAAAAGAAGCAAAACAGUCCCAAUUCCAAGCACCAUUAUUAUCGAUAAAAUUAGCUACACACUCAUUUAAUAUGUUUUCAAUGAUUGUACCAAAAGUAUAAGAUUGCAACCAACGCCCAUCCUCCAGCAAAUAAUCUUUCCAAAAUCUAGCCAACUUCCCAUUCCCAAUACCCCAGCGAGUCCCUUAGAGAACCUCAUUCCAUACGUUUCCCACGAAUUUUCAUAAAGGAGAACUAUAUCAAGUAGGACGUUUUAGAGGAAGGUUUUCUUUAUCAACGCCAUAUUUAAACAUCAAUACUUGAAUCUAGAAGCUGUGGGGUGAUUCAAUAUGACCCCAACCAAUUUUCAUUAGCAAGGCUUUAUUCAUGAGAUUAAGAUCUUUAAGGCCAAGGCCCCCACAUAAAUUAAGGAGUUGUACUCUAUCCCACUUAAUAAGGUGUAUGCGAUGAGUCUCGUCAAUCUCGUUCUAGAUAAAAUGCUUGCAAAUCUGAUCAAUUUUAUUACGAAUGCUUAGAGGUAGCAUGAAGGUCUGCAUGGAAUAGGUUGGGAGAGCCAGAAUGAUCGACUGCAUUAAUGUUAUCGGGCCUACAAGAGAAAGAUGUUUGGUUGUCCAGCCCGGAAGUCUCUGUAGUGCUAAUGGUGGUCAACGAUAAGGUACCAGUUUCAAUGGGAGACAUUGAGUUUGCAUGAGAAAUCUGGGAGAUUUCAUAGAGAAUGUAUGAGUUAGUGACAAUGGUAAAUAUGAUUAAAUGCGUGAACUAACAUAAAAUGAAAUACAAAAACUAAAUGAUAAAGCACGAGUUUUGAAAAAAGUUUAUUCUUCAAUAGACCAUCAAUUAAACAGAAGCAAGCCACUGUCAUUCUAUGUAAACAAACAUAACAAAACCACCUACAUAGGAAUAAUUUUUCAAUAUAGGAAUCUUGAACUUUUCAUGACAAAAAAUCAAUUUACAAUAUUAUAGGUACGUGUAAAAAAAAGUUUAUAACAUUGUAAAUCAGAUCACCAGCUAGAAUCUAACUCCACCUACAUGGUUUAGUAAACAACUAUAACAUUGCAUCCAACAAUGGCGUCACCAGAUUUAAAAUCCGCUCGAUGCAUCUGAGCAAUUGCAUAUCCAUCAGUCAAUAGAAACUCGCCAGUGUCGCCGACGAUGGGCAUCUUACGGACAGGAACAAUCGACCUGUUGUUGCCAAGGAGGCUGAUACAGCUGCCAUUAUUAGGACCAUCAACCAAUACAAAGCUCAUGGACCUGAUGAUAGCUAGUUGAUGCUGACAAGCUGACCCGUAAAGCCCUUGAGCACGACCAACAAGCUUUGAUUGAGGACUAGUAGUUUCUAUCGACGAAUCAUCCGCCAAAUCACAACGCAGAAACAAGUUGGUGACUUGUAAGUAUCAAUGGCUUGAGCAAUGCUUUUUGCCACUACGUAUUUUUUGUUGUCUCUUUUGCGAAAUCAAGCCCCAUAGCCAAAGUCUCUCUGAUCGUAUUGAUGUUGCUGCCACUGGGCAAAUGAUGAGCAACAAAAAAACUACUUAAAACAUUGCAGUAACUUUAAAACAAGACAUGAAAUUAAGAGGAAGAGAAUAGAUGAUGCACUUUUGAAGGUAGAAAAGAAGGAUGAUUCAAGAUUCAUUUCAAAUUUUUUUGAAGUGUUUUGAUCAGUGAAUAUCCAAAGGCUGCUUAACUACAAAGGUGAAGUGGGAAGAAAUUUUGACAUUUUGUUACAUUGAGCUAGCUAGCAAAUGUAUAUGAGGGGCUUCACUUGUACACAUAAAAAAGGAAGAUUAAUUAGUCAUGGUUUUUUAUUAAGAAAAAAAAUGGCUUGCUUAAAAUAUAGUGUGGUUAAUUUCAUUGAAGGACAUGACUCAAAGGAAAAGAAAAAGAAAUCUAAUAAUAAACUAAACAAAAAAUAAUUCCAAAAACAAUAAAUUUAAUUAAAUGUACAUUGAAAUUACCUUUAUAAUGCAACAAGAUAUUAAAAUCAAUGGUUAACGCUAAUAAAUUAAGCGUAAUUUAUUUAAUACUUAUUUAUGGACUCUUUCAACUCCAUUAAAGCCAUUGCAAGUCGUUUUUCAAUAUUCACUCAGAUAAAUAGAGGCUCAUGCCUUUCUGAUUCUUCCACAUCUCUUUCAAUUCUAAUUAAGCCGUUUGCAAUUCUCUUAAGAAAUUAAAAAAUGUCGAAGAGUCUGACUUUCAUCAUUUUGGCUUUGCUUGUAGUGGCAAACACUAAAAACAUGCUUAUUUUAGCCAGUAGAACUGGCCAAAGAUCUAAGCCAGAGGCUUUAUUUUCUAUUAACCCUACAGCAUCACCUGACAUUGUUGAUUGCUCAGGGCUCACAAGUGAAGAGUGUUUGAUCGAGAUGAUUAAGAAAGCACUUGUAGACUAUCGAUACCCCUGCCCUGAGGGGGGGUGCAAAUGAUAUUGUUAAUAAGUUAUUUCUUUUACCUUGUAGGAGUGCUUUUGCAAUAACGAUCAAUUACAGUGAAAUUGAAUUCGUGUUUUUAAUAAAAUAAAACAUUAAUCCAUUAUGCAUAGGUAAUAUUAUGUCAUAUGUUUUUGGUGUGUGUAUCUCCUACUGCUUUGUUAUAGUUGCAUCGUCGAAUCAAUCUUCGAGAAAUCAGUUUCUUUAAAUAAUAGCAAUUAUCAACCAAUCAACAUUACUAUGUUGGUACCAUUUGUAAUAUUUAAAUUUUAAGUCUAUCUACUUUUAGGGUGAGAUUAUUGAUUCCUAAGAAAAAUAAUAAAAUAAACCCUCAUUAUCUAAAUCCUAUAUUACUAAGCUAUCCGAUUUAAUUUAAUGUUAAACUUUAAUUUAACCCCUGAAAAUGUCCAGACUUACCUACAUUUAUUGCUAAGAAUAUGAUUUAAAAGUUCAUCAAUGUGCACCUCAUUUAUGCUCAUCUUUUGAAGAACAAAUAGGGUGGAUUGAGAUUUUCAUGCUUUUGGAGGGUAAAUUAAAGAUAGUUAUUAGGAGGGAACGAAUUGAAGUUUGUUUUUAAAUGCAAAGAUGUAUUCUUUUAGUUUAUUUGAGAUAAUUCGUUUGACUUUAAUUUAACAUAUGUUUUUGUAAUUGAAAUAUAGAUACUUCUUUAUUUUUGUUAUUUAGCUGAGUAAUAUAAUAUUUAUAUUUAAUUGAUCACUUAAAAAUGUUUAUGCAUUAAUAUGUUAAUUUUUCGCGGCUUGGAAGGUAAGAAUUUUUUUUAUAAGAAAAUAAUGCAAGCAACAAUAAGAAUUAAGAUUAAUCAUAUAAUGAUGCAAACUAUGGACAUGCUAAUAAGUUGGUACACGAAAUCUUAAUAAAUGAUGUAUGGUUUCAGCUUUCCUUGUUUUUUCUUUCUUCGGUAAUGCUCUUGAGAUGUUAUGAAUUAAACAAAUAUAUGUUCCCAAUUAUGCACUCUUAUCAUAUAGGGAGCAUCAUAAACAGAGGAAAAAAAAUUUCAAGUUUGGUGACCAAAAAGACUUGAAACAAUGCCUAAUGUCUUUGAAAGAAGUAGGGGAUUCAACACAACUGUGUGGACUGAAUAGAGAAGUAGUAGCAAAUAGAACACUCAACAUAAAAGGCACCGAACAAAAUACAGUUAAAAGGUUGUUACAAGUGAAUAAAAGUUACAGAUUUUAUUUUGAAAUUAAAUUCUAAAAAUAAAUUUAAGAGUUAGUGUUUCAUUUUCUGGAUGUAAAUGCCCUUCACCAAUUUCAUUUUAAAAACACACCAAAAUCUAAGUAAUUUUUUUGCUCGCCUCUCUCAACUAAAAUCUUUUUAUCUUAGACUUCACGUGAUGGAGUUCCAACACUAGUUUGAAGUUCGCAAAAUAACAAUAGUUUGAACCAAUUUUGAAUAAUAAAAAUUAUAAAUUGGAAAAUGUAUCGAGUAAAAAUUAUAAUUAUAAAAAUUAACAUCGCAGAUUUUGAGUUUUUUUCUAUUAAAAUCAAAGGUAUUCUCAUAACUAUAAUUUUUUUUUUAUUUUCAAAAAUUUUGUAGGAUCAAAUAGUCUUUCAUUUCAUUCAAGAAUAAAAUGGUCAUUUUAUUUUCAUUUCUUAGUGUGAAAGUAGUUCACUGAAAGAACUUUAGAAACAAAGUGGUGAAAGAACAAGUUAAAAAUUUGUGGUAGUUAGAUAUAUGUAUGACAAAACAGUGGUGGUGCAGAGAUAAUUUCACUUCAUACUAUUGUAAUAUAUUAAGGUUAUUAAAAAAUUUUGUUUCAAUAAACUCAUGACAAGUGUGUAGCUAGCUUACUAGUAAACUUAGGCACUCUUAGAAAGAUUCUAAAGUAAAAGUAAUGCCUGAAAAAUCUAGAUUUAAGUAAGGCCAUUUGUGACCCUUUUAGUCUUUUCUAAGAACUCAACUGGUAUAUUUUUUCAUACACUAUGGAUUGUUUUAUGUCAAUUAUUAGCAAUAAUUUUCAACAUAUAUUCCCAAACUUUACCAUUUUAUAGCUUGAAGUUCAUAGGACUUUGGAAUCAGAUCAUUUACAACAAUCUUUACAAGGUGAUAAUGAUACGGAGAGAAUAUGUAAAUUUUAAGUCAGCCAGUAUGAGGGCGCCUUCAACUUAAUUGGGGUCUUCACUUUUAAGGCACUACCGGGGUGGCCAUUGCCCUCAUUGCUUAUGUACUUUAACUUCAUAUAGAAUUUUACUUUUUUUGAUCCCCUUUUUGGAGCACAAGUAGAUUGUCGAUUACUGCCAAAUGCAUAAGAAUAUGGUCAGAUGCCUAGAUUAUGGAAAAAUAAUGAAAUUUAAAGUAAUACAUCAGACUGCUGAUGUAUUAACAUUAUAUUGAAAUUCAAUAUUUGGCUACCAACAAGCACAUAUUAUAUAAAAAGAAUUAAACACACAAAUAAACAUAAAAUGAAAUACAUAAAUAAAAUGAUAGAGCGCAUGUUUUGGAAAGUUUAUUCCUCAAUCCACCACUAAUUAAAUAGAAGCAAGUCACUGUCAUUCUAUGUAAACAUACAUAACCAAUCACCUACUUAGGAAUAAUUUUUUGAUUUGGGAAUCUUGAAUUUUUCAUUAAAAAAUCAGUUUACAAUAUUAUAAGUACGUGAAAAAGAAAGUGUAUCUUGUAUGAGAGUUUUUUGCAUUACCGAUCAAUUGCAGUGAAAUUGAAGCUGCGUUUUAAUAAAAAGAAGAAAUGGAUCACACAUACAUAGUUCAUACUUCUAAAUGUUGGAUUAAAAUUUAUUAAAACACAACACGGGCAAAGUCACUAGCAAAUAGGAAGAAUAGCAAAGUCAUUCUUAGGGAAUAUAUUGAAUAUCACUCUAGAUAUGUUAGAGUAGUAAACUUCACUUUGUAUUUUAUUAGAAGUAAUAGGACCAUUUGGUCCAUAUAUUGAAGAUGUAUCUACCUACAAAAGCAUAGUUAAUGGCCAACAAUAUCUCAUCUUAACCACACCAGAGAUAUCAUUUACAAUGUAUAAGCUAAAUUAGUAUAUGGCUGCUCCUACACUUCAAUAUCUAAUGGCUUGUAAACGAGUGUUAAGGUACUUAAAGGAACUAGAAGAUAUGGAUGAAACUAAUUGGAUUCACAGAUACAAAGUAGGCAUGUGAUUUGGAUGACAAAAAAUCCAUUGGAGUUUACUACGUAUACUUGGGAAACAAUUUAAUACAUGGUCAUCAAAAAAGCAAUCUAUGGUAGCAAGGUCCAGUGCAGAAAGUGAAUAUAGAGCACUUGCAGAAUUAACUUGGUUGCAAUCAUUAUUCAGUGAAAUCAGAAUACAAUGUACAUUAGUUCCAUCAAUUUGGUGUGAUAAUGCAAGUGCCACUGAAGUAUCCAAGAAUCCAAUCUAUCACUCAAGAGCUAAACAUAUUGAGUUGGAUAUGCACAUUGUGAGAGGCAAAAUACUUGUAAAAGAACUUGAAAUCAGUUAUAUAACAUGUGCAGAACAAAUUGCCUAAUUAUAUCUUUACAUAUUAAUUUUGCUAGUAUAAUAUCCUUGAGAAUAAUUUGAAUCAAAUGAUUUUGUUACUUUGGCAGUAAUUAAAUAAUAUUAGAUUGAAUUGUUGUGUCAUUUGUUUAGCUUAUUUUAACCCUAUGUAAAAUUAGCUUCCGCAAGUAAAAUGAAAUUUACAUUAUUAAAAUCACUGUUUGUGGUAAUAAAAGUUCACUUGGAAUUUUAUAAUAUCAACUUGAAAUUUAACUCAAAGUAUUGGUAGUUAAGGAUUUCAAUAGAAAUAUUAAAUAGAAACAAGUAGUUAACAAGUUAAAACAAGUUAACCUAUAAUUGAGCAUGUUUAACUAAAAUUAGGGGCUAAUUUUACAAAAAGUUAAACAAUAGAAAGUAAAUUUGGCAUUAAACCCAAAUAGUUAAAAUUUUACCAAGUUAUUGGAAAUACUCAAACAAAAGCAUUGAAAUAACAGUUGAAACACAUAAGUUAAAAAGGGAUAAAAUAUUAACCAAAUUCUAAUUUUAAAACUCAUCCAAUAAGAAAUGAAUUUACUUAGAAUUUAACAAAAAGUAUUGGUAUUUAAUGAACUUAAUAUGAACAUUAAACGCAUAGCUGGUAGAUUUAUAAGUUAGAAAUAUGUAAACCUAAAAGUAAGAAGGUUGAACCAAAAUGAAGGAAUAAAAAAAAUAAAAAAGUCCAAUUGGUAUUUAACCUAAAUAAUUGCAACCUUACCUAAUUAGUAGGAAUAUUCGACAAAAAAAUAGUGGAAUAAUUAGUUGAACCAUAUGAACCUAGAAGGGAGAAAAUUUAAGCAAAAUUAGGAACUUAUCCAAUGGGAAUAAAUAUUAUUUGGAAUCUAACCCAAAAUUGGUAUUAAAUGAACGUAGUAGGAAUAUAAAACAUAAAACUAGUAAACUACUAAUUAAGUUGAAGUAUGUGGACCNNNNNNNNNNNNNNNNNNNNNNNNNNNNNNNNNNNNNNNNNNNNNNNNNNNNNNNNNNNNNNNNNNNNNNNNNNNNNNNNNNNNNNNNNNNNNNNNNNNNNNNNNNNNNNNNNNNNNNNNNNNNNNNNNNNNNNNNNNNNNNNNNNNNNNNNNNNNNNNNNNNNNNNNNNNNNNNNNNNNNNNNNNNNNNNNNNNNNNNNNNNNNNNNNNNNNNNNNNNNNNNNNNNNNNNNNNNNNNNNNNNNNNNNNNNNNNNNNNNNNNNNNNNNNNNNNNNNNNNNNNNNNNNNNNNNNNNNNNNNNNNNNNNNNNNNNNNNNNNNNNNNNNNNNNNNNNNNNNNNAUUCUAACAAAAAUAAAAUUAUAAAAAUUAAAGCUAGUAUUUAUUUCAAAUAAUUGAAAUUGUACUAAGUUACUAUGAAUAUUCAACACAAAUGAAAUAAUUAGUUGAGACAAGAACUCGUAAGAGAGGAAAUUUAAGCAAAAUUAGGAAAUCUUUAAAUGAAAAAUGAAAGUUGGAAUAUAACUUAAAAUAUUGGUAUCGAAUUUGGUAUGAAUAUCAAAUACAAAAUUGAUGGACUAAUAACUUGAAACGUGGGAACCCAUAAGUGAAAAAGCUUAAGCAAAAUCAACGACCAGUCUAAGAAAAUAUAUUUGUUAUAUUUAACCCAAGUAAUUGAAAUCUUACUAAAUUAAUGAGAAUACACAAUACAAAAAUUAGUGGAAUAAUAGUUGAAAUAUAUAAACCCACAUGAAAUGAAGUUUAACUAAAAUUAUGAACUCAUCUCAUAGAAAUGAAAGUUUUUAAAAUCUAACUCAAAAUAUUGGUAUUUAACGACAUUAGUAGGAAUAUAAAACACGAAAAUAGUGAACUUAAAAGUGAAUAUACGAACCUAUAAGUUUAACCAAAAUAAGUUACUAAUCUAACAAAACUAAAUUUAUAAAAAAUAAAAAUUUAGUAUCUAACCUAUAUAAUUGGAAUCUUACAAAGUUAAUGGAAAUACUCAACACAAAAAUGAUAGAAUAAUUAGUUGAAAUUAUUGAGCCUAAAUGGUAGAAAAUAUAACGAAAAUGUGAACUUAUCCAAUAGGAAAUGAAUUUACUUACAUUCUAACCCAAUAUAUUAGUAUUUAAGGAAUUUAAUAGGAACAUCAAAGACAAAGCUAGUGGAUUGAGAAGUGAAAACGAAUAAAUUAGUAAGUGAAAAAGGUUAAAUAAAAUUAGAGAUGUGCGAAAUCAAAUUGUAACAUCCAAUUAAUAUAUUGGUAUUUAACUAAAAGAGUUGGAUAUGAUUAUUUUAUAGUUUUUUAAUAUCAUUUUAAUUAUAAUAUUUUUCUCAUUCAAAUAUUUUUAUGUUAGUUAUUUACAAAUUUUCUUAUUUUUCAGCAUUAAAAAUAAAUUGUCAAAAAUUAUUUAGAAAACACCAAAAUCACCAGCUGUUCAAGUUGUAAAGCGACUAUGUAAUAUACAACAACUGUAUAAGUUGGAUGAUCCUUCAUUUUAUUCUCCCUUGCAAGCAGCAAUUUUCAUGGGAUUGUACUUUUGGUUGCCACUACUUACUGCGUCAAAUAGUCCAAGGAAAGGACGGUAAAGAUAAUGUGUGGAUUAGUCAAAUCCACAUGCACCUUUGUUCUCGGCCAAAUAAAUACCGGCUCCAUUCUCUCUUCUAGUCUUCUUCAUAAUUUUACAUUGUACACUUUUUAUUUUAUUUUUCUACGCUACACACGUUUGUUUUUCAUUUUUUUUUCCUCAGUGUUUUUGCAUGUUGAUAAUUGUAUAGUUGCUCUUAGACAAUCACAUUCGCUUGGACAAACUUCUUUUUCUCAUGGAAAAUGAUCUCUGCACUGCCCCUAUUUUAUCAUAUGUACAUCUAACCACCACAAAAGUUUAAUAUGUUCUUGACACCACCUUUAUUUUUAAAUUUAUAUCAAUAAACAAUUUUGACAAUUAGAGUUUAAAUAAAAUAAUCAUUUUACCCUUAAACGAAUUAACAAACUAUUUUAUCCUACAAAAUUUUUAAAAAUAAAAAAAUUAUAAUUACCAUUUAAUCAAUUGAUAAAAUACUAUUGAAAAAUUGGAUGUGUAAGUUGUUGUGCAAAUUUUAUUGAACUCGCAAGUGCACGAAUCUAUUGUAGUAUAGAUCAAUGAUGACGAGUGUCGAUCCCACGAGGAGGUAAAUUUUAAUUGUGUGUAGAAUUAAUUUUCUAAAUGUGUGGUUGGAUUUGUGGUGAAAAUGAUUUGGAUUAUCCUAAAAUUGGAAUUGAAAUGGCGAGAAUAAUUUGAAGAGAAUUCUAUUGAGAUGACGUACUUGGGUAUCCGGAUCCGUAUCAACAUGCACCAUGGGCUAAAUAUUCCUUAUUAAUACCAAUUAAAUCAUGAGGGGGGGAAUCCACACCUCAUGAACCACACUCUAAUCAAUAUGGUGCUAAGGGCUUAUCGUGCCAAAUAAUAAUAACCUUGUACUAGGGAGCCGGUGUAACUAGGGCGGUAUCUAGAAAAGCUUAUUAUUAUUUGUCGACGAGAAGUCAAAACAUCCACAAAAAUUAGAGGGGAAGAUAAACUAAAUUUACCAAAUAAAGCCCAUGACACAUGUUGAGACUUCACCUUCAACCCAAGCUUGAAAGAAAAUUAGCUACUCAUAAUUGAACAAGGGAAAAAAUGGGAAUUUAUUAAAAUACAUAGAAAAUACAAGAUGGAGAAGGAAUUAUAGAAAAUGGAGUCCAAAAAUGGAUUCAGAGCUAUCAAAUUAGGGGGGGAGGCCCCCUUUUUAUAGAUACAUUGAGUAAAUCGUGGCCAUCGGAUUAAAAACAGUUUGGACACUCAAGAUUGUGCCACGUCAUCAGUCAAGAGUACGCGGUUUGACCACGCGGAUGAACAGUAACACAGUUUGACCAGGGUUGAAUAGUGACGCGGUUUGGUUAAAAAUAAUCCUGUGUGAUGCAUGUAUCGUACGCGAGAUUUUUAGUCCACUGAUAUGCUGCCACGUCACCAUCAAUAGUACAUAAGAAUUUUAGUNNNNNNNNNNNNNNNNNNNNNNNNNNNNNNNNNNNNNNNNNNNNNNNNNNNNNNNNNNNNNNNNNNNNNNNNNNNNNNNNNNNNNNNNNNNNNNNNNNNNGUCCUGAGUUCAAAAGUGAUAUCUGCUUUGCCGUCUGAUCUCUCGUUUAUUUUGAAAUGACCAUGAUGCCCCUAAAAUACAUCAAAUAUUUAAUUAUAAUACAACAUACAUAAUUAAAUCAUAAGAAAUUUAAAUACAUAAAAGUAGGAAUCUUAGUAAAACUUGAAGUGUAAAAUGACGAUUUUAUCCUUUAUAAAUAUGCAUUUUCUAACACUCAACACACCGCCCAACCAGCUUAUUGCUAGUCCCUAGCAAAUAAAGCGAAAAUAAAAUUCAAAUCCAAAAUGAUUUUUUUUCUUUUUUAAACAAUCAUUUUAUUCAAUCAGACUAAUGAUAGUAAUCAAAUGAAAGUAUAAGCAUUAUCUCCAGUCUAAAGAAACAUCACACCCACAUCAACCAUCCACAUGAAUCAGCCUAGUAGACUUUGUCAUAGCUACCUUCAAGAAUGACAUGUUAAACCCCAAAAUCUCACUGGAAGUAGUGACACUCUGACAAAGAAAUUAAACCAAAUAAAAAUAGUCACUCCAAUGAAUGGUAAUUGAGAGAAAAUAAUAAAAAAAUGAUAUCACAUGCUCUCACCAAGAUGAAAGAAAUAUGCCCUCAGCUUAGAAAUAAUACGAUCUCAAGUCAAAUAAAAUGCUAGUAAACCCAAUUUAUUUAUUUUUUUUAUGCACCACUACAUCUUUUUAGCCCAUAUAACUAGCUUCUACUUCACACUAUAGUUCCCUAAAAUCAAGAAGGACUUUUAUUACUACAUCUUUUUAGCCCAUAUAACUAGCUUCUACUUCACACUAUAGUUCCCUAAAAUCAAGAAGGACUUUUAUUAGGACGUAACGUAGGCUAGGGACAUGGUUAACAAAGAAGGGAAAUAAGGAAAAUAAAGUAUAUAUUUGAGAAAAAUGCAGAGGAAUUUUUUUUUUGGAAGUUGUGUGGAUUUCACCUAUUAUUGUUAUUAUUUUUUUCUUUUUUCUUUUUUUGAAACAACAAUUUUUUUUUUUGCUUUUGUUGGGCAUAACUUCACUAUGCCAAAUAUUUAUUUACAUUUUUCUCAAACAUAAAUAGGUGAUGGAACUUGUAAGAUAUUGGGUAAUAUUCCAAAUCUGAGUGGGUCAAGAUGAUAAGUUUGACAAAGAAAAGUUUUUUUUUUAAGGCUCAAAAGGGUUAACUAUGGAUAUUUCACAAAAGGGAUGGCUAGAAAGGCUCAAACGGAUCAAAGAUGGCCUUUCCAUCAUCUUUUAGGGCUCUAAAUAAUCUUCCAUAUGUACUAGUUAGAUGGGCCUCCAUAUGUAGCAACACACAUUUUUUUUCUUUUUUUUUUUUAUAAUUUUUUUUAAGGGUUAACUCAAAAGAAAUCUAGAGAUCGUGUAUACAAUAAUAAACUGCUAAGCUGUAUAAAAAAUGGGCAAAAGGGUUACUCUCCAAGAAAAAUGAUAGGCUCAAAAACUCACUUGGUACUUAUUAUGAUAUGUUCAUUCCUUCAAGCAACUCAUAUUUGUCUCCGACAUCGACAUGUAGAGUAGCAAACAUAGUGUAACAUCACUGAAGACCAAAGAUAAUACAAAUACUAAAAUUUGAUAUUAAUCAUGUCAUCCAAUGUUAAAACAAAUCACACAAUUUUUUUUUAAACAACAUCCUACCCCCCAACCUAUUCUAAACAUGAAAGGAAAAUAUGUAUGCAGAAAUGUGAAAAUGAUGCAUAAAAAUUAAUUAGAAAAGUUACACUUAAAAUGAUAGAAAAAGAAAUGUUUUUUUUUAAUUUUUAACUAAGAAGAUGCGUUUCUAGAGGCACUACACUCCAUAUUCAGCCAUCUUCGACUCAGAUAUUUAAAAAUGUAUAUUUAUAAAGGAGAAAUUAAAAAGAAGAAGAAAAAUGAACAUCAAAACUUAAUAAAGAAAAAGAAAAUGUCUGAAUUUUUUGAAUUUUUUUUUCAAACAAUGAAGAUGCGUUUCUAGAGUCACUACAUUCCAUAUUCAGCCAUCUUCAAUACAAAAAGUUAGCAACAGUUAGUUUCUACAACAAAAAAUUAGUAAAAACUUAACCAAGAUUCCACAAUUGUCGACUAUUCCCUCCCCCCAACCAGAACGAAACAUUGUCCUCAAUGUUUGAAAGGAAAGAAGUAGAGUUUAGAAGACAUCACCUGGGUGGUGCAACACAGAAGAAAAUAUUUAUAGGCGGAGAGUUAAAUCUAAUUUGUACUUCUUACUACAGCUACUGUUAUCGUCAUUAUUUGGACGCUCCAACACAAAGGUCUAGGGGUCUAGCUCCGGUCUAUAAGCUUGUAACAGAUCAAGUAGCUCAUUAGCAGUGUGAGCACAAAUAAAAAGCUUUUUGGCAUUGGAAGGAACGAAAUAGUUUUUUAUUGCAUGGUUAAGAAAUGCAAUAAAGCCAUCAUAAAAAUUAUUGACAUUUAACAAACCGAUGGGUUUCUGGUGAAUGUGCAGAUGAGGCCAAAAUGCUAGUGUGAUAAGUGCCUCUAGUGUUGCAAGAUCUCCUGGAAGGAAAAUAAAAGCAUCAGCAUGAUUAAGCAUUUUAGUUAUUCUUUCUUGCAUACCUGUGACGACUAACUCUUCUCCAGUCGGUGGGUCAGACAAACCGCCCAAAGGUUUUAGGGCUAUUGGGAUGAUGCCUAAUACUUGGCUUCCUCUGACAAAAGUAGCUUUUGAGACCAAUUUUGAUAACCCUCGGUUACCUCCUCUAUACACCAAGUGUAAUUUUCUCUCUGCUGUGCUUCGGCCAAGAUCUAUGGCUGCCUCAAUGAACUCUUUAUGUUUGCCAUAGUUAAAUCCAGAAAGUACACAAAUGUUCUUAAAUUGUCUAUUGGGAGUAGCUGCGAUUGGAAUAUUUCUCAAAAAUAAUUUGUGAGUGCUUAACAAAAAGUCAUAUUUAAGAAUUUUAGUGACAGUGGGUCACAACUGUGUAUGACGUGGCAUGUCAGUGUCUAAUAACGUGUAAAGCACAUGGCUCGCGAGUCAAAAAGGAAAUAGUAAAAAGAAAAAGAAAUAAUGAUAAAAUAAAAUUAUUAAAGAUAAUAAUGCAAAAGAUAAAAUAACAGUGAAAUAAAAUAAUAGUGAAGUAAAAGGAUAUUUACAGGUUGUUGCGACUGUGGCUCACAUCUUCCUCCGGUUUUACGUCCAGAAACGGCUUGAACUCCCUCUAUGGGUCGAGGAUGGGUUUUCCAUCCAGUUUUCUUAUAAACUGGCAAACAGGGUCCUUUAUAGUCAGAUUCUCGAGACUAUAUCGUGAAUGCUCUUUUUGGAAUAAUGGCUAUAACUGGAGAAUCGCUCUUUGUACAUAUCCACUGGGAUGCGUUUCAAGAGACAGAAUGAUAUCAUCCAAUGACUCCUUAUUCAAGCCAUCCCUAAUGAAUUGAAUCUUAUCUUCUCUGUUAUUAGACAUCAUUCCUAAAGAACAUGGUUUUUUAUCACAACUCAUUCUGGCACACUUAUGACAAGCAAUAGAAAUUCUUCGGGCUCGUCGUUUUCUUGCAUAAUUUCCUUACCACAACCAGGCAUGUAUGCAAUAAAUUUUGGAGGUAACUCACCUGCCAAUCGUACUUUAGCCUCGAUCAACCAACGGAUGUCAGCAGGUAUGUUAUUCCUCAUGAGCAAUCGCAUGCGUUCGGACCGGGCUUUAUAGAUUCUAAGGAGGUCAUUCUGAGGAAGUGAAGGGAAUCGCUUGUGAAGCUUCGCUAGAAUCUCGUUUCUGUCCAUAUCUUCGCCUCAAAAUAUCAGUUAUUAUGGGAUAACUGAAGUAACCGACUUGAUUGUCACGGAGUACUGUUAUCCGCCACUUUACCCGGGUAACAAACUAAAGCACACAAACAGAAAAAGAAAUUAAAACACACAAAGAAAAUUAAAAUCGUCCUCUUAUUGAAUUUACCUCAAGCUUUAACUGGAUGUCGUAAGCACUUCUCUCAAUGUCUCUGAGUUGGCUUUCUAAACCCUCAACAUAAGAUACUAAAUCUGGUGGUUUCAGAGCCCAAAUACGAUGUGUUUUACAAAAUUGAAUCUGCCUUUUGAGAUGAGAUUUUACACGUUGAAGUGGUUUAAGAAUGUUCAGGAGGAACGGUUUAAGUAUGGUACUCAUGAUUAACAAUGACAAGAAAAAAACUUAAUGGUUAAACAAAUACACUUAUGCAAAAAUAAUUUCAAUUAGCAAAAAAUAAUAAAAAAAAAGAAAGAAAAAAAAAUCAAAUCACCGAAAAGAAAGAAAGAAAAACUUAAUUCAAAUCUGGUUGAUCACUCAAAUUUAUUUCGAUGUCCUCUCCAUGUAGUUGGUACUCUAGAUAUGGCUUUAAUCUUUGACCAUUAACUUUAAACGUGACACCUGUUGUGCAAAUUUUAAUGUACUCGCAAGCGCACGAAUCUAUUGUAGUAUAGAUCAAUAGUGACGAGUGUCGAUCCCACGAGGAGGUGGAUUUUAAUUAUAUGUAGAAUUAAUUUUGUAAAUGGGUGGUUGAAAUUGUGGUGGAAGUGAUUUAAAUUAUCCUAAAAUUGGAAUUGCAAUGGUGAGAAUAAAUUGAAGCGAAAUCUAUUGAAAUGACGUACUUGGGUAUCUGGAUUCGUAUCAACAUGCAUCAUGGGCUAAAUAAUUCGUAUUAAUGCCAAUUAAAUCAUGAGGGGGGAAUCCACACCUCAUGAACCACGCUCUAAUCAAUAUGGUGCUAAGGGCUUAUCAUGCCAAAUAAUAAUAACCUUGUACUAGAGGGCCGGUGAAACCAAGGCGGUACUAGACAAGAAUAUUAUUAUUUGUCGAUGAGAAGUCAAAACAUCCACAAAAACUAGAGGGGAAGAGAAAAUAAAUUUAUCAAAUAAAGCCCAUGACACAUGUUGAGACUUCACCUUCAACCCAAGCUUGAAAUAAAAUUAGCCACUCAUAAUUGAACUAGGGGCAAAAUAGGAAUUUAUUAAAAUACGAAGAAAAUACAAGAUGGAGAAGGAAUUACAGAAAAUGGAUCCCAAAAAUAGAUUCAGAGAUAUCAAAUUAGGGGGGAGAGGCCCCCUUUUUAUAGAUACAUGGAGUAAAUAAUGGCCAUCGGAUUAAAAACAAUUUGGACGCUCAUGAUUGCGCCACGUCAUCAGUCAACAGUACGCGGUUUGACCACGCGGAUGAACAGUAACAUGGUUUGACCUGGAUGAAUAGUAACGCGGUUUGACCCGGAUGAACAGUAACACGGUUUGGUUGAAAAUAAUCCUGUGUGAUGCAUAUACCGUACGUGAGAUUUUUCGUCCACUGAUAUGCUUUCACAUCACCAUCAACAGUACAUAAGAAUUUUAGCCCAACAGGAUCGUGACUCCUCAUCAGUCAAUGCCACAUCAUCGAUCAAUGCCACGUCAUCAAUCUGUCUAUGUGAACAGUGCCGUGAACAGUAACGUAUACAGUACCGUACAUGUGAACAGUGUUAUUUUUCCUUUUAUGCUCCUCCUAAGGUUUUCGACCGUCCUGAGUUCAAAAGUGAUGUCCGUUUUGCCAUCUGAUCUCUCGUUUAUUGUGAAAUGACUAUGAUGCCCUUAAAAUAUAUAAAAUACUUAAUUAAAAUAAAACAAACGGAAUUAAAUCAAAAGAAGGUUAAAUUCAUAAAAGUAAAGGUGUUAGUAAGACUUGAAAUGUAAAAUGACGGUUUUCUCCUUUAUAAAUAUGCAUUUUCUAACACUCAACACACCCCCCAACCAGAUUAUUGCUAGUCCCUAGCAAAUAAAGCAAAAAUAAAAUUCAAAUUCAAAUUCAAAAUGAUUUUUUUUUAAAUUUAGAAACACCCGUGUUUAUUCAAUCAGAUUAAUGAUAGCAAUCAAAUAAAAGUAUAAGCAUUAUCUCCAGUCUAAAGCAACAUCACACUCACAUCAACCAUCCACAUGAAUUAGCCCAGUAGACUUUGUUAUAUCUACUUUCAAGAAUGACAUGUCAAACCCCAAAAUCUCACUGGAAGUAGUGACAUUCUCACAAAUAAAUUAAACCCACUAAAAAUAGUCACUCCAAUGAAUGGUAAUUGAGAGAGAAAAUAAUAAAGAAGUGAUAUCACAUGCUCUCACCAAGAUGAAAUAAAUAUGCCCUCAGCUUAGAAAUAAUACGAUCUCAAGUCAAACAAAAAUGCUAGUCAACCCACUUUAUUUAUCUUUUUUUUUAUUAUGCAUCACUACAUCUUUUUAGCCCAUAUAACUAGCUUCUACUUCAGAAUAUAGUUCCCUAAAAUCAAGAAGGACUUUUAUUAGGACGUAACGUAGGCUAGGGACAUGGCUAACAAAGAACAGAAAUAAGGAAAACAAAGUGUAUGUUUGAGAAAAAUGCAGAAAUUUUUUUUGUUUUUUUUUGGAAGUUGCAAGGUGGAUUUCACCUAUUAUUUUUAUUUUUAUUCUUUUGAAACAACAACUUUUUUUUUUGUUUUUUUCUCUUUUUUUUUGGCAUAACUUCACUGAACAAAAUAAUUAUUUAUCUUUUUCUCAAACAUAAAUAGGUGAUGGAACUGAUGAGACAUCGGGAAAUACUUAAAAUCGGAGUGGGUCAAGAUGAUAAGUUGAAAAGGAAAAGGUUUUUUUUUUUAAAAAAAAAAGGCUCAAAAGGGUUAACUAUGGAUAUUUAAUAAAAGGGAUGGCUAGAAAGGCUCAAACGGAUCAAAGAUGGUCUUUCCAUCAUCUUUUAGGGCUCUAAAUAAUCAUCCAUAUCUAAUAGUUAGAUGGGCCUCCCAAUGUAACAACACACAUUUAUUUUUCUUUUUUUAUUUUACAAUUUUUUUUAAGGGUUAACUCAAAAGCAAUUUAGAGAUCGUGUGUAAAAUAAUAAACUGCUAAGUUGUAUAAAGAGUGGGCAAAAUGGUUAUUCUCCAAGAAAAAUAAUAGGCUCAAAAACUCACUUGGUACUUAUUAUGACAUGUUCAUUCCUUCAAGCAAUUCACAUUUGUCUUCGACAUCAACAUGCAGAGUAGCAAACAUAAUGUAACAUCACUUAAGACCAAAGAUAAUACAAAUACUAAAAUUUGAAUAAAUCAUGUCAUCCAAUGUCAAAACAAAUCAUACAACCUAUUCUAAACAUGAAAGGAAAAUAUACAUACAGAAAUGUGAAAAUAAUGCAUAAAAACUAAUUAGAAAAGUUACACGUAAAAUGAUAGAAAACGAAAAUGGUUUUUUUUUUUAAAGAAGAUGCGUUUCUAGAGGCACUACACUCCAUAUUCAGCCAUCUUCGACUCAAAAGUUGGAAAAUGUAUAUUUAUAAGGAGAAAUUAAAAAAAAGAAGAAAAAUGAACAUCAAAACAUAAUAAAGAAAAAGAAAAAGUCUGGAUUUUUUUUUUAAUGAUGAAGAUGCGUUUCUAGAGUUACUAUACUCCAUAUUCAGCCAUCUUCAACACAAAGAGUUAGCAACAGUUAGUUUCUACAACAAAAAAUUAGUAAAAACUUAACCAAAAUUUCACAAUUAUCGACUAUUCCCUCCCCCCAACCAGAACGAAACAUUGUCCUCAAUGUUUGAAAGUAAAGAAGUAGAGUUUAGAAGACAUCACCUGGGUGGUGCAACACAGAAAAUAAUAUUUACAAACGGAGAGUUAAAUCUAAUUUGUACUUCUUACUGCGGCUACUGUUACCAUCAUUAUUUGGAUGCUCCAACACAAAGGUCCAGGGGUCUGGCUCCGGUCUAUAAGCUUGUAACAUAUCAAGUAGCUCAUUAGCAGUGUGAGCACAAAUAAAGAGUUUUUUCGCAUUAGAGGGAAUAAAAUAGUUUUUUAUUGCAUGGUUAAGAAAUGCGAUAAAGCCAUCAUAAAAGUUAUUGACAUUUAACAAACCGAUGGGUUUCUGGUGAAUGUGCAGAUGGGCCCAAGAUGCUAGUGUGAUAAGUGCCUCUAGUGUUGCAAGAUCUCUUGGAAGGAAAAUAAAAGCAUCAGCAUGAUUAAGCAUUUCAAUUAUUCUUUCUUGCAUACCUAAGACGACUAACUCUUCUCCAGUUGAUGAGUCAGACGAACUGCCCAAUGGUUUUAAGACUCUGGGGAUGAUGCCUAACACUUGACUUCCUCUGAUAAAAGUUGCUUCUGAGACCAUUUUUGAUAACCCUCGGUUACCUUCUCUAUACACCAAGUGUAAUUUUCUCUCUGCUAUACUUCGACCAAGAUCGAUGGCUGCCUCAACGAACUCUUUAUGUUUGCCAUAUGUAAAUCCAGAAAGCACACAAAUGUUCUUGAAUUGUCUAUUGGGAGUAGCUGCCAUUGUGACACUUCUCAAAAACAAUUUGUGAGUGCUUGACAAAAAAGAAAUCACAUUUAAAAAUCUUGGUGACAGUGGAUCACAGUUGUGUAUGAGGUAACAUGUUAGUGUCAAAUAACGAGUAAAGCACAUGGCUCGCGAGUCAAAAAGGAAACAGUAAAAAGGAAAAAGCAAACAGUAAUAAAAUUAUUAAAGACAAUAAUGCACACAAUAAAACAAUAGUGAAAUAAAAUAACAGUAAAGUAAAUGGAUAUUUACAGGUAGUUACGACUGUGGCUCACAUCUUCCUCUGGUUUUACGUCCAGAAACGGCUUGAACGCCCUCUAUGGGUCGAGGAUAGGCUUCCUAUCCAGUUUUCUUAUAAACUGGCAAACAAGGUCGUUUAUAGUCAGAUUCCCGAGACUAUAUCGUGCAUGCUCUUUCUGCAAUAAUGGCCAUAACUGGAGAAUCGUUCCUUGCACAUAUCCACUGGGAUGCGUUUCAAGAGACAAAAGGAUAUCAUCCAAUGACUCCUUAUUCAAGCCAUCCCUAAUGAAUUGAAUCCUAUCUUCCCUGUUAUCAGACCCCAUUCCUAAAGAACAUGGGUUUUUAUUGCAACUCAUUAUGGCACACUUAUGAUAAGCAACAGAAAUUCUUUGAGCUCGUCGUUUUCUUGCAUAAUUUCCUUUACCACAACCAGGCACGUAUGCAAUAAAUUUUGGAGGUAACUCACCUGCCGAUCGUACUUUCGCCUCAAUUAACCAACGGAUAUCAGCAGGUAUGUUAUUCCUCAUAAGCAAUCGCAUGCGUUCGGACCGAGCUUUAUAGAUCGUAAGGAGGGCAUUCUUAGGAAGUGAAGGGAAUCGCUUGUGAAGCUUCGCUAGAAUCUCGUUUCUGUCCAUACCUUCGCCUCAGAAUAUCAGUUAUUAUGGAAAACUGAAGUAACCGACUUGAUUGUCACGGAGUACCGUUAUCCGCCACUUCACCGGGAUAACAAACUAAAGCACACAAACAGAAAAACAAAUUAAAACACACAAAGAAAAUUAAAAUCGUCCUCUUAUUGAAAUUGCCUCAAGCUCCAACUGGAUAUCCUAAACACUUCUCUCAAUGUCUCUGAGUUGGCUUUCUAAACCCUCAACAUAGGCUACUAACUCUGGUGGCUAUAGAGCCCAAAUGCGAUGUGUUUUACAAAAUUGAAUCUGCCUUUUAAGAUGAGUUUUGACACGUUGAAGUGGUUUAAAAAUGUUCAGGAGGAACGAUCUAAGUAAGGUACUCAUGAUAAAAAAAUGAUAAGAGAAAACUUAAUAGUUAAACAAACACACUUAUGCAAAAAUAAUUUCAAUUAGCAAAAGAAUAAUAUAAAGAAAGAAAGAAAAAAAAAUCAAAUCACCAAAAAGAAAAAAAAAUCAAUUCAAAUUUAGUGGGUCACCUAAAUUUAUUUCGAUGUCUUCUCCGUGUGGUUGGUAUUCUAGAUAUGACUUUAAUCUUUGACCAUUAACUUUAAACGUGACACCGUUCUUUGGGUCCUUAAUUUCAAUUGCCCCAUGUGGAAAAACAGUAUGAACAAUAAAUGGGCCAGACCAACGAGAGCGUAACUUACCUGGGAAUAGGUGCAAGCGAGAAUUGAAUAAAAUCACUUUCUGACCUGGAGUGAACAAUUUUCUCAUAAUUUGCUUAUCAUGGAAGACUUUCAUUUGUUGCUUGUAAAUCUUGGCAUUUUCGUAUGUAUCAUUGUGAAUUUCUUCAAGUUCUGUCAGUUGUAAUCUUCUUUCUGAGCUGGCUUGCUGCAUGUCAAAAUUGAAUUUUUUGAUGGCCCAAUAUGCACGAUGCUCGAGUUCCACAGGUAGGUGGCAAGCUUUUCCAUACACUAGCCUGUAGGGUGACAUCCCAAUCGGGGUCUUGAAAGCCGUUCUAUAUGCCCAUAAUGCAUCAUCAAGUCUUAAUGACCAAUCUUUCCUGUCUGGCCUCACCGUUUUUUCUAAUAUGUGCUUUAUUUCUCGAUUGGAGAUCUCAACUUGGCCACUAGUUUGCGGAUGAUAUGGGGUUGCCACUUUAUGAGUGAUUGAAUACUUUGUCAAAAGAGCUUUGAAUGCUUUGUUACAAAAGUGGGCACCACCAUCACUGAUUAUUGCUCGAGGGAAUCCAAAGCGUGAGACAAUAUUGCUUUUCAAAAAUCCUAUCACCACCUUGUGAACAUUGGUUCUGCAUGGAAUUGCUUUUACCCAUUUCGAUACAUAGUCAACAGCAACCAAUAUGUAUUGAUGGCCAAAAGAAGGGGGAAAUGGUCCCAUGAAGUCGAUACCCCAUACAUCAAAAAUCUCAACCAUUAAAAUUGGAUUUAGUGGCAUCAUGUUCCUUCAUGUAAUGCUCCCCAUUCGUUGACACCUAUCACAUGAAGAAUAGAAAGUGUAAGCAUCUCGAAAUAUAGUUGACCAAUAAAAACCACAUCGUAAAACUUUAGUUGCUGUUUUCUUAGCACUGAAAUGGCCUCCACAAACUUGUUCAUGGCAGAAUGAAAGGAUAUUCUGAAUUUAACUUUCUGGGACACAUCGUCUAACAAUUUGGUCUGCACAAUACUUGAACAAAUACGGGUCAUCCCAAAAGAAAUUCUUUAUCUCUGCAAAGAAUUUAGCCUUGUCUUGCUUGGUCCAAUGCUCAGGAAGUUUACCUGUAACAAGAUAAUUAAAUAUAUCAGCAUACCAAGGUAAUACUUCCACACUCAUUAAUUGUUCAUCUGGAAAUGACUCAUUUAAUGAUAAUGGUUCUGUAAUUGUGUCAAAAUGGAGACGAGAGAGAUGAUCCGCCACAAUAUUUUCUGUCUCUUUCUUAUCUUUGAAUUCCAAGUCAAAUUCCUGCAAAAGUAACACCCAACGAAUUAGUCUAGCUUUUGCAUCUUUCUUUGUGAGAAGAUAUUUAAGAGCAGCAUGAUCUGUGAAUACAAUUAUUUUACAACCGAUGAGAUAGGAUCGAAAUUUUUCCAAUGCAAACACUACUGCUAGCAUUUCUUUUUCAGUAGUUGAAUAGUUCAACUGUGCAUCAUUUAAUGUCAUACUAGCAUAGUAAAUAACAUGGGGAAUUCAAUCAACUCUUUGUCCUAAUACUGCUCCUACUGCAUAAUCAGAUGCAUCACACAUGAGCUCAAAUGGUAAACUCCAGUUUGGGGCCUGAAUGAUGGGUGAUGAUGUCAAUAAUUGCUUUAGUUUUUCAAACGCCAUAAGACAUGAAUCAGUAAAGAUAAAAAGGUACAUUCUUAGCAAGUAGAUUGCAUAAGGGUCUAGAAACUUUGCUAAAAUUUUUAAUGAAACGUCUAUAGAAACCAGCAUGCCCAAGGAACGAUCUUACUUCUCUGACUGUUUUGGGUGGAGGAAGAUUAGAAAUGAGAUCCACCUUGGCUUUGUCAACCUCAAUACCUUUACUUGAAAUGAUGUGACCGAGAACAAUACCUUGUUUUACCAUAAAAUGGCACUUCUCCUAAUUUAAGACCAAGUUCUUCUCGAUACAUCUCUGCAGAACUAGCGUUAGAUGAUGUAAACAUUGAUCAAACGAGUCACCAAAGACAGAAAAGUCAUCCAUAAAGACUUCAAGGAAUCGUUCAACCAUAUCAGAAAAAAUGCUCAACAUGCAUCGUUGAAAUGUAGCAGGUGCAUACAUAAUCCAAAUGGCAUUCUCCUAUAUGCAAAUGUGCCAAAAGGGCAAGUGAAAGUGGUCUUCUCUUGAUCUUUUGGUGCUAUGGGGAUCUGAUUAUAUCCUGAGUAGCCAUCUAGAAAGCAAUAAAAUUCAUGGCCUGCUAAUCUAUCAAGCAUUUGAUCAAUAAAUGGUAAAGGAAAAUGGUCUUUACGUGUGACAGAAUUCAACUUUCUAUAAUCAAUGCAUACACGCCAUUCUGUAGUUACUCUAGUGGGUAUCAAUUCAUUAUUAAUUCAUUACUCUAAUAGCUUAAGGACUUCAGUUCUAACAACUUCUUUCAUAUUAGGAUUUAACCGACGUUGUAUUUCCCUAGUAGAUUUAGCAUUUUCAUCAAGGUGAAUGUAAUGCAUGCAGUCUACUGGGUUUAUACCUUUAAUGUCUGCUAUGGUCCAUCCUAAUGCUCCUUUGUGCUCUUUUAAAACAUCCAACAACUUACCUUUUUGUUCGUCAUUGAGGGAUGAUGAGAUGAUUACCGGCAGAGUACUUUCUUCUCCCAAAAAUGCAUAUUCCAGAGUGUUGGGUAAUGGUUUGAGCUCGAGUUUCGGUGGUGAUUCUGAUGAUGGAAUGAGUUGCUUCUCUGAUGGUGCUAGUUGUUCAACUCUUGACUUCCAUUUAUUAGUGUCCAUGGAUGGUGCUGAGUCAAGUAGGGCGUUGACCUCAUCGACCGAUCUGUCAAUAUCAAAAUCCAAACCAAAGUGAGUUAAGCAUGUUUGUAAAGGCUCAUCACUAAGGUUUGAAAGAAAAGUGUUAUCAACUAUUGUUUCUAUUAAAUCCACAUCAACAAUUCCAUCAUCUGCAUUGUGAGGUUGUUUGGCAAUGUUGAAGAUGUUCAGCUCCAUAGUCAUGUUGCCGAAGGACAACUGCAUAUUUCCAGUCCUGCAUUGAAUGUGAGCAUCCGCAGUUGCCAAGAAAGGUCGUCCUAGAAUAAUGGGGAUGUGCUUCCUUGAAUCCUGUAUUGGUUGAGUGUCAAUUAUAAUGAAAUUAACAGGAAAAUAAAACUUGUCUACCUGGAUAAGCACGUCCUCCAUAAUACCACGAGGUAUUUUCAUGGACCGAUCUGCAAGCUGUAACACCACUGGAGUUGGGUGUAAUUCUCCCAGUCCAAGUUUCACGAAUUCUGAAUAAGGCAAUAGAUUUACACUAGCUCCUAAAUCCAACAAAGCAUUCUCAAUUGUGUGGUUCUCUAUACUACAUGAGAUACUGAAUAAUGGAGCUUUGGGAAUAUAUUCUCGUGGGUUGGUUUCUUCUUUCUCCUCCGGUGAUGAGUCCUCAACACUCACAGGUACAAUUUGAUUUUCUUUUGUCACCGGCAUCUCCACUUUGUUGUCGGCUUCUUUUCCUUUUCGCAAGGUCAUAACUGCUUUGACUUCUCUAUGCUGCUGUGGUGAACUAGUACUUGCUUCAUGCACUCCUUUAGGAUUAGGCACUCGUUGACUUGGAAAUUUGCCUUUCUUAACAGUCAUUGCCAAGGUCUGAACUGAAGAAGCAAGUUGUCCCACUAUCUUUUCGAGUAUUGAAACUGAUUGGGCUUGUGAAUUGAAGCCUGCUCUCAACUCAUUUCAUAGUCCAUCAAUGGUGCGGUUUUGUUGCUCAAUUAUGGAGUGAGUAACAUUCUUGAAAUUCUGGAAUGCAUCCUCCCAUGGUCUAGGUUGAGAGUAGUUUUGGUUCUUAUUGUAUGGUCUAAAUGGUGGCUGAAAGGCUUGAGUAUUUUAUGGAAUUUGUUGCAUUGGUGGAGCUGGAGUUGCUGGUCCAUUCUGUUGGAAUCCUUGAGACCAUGAAAAAUUGGAGUGGUCUCUCCAUCCAGGGUUAUAUGUGCUAGAGUAUGGAUUAUAAUUCGAUGGUUUUCUCAUUACACCUAUGGCAUUGGCUUGAUCAGAGUAUGAGUCAUGGUCAUGUGGUUCUGUUGAUUUAGCAGUCGAUAACGAUGCUAUUUGUCGAGCAAGACCUUCAACCAUCUCCUUGACUUCUUUGAUUCCCGAAGUUGACUCGCCAAUGUGAACCUCAUUCACUCCUUUAAUUCUUUUAGUAUUCCUGAGUGAUCGACUCCGUUGUUGGAAUUAUCCGCUUGUCGCUGGAAGAAUUCCCAAAUUUCUGAUGUACUUUUUGACAUUAGCUCUCCUCCACUUGUUGCCAUUAGCCAUUCUUGCACAUUCGGCAAUAAUCCCUCCAAAACGUAUUGGCAUUGGUGCCAUUUCUCGUACCCAUGAUGUGGACACUUCAAGAGUAGCCCAUUGAAUCGCUCCCAUGUUUCAAAAAACUGCUCGUCCUCUCUCUGGGUAAACUCUGAGAUUUCCCUGCGAAUAGCGUUGGUUUUAUGCACUGGGAAAUAUUUAUUCAAAAAUUUUGUUACCAUUUGUUCCCAUGAUGAAAUGCUAUUAGCAGAUAAAAUAUUUAACCAUGAACGAGCUCUAUCCUUUAAAGAAAAUGGGAAUAAUCUGAGUUUAACAUCAUCAUCUGAAAAAUUUUCAUAUUUAAAAGUUUGACAAAUUGCAUGAAAAUCAUUCAGAUGAUUAUAUGGGUCCUCAUUUCCUAGGCCAUAAAAUGUUGGGAGACAAUUUAGCACACUGGGUUUUAAUUCAAAACUCCUAGCAGCUACGUUUGGGUAUCUUAUGCAUGAUGUGCUCAAAUUAGCUAAGAGACUAAAAUAGUCCUUAAAUAGCCUCUCCUGUGGUGCUUGUAAAUCCAUUUUAUUUUUAAAGUUCUUGUGUGUGCGAAGUGUUUUUUCUAGUUCAAGGUCUAUAGGUUCAAGAUUAGGUAAUAAUGACCUACGACCAUGCAUGCAAAACAAAUAAAAAAAAUAAAGAUGGGAACAAAACAAAUAAAAAUAAAGAAGAGGGAGAAAUUACGAUACUAACCUUAUUGCGCUAUUACAACCUUUCUAUAAAAAUACACAAAAAUAAAUAUGUGAAAUUAACUGAAAAUUAAAUUAAAACUUAAUAAAGAAAAUUAAAUUAAGAUAAACAAAAAUUACAAAGAAAAAUAAUUUAAAAAUUAAAUUGCAUAAUUGUAAAGAAUAGAGAAAGAAAAUAAAUACUAACCUCUAAAUGCAGAUUCACUUUUUUUUUCUUUUUUUUUAAAGAAAAAAAAUACAAGACAACAAUUAUUCACACGAGGAGGUGGAUUUUUAAAAGAAAUUAUUCACACAAAUUAAUUCUAUGAAUUAAAAUUACUUACCUCCCCGGCAACGGCGCCAAAAACUUGUUGUGCAAAUUUUAAUGUACUCGCAAGCGCACGAAUCUAUUGUAGUAUAGAUCAAUAGUGACGAGUGUCGAUCCCACGAGGAGGUGGAUUUUAAUUAUAUGUAGAAUUAAUUUUGUAAAUGGGUGGUUGAAAUUGUGAUGGAAGUGAUUUAAAUUAUCCUAAAAUUGGAAUUGCAAUGGCGAGAAUAAAUUGAAGCAAAAUCUAUUGAAAUGACGUACUUGGGUAUCUGGAUCCGUAUCAACAUGCAUCAUGGGCUAAAUAAUCCGUAUUAAUGCCAAUUAAAUCAUGAGGGGGGAAUCCACACCUCAUGAACCACGCUCUAAUCAAUAUGGUGCUAAGGGCUUAUCGUGUCAAAUAAUAAUAACCUUGUACUAGAGGGCCGGUGAAACCAAGGCGGUACUAGACAAGAAUAUUAUUAUUUGUCGAUGAGAAGUCAAAACAUCCACAAAAACUAGAGGGGAAGAGAAAAUAAAUUUACCAAAUUAAGCCCAUGACACAUGUUGAGACUUCACCUUCAACCCAAGCUUGAAAGAAAAUUAGCCACUCAUAAUUGAACUAGGGGUAAAAUGGAAAUUUAUUAAAAUAUGAAGAAAAUACAAGAUGGAGAAGGAAUUACAGAAAAUGGAUCCCAAAAAUAGAUUCAGAGAUAUCAAAUUAGGGGGGAGAGGCCCCCUUUUUAUAGAUACAUGGAGUAAAUCAUGGCCAUCGGAUUAAAAACAGUUUGGACGCUCAGGAUUGCUCCACGUCAUCAAUCAACAGUACGCGAUUUGACCACGCGGAUGAACAGUAACACGGUUUGACCUGGAUGAAUAGUAACGCGGUUUGACCCGGAUUAACAGUAACGCGGUUUGGUUGAAAAUAAUCCUGUGUGAUGCAUAUACCAUACGCGAGAUUUUUCGUCCACUGAUAUGCUGCCACGUCACCAUCAACAGUACAUAAGAAUUUUAGCCCAACAGGAUCGUAACACCUCAUCAGUCAAUGCCACAUCAUCGGUCAAUGCCACGUCAUCGAUCCGUCUAUGUGAACAGUGCCGUGAACAGUAACGUAUACGGUACCGUACAUGUGAAUAGUACCGUACAUGUGAACAGUGCCAUUUUUCCUUUUAUGCUCCUCCUAAGGUUUUCGACCGUCCUGAGUUCAAAAGUGAUGUCCGUUUUGCCAUCUGAUCUCUCGUUUAUUGUGAAAUGACUAUGAUGCCCUUAAAAUACAUAAAAUACUUAAUUAAAAUAAAACAAACGGAAUUAAAUCAAAAGAAGGUUAAAUUCAUAAAAGUAAAGGUGUUAGUAAGACUUGAAAUGUAAAAUGACGGUUUUCUCCUUUAUAAAUAUGCAUUUUCUAACACUCAACAACACCGUUCUUUGGGUCUUUAAUUUCAAUUGCCCCAUGUGGAAAAACAGUAUGAACAAUAAAGGGGUCAAACCAUCGAGAUCGUAACUUACCUGAGAAUAGGUGUAAGCGAAAAUUGAACAAAAGCACUUUCUGACCUGGAAUGAACAAUUUUCUCAUAAUUUUCUUGUCAUGAAAGACUUUCAUUCGUUGCUUGUAAAUCUUGACGUUUUCAUAUGCGUCAUUACGAAUUUCUUCAAGUUUUGCCAGUUGCAAUUUUCUUUCUGAGUUGGCUUGCUGCAUGUCAAAGUUGAAUUUCUUGAUGGCCCAAUAUGCACGAUGCUCGAGUUCCACAGGUAGGUGGCAAGCUUUUCCAUACACUAGCCUGUAGGGUGACAUACCAAUCGGGGUCUUGAAAGCCGUUCUAUAUGCCCAUAAUGCAUCAUCAAGUCUUAAUGACCAAUCUUUUCUUUCUGGCCUCACCGUCUUUUCUAAUAUGUGCUUUAUUUGUCGAUUGGAGAUCUCAACUUGGCCACUAGUUUGCGGAUGAUAUGGGGUUGCCACUUUGUGUGUGAUGGAAUACUUUGUCAAAAGAGCUUUGAAUGCUUUGUUACAAAAGUGGGCACCACCAUCACUGAUUAUUGCUCGAGGGAAUCCAAAGCGCAAAACAAUGUUGCUUUUCAAAAAUCCUAUUACCACCUUGUGAUCAUUGGUCCUGCAUGGAAUUGUUCUACCUAUUUCGAUACGUAGUCAACAGCAACCAAUAUCUAUUGAUGGCCAAAAGAAGGGGGAAAGGGUCCCAUAAAGUUGAUACCCUAUACAUAAAAAAUCUCAACCACUAAAAUUGGAUUUAGUGGCAUCAUGUUCCUUCGUGUAAUGCUCCCCAUUCGAAGACACCUAUCACAUAAAGAACAGAAAGUGUAAGCGUCUCGAAAUAUAGUUGGCCAAUAAAAACCACAUUGUAAAACUUUAGUCGUUGUUUUCUUAGCACUGAAAUGACCUCCACAAGCUUGUUCAUGGCAGAAUGAAAGAAUAUUCUGAAUUUCACUUUUUGGAACACAUCAUCUAACGAUUUGAUCUACACAAUACUUGAACAAAUACGGGUCAUGCCAAAAGAAAUUCUUUAUAUCCGCAAAGAAUUUAGCCUUGUCUUGCUUGGUCCAAUGCUCUGGAAGUUGACCUGUAACAAGAUAAUUAACGAUAUCAGCAUACCAUGGUAAUACUUCCACACUCAUCAAUUGUUCAUCUAGGAAUGACUCAUUCAAUGGUAAUGAUUCCAUAAUUGUGUCAAAAUGGAGACGAGAGAGAUGGUCAGCUACAACAUUCUCUGUGCCUUUCUUAUCUUUAAAUUCCAAAUCGAACUCCUGCAAAAGUAACACCCAACGAAUUAGUCUAGCUUUUGCAUCUUUCUUUGUGAGAAGAUAUUUAAGAGCAGCAUGAUCUGUGAAUAUAAUUAUUUUAUAACCAAUGACAUAAGAUCGAAUUUUUCCAAUGCAAACACUACUGCUAGCAUUUCUUUUUCAGUAGUUGAAUAGUUCAUCUGUGCAUCAUUCAAUGUCAUACUAGCAUAGUAAAUAACAUGGGAAAUUUGAUCAACUCUUUGUCCUAAUACUGCUCCUACUGCAUAAUCAGAUGUAUCACACAUGAGUUCAAAUGGUAGGCUCCAGUUUGGGGGCUGAAUGAUGGGUGAUGAUGUCAAUGUUGAGUGUUAGAAAAUGCAUAUUUAUAAAGGAGAAAACCGUCAUUUUACAUUUAAGUCUUACUAACAACCCUUACUUUUAUGUAUUUAACCUUCUUGUGAUUUAAUUACAUGUGUUUUAUUUUAAUUAAGUAUUUUAUGUAUUUUAGGGGCAUUAUAGUCAUUUCACAAUAAAUGAGAGAUCAAACGGCAAAACGGACAUCAAUUUUGAACUUAGGACGGUCGAAAACCUUAGGAGGAGCAUAAAAGGAAAAAUGGCACUAUUCACAUGUAUGGUACUGUCUACGUUACUGUUCACGACACUGUUCACCUAGACGGAUCAAUGACGUGGCAUUGACCGAUGAUGUGGCAUUGACUGAUGAGGUGUCAUGAUCCUGUUGGACUAAAAUUAUUAUGUACUGUUGAUGGUGACGUGGCAGCAUAUCAGUGGACGAAAAAUCUCACGUACGGUACAUGCAUCACACAGGAUUAUUUUCAACCAAACCGUGUUACUGUUCAACCCGGGUCAAACCGUGUUACUGUUCAUCCAUGUGGUCAAACCGCGUACUGUUGACUGAUGACGUGGCGCAAUCAUGAGCGUCUAAACUGUUUUUAAUCCGAUGGCCAUGAUUUACUCCAUGUAUCUAUAAAAAAGGGGGCCUCUCCCCCCUAAUUUGAUAUCUCUGAAUCUAUUUUUGGGAUCCAUUUUUUAUAAUUCAUUCUCCAUCUUGUAUUUUCUUUGUAUUUUAAUAAAUUUUCAUUUUACCCCUAGUUCAAUUAUGAGUAGCUAAUUUUCUUUCAAGCUUGGGUUGAAGGUGAAGUCUCAAUAUGUGUUAUGGGCUUAAUUUGGUAAAUUUAUUUUCUCUUCCCCUCUAGUUUUUGUGGAUGUUUUGACUUCUCGUCGACAAAUAAUAAUAAUCUUGUCUAGAUACCGCCUUGGUUACACCGGCUCUCUAGUAUAAGGUUAUUAUUAUUUGGCACGAUAAGACAUAAGCCCUUAGCACCAUAUUGAUUAGAGCGUGGUUCAUGAGGUGUGGACUCCCCUCUCAUGAUUUAAUUGGCAUUAAUAAGGAUUAUUUAGCCCAUGAUGCAUGUUGAUACGGAUCCAGAUACCCAAGUACGUCAUUUCAAUAUAAUUCUCUUCAAUUUAUUCUCGCCAUUUCAAUUCCAAUUUUAAAAUUUAUUCUCGUCAUUUUAUUUUAAGUUUUAGCAUAUUCCAAAUCAUUUCCACCACAAAUCCAAUCACUCAUUUACAAAAUUAAUUCUACACAGAAUUAAAAUCCACCUCCUCGUAGGAUCGACAUUCGUCACCAUUGAUCUAUAGUACAAUAGAUUCGUGCGCUUGCGAGUUCAAUAAAAUUUGCACAACAAGUUUUUGGCGCCGUUGCCGGGGAGGUAAGUUAUUUUAAUUCGUAGAAUUAAUUUUUGUGAUUAAUUUCUUUUAAUUUUUUUUUGUAAUUUUUUUUAUUAAAAAAAAGUGAAUCUACAUUUAAAGGUUAGUAUUUCUUUUCUUUUUCUCUUCUUUAAAAUUCUGUAAUUUAAUUUUCAAUUUAUUUUUCUUUGUAAAUUUUUUUUUGUUUAUCUUAUUAAUUUAUUUUUAGUUAAUUUAUUUUCACGUUUUUUUUGGUGUGUUUUAUAGUAAGGUUGUAACAGUUUGAUAAGGUUAGUAUCGUAAUUUCUCUUUUUUCUUUAUUUUUAUUCGUUUUGUUCCCAUUUAUUUUUGUGUUCCUUGCAUGCAUGGUCGUAGGUCAUUAUUUCCUAAUCUUGAACCAUAGACCUUGAAUUAGAAAAAAACAUUUCGCACACACAAACAAGUUAAAAAUAAAAUGGAUUUGCAACCACAGGAGAGGCCAUUUAAGGACUACUUCAGUCCUUUAGCUAAUUUGAGCACAUCAUGCAUAAGAUACCCAAAUGUAGCUGCUAGGAGUUUUGAACUAAAACCUAGUGUGCUAAAUUGUCUCCCAACAUUCUAUGGCCUAGAAAAUGAGGACCCAUAUAAUCAUUUGAAUGAUUUUCAUGCUAUUUGUCAAACAUUUAAAUAUGAGAAUUUUUCAGAUGAUGAUGUAAAACUUAGAUUAUUCUCAUUUUCUUUAAAAGAUAGAGCUCGUUCAUGGCUUAAUACAUUGCCUGCUAAUAGCAUUACAUCAUGGGAACAAAUGGUAACAAAAUUUCUGAAUAAAUAUUUCCCAGUGUAUAAAACCAAUGCUAUUCAUAGGGAAAUCUCAGAGUUUACCCAGAGAGAUGACGAACAGUUUUUCGACACGUGGGAGCGAUUCAAUGGGCUACUCUUGAAGUGUUCACAUCAUAGGUACGAGAAAUGGCACCAAUGCCAUUACGUUUUGGAGGGAUUAUUGCCGAAUGUGCAAGAAUGGCUAAUGGCAACAAGUGGAGGAGAACUAAUGUCAAAAAGUGCAUCAGAGAUUUGGGAAUUCUUCCAGCGACAAGCGGAUAAUUCCCAACAACGGAGUCGAUCACUUAGGAAUACUAGAAGAAUUAAAGGAGUAAAUGAGGUUCACAUUGGCGAGUCAACUUCGGGAAUCAAAUAAGUCAAGGAGAUGGUUGAAGGUCUUGCUCGACAAAUAGCAUCGUUAUCGACUGCUAAAUCAACAGAGCCACAUGACCAUGACUCAUACUCAGAUCAAGCCAAUGCCAUAGGUGUAAUGAGAAAGCCAUCAAAUUACAACCCAUACUCCAACACAUACAACCCUGGAUGGAGAGACCACCCCAAUUUUUCAUGGUCUCAUGGAUUCCAACAGAAUGGAUCAGUAGCUCCAGCUCCACCAAUGCAACCAAUUCCUCAAAAUCCUCAAGCCUCUCAGCCCCCAUUUAAACUAUUCAAUCAGAACCAGAACUACUCUCAACCUAGACCAUGGGAGGAUGCAUUCCAAAAUUUCAGGAAUGUUACUCACUCCACGAUUGAGCAACAGAACCGCACCAUUGAUGGACUAUGAAAUGAGUUGAGAGCAGGCUUCAAUUCACAAGCCCAAUCAGUUUCAAGCCUUGAAAAGAUGGUGGGACAACUUACUUCUUCAGUUCAGACCUUGGCAAUGACUGUUGAGAAAGGUAAAUUUCCAAGUCAACCAGUGCCUAAUCCUAAAGGAGUACAUGAAGCAAGUACCAGUUCACCACAGCAGCAUGGAGAGGUCAAAGCAGUCAUGACCAUGCGAAAAGGAAAAGAAGUCGACAACAAAGUGGAGAUGCCGGUGAUAAAAGAAAAUCAAAUUGUACCUGUGAAUGUUGAUAACUCACCACCGGAUGAGAAAGAAGAAACCAACCCACGAGAAUAUGUUCCCAAAGCUCCAUUUCCUCAAAGGUUAGCGAAAGGAAAGAAGGGAAAAUCCACAGGUGAGAUUCUUGAAAUCUUCAAACAGGUAAGUGUUAACAUCCCUUUACUUGAUGCAAUUAAACAAGUUCCAUCUUAUGCCAAGUUUUUUAAAGACCUUUGUACUAAAAAGAGAAACAUUCAUGCUCAAAAGAAGGCAUUUUUAACAGAAAACGUUAGUUCUAUACUCCAACAUAAAAUUCCUCUAAAAUGCAAAGACCUAGGCUCCCCUACUAUCUCAUGUAGCAUAGGGAACCACACAAUUGAGAAUGCUUUAUUAGAUUUAGGAGCUAGUGUAAAUCUGUUGCCUUACUCAGUAUUUUUGAAACUUGGACUUGGAGAAUUACACCCAACUCCAGUGGUGUUACAGCUUACAGACCAGUCCACGAAAAUACCUCGUGGUAUUGCGGAGGACGUGCUUAUCCAGGUAGACAGGUUUUAUUUUCCUGUUGAUUUCAUUGUAAUUGACACUCAACCAAUACAGGAUUUAAGGAAGCACAUCCCCAUUAUUCUGAGCCAACCUUUCUUGGCAACUGCGGAUGCUCACAUUCAAUGCAGGACUGGAAAUAUGCAGUUGUCCUUCGGCAACAUGACUAUGGAGCUGAAUAUCUUCAACAUUGCCAAACAACCUCACAAUGCAGAUGAUGGAAUUGUUGAUGUGGAUUUAAUUGAAGCAUUAGUUGAUGACACUUUUGUUUCAAACCUUAGUGAUGAUCCUUUACAAGCGUGUUUAACUCACUUUGGUUUUGAUUUUGAUAUUGACAGAUCUGUUGAUGAGGUCAACGCCCUGCUUGACUCAGCACCAUCUAUGGACACUAAUAAAUGGAAGUCAAGAGUUGAACAAUUAGCACCAUUAGAGAAGAAACUCAUCCCAUCAUCAGAAUCACCACCAAAACUCGAGCUCAAACCAUUGCCCAACACAUUGGCAUAUGCAUUUUUGGGAGAAGAAAGUACUCUACCGGUAAUCAUCUCAUCAUCCCUAAAUGACGAACAAAAAGGUAAGUUGUUGGAUGUUUUGAAAGAGCACAAAGGGGCAUUAGGAUGCACUAUAGCAGACAUAAAAGGUAUAAACCCAGUAGAUUGCAUGCAUUACAUUCACCUUGAUGAAAAUGCUAAAUCUACUAGGAAAUGCAUCGUCGGUUAAAUCCUAAUAUGAAAGAAGUUGUUAGAACUGAAGUCCUUAAGCUAUUAGAUGCAGGUAUCAUUUACCCAAUUUCUGAUAGUUCGUGGGUCAGUCCUGUACAAGUUGUCCCCAAAAAGUCAGGAGUCACAAUAGUUACGAAUACUGAUAAUGAAUUGAUACCCACUAGAGUGACUACAAGAUGGCGUGUAUGCAUUGAUUAUAGAAAGUUGAAUUCUGUCACACGUAAAUACCAUUUUCCUUUGCCAUUUAUCAAUCAAAUGCUUGAUAGAUUAGCAGGCCAUGAAUUUUAUUGCUUUCUAGAUGGCUACUCAGGAUAUAAUCAAAUUCCCAUAGCACCAAAAGAUCAAGAGAAAACCACUUUCACUUGCCCUUUUGGCACUUUUGCAUAUAGGAGGAUGCCAUUUGGAUUAUGUAAUGCACCUGCUACAUUUCAACGAUGCAUGUUAAGCAUUUUUUCUGAUAUGGUUGAACGAUUCCUUGAAGUCUUUAUGGAUGAUUUUUCUAUCUUUGGUGACUCGUUUGAUCAAUGUUUACAUCAUCUAACACUAGUUCUGUAGAGAUGUGUCCAGAAGAACUUGAUCAAACCUUGCAAAAUCUUCAUAAACAACCUAGGACCCUUAGAGACUUCAUGCAUCCUACUAGAACAUGUCACCAUCAUGCAUAUUUUUCCCUCCUGAUGCAUCACGUUUUAAUUUCAAGCCUGGUAUCAUUCAACUUUUGCCUACCUUUCAUGGUUUUGAGUCUCAAAAUCCAUAUUUGCAUUUAAGGGAAUUUGAGGAAGUCUGUAACACCUGUACUGAUCAAAAUUGUAGCAUGAAUAUAAUUAGACUUAAGUUUUUUCCUUUCUCACUAAAAGAUAAAACUAAAACUUGGCUACAAAAUCUUAGGUCAAAAUCCAUCAGAACAUGGGAUUAAAUGCAAGCACAAUUUUUGAAAAAAUUCUUCCCACCCUACAGAACAAAUUCUUUCAAAAGACAAAUCACCACUUUCACUCAAAAACCAGGAGAAACUCUCUACCAAUGUUGGGAUAGGUUUAAAGAACUACUUAACAUUUGCCCACAUCACGGUUUUGAAACAUGGAGAUUAGUGUCUUAGUUCACUUGGAAUUUUAUAAUAUCAACUUGAAAUUUAACUGAAAGUAUUAGUAGUUAAGGAUUUUAAUAGAAAUAUUAAAUAGAAACAAUUAGUUAACAAGUUAAAACAAGUAAACCUAUAAUUGAGUAUGUUUAACUAAAAUUAGGGGCUAAUUUAACAAAAAGUUAAACAAUAGAAAGUAAAUUUGGCAUUUAACCCAAAUAGUUAAAAUUUUACCAAGUUAUUGGAAAUACUGAAACAAAAGUAUUGAAAUAAUAGUUGAAACACAUAAGUUAAAAAGGGAUAAAAUAUUAACCAAAUUCUAAUUUUAAAACUCAUCCAAUAAGAAAUGAAUUUACUUAGAAUUUAACAAAAAGUAUUGGUAUUUAAUGAACUUAAUAUGAACAUUAAACGCAUAGCUGGUAGAUUUAUAAGUUAGAAAUAUGUAAACCUAGAAGUAAGAAGGUUUAACCAAAAUUAAGGAAUAAAAAAAUAUAUAAAAAAGUCCAAUUGGUAUUUAACCUAAAUAAUUGCAACCUUACCUAAUUAGUAGGAAUAUUCGACAAAAAAAUAGUGGAAUAAUUAGUUGAACCAUAUGAACUUAGAAGGGAGACAAUUUAAGCAAAAUUAGGAACUUAUCCAAUGGGAAUGAAUAUUAUUUGGAAUCUAACCCAAAAUUGGCAUUAAAUGAAUGUAGUAGGAAUAUAAAACAUAAAACUGGCAAACUACUAAUUAAGUUGAAGCUUGUGGGCCUAUAAGUGAGAAAAUUUAACCAAAAUUAGAGACCAGUUUAACCAAAAAUAAAAUUAUAAAAAUAAAAUUUGGUGCUUAACCUCAAUAAUUAGAAUCUUAUUAAGUUAAUAGAAGUAUUCAACACAAAAAUAUGGAAAUUAGUAGUUGAAACUGGACACCAUAAGAGAGAAAGUUCAAGUAAAAUUUGGAACUCAUCCACCAGAAAUAAAUUUAACUUGCAAUCUAAUCAAAAUAUUGGUAUUGAAUGAAUAUAGUAGGAACAUCAAACACAAAACUAGAGGACUAAUAUGNNNNNNNNNNNNNNNNNNNNNNNNNNNNNNNNNNNNNNNNNNNNNNNNNNNNNNNNNNNNNNNNNNNNNNNNNNNNNNNNNNNNNNNNNNNNNNNNNNNNNNNNNNNNNNNNNNNNNNNNNNNNNNNNNNNNNNNNNNNNNNNNNNNNNNNNNNNNNNNNNNNNNNNNNNNNNNNNNNNNNNNNNNNNNNNNNNNNNNNNNNNNNNNNNNNNNNNNNNNNNNNNNNNNNNNNNNNNNNNNNNNNNNNNNNNNNNNNNNNNNNNNNNNNNNNNNNNNNNNNNNNNNNNNNNNNNNNNNNNNNNNNNNAAUGUUCCUAUUAAAUUCCUUAAAUACUAAUCUAUUGGGUUAGAAUGUAAGUAAAUUCAUUUCCUAUUGGAUAAGUUCACAUUUUCGUUAUAUUUUCUACUAUUUAGGCUCAGUAAUUUCAACUAAUUAUUCCAUCAUUUUUGUGUUGAGUAUUUCCAUUAACUUUGUAAGAUUCCAAUUAUAUAGGUUAGAUACUAAAUUUUUAUUUUUUAUAAAUUUAGUUUUGUUAGAUUAGUAACUUAUUUUGGUUAAACUUAUAGGUUCGUUUAUUCACUUUUAAGUUCACUAUUUUCGUGUUUUAUAUUCCUACUAAUGUCGUUAAAUACCAAUAUUUUGAGUUAUAUUUUAAACAACUUUCAUUUCUAUGAGAUGAGUUCAUAAUUUUAGUUCAACCUCAUUUCAUGUGGGUUUAUAUAUUUCAACUAUUAUUCCACUAAUUUUGUUCAGAAUAUAAAAAUGGAAGAAAUAGUUAUUUUUUUUGUAAAUAAUGGAGGAUAUAAUUUAAUGAUAGAUAGUAAUACAAUUAAGGAUAACAUAACUAAAUAUAGACAAUAUUAUUAUUCAGAACAAUUGUAUUUAUCCGGAGAGCUCAUGAAAUUAGAAUUGGAGAACUCAUACUAAUAAAGAAUUGAAAUUUCAACAUAGAUCCUAUUCUCCUAUUCACAGUUAGGAGAGAGGUUUAUAGAAAUAAUUUUUCAUGGAAAUAAUGGAAUAUUAAUUAUGUUGAGGAUUAUAUAGAUGAACUUGUGAUUGAUUAUAAUAGAUUUUUAACUAUUAAGCAAAGAGAUGAAGACAAUUGGAAUAAAUAAAGGAUCAGAAGUGAAUACUAUCCUUCUAGCAACAUUCUAAUAGGAUACAAAGAUUUAAUUAUAUAUAAGCUUUGUUAUAUACAUAAAGGAUUAGAAGAAAACAAUAUUGCUAAGGAUAUAAAAAAUAUUAUAUAUCACAAAUACUUGAUAGAAUAUAAUGAAAUAUUAUACAGAUGGUAUUAUGAAUAUAUUACUAGAACCAUUGAUAAUUUCACAAAAUAUAGAAACCAAUAAAUUUCCACCUUCUCGCUAUAGGCAUAAAGGAUUUACUUAUGAAAGAUUUCAACCAUUUGAUUUGGUAAAUGAUUUUGAUAUGUAAGGAAGUAAUAAGUUAAACUAAAUUUCUCUAUAUUUAUUAAAUAAAUUUGGAAAUCCUAAUUGAACCAUAAAUGAUAUAGAAGAAAGUGCAAAUGAAAUACUUGAAAUUAAAAGCUUUCAAGUUAAAAUGUUAAAAGAUCAAAUGAGUGAAGAAUUUGAUUCACUCAAACAAUUAUAAAAGACUUCAAAAUUAAAGAUUAAGAUAGAUUGAAAUAAGAAAUCAUUAAUGUCAUGAACACAAAUUCAAUUGAAGAUAAAUUAAAUAAGAUAGAAAUUCAAUUACAUAAAAUUGGAAAAAUCGUUGAACAACUUGGUAAUAAGUGACACGACUCAAAAGUGUAUUACUCUCAAGUAUAAGAGUGUCUAGUUAUAAUAUAACCCGGUGAGACCGGGGUCGAACCACAUGGAGUUUUAAAUCUAGUAAAACUAAGAAAAUUAAUUGUGGGAAAAAGAAAUUAUUUGAAAUCAAUUUAAAAAUAAGCUAAGGUUUAGGAUCCACUCUCUGUAUUCAAACUAUAAUUUUAAUACUCUCUCAUUUAUAUUUUGCCUCACUUUUACCAAUUAAUUAUUAUAUCAUUUAAUUCUAUGUGUGUGGAUAAAUAUAGAAUAAAGUACCUAAUGUGCCACACUAUAUUAAUGUAUCGAUAUUAUGUCAAAAUACCAUAAAAUCCAGUGAGAUUUAUAAAUUAACAUGAUAUAAAAAUAAUUAGAAAAGAAUUAAAAAAAAUUCAUUUGAGAAAAUAAUAAUAAUUAAUAGUUUGAAAUAUUGAGCUUCACUCCUCACCUCAGUUUAAUAAAAUUAGCUACUCAUAUUGAAAGAAAACACAACACUUUUUUUAUUUGAUAAAAUUUUUGAAAUAUAUUACAAAGAAAAUUGAUACAAACGGAAAUAAGAAAAGAAAAGAAACAAAGAAAGAAAGAAAAUCUUCAGUCUCGGCUUCAGCUCUCAAAUUUUGCUCUCCAGCUUCUCCCCGCUCUUCAAUUUCUCCUCCCUUUUUAUAGGCAACAAUUGCCUUUAACUUUCUUUAUUUUAUUAUUUAUUUAUUAUUUUAUUAUUAUUUUAAAAUAUAUAAGUGUGUUGAAAUGUGUGAUGGUCAGGAGGCGUAAUGGCCUCCUGACAAUCACCAACGUGUUUUUGUUCUUUUAUUUUUUAUUUUUUGUUUUUAUUUUAUUGAUUAUUUACUAUUACAUUUCUUCAAUUUUGUUCCAGUUGUUCUUCUUUGUUCCCGCUUUCAAUUUCAAUUCCAUCUUUAUUCCUGAAAACUAUUUAUAAGAUAAAAAUUAACAAAUUACAAAUUAAUUUAACAUAAAAUAUAUUUGGGGAGUAUUAAAAUAAUUUAGAAAUAAUGAACGCAUUAAUCGACACAAUAAGUGAAAAACUAAUAAUUUUAUCCUUAUUAAAUGUACACUUUUUAGUGUCAAUCACACCCCCCAACCAGCUUAUUGUUAGGCCCUAGCAAUUUAAGCGAUAAAAGUUUAGUAAAAUUUCAAACUCAAAUUGAAAAUCAUUUUUAAAAAAAAUUGUGUUUACUUCUUCCAUCAGAUUAAUGACAACAAUCAAAUAAAAGUAUAAAAAUUAUCUUCAGCUUAAAGAAAAUCACACCCUUUCAAAACAGUUCAGUAAAAUCCUGUAAAAUGAUCAAUCAUCAGAGCUACAUUAAUCAAGCAACUUUUAAGAAUGAUACAUCAAACCCCAAAAUCUCACGAUUAGGAGUGACUAUCUCAAAAGAAGAUAUACUCCAAAUUAAUUUGUCACUCUAAAAAAAUGGUAAAUUUGAGAGAAUAAUAAAACAAUAUCACACGCUCUCACCAAUAUAAAAAUUAAUGCCCACAACUUAGAAAUAAAAUGAUAUCAAAUCCAAUGAAUUACUAGCAAAAUUUAUUUUUAUUUUUACUCAUCACCACAUCUUUUAGUCCAUAUUACCAGCUUUUACUUCAAAUUAUAGUUCCCAAAAAUCGAGAAAGACUUUAAUUAGGACGUAACGUAGGCUAGGGUUAUGGCUAACAAAAAAGAUAAUAGGGAAAAUAAAAAUAUAUGUUUGAAAAAUAGGGGACUUUUUGGAGAUUAUAAGGUGCUCUUUUUUUUUUUUUCAAAGGUUCAAAGGGGUUAACUAUGGAUUCUUUAUAAUAGGGUUGGCUAGAAAGGCUCAAACAGAUCAAAGAUAGCCUUCUGUCAUCUUUUAGGAUUCUAUAUAAUCUUUCAUAUCCACUAGUUCAAUGGACUUUUAUAUGCGGCUGCACAAACUUUUUUUUUUUAAUAUUGAGAUCUUGUACAAUAAAUUGUGAAGCUGUAUAGGCAAACAAGGUUACUCUUCAAGGAUAACAGGCUCAAAAACUCGCUUGGUCUUUUUAUAACAUGUACAUUCAUCCAAAUGGCUUAAUCAAUUUCACUCAUUCAAUUUCUCAAUUUAUAUUUCAACAUACAAAGGGAAAAACAUAGUGUAAUAUAACUCAAGGCCAAAGAUAAAACGAAUACCAAAAUUUGAAAAUCAUCAUGUUAUCCAAUGUUAAAAGAUCACACCAAAAAAGAAAAUAAUUUUUUUUUUAAGAAAGCACUAAAAAUUUGGGACUAAUUACAGAAACUUAAGGGAGAUGAUUAAGAGAAAAAGACCGAAAACAAAAAGUUAGAAACAUUUUUUUUUUGGAAGAAAACACAAAAAUUAAGAAAAUGCGUUUCUAGAGAUACUACAUUCUAUAUUCUAUCAUCUUCGACUUAAAUUUUUAUCCAAAGUUAGUCUUUACAACAAAAAUUAGUAAAAACAUCACUAGGAAUGAGACAUUCCACAAUUAUCGACUAUUCCCUCCCCCCAACCUAAAUGAGACAUUGUCCUCAAUGUCUAAAGAAAGGAGUAGAGUUUAGAAGAUAUCACCUAGACACUGUUGGAAAUAUUUACAGACGGAGAGUUAAAUCUAAUUUACACUUUUUACGAGAGUUACUGCCAUCGUUAUCAGUUGCCCAAUCCAACGCCAAAGUCAUGGGAUCUGGCUUUGGUUUGUAAGGUUGCAAAAGAUCAAGUAACUCAUUAGCAGUAUGAGCACAAAUGAAGAGUUUUUUCGCUAAUGAUGGAAUGAAAUAAUUUUUUAUUACAUGAUUAAGAAAUGUUAUUAAGCCAUCAUAAAAGUUAUUAACAUUUAACAAACCGAUUGGUUUUUUAUGGAUAUUCAAAUAGGCCCAGGAAGCAAAUGUAAUUAGCGCCUCCAAAGUUGCAAGGUCUCCUGGCAAGAAAAUAAAAACGUCAGCAUGAUUUAACAUUUCAGAUAUUCUUUCUUGCAUACCUGAGACAACUAACUCUUCUCCAAUUGGUGAGUCUGGUAGCCAUCCUAAAGGUUUUAAGGCUUUUGGAAUGAUGCCUAGCACUUGGCUUCCUCGAACGAAAGCAGCUUCAGAGACAAGCUUUGAUAACCCUCGGUCACCUCCUCCAUAUAGAAGAUGUAGUUUCCCCUCUGCUAUAGCACGACCAAGAUCUACGGCUACUGUUGUGCAAAUUUUAAUGUACUCGCAAGCGCACGAAUCUAUUGUAGUAUAGAUCAAUGGUGACGAGUGUCGAUCCCACGAGAAGGUGGAUUUUAAUUGUGUAGAAUUAAUUUUGUGAAUGGGUGAUUGGAUUUGUGGUGGAAAUGAUUUGGAAUAUGCUAAAACUUAAAUUAAAAUGGCGAGAAUAAAUUCUAUAAUUGGUAUUGAAAUGGUGAGAAUAAAUUGAAGAGAAUUCUAUUGAAAUGACGUACUUGGGUAUCUGGAUCCGUAUCAACAUGCAUCAUGGGCUAAAUAAUCCUUAUUAAUGCCAAUUAAAUCAUGAGGGGGGAAUCCACACCUCAUGAACCACACUCUAAUCAAUAUGGUGCUAAGGGCUUAUCGUGCCAAAUAAUAAUAACCUUGUACUAGAGGGCCGGUAAAACCAAGGCGGUACUAGACAAGAUUAGUAUUAUUUGUCGACGAGAAGUCAAAACAUCCACAAAAAUUAGAGGGGAAGAGAAAAUAAAUUUACCAAAUAAAGCCCAUGACACAUGUUGAGACUUCACCUUCAACCCAAGCUUGAAAGAAAAUUAGCCACUCAUAAUUGAACUAGGGGCAAAAUGAGAAUUUAUUAAAAUACGAAGAAAAUACAAGAUGGAGAAGGAAUUACAGAAAAUGGAUCCCAAAAAUGGAUUCAGAGCUAUCAAAUUAGAGGGGGGAGGCCCCCUUUUUAUAGAUACAUGGAGUAAAUCAUGGCCAUCGAAUUAAAAACAGUUUGGACGCUCAGGAUUGCGCCACGUCAUCAGUCAACAGUACGCGGUUUGACCACGCUGAUGAACAGUAACACGGUUUGACUCGGAUGAACAGCAACGCGGUUUGACUCGGAUGAACAGUAACGCGGUUUGGUUGAAAAUAAUCCAGUGUGAUGCAUGUACCGUACUCGAAAUUUUUCGUCCACUGAUAUGCUGCCACGUCACCAUCAACAGUACAUAAGAAUUUUAGCCCAACAGGAGCGUGACACCUCAUCAGUCAAUGCCACAUCAUCGGUCAAUGCCAUGUCAUCGAUCCGUCUAUGUGAACAGUGUCGUGAACAGUAAUGCAGACAGUACCGUACACGUGAAUAAUACCGUACAUAUGAAUAGUGUGAUUUUUCCUUUUAUACUCCUCCUAAGGUUUUCGACCGUCCUGAGUUCAAAAGUGAUGUCCGUUUUGCCGUCUGAUCUCUUCUUUAUUGUGAAAUGACUAUAAUGCUCCUAAAAUACAUAAAAUACUUAAUUAAAAUAAAACACAUGUAAUUAAAUCACAAGAAGGUUAAAUACAUAAAAGUAAGGGUUGGUAGUAAAACUUGAAAUGUAAAAUGACGGUUUUCUCCUUUAUAAAUAUGCAUUUUCUAAUACUCAACACACCCCCCAACCAGUUUAUUGCUAGUCCCUAGCAAAUAAAGCGAAAACAAAAUUCAAAUUCAAAAUAAUUUUUUUUUUAAUAGAAACACUCGUAUUUAUUCCAUUAGAUUAAUGAUAGCAAUCAAAUAAAAGUAUAAGCAUUAUCUUCAGUCUAAAGCAACAUCACACCCACAUCAACCAUCCACAUGAAUCAGCCCAGUAGACUUUAUUAUAGCUACUUUCAAGAAUGACAUGUCAAACCCCAAAAUCUCACUGGAAGUAGUGACACUCUCACAAAGAAAUUAAAACCAAUAAAAAUAGUCACUCCAAUGAAUGGUAAUUGAGAGAGAAAAUAAUAAAGAAGUGAUAUCACAUACUCUCACCAAGAUGAAAUAAAUAUGCCCUCAGUUUAGAAAUAAUAUGAUCUCAAGUCAAAUAAAAAUGCAGGUCAACCCAAUUUAUUUAUCUUUUUUUUCUUUUAUUUAUUUAUUUAUUUUUAUUAUGCACCACUAUAUCUUUUUAGCCCAUAUAACUAGCUUCUACUUCAAACUAUAGUUUCCUAAAAUCAAGGACUUUUAUUAGGGCGUAACGUAGGCUAGGGAUAUGGCUAACAAAGAAGGGAAAUAAGGAAAACAAAGUGUAUGUUUGAGAAAAAUGCAGAGAAUUUUUUUAUUUUUUUUGGAAGUUGCAAGGUGGAUUUCACCUAUUAUUUUUAUUUUAUUUUUUCUUUUGAAACAACAACUUUUGUUUUUUUUUUUUGCUUUUAUUUGGAAUAACUUUACUGAACAACAUAAUUAUUUACAUUUUCUCAAACAUAAAUAGGUGAUGAAACUUAUAAGACAUUGGGUAAUACUCCAAAUCGAAGUGGGUCAAGAUGAUAAGUUUGACAAAGAAAGGUUUUUUUUUUUUUUAAAGGCUCAAAAGGGUUAACUAUGGAUAUUUGAUAAAAGGGAUGGCUAGAAAGGCUCAAACGGAUCAAAGAUGGCCUUUCCAUCGUCUUUUAGGGCUCUAAAUAAUCUUCCAUAUCUACUAGUUAGAUGGGCCUCCAAAUGUAGCAACACACUUUUUUUUCUUUUUUUUCUUGUUUUUUUUUUAAUUUUACAAUUUUUUUUUAAGGGUUAACUCAAAAGAAAUCUAGAGAUCGUGUAUACAAUAAUAAACUGUUAAGCUGUAUAAAGAAUGGGCAAAAGGGUUACUCUCCAAGAAAAAUGAUAGGCUCAAAAACUCACUUGGUACUUAUUAUGACAUGUUCAUUCCUUCAAGCAACUCAUAUUUGUCUCCGACAUCAACAUGUAGAGUAGCAAGCAUAAUGUAACAUCACUUAAGACCAAAGAUAAUACAAAUACUAAAAUUUGAAAUUAAUCAUGUCAUCCAAUGUUAAAACAAAUCACACAAUUUUUUUUUUAAACAACAUUCUACCCCCCAACCUAUUCUAAACAUGAAAGGAAAAUAUGCAUGUAGAAAUGUGAAAAUGAUGCAUAAAAACUAAUUAGAAAAGUUACACGUAAAAUGAUAGAAAACGAAAAUGGUUUUUUUUUUUUUAAGAAGAUGCGUUUCUAGAGGCACUACACUCCAUAUUCAGCCAUCUUCGACUCAAAAGUUGGAAAAUAUAUAUUUAUAGAGGAGAAAUUAAAAAGAAGAAGAAAAAUGAACAUCAAAACUUAAUAAAGAAAAAGAAAUUUAUUUUUAUUUUUUUAUUUAUUUUUAUUUAUUGUUUUUUUAAUUAAUUUUUUUUAAAACGAUGAAGAUGCGUUUUUAGAGUCACUACUCUCCAUAUUCAGCUAUCUUCAACACAAAAAAGUUAGCAAUAGUUAGUUUCUACAACAAAAAAUUAGUAAAAACUUAACCAAAAUUCCACAAUUGUCGACUAUUCCCUCCCCUCAACCAGAACGAAACAUUGUCCUCAAUGUUUGAAAGGAAAGAAGUAGAGUUUAGAAGACAUUACCUGGGUGGUGUAACACAGAAGAAAAUAUUUACAAGCGGAGAGUUAAAUCUAAUUUGUACUUCUUACUGCGGCUACUGUUACCAUCAUUAUUUGGAUGCUCCAACACAAAGGUCCAGGGGUCUGGCUCUGGUCUAUAAGCUUGUAACAGAUCAAGUAGCUCAUUAGCAGUGUGAGCACAAAUAAAGAGUUUUUUCGCAUUAGAGGGAAUGAAAUAGUUUUUUAUUGCAUGGUUAAGAAAUGCGAUAAAGCCAUCAUAAAAGUUAUUGACAUUUAACAAACCGAUGGGUUUCUGGUGGAUGUGCAGAUGGGCCCAAGAUGCUAGUGUGAUAAGUGCCUCUAGUGUUGCAAGAUCUCCUGGAAGGAAAAUAAAAGCAUCAGCAUGAUUAAGCAUUUCAGUUAUUCUUUCUUGCAUACCUGAGACGACUAACUCUUCUCCAGUUAAUGAGUCAGAUGAACUGCCCAAUGGUUUUAGGACUCUUGGAAUGAUGCCUAACACCUGACUUCCUCUGACAAAAGGUGCUUCAGAGACCAUUUUUUAUAACCCUCGGUUACCUCCUCCAUACACCAAGUGUAAUUUUCUCUCUGCUAUACUUCGACCAAGAUCGAUGGCUGCCUCAACGAACUCUUUAUGUUUGCCAUAGGUAAAUCCAGAAAGCACACAAAUGUUCUUGAAUUGUCUAUUUGGAGUAGCUGCCAUUGUGAUACUUCUCAAAAAACAAUUUGUGAGUGCUUGACAAAAAAAAAUCACAUUUAAGAGUCUUGGUGACAGUGGGUCACAGUUGUGUAUGAGGUAACAUGUCAGUGUCAAAUAACGCGUAAAGCACGUGGCUCGCGAGUCAAAAAGGAAACAGUAAAAAGAAAAAAGCAAACAGUAAUAAGGAAAAAGCAAACAGUAAUAAAAUUAUUAAAAACAAUAAUACACACAAUAAAACAAUAGUGAAAUAAAAUAACAGUAAAGUGAAAGGAUAUUUACAGGUAGUUGCGACUGUGGCUCAUAUCUUCCUCUGGUUUUACGUCCAGAAACGGCUUGAACGCCCUCUAUGGGUUGAGGAUAGGCUUUCUAUCCAGUUUUCUUAUAAACUGGCAAACAGGGUCGUUUAUAUUCAGAUUCCCGAGACUAUAUCGUGCAUGCUCUUUCUGGAAUAAUGGUCAUAACUGGAGAAUCGCUCCUUGCACAUAUCCACUGGGAUGCGUUUCAAGAGACGGAAGGAUAUCAUCCAAUGACUCCUUAUUCAAGCCAUCCCUAAUGAAUUGAAUCUUAUCUUCCCUAUUAUCAGACACCAUUCCUAAAGAACAUGGGUUUUUAUUGCAACUCAUUCUGGCACACUUAUGACAAGCAACAGAAAUUCGUCGAGCUCGUCGUUUUCUUGCAUAAUUUCCUUUACCACAACCAGGCAUGUAUGCAAUAAAUUUUGGAGGUAACUUACCUGUCGAUCGUACUUUAGCCUCGAUUAACCAAUGGAUGUCAGCAGGUAUGUUAUUUCUCAUGAGCAAUCGCAUGCGUUCGGACCGAGCUUUAUAGAUCGUAAGAAGCGCAUUCUGAGGAAGUGAAGGAAAUCGCUUGUGAAGCUUCGCUAGAGUCUCGUUUCUGUCCAUAUCUUCGCUUCAGAAUAUCAGUUAUUAUGGGAAACUAAAGUAACCGACUUGAUUGUCACAGAGUACCGUUAUCCGCCACUUCAUCGGGGUAACAAACUCAAGCACACAAACAGAAAAACAAAUUAAAACAAACAAAGAAAAUUAAAAUCGUCCCCUUAUUGAAUUUACCUCAAGCUCCAACUGGAUGUCGUAAACACUUCUCUCAAUGUCUCGGAGUUGGCGUUCUAAACCCUUAACAUAGGCUACUAACUCUAGUGAUUGUAGAGCCCAAAUGCGAUGUGUUUUACAAAAUUGAAUCUGCCUUUUGAGAUGAGUUUUAACACGUUGAAGUGGUUUAAGAAUGUUCAGAAGGAACGGUCUAAGUAAUGUACUCAUGAUUAAAAAUGAUAAAAGAAAACUUAAUAGUUAAACAAACAUAUUUAUGCAAAAAUAAUUUCAAUUAGCAGAAGAAUAAUAUAAAGAAAGAAAAAAAAUCAAAUCAACGAAAAGAAAAAAAAAUCAAUUCAAAUCUGGUGGGUCACUCAAAUUUAUUUCGGUGUCUUCUCCAUGUGGUUGGUACUCUAGAUAUGACUUUAAUCUUUGACCAUUAACUUUAAACGUGACACCGUUCUUUGGGUCCUUAAUUUCAAUUGCCCCAUGUGGAAAAACAGUAUGAACAAUAAAGGGACCAGACCAUCGAGAGCGUAACUUACCUGGGAAUAAGUGCAAGCGAGAAUUGAAUAAAAGCACUUUCUGACCUGGAGUGAACGAUUUUCUCAUAAUUUGUUUAUCAUGGAAGACUUUCAUUCGUUGCUUAUAAAUCGUGGCAUUUUUGUAUGCAUCAUUGCGAAUUUCUUCAAGUUCUGCCAGUUGUAAUCUUCUUUCUGAGCUGGCUUGCUGCAUGUCAAAGUUGAAUUUCUUGAUGGCCCAAUACGCACGAUGCUCGAGUUCCACAGGUAGGUGGCAAGCUUUUCCAUACACUAGCCUGUAGGGUGACAUCCCAAUCGGGGUCUUGAAAGCCGUUCUAUAUGCCCAUAAGGCAUCAUCAAGUCUUAAUGACCAAUCUUUUCUGUCCGGCCUCACAGUCUUUUCUAAUAUGUGCUUUAUUUCUCGAUUGGAGAUCUCAACUUGGCCACUGGUUUGUGGAUGAUACGGGGUCGCCACUUUGUGUGUGAUUGAAUACUUUGUCAAAAGAGCUUUGAAUGCUUUGUUACAAAAGUGGGCACCACCAUCACGGAUUAUUGCUCGAGGGAAUCCAAAGCGUGAGACAAUAUUGCUUUUCAAAAAUCCUAUCACCAUUUUGUGAUCAUUGGUUCUGCAUGGAAUUGCUUCUACCCAUUUCAAUACAUAGUCAACAGCAACCAAUAUGUAUUGAUGGCCAAGAGAAGGGGGAAAGGGUCCCAUGAAGUCGAUACCACAUACAUCAAAAAUCUCAACCACUAAAAUUGGAUUUAGUGGCAUUAUGUUCCUUCGUGUAAUGCUCCCCAUUCGUUGACACCUAUCACAUGAAAAACAGAAAGUGUAAGCGUCUCGAAAUAUAGUUGGCCAAUAGAAACCACAUUGCAAAACUUUAGUAGCUGUUUUCUUAGCACUGAAAUGGCCUCCACAAGCUUGUUCAUGGCAGAAUGAAAGGAUAUUCUGAAUUUCACUUUUUGGGAAACAUCGUCUAACAAUUUGGUCUGCACAAUACUUGAACAAAUAAGGGUCAUCCCAAAAGAAAUUCUUUAUUUCUGCAAAGAAUUUAACCUUGUCUUGCUUGGUCCAAUGCUCAGGAAGUUUACCUGUAACAAGAUAAUUAACUAUAUCAGCAUACCAAGGUAAUACUUCCACAUUCAUUAAUUGUUCAUCUGGAAAUGACUCAUUCAAUGGUAAUGAUUCUGUAAUUGUGUCAAAAUGGAGACGAGAGAGGUGGUCUGCCACAACAUUUUCUGUCCCUUUCUUAUCUUUGAACUCCAAGUCAAAUUCCUGCAAAAGUAACACCCAACGAAUUAGUCUAGCUUUUGCAUCUUUCUUUGUAAGAAGAUAUUUAAGAGCAGCAUGAUCUGUGAACACGAUUAUUUUACAACCAAUGAGAUAAGAUCGAAAUUUCUCCAAUGCAAACACUACUGCUAGCAUUUCUUUUUCAGUAGUUGAAUAGUUCAACUGUGCAUCAUUCAAUGUCAUACUAGCAUAGUAAAUAACGUGGGGAAUUCGAUCAACUCUUUGUCCUAAUACUGCUCCUACUGCAUAAUCAGAUGCAUCACACAUGAGCUCAAAUGGUAAGCUCCAGUUUGGGGGCUGAAUGAUGGGUGAUGAUGUCAACAAUUGCUUUAGUUUUUCAAAUGCCACAAGACAUGAAUCAUCAAAGAUAAAAGGUACAUCCUUAGCAAGUAAAUUGCAUAAGGGUUUAGAAACUUUGCUAAAAUCUUUAAUAAAACGUCUAUAGAAACCAGCAUGCCCAAGGAAAGAUCUUACUUCUCUGACUGUUUUGGGUGGAGGAAGAUUAGAAAUGAGAUCCACCUUGGCUUUGUCAACCUCAAUACCUUUGCUCGAAAUGAUGUGACCGAGAACAAUACCUUGUUUUACCAUAAAAUGGCACUUCUCCCAAUUUAAGACUAAGUUCUUCUCGAUACAUCUCCGCAGAACUAAUGUUAGAUGAUGUAAACAUUGAUCAAAUGAAUAACCAAAGACAGAAAAGUCAUCCAUAAAGACUUCAAGGAAUCAUUCAACCAUAUCAGAAAAAAUGCUCAACAUGCAUCGUUGAAAUGUAGCAGGUGCAUUGCAUAAUCCAAAUGGCAUUCUCCUAUAUGCAAAUGUGCCAAAAGGGCAAGUGAAAGUAGUUUUCUCUUGAUCUUUUGGUGCUAUGGGAAUUUGAUUAUAUCCUGAGUAGCCAUCUAGAAAGCAAUAAAAUUCAUGGCCUGCUAAUCUAUCAAGCAUUUGAUCGAUAAAUGGUAAAGAAAAAUGGUCUUUACGUGUGACAGAAUUCAACUUUCUAUAAUCAAUGCAAACACGCCAUCCUGUAGUUACUCUAGUGGGUAUCAAUUCAUUAUCAGCAUUGGUAACUACUGUGACUCCUGACUUUUUGGGGACAACUUGUACAAGACUGACCCAUGAACUAUCAGAAAUUGGGUAAAUGAUACCUGCAUCUAAUAGCUUAAGGACUUCUGUUCUGACAACUUCUUUCAUAUUAGGAUUUAACCGACGUUGCAUUUCCCUAGUAGAUUUAGCAUUUUCAUCAAGGUGAAUGUAAUGCAUGCAGUCUACUGGAUUUAUACCUUUUAUGUCUGCUAUAGUCCAUCCUAAUGCUCCUCUGUGCUCUUUUAAAACAUCCAACAACUUACCUUUUUGUUCAUCAUUUAGGGAUGAUGAGAUGAUUACCGGUAGAGUACUUUCUUCUCCCAAAAAUGCAUAUUCCAGAGUGUUGGGUAAUGGUUUGAGCUUGAGUUUUGGUGGUGAUUCUGAUGAUGGGAUGAGUUUCUUCUCUGAUGGUGCUAGUUGCUCAACUCUUGACUUCCAUUUAUUAGUGUCCAUAAAUGGUGCUGAGUCAAGUAGGGCGUUGACCUCAUCGACCGAUCUGUCAAUAUCAAAAUCCAAACCAAAGUGAGUUAAACAUGUUUGUAAAGGAUCAUCACUAAGGUUUGAAACAAAAGUAUCAUCAACUAAUGCUUCAAUUAAAUCCACAUCAACAAUUCCAUCAUCUGCACUGUGAGGUUGUUUGGCAAUGUUGAAGAUGUUCAGCUCCAUAGUCAUGUUGCCGAAGGACAACUGUAUAUUUUCGGUCCUGCAUUGAAUGUGAGCAUCCGCAAUUGCCAAGAAAGGUCGGCCUAGAAUAAUGGGGAUGUGCUUCCUCGAGUCCUGUAUUGGUUGAGUGUCAAUUACAAUGAAAUCAACAAGAAAAUAAAACUUGUCUACCUGGAUAAGCACGUCCUCGACAAUACCACGAGGUAUUUUUGUGGACCGAUCUGCAAGUUGUAACACCACUGGAGUUGGGUGUAAUUCUCCAAGUCCAAGUUUCACAAACACUGAAUAAGGUACCAGAUUUACACUAGCUCAUAAAUCCAACAAAGCAUUCUCAAUUGUGUGGUUCCCUAUGCUACAUGAGAUAGUGGAGGAGCCUGGGUCUUUGCAUUUUAAAGGAAUUUUGUGUUGGAGUAUAGAACUAAUGUUUUUUGUUAAAAAUGCCUUCUUUUGAACAUGCAUAUUUCUCUUUUUAGUACAAAGGUCUUUAAGAAACUUGGCAUAAGAUGGAACUUGCUUAAUAGCAUCAAGCAAAGGGAUAUUAACACUUACCUGUUUGAAGAUUUCAAGAAUCUCACCUAUGGAUUUUUCCUUUUUUCCUUUAGCUAACCUCUGAGGAAAUGGAGCUUUCGGAACAUAUUCUUGUGGGUUGGUUUCUUCUUUCUCCUCCGGUGAUGAGUCCUCAACACUCACAGCUACAAUUUGAUUUUCUUUUGUCACCGGCAUCUCCACUUUGUUGUCGACUUCUUUUCCUUUUCGCAAGGUCAUGACUGCUUUGACCUCUCCAUGCUGCUGUGGUGAACUGGUACUUGCUUCACGUACUCCUUUAGGGUUAGGCACUGAUUGACUUGGAAAUUUGCCUUUCUCAACAGUAAUUGCCAAGGUCUGAACUGAAGAAGCAAGUUGUCCCACCAUCUUCUCGGGGCUUGAAACUGAUUGAGCUUGUGUGUUGAAGCCUGCUCUUAGCUUUUUUCGUAGUCCAUCAAUGGUGCGGUUCUGUUGCUCAAUCGUAGAGUGAGUAAGAUUCUUGAGAUUUUGGAAUGAAUCCUCCCAUGGUCUAGGUUGAGAGUAGUUCUGGUUCUGAUUGAUGGUCUAAAUGGGGGCUGAGAGGCUUGAGGAUUUUGAGAAAUUUGUUGCAUUGGUGGAGUUAGAGCCGCUGGUCCAUUCUGUUGGAAUCCUUGAGACCAUGAAAAAUUGGGGUGGUCUCUCCAUCCAGGGUUAUAUGUGUUGGAGUAUGGGUUGUAAUUUGAUGGUUUUCUCAUUACACCUAUGGCAUUGGCUUGAUCUGAGUAUGAGUCAUGGUCAUGUGGCUCUGUUGAUUUAGCAGUCGAUAACGAUGCUAUUUGUCGAGCAAGACCUUCAACCAUCUCCUUGACUUCUUUGAUUCCCGAAGUUGACUCGCCAAUUUGAACCUCAUUUACUACCUUAAUUCUUCUAGUAUUCCUAAUUGAUCGACUCCGUUGUUGGGAAUUAUCUGCUUGUCGCUGAAAGAAUUCCCAAAUCUUUGAUGCACUUUUUGACAUUAGCUCUCCUCCACUUGUUGCCAUUAGCCAUUCUUGCACAUUCGGCAAUAAUCCCUCUAAAAAGUAUUGGCAUUGGUGCCAUUUCUUGUACCCAUGAUGUGGACACUUCAAGAGUAGCCCAUUGAAUCGCUCCCAUGUUUCGAAAAACUGCUCGUCCUCUCUCUGGGUAAACUUCGAGAUUUCCCUGUGAAUAGCAUUAGUUUUAUGCACUGGGAAAUAUUUAUUCAAAAAUUUUGUAACCAUUUGUUCCCAUGAUGUGAUGCUAUUAGCAGGUAAAGUAUUUAACCAUGAACGAGCUCUAUCCUUUAAAGAAAAUGGGAAUAAUCUGAGUUUAACAUCAUCGUCUGAAAAAUUUUCGUAUUUAAAAGUUUGACAAAUGGCAUGAAAAUCAUUCAGAUGAUUAUAUGGGUCCUCAUUUUCUAAGCCAUAGAAUGUGGGGAGACAAUUUAACACACUAGGUUUUAGUUCAAAACUCCUAGCAGCUACAUUUGGGUAUCUUAUGCAUGAUGUGCUCAAAUUAGCUAAGGGACUAAAAUAGUCAUUAAAUGGCCUCUCCUGUGGUGCUUGUAAAUCCAUUCCAAAUUUAUUUUUAAUGUGCUUUUGUGUGCGAAGUGUUUUUUCUAAUUCAAGGUCUAUAGGUUCAAGAUUAGGAAAUAAUGACUUACGACCAUGCAUGCAAAACAAAUAAAAUAAAAAUAAAGAUGGGAACAAAACAAAUAAAAAUAAAGAAGAGAGAGAAAUUAUGAUACCAACCUUAUUGCGCUAUUACAACCUUUCUAUAAAAAUACACAAAAAUAAAUACGUGAAAUAAAUUAACUAAAAAUUAAAUUAAUAAAAUAAAAAAAAAUUACAAAGAAAAAUAAAUUGAAAAUUAAAUUACAGAAUUUUAAAGAAGAGAAAAAGGAAAGAAAUACUAACCUUUAAAUGUAGAUUCACUUUUUUUUUUCUUUUUUUUUAAUAAUAAAAAAAAUACAAGAAAACAAAUAAAAGAAAUUAUUCACAAAAAUUAAUUCUAAAAAUUACUUACCUCCCCGGCAACAGCGCCAAAAACUUAUUGUGCAAAUUUUAAUGUACUCGCAAGCGCACGAAUCUAUUGUAGUAUAGAUCAAUGGUGACGAGUGUCGAUCCCACGAGGAGGUGGAUUUUAAUUGUGUAGAAUUAAUUUUGUGAAUGGGUGAUUGGAUUUGUGGUGGAAAUGAUUUGGAAUAUGCUAAAACUUAAAUUAAAAUGGCGAGAAUAAAUUCUAAAAUUGGUAUUGAAAUGGUGAGAAUAAAUUGAAGAGAAUUCUAUUGAAAUGACGUACUUAGGUAUCUGGAUCCGUAUCAACAUGCAUCAUGGGCUAAAUAAUCCUUAUUAAUGCCAAUUAAAUCAUGAGGGGGGAAUCCACACCUCAUGAACCACACUCUAAUCAAUAUGGUGCUAAGAGCUUAUCGUGCCAAAUAAUAAUAACUUUGUACUAGAGGACCGGUGAAACCAAGGCGGUACUAGACAAGAUUAGUAUUAUUUGUCGACAAGAAGUCAAAACAUCCACAAAAAUUAGAGGGGAAGAGAAAAUAAAUUUACCAAAUAAAGCCCAUAACACAUGUUGAGACUUCACUUUCAACCCAAGCUUAAAAGAAAAUUAGCCACUCAUAAUUAAACUAGGGGCAAAAUGGGAAUUUAUUAAAAUAUGAAUAAAAUACAAGAUGGAGAAGGAAUUACAGAAAAUGGAUUCAGAGCUAUCAAAUUAGGGGGGAGUCCCCCGUUUUGUAGAUACAUGGAGUAAAUCAUGGCCAUCGGAUUAAAAACAGUUUGGACGCUCAUGAUUACGCCACGUCGUCAGUCAACAGUACGCGGUUUGACCACGCGGAUGAACAGUAACACGGUUUGACUCGGAUGAACGCUAAUGCGGUUUGGUUGAAAAUAAUCCAGUGUGAUGCAUGUACCGUACGCGAGAUUUUUCGUCCACUGAUAUGCUGCCACGUCACCAUCAACAGUACAUAAGAAUUUUAGCCCAACAGGAUCGUGACACCUCAUUAGUCAAUGCCACAUCAUUGGUCAAUGCCACAUCAUCGAUCCGUCUAUGUGAACAGUGUCGUGAACAGUAAUUCAGACAGUACCGUACACGUGAAUAGUACCGUACAUAUGAAUAGUGUCAUUUUUCCUUUUAUACUCCUCCUAAGGUUUUCGACCGUCCUGAGUUCAAAAGUGAUGUCCGUUUUACCGUCUGAUCUCUCUUUUAUUGUGAAAUGACUAUAAUGCCCCUAAAAUACAUAAAAUACUUAAUUAAAAUAAAACACAUGUAAUUAAAUCACAAGAAGGUUAAAUACAUAAAAGUAAGGGUUGGUAGUAAAACUUGAAAUGUAAAAUGACGGUUUUCUCCUUUAUAAAUAUGCAUUUUCUAACACUCAACAGCUACUUAAACGAACUCCUUAUACUUUUCAUAGUGAAAUCCAGAAAGCACACAAACGUUUUUAAGUUGACUGCUUGAAGUUGCUGCCAUUACAAAAAUUCUAAAAAGAAACAAUUUGUGAGUGCUUGAAAAGGAGUUCCUAUUUAAGGAUCUUGGUGACGGACAUAAUGAUGUACAUCUGUAAAUGGGGUGGUGUGUUUGUCAAAUGACGUGUGAAGCUUUUAAUUAAUAAUUCAAAUGCAAACAAUGAAAAGAAAAAGCAAACGGUGAUUAGAUAAAAUAAAAAAAACAAUAAUAAUAAUAAUGCAAAAGAUAAAAGAACGGUAAAAUAAAAGGAUAUUUACUGGUAGUUGUGAUUGUUGCUCACAUCUUCCUCUGGUUUUACAUCCAGUAACGGCUUGAACGCCCUCUAUGGGUCGAGGAUAGGGUUCUCAUCUAGUUUUCUUAUAAACUAGUAAACAAGGUCUUUUAGAGUCAGAUUCUCAAGCCUAAACUGUGCACUUUCCUUUUGGAACAACUUCCACAAAUUUUGAAUUUCACGUUGAACAUAUCCGCUCGGAUGCGUCUCAAGAGAUCGUAAGAUAUCAUCCAAUGAUUCUUUACUCAUGCUAUCCUUAGCGAAUUUGAUUUUAUCUUCACGAUUUACAGAAACCAUUCCUAAAGCUUUACAACGUGGAUUUUUGCAAGCAAGUCUUACACAAUGAGAACAUUCAGAGCCAAGUCGCUUAGCUCUUCUUUUCUUAGCAAAUGUACUUUUACCAAAACCAGGCAUGUAGGAAAUGAAUGGAUCAGAAAACUCACCUGUCAAUCAGACCUUUGCUUCGAUUAACCAGCGAAUGUCAGUAGAAAUCCCAUUGAUCAUUAACAAACGCAGUCGUUCACAAUGAGCUUUGUAACUCUUCUUAAGAGCAUUUUGAGGGAGAGAAUGAAAAUGUUGAUGCAAAUUUUGUUGUAUUUCUUCCAUGCUUGACAUUGAGGUUUCAGUUAUUGUGGGAAACUGAGAAUACCGACUUAAAAAGUCACGGAGUACCGUUAUCCACCAUUUAUACGAGAGAGUGAAUCAAAACAAAACAAAUCAAAUCUGCAAAAUCAAAUCAAAAGUGAAAAAUAACAAUAAAAUAAAACAAAAACACACAAGGAAUAUAACACACCUUCGUCCUUUUAUUGAAUCUAGUUCCAAUUGCAGAUUAUAAAUACCAUCAUCUAUUUCCUUGAGUUGUCUUUCUAGAUCUUUCACGUGAGAUACUAACUUUGGUGGUUGCAGAUCCCAAAUGGGAUGUAAUUUACAAAAUCGGAGCAAUUUCCUCAAGUGAAAUUUUACAUGAAAAAGUUUUUUAAAAUGAUCAAAAAGGAAAUUUCUCAUGGAGGUACUCAUGACAAGUAUAAAAAUUUGGUGAGCUAAAUCACAAUUGAUAAAAAUUUGGUGAGCUAAAUCACAAUUGUCAAACAACACACAAUUAAAACAAUGUAAUGCACUCCAUUCAAGACAUAGGGAAAAGGAAAAAGAAAAAGAAAUCAAAUAAUUCAAACGAUAAAGUAACAGUAAAUCAAAUUCACAAAACGUUGAAAUGAAAAGGCUUAAUCAAAAUUUUGGUGGGUCACUCAAAUGGAAUUUGGUAUUUGCUUCAUGUGGUUGGUAUUCCAUAUAUGGUUUCAAUUUUUGGCCAUUAACUUUAAAUGUGACACCAUCCUUUGGAUUCUCAAUUUCUACGGCUCCAUAUGGAUACACAGUUUUUACAACAAAUGGACCAUUCAACUUUGACUUUAAAUUCCCUGGAAAUAAAUGAAAACGAGAAUUAUAAACCAACACUUUUUCACCAAUUUCAAAUGUUUUCCGAAAAAUUCUUUUGUCAUGAAAAAAUGUGGUUCUUGCCUUAAUAAUUUUGGAAUUACCAUAUGCAUCAUUUGUUAAUUCCUCAAGUUCAUUUAUUUGCAAUUUACGCACAUUGCCAGCAUCAUCAAGAUUUGAAUUAAAAGCUUUAAUGGCCCAAAAUGAUUUAUGUUCAAGUUCUACUGGUAAGUGGCAAGAUUUUCCAUAAACAAGUCGAUAGGGUGACAUUCCUAAAGAUGUUUUAAAAGCAGUACGAUAUGCCCAAAGUGCAUCAAUUAGUCGAAGAGACCAAUCUAUACGGUUUGGAUUAACUAUUUUUUCUAAAAUUUGUUUUAUCUCCCUAUUUGCUAAUUCAACUUGACCACUUGUUUGAGGGUGAUAAAGGGUAGCAACCUUAUGUGUAAUUCCAUAUUUCUUCAUUAAAGACUCAAAUGGCUUAUUACAAAAAUGCUUACCUCCAUCACUGAUAAUGACUCGAGGUUUUCCAAAUCUGCUCAAAAUAUUUUCUUUUAAAAAGCGGAUCACAAUCUUGUGAUCAUUGUGCUGACAAGGAAUUGUCUCGAUCUAUUUUGAAACAUAAUAAACAACAACCAAAAUGUAUACAAAUCCAAAUGAUGAUGGAAAAAGACCCAUAAAAUCAAUUCCCCAACAAUCAAAUAUUUCAAUGACAAGGAUGGGGUUUAAAGGCCUCAUGUUCCGCUUUGAAAUAGACCCUAUCAUUUGACAACUCUUACACAUUUUACAGAAUGCAUGUGAAUCUUUAAAUAAUGUAGGCCAAUAAAAUCCACACUGUAAUAUUUUGCAGCUGUCUUUUUUGAAGAAAAAUGGCCACCGCAUGCUUCAGAAUGACAAAAUUGAAUGACCCUACUUACCUCGUCGUUUGGUAUGCAUCUUCAAAAAAUUUGAUCGGAGCAGUACUUGAACAGGUAUGGCUCAUCCCAGUAAAAGCUUUUUACUUCUGUUAAGAAUUUUUUCUUGUCUUGGGAACUCCAGUCACAUGGCAUUUCACCUAUUGCAAGAUAAUUAACAAUAUUAGCAUACCAAGGCAUUUUGUUUAUAGAAAACAAAAAUUCAUCAGGGAAAGAAUCAUUGAUGAGUGUUGUUUCAAUUGAAGACUCAUUUGUAAGUCUUGAAAGAUGAUCUGCAACAACAUUUUCAGCGCCCUUUUUGUCCUUGAUUGUCAAAUUAAAUUCUUAAAGUAGCAAAAUCCAUCGUAUCAACCUUGGUUUGGCAUCCUGUUUUGACAUUAAAUAUCUCACAGUAGCAUGAUCAAAAUAAACAACAAUAGAUGAACUAAUUAAAUACGAAAUUUAUCCAAUGCAAAUAUUAUAGCAAGUAGUUCUUUCUCAGUUGUAGUGUAAUUCAUUUGAGCAGUAUUCAAAGUUCUACUUGCAUAAUAGAUGACAAAGGGCUUACCUUCCUUUUUUUGACCCAGAACAGCGCCAACGGUAUAAUCACUAGCAUCACACAUUAGCUCAAAAGGUAAAGACCAAUCAGGGGGUUGCAUUAUUGGGGCUGAUGUCAAAAGACUAAUUAUCUUUUCAAAAGCUUGUUGACAAUCUUUAGUCCAUUCAAAUUGUGUGUCUUUUAUUAGGAGGUUACAAAUUGGUCUAGAUAAGGCACUAAAAUCUUUUAUAAACCUCCUAUAAAAUCCUGCAUGUCCUAAAAAAGAACGGACUUCUCUAAUUGUCUUUAGUGAGGGUAAUUUUGAAAUGACUUCAACUUUGGCUUUAUCAACUUCGAUUCCUUUUGAAAACACAAUAUGGCCCAAGAUAAUUCCAGAAGUGGUCAUGAAAUGACAUUUUUCCCAAUUUAAAACGAGUCCUUUUUCUUUGCACUUUUCCAAAACGUUUUCUAGAUUAUCAAGACAUGUAUCAAAAGAAUUACCAAAUACAGUUAAAUCAUCCAUAAAAACCUCUAGACAAUUUUCAACCAUUUCACUAAAAAUGCUUAGCAUGCACCUUUGAAAUGUUGCAGGAGCAUUACAAAGUCCAAAGGGCAUUCUCCUAAAUGCAAAUGUUCCAAAUGGGCAUGUGAAUGUGGUCUUUUCCUGGUCUUCUAAGGCUAUAGGGAUUUGAUAAUAGCCAGAGUAGCCAUCAAGAAAGUAGUAGUAAGGAUGUCCAGUUACUCUUUCGAGAAUUUGGUCUAGAAAUAGAAGGGGAAAAUGAACUUUUCUAGUGGCAUAAUUUAAUUUUCUAUAAUCAAUGCACAUGCGCCAACUAGAUAGAAUUCGUGUUAGGAUUGAUUCACCUUUUCAUUUUUUACAAUAGUUAUUCCAGAUUUUUUGGUACUGCUUGUGUUGGACUUACCCAUUUACUAUUAGAGAUAUGGUAGAUAAUUCCUACAUCUAGUAGUUUAAGGAUCUCAUUUUUUACCACUUCUUUCAUAUGAGGGUUUAGUCUUUUAGCAUUUUCCUCUAAGUGUAUUCGGUGUGUGCAAAUUAAAGGAUUAAUGCCUUUCAUGUCUUUUAAGGUCCAAUCAAAUGCAAAUUUUAUGCCUUUUUAGUACAGAUAACAACUUACCCUCUUGAUCAUGUGUGAGUUGAGAAGAAAUUACCACCAGAUAGAAGAAAUUACCACCGGAUAUGUCUGCUGCUCUCCAAGAUAGGCAUACUUCAAUUCUUCUGGUAAGGGCUUUAAUUCGAGCUCUGGUGCUUCCUCUUCGUUUGCUUCUUCAAGUUGUACCGUAUCUUCAAAGUUUGAUUGGUCAUCGUCACUUAUAGGUACCUGCAUAGAAUCAAGUGUAGGACAUAUGUUAGCAGUAUCAAAUGAUUGGCUCAUCCUGAAUGUGUUCCUCAAUGAUUGGCUCGAUGAGAUCAAUAUCAUCAUUCUCAUUAUCAUCAUCUUCUUGGUGGUGAGGUUGUUUACACAUGUUGAACACAUUGAGUUCCAGUGUCAUGUUGCCAAAAGAUAAAUUCAUUAAUCCAUUCAUGCAAUUUAUCAAAGCAUUAGCAGUAGCUAAAAAUGGUCGACCCAAUAUAACAGGAAUUUAUUUGCAUUUAUUAGCAAUCGGUUCCGUUUCCAAAACAAUAAAAUCCACAGGAUACAUGAAUUUAUCGACCUGGACUAAUACAUCUUCAAUUAUUCCUUUUGAAACCUUAAUCGAUCUAUCAGCAAGUAAAAGAGUGGUAGAAGUUGGUUUUAACUCACCGAGAUUGAGUUGUUGGUACACUGAGUAAGGAAGUAAAUUAACACUAGCACCAAGAUAAAGUAAAUCAUGUCUAAUUUUAUGAUCCCCAAUAGUGCAAGAAAUAGUUGGACAACCAGGAUCCUUGUAUUUCAAAGCACUAUUGGUUGAGAGAAUAGAACUUACCUGUUAUGCUAGAAAAGCUCUCUUUUGCACCUUAUGUUUCCUUUUCACCGUACACAGAUUUUUCAAAAAUUUAGCAUAGGACGGCACCUGUUUAAUGACAUCCAGCAGAGGAAUGUUGACCUUUACUUGUUUAAAAACUUCAUAAAUUUCUGGACUGUGGUUUGAUUUCUUUGGCUUGAUUAGUGCUUGAGGAAAUUGGGGUACAAGAGGAGAGUUGGUUAUUUCUUCAUAGGUUAAAGGUUCGACAAACUCUUCUUUAUUUUUUGAAAUUGAAUCUUUACUAGUUUCACGAGGGUCCACAAUGUGUUUUUCAACUACUUUACCACCACAAAGGGUUAUAACCGAUUUGACUUGACUCAUAUUUUGGUUUCCUGAAUUUCCCAUUUUAGGAUGUUGUUGACUCUUGGGGUUUGGUUCAGGUUGAGCAAGAAACUUUCCUUUUUCAUGUAUGGUUAGAGCAGAUAUAAGUUUGGAGAUAGUUUCUAUAGGUUUGCAUCUUUUGGUUAUUGAUUGACUCUUGUUUUUCAAUAAACGAAUGCAAUAUUUCUUUUAGAGUUUUUCUUGGUGGUGGGACAUACGGUGGGUAACUCUGGGAGUUUUGGAAAUUUUGACGUGGAGGGACUAGUUGUGAAGGUUGUGCAGAAUUGUCAUUUCUCCAACUGAAAUUUGGGUGGUUUCUCCAACCAGAGUUGUAAGUUUGGGAGUAUGAAUUUGGAUUUGGCCUUUUGAAAUUGUCAACAACAUUUACUUGUUCAUGCAGACUUUCUCUCAGAGCUGGUAAAGUUGGACAGUCCUGUGUAGAAUGGUCAGUAGAAUCGCAAACAUAACAUGAAAUAUUUUGAACAGACUUUACAUGAUCAUUCUUUUUCGACUCUAAUGCUUCGACUUUUCUAGCUAAUGAUGCAAAUUUGGCUUGAAAAUCAUGGUCUUCCCUAAGGUUAUGCAUGCCUCCACCAGAUGGAGAUGACUUGGGUUUACUUGAUGACUUAUAAAAACCAACUGUAUCCCAGUGUUGUGCAUUUUCUGCUAUAUAGUCAAGAUAGUCUAAUGCAUCUUCAGGACUUUUAUCCCUAAACUCACCAUUACACAUCAUUUUAACGACUUGUCUACCUUGGGAUGUUAAUCCCUCAUAGAAAUAAGACACUAAUCUCCAUGUUUCAAACCGUGAUGUGGACAAAUGUUAAGCAGUUCUUUAAACCUAUCCCAACAUUGGUAGAGAGUUUCUCCUGGUUUUUGAGUGAAAAUGGUAAUUUUAAAAUAUAAGUGUGCAACCCAAGAGGGCAGGUGAAUUGGAAUUUUAAAAAUUAUCCUAGCAAAUCCACACAACAAGCAAUCUAAUGUCUUAAUAAAAAUUGAAAGCAAUAAGUUCAAUAAAAGCACAAGAACAAAUGAGUAAGAGAGAAGAGAAACAAACAUACGAAAUUUUACGUGGUUCGGCAAUCCCCGCCUACGUCCACGCCUCCAAGCGAUCCAGGCUUGAGAAUUUCACUAUCCGAGCCUUUCCAAGGCUUCAACCGUUUACAAUUGACUUCAAGGUGUCAAUGAGCCUUUACAACAAAGAGAUUAUCUCCCAAUCUCUUCACUCAAGUGUCUCACACACUCAAACUUUUACAAUUAAGAUGAAGAAAUGAAAGUUACAAUAAAACUCACUCAAAGAGUAGAUAUUCAAAAAUGAAGAAUAAGAAAUGAUUCAAUGUUUUGUGAUUUGCAAAUUGAAAGCUCAAGAUAUCUCGUGUGCUUUUUGUUUAUGCUUGGUGGAGAGCUUGAAAAUGAGUUGGAUUUGAGUUUAUAUAGUUUAAGCUAAAAAACUAGUCGUUAUGCACAUAUUUUGGUCGUAACUGGCUUGCCAUUUAGGAAUCCAGUAAGCCGCUUUUAUGUUACCGUUAAGGCAAAAAUUUGAAUUUCAGAAUAUCCGGCUUGCCGCUUUUCAUAUCCGGUAAGCCGCUUUUGAAAUCCGAAUUGCCGCUUGCGAAAUCUGGUAAGCCGUUUAUGCUCCAGAAGCUUACUGCCCAAAAUCUGGUUCGCUGUUUAACAUAUCCGGUAAGCCGCUUGCUACAGUGACUGCUACAGUGAAAUAUUUCCUAAAUUUACAGUUUAACCUAAAACUUUAUAAAACUAUAUUAUAGCCCAAAACGUUAUGAAAGUUUGCAAAUAGGUCCAAUUUUAGAAUUUUAAAUAAUGCUUUGUCAAUCCCAAAACUUUUUGAAAUUAUGAUUUCGCCCAAACUAUGUGAAAUUCUAGAAUGACCCAAAAAUAUUUAAAUAGUUUCAAAUAGGUCCAAAUCCGAAAUUUAAAACAUUAUCAAAGAUUUUAAAAUAUUUUCAUUUUAGUCCAAAAUACUUUAAUUCCAUAACAUCAUUUUCUUAUUAUAAAAGCAAAAUUCAUAAAUCUUUGCUUAAUCAAUACAUGUGAUUUGUUAUCAUCAAAAUCAAUAUUUAUAGCCAUAUAGGCUAACAAUCUUCCCUUUUUUUAUGAUGACAAAACACAUUAUAAAAAAUUUAAUCUAGUUAUGAAAAGCUCCCCCUUAAUCAAUAAAAUUGAUUUAAAAAUUAUUUAACAAGACUCCCCCCGCAUACAUGCAUAUUUUCAUAACACUUUUAUAACACAUAUUAAAUUAUUCUCCCCCUUCAUCAUCAAAAAGAAUAAAAGCUCCCCCUAUCAAUCAUCAAAGUCGCAAUACAAGCACAUUAGAAAAAAAAAAUACCCAUAGACAUAAGGAAAUCCAUAUAAUCCAUAAUAAACACUCAAAACAAAUCCAUAUCAUCCAAAACAAAUACAUAAUCCAAAAGCAUAAUAACCAUCCAUAAAGUCGAAAAUAAAAAGACAUAAUGCAGUAAAUGAAAUGUAGGUGUGUCCAAAUACAAGCAUAAGAGACUACGGAGGUGGUGAGGAUAGUGGUGAUGGAGGUGGAUACGGAUAUGGAAUGCCGAAGUGCUCAAAGUGGAGGCGAUGUCCAUGAAUGAGCUGCUACUGCAGCUGCUACUGCUGCUGCGGAAACUCAUUCUGCCGUAAAGCGAGUGUCCGCACCUCAUCCAUAAGCUGCUGAAGAGUAACCUCUUCAGCGGUAGGAGGCUGUGUAAGUGAUGAAGCGGAUGUAGAGGCACCAGGAGCUGAAGCAAUAAUGGGAGGAUCUCGGCGUCGACGCUACCCUCGAAAUGAGAGUGAGAAAACGGGUAGCUGAUCGGCUGGAACCACAGUAUUAAGUGGGCGAUCAUCACUUGGAGCAAGAAAGGUAAACUUGUUCUCUGUGUAUUUGACCCAAGUGCCAUUUUUCUACUCAAAGCCUAAGCUGAAGAUAACAUCAUCCCCAAUACCCUUAGACGGUCUACAUGAUGGUUCUAGAUUCGGCACAUCAAAGAAUUUAAGGAUUCAGGUAAUGAAGUGACCAUAUGGAAGGGAGCGAGUAAUCAAGGAAGGUAUGGUGAACAUGGUUCGGAUAAUGGUAUAGCCCAAGUUAACCGGAUGACGUCUAAGAAUACAGUCAAUCAAAGCAACGUCCCUAUGAGAGACCUCAUCUAAAUGCCCUGAUCUAGGAAGCACAAUGGACUGAAUAAUACGAAGCAAAAUGCGAGUUUGAAGACAAAGACACUGAGUGCGGAAGUGAAUGGUACAAUCCUCAACAGAAAGAUCAUUACACCGACAAAUAUUACGAACGGCGUCAACAUGAACAUAACUAUCAAGUUUAGGAGAUUUCCUAGGCGAACAAAUUUCUAGGCCAAAAUCGGAUGAUCCUAAGAUAGAGUUUAAUAUGAAAACAUCAAAAUCAAUCAUAACUCCUCCAACAUUAGUGAUUACUCGAGUCUUGUUCUCCUCGGAAAAUUCCAUAUUCGAGUAAAACACUUUCACCAAGUCGGGAUACAAGCUCUCCUCAAUCAAAAGUGCAUCAAUCCAACCAACAUCUCUCAACAAUUGAAAUAAAUUUCUAUGACUAAUAUUGAGAGUAUGCAUCACAUCCGGUAAAACAUAAAACGUAUUGAGUACCUCACGAGUGCUGAACCUUUGUUGAAACUGUUUGAUCAAAUGUUUCGUGCUCUAAAAGUGAGUGGACUCAAAAUUGGAUUGAUUGGAGGUGCCCCCUGCUUGCCGUGACUGGUUGGUUGAUUGAAUCGGUUCUUUGCCUUUUCUUCGAACUGGCCAUGAACUUGACAUUGGGAUUUGAUUGAUUUGAAGUUGAAAAAGACAGAAAAUGAAGAUGAUGAAGAUUGAAAGUAUGUUGAGAAGCAAUUUGGAUAAAAACGGCUUGAGAGUGAGAAACUUAGAGAGAGAAAAUUCGACUGAAAAACCUAGAUUGACUUUGGGAUCUAGAGAUUUAGAUGUUGAAAAUGGAGUUUAAAGAUCAUUUUGAAAAAAUGAAGUGAUGGGGAAUGAUUUUCGUGACUCAAUUUGAUGCGAAAAAGGAAGAGAAUGAUGGAUUUUGGAGUGAGAUAGAGUGACGAACAAACGGUUUUUAGAGAGAGAGAGAGAUCUGGUUGGCCGAAUGAGAGGGAGAAGAUGAACAGUUUAUAUAGCUCCCGAAUCCGGCUUGCCGGAUUUCACUAACCGGCUAGCCGGUUAGUGACCACAAACAUAAAAGCCGUAAACAACUUGCCGGAUACGUUAUCCGAUUUUCUAGAUAGCUUCCAGAAUGGGUCAAACAUGCAUUUGGCUUGUCGGUUUCAAGUCAGAAUUAAGCUUCACGAAUUCGGCUUACCGGAUUUAAGAACCAGUUAGCCGAUUGUGAGGCAGAAACAUGCAAAUCGUAACCGAUUUUUUGGAUUUGAAGAACCGGCUGUCUGGUUUUGAGGCAGAGAGGAAGCUUAACAAAUCCGGUUUUCCUGAUUUAAUAACCGGUUGACCGGUUUGCGUUCAGUGAUCUCUAGAAUACAUCCGGCUUUCCGAUUUGAUAAAUUCGGUUUUCGAAUGUUGACCCGAGAGCAACCAAAGCUAAUCCGGCUUACCGGUUUGAUAAAUCCAGUUAUCCGAAAUUUGUUCCGAGAGGAAUCAACAAGAAAGCGUUUUUCCGGAUGAGAGGAAGUGGUAUAUCGGUUUAGACUUGGAAAUCUAUUUGGCUCUAAUUAAAUUUUGGCAAGCUCUUAUACUUGUAUUACACACACCAUUUUAUUAUUGGCUUUUAAAAUUGAUUAAUUUUAAAUUAUUUUGAGAUUUAAAACUUUUCAAUAAGCCAUUUAAUGCAUGAAACAUAAAAUCAUAAAAUUACAAGCAUAUCAAGUUAUCUAAUUCAUGAAGCAUAAAUCCAUAUAAUAACAAACAUAUCAAGCCAUGUAUUAAAACAUAAGUCAAGCUGCAACAUUCAUCAUUCCAAGCUCAUGUCUUAUCUUUAUAAAAUGCUCUUCGCUAAGAGGUUUUGUAAAGAUAUAUGCAAGCUGAUUUUCAGUAGAAACAAAUUUAAUUACAACAUCUCCUUUUUUAGCAUGAUCUCUAAGGAAAUGAUGUCUAAUUUCUAUAUGCUUAGUCCUAGAAUGUUGAAUGGGAUUCUUGGAAAGGUUUAUAGCACUAGUAUUGUCACACAAGAUAGGUAUUUGAUCAAGUUUAAUACCAUAGUCUCUAAAGGUUUGUUUCAUCCAAAGAAUUUGUGCACAACAACUACCUGCAGCAAUAUAUUCUGCCUCGGUGGUUGAUAGCGCAAUCGAGUUUUGUUUCUUACUAAACCAAGAGACAAGUGAAUGGCCUAGGAAGUGACAUGUUCCACUAGUACUUUUUCUAUCAACCUUAUAUCCAGCAAAAUCGGUAUCCGAAUAACAAGUCAAUAUGAGUUCCCCUAAGAUACCAAAGGCCAAGAUUAAUGGUGCCAAUCAAAUAUCGAAAAAUGCGUUUGACAGCAAGUAUGUGUGACUCUUUAGGACAAGAUUGAAAUCUAGCACACAAGUAUACACUAAACAUAAUAUCAGGCCUACUAGCAGUCAAGUAGAGUAAGGAUCCGAUCAUACCUCGAUAUGUCUUGAUAUCAACUUCCUUACCUUUCUCAUCUUUGUCUAGCUUGAUGGUGGUACUCAUUGGAGUGCUUUUUGCAGUUCCAUUAUCAUAACCAAAUCUUUUGAGUAGAUCUUUCAUGUACUUGGCUUGAUUUAUGAAAAUUCCUUCCUCAUUUUGUUUGAUUUGGAGUCCAAGGAAGUACUUCAACUCUCCCAUCAUACUCAUCUCAAAUGUUUUGCUCAUAUAAGAUGAAAAAUCUUUACACAACAACUCAUUAGUAGAACAAAAAAUAAUAUCAUCAACAUAAAUUUGAACAAUAAGUAUAUCUUGGUUCUUAUGCUUAACAAAUAAAGUUGUGUCCGCUUUUCCCAUUGAAAAAUCAUUAUCCAACAAGAAGUUUUUAAGCCUAUCAUACCAAGCUCUAGGUACUUGUUUUAGUCCAUACAAAGCCUUAGAUAACUUGUACACAUGAUCUGGAAAUUUUUCAUUUUCAAAACCAGGAGGUUGUUUCACAUAAACUUCCUCCAUAAUAUAACCAUUUAAGAAAGCACUCUUGACAUCCAUUUGAUAUAAAAUAAAAUCUUUAUGACAUGCAUAUGCUAACAACAUCCUAAUGGAUUCUAACCUUGCUACAGGUGCAAAUGUUUCAUCAAAAUCAAUUCCUUCUUCUUGGUUGUAACAUUGAGCCACUAAUCUAGAUUUAUUUCUUACAACCACACCGGAUUCAUCCAUUUUAUUUCUAAAUACCCAUUCAGUGCCUAUAAUGGAUUGAUGUUCUAGAUUAGGAACUAAUUCCCACACAUUGUUUCUCUCAAAUUGAUUCAACUCCUCUUGCAUUUCCAUAAUUCAAGAUUCAUCAUUUUCCGCAUCCAUAAAGAAUUUGGUUCAAUUUGAGAGAUAAAUGCAACAUGCUCACAUGUGUUCUUAAUGGAUGAUCUAGUGGUAAAACCUCGUGAGGGAUCUCCUAAAAUUACAUCCUUAGGGUGAGAGGAAACAUACCUCCACUCCUUAGGGAGUGUUUAAGAAGUACCUUCAUUUUGCUCUACAUUUGUUUCUUCAUGAUGUUCCUCUUGAAUUCCAUGUGGUGCGUCUUUUUGGUUGUCAUUUGAUGCUUCUUCUUGUUGUUCUUCUUCUGCAUUAUCAUCAACAACGACUUUCUCCGUAGAGGAGGGAUUAGACUCAUCAAAUGUAACAUGCAUAGAUUCUUCCACAACUAAAGUUCUUUUAUUAUAAACUCUAUAAGCUUUGCUUGAGUUUGAAUAACCAAGAAAAAUGCCAAUAUCAGAUUUUGAAUCAAAUUUACCAAGAUUAUCUUUUGUGUUCAAAACAAAACAUUUGCAUCCAAAGACUUUAAAAUAACCAAUGUUGGGUUUUCUAUCUUUCCAAAGCUCAUAUGGAGUUUUAUUAAGAUUAGGUCUAAUCAACACACGAUUCAAAACAUAACAAGCGGUGUUGACGGCUUCGACCCAAAAAUACUCAGGCAGAGAAUUUUCAUUCAAUAUGGUCCUAGUCAUUUCUUGGAUAGACCUAUUCUUUCUCUCUACUACUCCAUUUUGUUGUGGAGCCCUAGGUGAUGAAAAUUGAUGUUCAAUGCCAAAGUAAUUACAAAAAUUUUCAAAUGCAUGAUUUUUAAAUUCUCUACCAUGAUCACUUCUAAUACAAGUAAUAGAAUAACAUUUUUCAUUUUGAACCUUUUUAUAGAAAAUUCAAAAUGCAUCAAUGGCAUCAUCCUUAUUAGCUAAGAACAAUACCCAUGUGUAUAUAGAAUAAUCAUCCACAAUUACAAAUGCAUAAAAUUUACCACUUAAACUAGCAUAUCUAGAAGGUCCAAACAAAUCUAUGUGAAGUAAUUGAAGUAGUUUUGAAAUAGAGACAUGAUUCUUUCUUUUGAAGGAAGUUUUGAUUUGUUUUCCAAAUUGGCAAGCUUCACAAAUUCUAUCUUUUUGAAAACUGAUUUUUGGAAGACCUUUAACCAAAUCAUUUUUCACAAUUUUUGAAAUCAAAUCCAUGCUUGCAUGACCUAAUCUUCUAUGCGACAACCAACCAUCAUCAUGCAAUGCGGAGAAACAUUUAUCAUUUGUCGAUGCACAAUCUAUAUUAAUGAUAUAGACAUUAACACAUCUAUUUCCUACAAACAAAACUUUCUCAUUACAUGCAUUCUUAAUAACACAUUUUGAUUCAUCAAAGAUAACUCUAUAUCCUUUAUCACAUAAUUGACUAAUACUAAGCAAGUUGUGUUUCAAGUUUUCAACCAAACACGCAUUUUCAAUGAGAGUAGAGGAUAUAUUACCAAAAUUUCCAAUGCCAAUGAUUUUUCCUUUUGAAUUAUCUCCAAAUGAUACAUCUCCACCAUUUUCGAUCUUAGUAAAACUUGAAAACCAAGAAUAAUUCCCUAUCAUGUGUCUUGAACAACCACUAUCCAAGUACCACUUAUUCUUCUUCUUCUUUAAGCCCUUGUAGAGAAAAUCUCAAGUUUUAGGUACCUAAACCUUCUUGGGUCCUUGAGAGUUAGCAAUGGUUCCUUUCGGAACCCAAACACAUUUCACACCAUAAUAUGCAUUUCUUUUCACUGCACAUCUAUUUUUUAUAUGACCAUCUUGAUUACAAUAAUGACAUACAAUUUGAUUGUUAGUAGAUGUAUUCUUCAUAAAAUAACUUUUGUAAAGUUUUUGUUUCAAAUUUGGUUUAUAACCAAUGCCACUUUUGUCAAAUACACAUUUAUGUGAGUUUAGCAAAUUGUCCAGCAUCUUUUGCCCAUUUGUGAAUUUUAGCACAAUUUCAUUUAGUUCAUUGCUCUUCUUUCUAAGCAUUUUAUUUUCAUUUUUCAAGUCAUUCAUGUGUGACUCUAAGUGCUCAUAUGGAGUACUAGAAUUCUCAAAUAAUGCAAUGCUAUCAUGCAAUGUUUUAUUUUCUAAUUCUAGGCAUGUAAUCUUUGCACUAAAUGAUUCAAUUUCAUUUUUAAGUUCUAUCAUCUUUAUUUUAAGACAUAUAUUCUUUUUACCAAUCUUCAUCAGCUCAUCAUGUAAAUCCUUAAAGGCAUCAUGUAAGUCAUCAUAUGUAGGAAGAACACUUACCUCAUCAAGUUUAUCACAUGAUUCUUCCCCAAAGGCCAUGUCAUCAUCACUUAUUUCCUCAUCGCUAUCAUCCCAUGUGGCCACCAUAACUUUCUUCUUGAGUUUCUUGAGAAGAGGACAUUUCGGUCGUAUGUGUCUGGGCUUCUUGCAUUCAUAACAAGUGAUUGGCUCCUUCUUCUCCUUCUUAUUCUUGUAGCCUCUGAACUUUCUCUGCUCAUUAUUCUUUUUGUAAAAUUUUCUGAAUCUUCUAGCCAACAUUGCCAAUUCCUCAUCAUCCAUUUCGCUUUCCUCAUCACUCUCACGUUUUGAGGCCUUAAGAGUAAUAUUUUUCUUCUUUUCCUCAUGCCCUUUUUCAGCUGCCAAAUCUUCUUCAUAUGAAAUGAGAGAACCAAUUAAAUCAUCAAUAGGUGAUACAUUUAAAUCUUUGGCUUCCUCAAUGGCAGUCCUUUUUGGUCUCCAUUCCUUAGGUAGCGACCUAAUGAUUUUCUUAACUUUCUCGCUAUUUGAAAAGGUCUUUCCUAGGGCUCCUAGAGUGUUCACUAUGUCUGUAAAUCUAGUACACAUAAAGUACACAUUCUCAUUUUGUUCCAUUUGGAACAAUUCAUAUUGUCGAGUGUACCUACUUAUUUUAGAUUCUUUUACUUAGUUCAUGCCUUCAUAAACAACUUCAAGUUUAUGCCAAAUCUCAUUAGCACUUUCGCAACUAGACACUCUAUGAAACUCUUUCGUAUCUAGUGCACAAAACAAGGCAUUCAUGGCCUUGGAAUUUAGAGAAGUUUUUCUCUUUUCAAAUUCAUUCCAUUCCCGUGAAGGUUUUGGAAUAUCUUCCCCGACUUCAUUUUUAGUCAAAGGCAUGAAAGGACCAUCAUUAACGAUUUCCCAAAUUUCCUAAUCUAAGGCUUGCAAGUAAAUUCUCAUCCUAGUUUUCCAAUAUGGGUAAUCGUUUCCAUCAAAGUAAGGUGGUCAAGUGGUGGAUUGUCCUUCCCUAAAUGUGGAAUCAUUUUGAGUUACCAUUGAUCUUUAGCUCUAGACGGUUAAGUCUAAAUAAGAGCACAUUGCUCUGAUACCAAAUGAAAUAUAAGUGUGCAACCCAAGAGGGGGGGUGAAUUCGAAUUUUAAUAAUUAUCCUAACAAAUCCACACAACAAGCAAUCUAAUGUCUUAAUAAAAAUUGAAAGCAAUAAGUUUAAUAAAAGCACAACAACAAAUGAGUAAGAGAGAAGAGAAACAAACACACGAAAUUUUACGUGGUUCGGCAAUCCCCACCUACGUCCACGCCUCCAAGCGAUCCAAGCUUGAGAAUUUCACUAUCCGAGCAUUUCCAAGGCUUCAACCGUUUAUAAUUGACUUCAAGGUGUUAAUGAACCUUUACAACAAAGAGAUUACCUCCCAAUCUCUUCACUCAAGUGUCUCACACACUCAAACUUUUACAAUUAAGAUGAAGAAAUGAAAGUUACAAUAAAACUCACUCAAAGAGUAGAUAUUCAAAAAUGAAGAAUAAGAAAUGAUUCAAUGUUUUGUGAUUUGCAAAUUGAAAGCUCAAGAUAUCUCGUGUGCUUUUUGUUUAUGCUUGGUGGAGAGCUUGAAAAUGAGUUGGAUUUGAGUUUAUAUAGUUUAAGCUAAAAAACUAGCCGUUAUGCACAUUUUGGUCGUAACCAGCUUGCCGUUUAGGAAUCCGGUAAGCCGCUUUUAUGUUACCGUUAGGGCAAAAAUUUGAAUUUCAGAAUAUUCGGCUUGCCGCUUUUCAUAUCCGGUAAGCCGCUUUUGAAAUCCAGAUUGCCGCUUGCGAAAUCCGUUAAGCUGUUUAUGCUCCAGAAGCUUACUGCCCAAAAUUCGGUUUGCCGUUUACCAUAUCUGGUAAGCCGCUUGCUACAGUGGCUGCUACAGUGAAAUAUUUCUCAAAUUUACAGUUUAACCUAAAACUUUAUAAAACUAUAUUAUGACCCAAAAUGUUAUGAAAGUUUACAAAUAGGUCUAAUUUCAGAAUUUUAAAUAAUGCUUUGUCAAUCCCAAAACUUUUUGAAAUUAUGAUUUCACCCAAACUAUUUGAAAUUAUAGAAUGAUCCAAAAAUAUUUAAAUAGUUUCAAAUAGGUCCAAAUUUGAAAUUUAAAACAUUAUCAAAGAUUUUAAAAUACUUUCAUUUUAGUCCACAAUACUUUAAUUCCAUAACAUCAUUUUCUUAUUAUAAAAGCACAAUUCAUAAAUCUUUGCUUAAUCAAUACAUGUGGUUUGUUAUCAUCAAAAUCAAUAUUUAUAGCCAUAUAGGCUAAGAGAUUUGUCUUUUGAAAGAAUUUGUUCUGUGGGGUGGGAAGAAUUUUUUCAAAAAUUGUGCUUGCAUUUCAUCCCAAGUUCUGAUGGAUUCUGACCUAAGAUUUUGUAGCCAAGUUUUAGCUUUAUCUUUUAGCGAGAGGAAAAAACUUAAGCUUGAUUAUAUUCAUGCUACAAUUUUGAUCAGUACAGAUGUUACAGACUUCCUGAAAUUCCCUUAAAUGCAAAUAUGAAUUUUCAUACUCAAAAUCAUGAAAAGUAGGAAGAAAUUGAAUGAUACCAUGUUUGAAAUUAAAACGUGAUGCAUCAGGAGGGAAAACUAUGCAUGAUGGUGACCCUGUUCUAGUAGGAUGCAUGAAAUCUCUAAGGGUCCUAGGUUGUUCAUGAAGAUUUUGCAAGGCUUGGUCAUUUUCGUGCUCCGAAAAAUUUUCAGCUCCUUUGUCAGCCAUAUUUAAGGGUGGUAAAUGUGAUUUUCUAAUUAAUCUACCAUUAUUUGUACGAGGCUAACGACGCAUGCAAUGCUAAUGAUGUGUGCUAAACUAAUGAUGCAAAAAUGCUAAAUGAAAAUUGCAGAAAUAAAAAUAAAUUGGAAAUUAAAUAAGCAAAAAAAAUACGAAAUAAAAAUAAACAAACUGAAAAAUAAAUAAAUAAAUUAGGUGGUGAAACCAGCCAUUAAAAAAAACAGUUUAGGCGGUAUUUUAAAACCAGCCAUAUAAUAAAACAUAAAAUUAAAUAAAUUAAUGCACAAAAAUAAAUAAACUGAAAUUAAAAUGCUAGGCGGUAGAACCGACCAUAUAAAUAAAAAUACAUAAAUUAAUAAAAUUUAAAUAACAGUCAUGCGGUAGAAUCGACCAUUUAAAAUAAAUGCGGAAAGUAAAUUACAGAAAUUUAAAGAAAUAAAUUUGAUUUGGGGACUGAUUUGCAAAGGUUUUUUUGGCUAAGAUGAAGUUUCUCAUAAAUUUUAUAGAUAAUGUUAAGGUUUGAAAAGAAGAGGGGUGCUAACUGAAGUUUUACAAAAAGAGAAUAAAAUAGAAUCAUGGAAAGAUGGUAACGACAAAACAAACAAAAAUAAAUAAAAAUAAAAUAAAAAUAAAGUAAAGUAAAGACAAACGAAUAUCAAAUUUAGAAAACUCCCCGGCAACGGCGCCAAAAAUUUGACACGACUCAAAAGUGUGUUACUCUUAAGUAUAAGAGUAUCUAGUUAUAAUAUAACCCGGUGAGACCGGGAUCGAACCACAGGGAGUUUUAAAUCUAGUAAAACUAAGAAAAUUAAUUGUGGUGAAAAGAAAUUAUUUGAAAUCAAUUUAAAAAUAAGCUAAGGUUUAGGAUCCACUCUCUGUAUUCAAACUAUAAUUUUAAUACUCUCUCAUUUAUAUUUUACCUCACUUUUACCAAUUAAUUAUUAUAUCAUUUAAUUCUAUAUGUGUGGAUAAAUAUAGAAUAAAGUACCUAAUGUGACACACUAUAUUAAUGUGUCGACAUUAUGUCAAAAUACCAUAAAAUCCAGUGAGAUUUAUAAAUUAACAUGAUAUAAAAAUAAUUAGAAAAGAAUUAAAAAAACUCAUUUGAGAAAAUAAUAAUAAUUAAUAGUUUGAAACAUUGAGCUUCACUCUUCACAUCAGCUUAAUAAAAUUAGCUACUCAUAUUGAAAGAAAACACAACACUCUUUUUAUUUGAUAAACGUUUUGAAAUAUAUUACAAAGAAAAUUGAUACAAACGGAAAUAAGAAAAGAAAAGAAACAAAGAAACAAAGAAAAUCUUCAAUCUCGGCUUCAGCUCUCAAAUUUUGCUCUCCAACUUCCCCCUGCUCUUCAAUUUCUCCUCCCUUUUUAUAGGCAACAAUUGCCUUUAACUUUCUUUAUUUUAUUAUUUAUUUAUUAUUUUAUUAUUAUUUUAAAAUAUAUAAGUGUGUUGAAAUGUGUGAUGGUCAGGAGGUGUAAUGGCCUCCUGACCAUCACCAACAUGUUUUUGUUCUUUUGUUAUUUUUUUUUCUUUUUUUUUAUUGAUUAUUUAUUAUUACAUCUCUUCAAUUUUGUUCCAAUAGUUCUUUUUUGUUCUCGCUUUCAAUUCUAAGUCCAUCUUUAUUCCUGAAAAAUAUUUACAAGAUAAAAAUUAACAAAUUACGAAUUAAUUUAACAUAAAAUAAAUUUGGGGAGUAUUAAAAUAAUUUAGAAAUAAUGAACCCAUUAAUCAACACAAUAAGUGAAAAACUAAUAAUUUUAUCCUUAUUAAAUGUAAAAUUUUUAGUGUCAAUCACACCCCCAACCAGUUUAUUGUUAGGCCCUAAAAAUUUAAGCGAUAAAAGUUUAGUAAAAUUUUGAACUCAAAUUGAAAAUCAUUUUUUUAAAAAAAUUGUGUUUACUUCUUCUAUCAGAUUAAUGACAACAAUCAAAUAAAAGUAUAAGCAUUAUCUUCAGCCUAAAGAAAAUCACACUCAGCUCAACUGCUUGAUUUGUGGGGAUAAACGAACUCAUUGUGCCAAUACCACAUGCGCCAGACAUGACGCCAAAUAACAUUGACCUAUCCUUCUCAUUAGUGAUCCUCAAGUGGUUUUUCAUAUUAUAAACAAUCCAUGCAUGAACAUCCAAUGUAAAACAAGUAUGACUUGUGUGUUUCGAAAAAAGGGCUAACCAAAUGCGUUUAGAGUCAACAUAAUCACCAACUGCAUGGAGAGCAUCCUCUAUGAUAUGCCCACACCGCAUGCAAGUACUAUCAUUAAGCACAUGCCUUCGCGAUAAUUUAGCAUUAUUUUUCAAUCUAUUAUGCAUCAGCAGCCAAAGAAAGCACUGAAUGCUUUGGGGGCCUCUCAAUCUCCAAAUCAAAACCCAAAGGGAAUUAUUUUCAUUUAGCAUCGGUCUAAAGAGGGAUAAAUAAGCUGACCUCACGCUAAACGAACCAGACCGCGAUGGAUCGCAAUAACAACAGUUAACUUCAUCGCUAACAAAAAGGGGCAUAGUGCCUGCUAUUUUGAAAAUUAUAUGGUGGGGUAGAAAAGAAGCAAAACAGUCCCAGUUCCAAGCACCAUUAUUAUCGAUAAAAUUAGCUACACACUCAUUUAAUAUGUUUUCAGUGAUUGUACCGAAAGUAUAAGAUUGUAACCAAAGCCCAUCCUCCAGCCAAUAAUCUUUCCAAAAUCUAGCCAACUUCCCAUUCCGAAUAGCCCAUCGAGUCCCUUAGAGAACCUCAUUCCAUACGUUUCCCAUGAAUUUUCAUAAAGGAGAACUAUAUCAAGUAGGAUGUUUUAGAGGAAGGUUUUCUUUAUUAAUGCCAUAUUUAAACAUCAAUACUUGAAUUUAGAAGCUGUGGGGUGAUUUAAUAUGACCCCAACCAAUUUUCAUUAGCAAGGCUUUAUUCAUGAGAUUAAGAUCUUUAAGGCCAAGGCCCCCACAUAAAUUAAGGAGUUGUACUCUAUCCCACUUAAUAAGGUGUAUGCGAUAAGUCUCGUCAAUCUCGGUCUAGAUAAAAUGCUUGCAAAUCUGAUCAAUUUUAUUACGAAUACUUAGAGGUAGCAUGAAGGUCUGCAUGGAAUAGGUUGGGAGAGCCAAAAUGAUCGACUGCGUUAAUGUUAUCGGACCUACAAGAGAAAGAUGUUUGGUUGUCCAGCCUGGAAUUCUCUGUAGUGCUAAUGGUGGUCAAGGAUAAGGUACUAGUUUCCGUGGGAGACAUUGAGUUUGCAUAAGAAAUCUGGGAGAUUUCAUAGAGAAUGUAUGAGUUAGUGACAAUGGUAAACAUGAUUAAACGCGUGAACUAACAUAAAAUGAAAUACAAAAACUAAAUGAUAGAGCACGAGUUUUGAAAAAAGUUUAUUUUUCAAUCCACCAUCAAUUAAACAGAAGCAAGCCACUGUCAUUCUAAGUAAACAAACAUAACAAAACCACCUAAAUAGGAAUAAUUUUUCAAUAUAGGAAUCUUGAACUUUUCAUGAAAAAAAAUCAGUUUACAAUAUUAUAGGUACGUGAAAAAUAAAGUUUAUAACAUUGUAAAUCAAAUCACCAGCUAGAAUCUAACUCCACCUACAUGGUUUAGUAAACAACUAUAACAUUGCAUCCAAUAAUGGCGUCACCAGAUUUAAAAUUCGCUCGAUGCAUCUGACCAAUUGCAUAUCCACCAGUCAAUAGGAACUCGCCAGUGCCACCGACGAUGGGCAUCUUACGGACAGGAACAAUCGACCUGUUGUUGCCAAGAAGGCUGAUACAGCUGCUAUUAUUAGGACCAUCAACGAACACAAAGCUCAUGGACAUGAUGAUACCUAGUUGAUGCUGACAAGCCGACCCGUAAAGCCCUUGAGCACGACCAACCAGCUUUGAUUGAGGACUAGUAGUUUCUAUCGACGAAUCAUCCGCCAAAUCACAACGCAGAAAUGAGUUGGUGACUUGUAAGUAUCAGUGGCUUGAGCAAUGCUUUUUGCCACUACGUUUUUUUUUUUUUUUGUUGUCUCUUUUGCGAAAUCAAGCCCCGUACCCAAAGUCUCUAUGAUCGUAUUGAUGUUGCUGCCACCGGGCAAAUGAUGAGCAACAAAAAAACUGCUUAAAACAUUGCAGUAACUUUAAAACAAGGCAUGAAAUUAAAAGGAAGAGAAUAGAUGAUGCACUUUUGAAGGUAGAAAAGAAGGAUGAUUCAAGAUUCAUUUCAAAUUUUUUUGAAGUGUUUUGAUCAGUGAAUAUCCAAAGGCUGCUUAACUACAAAGGUGAAGUGGGAAGAAAUUUUGACAUUUUGUUACAUUGAGCUAGCCAGCGAAUGUAUAUGAGGGGCUUCACUUGUACACAUAAAAAAGGAAGAUUAAUUACUCAUGGUUUUUUAUUAAGAAAAAAAUGGCUUGCUUAAAAUAUAGAGUGUGGUUAAUUUCAUUGAAGGACAUGACUCAAAGGAAAAGAAAAAGAAAUCUAAUAAUAAACUAAACAAAAAAUAAUGCCAAAAACAAUAAAUUUAAUUAAAUGUACAUUGAAAUUACCUUUAUAAUGCAACAAGAUAUUAAAAUCAAUAGUUAACGCUAAUAAAUGAAGCAUAAUUUAUUUAAUACUUAUUUAUGGACUCUUUCAAUUCCAUUAAAGCCACUGCAAGUCAUUUUUCAAUAUCCACCUAGAUAAAUAGAGGCUCAUGCCUUUCUGAUUCUUCCACUUCUCUUUCAAUUCUAAUUAAGCCGUUUGCAAUUCUCUUAAGAAAUUAAAAAAUGUCAAAGAGUCUUACUUUCAUCAUUUUGGCUUUGCUUGUAGUGGCAAACACUAAAAACAUGCUUAUUUCAGCUAGUAGAACUGGCCAAGGAUCUAAGCCAGAGGCUUUAUUUUCUAUUAACCCUAUAGCAUCACCUGACAUUGUUGAUUGCUCAGGGCUCACAAGUGAAGAGUGUUUGAUUGAGAUGAUUAAGAAAGCACUUGUAGACUAUCGAUACCCCUGCCCUGAGGGGGGUGCAAAUGAUAUUGUUAAUAAGUUAUUUAUUUUACCUUGUAGGAGUGCUUUUGCAAUAACGAUCAAUUACUGUGAAAUUGAAUUCGUGUUUUUAAUAAAAUAAAACAUUAAUCCAUUAUGCAUAGGUAAUAUUAUGUCAUAUGUUUUUGGUGUGUGUAUCUCCUACUGCUUUGUUAUAGAUGCAUCGUCGAAUCAAUCUUCGAUAAAUCAGUUUCUUUAAAUAAUAGCAAUUAUCAACCAAUCAACAUUACUCUAUUGGUACCAUUUGUAAUAUUUAAAUUUUAAAUCUAUCUACUUUUAGGGUGAGAUUAUUGAUUCCUAAGAAAAAUAAUAAAAUAAACCCUCAUUAUCGAAAUCCUAUAUUACUAAGCUGUCUGAUUUAAUUUAAUGUUAAACUUUAAUUUAACCCCUGAAAAUGUCCAGACUUACCUACAUUUAUUGCUAAGAAUAUGAUUUAAAAGUUCAUCAAUGUGCACCUCAUUUAUGCUCAUCUUUUGAAGAACAAAUAGGGUGGAUUGAGAUUUUCAUGCUUUUGGAGGGUAAAUUAAAGAUAAUUGUUAGGAGGGAACGAAUUGAAGUUUGUUUUUAAAUGCAAAGAUGUAUUCUUUUAGUUUUUUUGAGAUAGUUUGUUUGACUUUAAUUUAACAUAUGUUUUUGUAAUUGAAAUAUAGAUACUUCUUUAUUUUUGUUAUUCAGCUAAGUAAUAUAAUAUUUAUAUUUAAUUGAUCACUUAAAAAAUGUUUAUGCAUUAAUAUGUUAAUUUUUUGCGGCUUGUAAGGUAAGAAUUUUUUUUAUAAGAAAAUAAUGCAAGCAACAAUAAGAAUUAAGAUUAAUCAUAUAAUGAUGCAAACUAUGGACAUGCUAAUUAGUUGGUACACAGAAUCUUAAUCAAUGAUGUCUGGUUUCAGCUUUCCUUGUUUUUUCUUUCUUCGGUAAUGCUCUUGAGAUGUUAUGAAUUAAACAAACAUAUGUUCCCAAUUAUGCACUCUUAUCAUAUAGGGAGCAUCAUAAACAGAGGAAAAAAAAAAUUCAAGUUUGGUGACCAAAAAGACUUGAAACAAUGCCUAAUGUCUUUGAAAGUAGUAGAGGAUUCAACACAACUGUGUGGACUGAAUAGAGAAGUAGUAGCAAAUAGAACACUCAACAUAAAAGGCACCAAAAAAAAUAUCAUUAAAAGGUUGUUACAAGUGAAUAAAAGUUACAGAUUUUAUUUUGAAAUUAAAUUCUAAAAAUAAAUUUAAGAGUUAGUGUUUCAUUUUCUAGAUGUAAAUGCCCUUAACCAAUUUCAUUUUAAAAACACACCAAAAUCCAAGUAAUUUUUUUGCUCUCCUCUCUCAACUAAAAUCUUUCUAUCUUAGACUUCACGUGAUGGAGUUUCCAACACUAGUUUGAAGUUCACAAGACUAGUCAGGUUAUGUUGCAGAGACCAUUUGACUUUGUAAUAUCCUAUGGGAUAGUUGCUAAUAUAACCUAAGUACUACUGCGAAAAUGACAAAUCCUUUUUAAGGACAUUGUAACUGCACAUGCCUCAGUUUAAUUUAUGUUCUUCUCUUUCUUAUUGAUCUAUACUAGAGAAAUUAUCUUUUCACCAACUCUGUUUUAUCAUAUGUAUAUCCAGACACCACCAAAUUUUAACAUGUUCUUUGCACCACCAUCAUUUCUGAAUUUGUAUUAAUCGACUAAUUUGACAAUAAUAAAAAAAUAAAAUGACCAUUUUACCCCUAAGUGAUCUAAAAGACCAUUUUAUCCCACGAAAUUUUUAAUUAAAAAACUAUGAUUACCAUUUAAUUAAUUGAUAAAAUAUUAUUGAAAAAUCAACAUGCGCGUACUAUUUAAUUAAUGGAUAAAAUAUUAUUGAUUUUUUCAAUUCUUUUGACCUAAAAAAUGUGUAAUUCUCAUCUUAAAUAUUUUCAUUUUUUUUAUCAAUCGUACAGUCACAAUUAUCAAACAACUUUCAUUUUUUAAAUUAAUCACCAAAAUAACAAUUGUUUGAACUAAUUUUGAAUAAUAAAAAAUUAUAAAUUGGAAAAUGUAUCGAGUAAAAAUUAUAAUUAUAAAAAUUAACAUCUCAGAUUUUGAGAUUUUUUUCUAUUAAAAUCAAAGGUAUUCUCAUAACUAUAAUUUUUUUAUUUUCAAAAUUUUUGUAGGAUAAAAUAGUCUUUCAUUUCAUUCAAGAAUAAAAUGGUCAUUUUAUUUCAUUUCUUAGUGUGAAAGUAGUUCACUGAAAGAACUUUAGAAACAAAGUGUGAAAGAACAAGUUAAAAAUUUGUGGUAGUUAGAUAUAUGUAUGACAAACAGUGUGUGCAGAGAUAUUUUCUUCAUACUAUUGUAUAUAUUAGUAAUAAAAAUUUGUUUCAUAAACUCAUGACAGUGUGUAGCUAGCUUUAGNNNNNNNNNNNNNNNNNNNNNNNNNNNNNNNNNNNNNNNNNNNNNNNNNNNNNNNNNNNNNNNNNNNNNNNNNNNNNNNNNNNNNNNNNNNNNNNNNNNNNNNNNNNNNNNNNNNNNNNNNNNNNNNNNNNNNNNNNNNNNNNNNNNNNNNNNNNNNNNNNNNNNNNNNNNNNNNNNNNNNNNNNNNNNNNNNNNNNNNNNNNNNNNNNNNNNNNNNNNNNNNNNNNNNNNNNNNNNNNNNNNNNNNNNNNNNNNNNNUAGGUCGUUUAUUACCAGUAAUUUUCAACAUAUAUUCCCAAACUUUACCAUUAUAUAACUUGAAGUUCAUAGGACUUUGGAAUCAGAUCAUUUACAACAAUCUUUACAAGGUGAUAAUGAUACAAAGAGAAUAUGUAAAUUUUAAGUCGGCCAGUAUGAGGGCUCCUUCAACUUAAUUGGGGUCUUCGCUUUUAAGGCACUACCGGGGUGGCCAUUGCCCUCAUUGCUUAUGUACCUUAACUUCAUAUAGAUUUUUACUUUUUUCGAUCCCCUUUUUGGAGCACAUGUAGAUUGUCGAUUAAUGCCAAACGGAUAAGAAUAUGGUCAGAUGCCUAGAUUUUGGAAAAAUAAUGAAAUUUAAAGUAAUACAUCAGACUACUAAUGUAUUAACUUUAUAUUGAAAUUCAAUAUUUGGCUACCAACAAGCACAUAUUAUAUAAAAAGAAUUAAACAUGCAAAUAAACAUAAAAUGAAAUACUUUAAUAAAAUGAUAGAGCGCAUGUUUUGGAAAAGUUUAUUCCUCAAUCCACCACUACUUAGGAAUAAUUUUUUGAUUCGGGAAUCUUAAAUUUUUCAUUAAAAAAUCAGUUUACAAUAUUAUAAGUACGUGAAAAAGAAAGUGUAUCUUGUAUGAGAGUUUUUUGCAUUACCGAUCAAUUGCAGUGAAAUCGAAGCUGCGUUUUAAUAAAAAGAAGAAAUGGAUCACACAUACAUAGUUCAUACUUCUAAAUGUUGGAUUAAAAUUUAUUAAAACACAACACAGGCAAAGUCACUAGCAAAUAGGAAAGAAUAGCAAAGUCAUUCUUAGGGAAUAUAUUGAAUAUCACUGUAGAUAUGUUAGAGUAGUAAACUUCACUUUGUAUUUUAUUAGAAGUAAUAGGACCAUUUGGUCCAUAUAUUGAAGAUGUAUCUACCUACAAAAGCAUAGUUAAUGGCCAACAAUAUCUCAUCUUAACCACACUAGAGAUAUCAUUUACAAUGCAUAAGCUAAAUUAGUAUAUGGCUGCUCCUACACUUCAACAUCUAAUGACUUGUAAACGAGUGUUAAGGUACUUAAAGGAACUAGAAGAUAUGGAUGAAAUUAAUUGGAUUCAAUGCUCUGGAAGUUGACCUGUAACAAGAUAAUUAACUAUAUCAACAUACCAUGGUAAUACUUCCACACUCAUUAAUCGUUCAUCUGGAAAUGACUCAUUCAAUAUUAAUGGUUCUGUAAUUGUGUCAAAAUGGAGACAAGAGAGGUGGUCUGCCACAACAUUUUCUCUCCCUUUCUUAUCUUUGAAUUCCAAGUCAAAUUCCUGCAAAAGUAACACCCAACGAAUUAGUUUAGCUUUUGCAUAUUUUUUUGUGAGAAGAUAUUUAAGAGCAGCAUGAUCUGUGAAUAUAAUUAUUUUACAACCAAUGAGAUAGGAUCGAAAUUUCUCUAAUGCAAACACUACUGCUAGCAUUUCUUUUUCAGUAGUUGAAUAGUUCAACUGUGCAUUAUUCAAUGUCAUACUAGCAUAGUAAAUAACGUGGGGAAUUCGAUCAACUCUUUGUCCUAAUACUGCUCCUACUGCAUAAUCAGAUGCAUCACACAUGAGCUCAAAUGGUAAGCUCCAAUUUGGGGGCUGAAUGAUGGGUGAUGAUGUCAACAACUGUUUUAACUUUUCAAAUGCCACAAGACAUGAAUCAUUAAAGAUAAAAGGUACAUCCUUAGCAAGUAAAUUGCAUAAGGGUCUAGAAACUUUACUAAAAUCUUUAAUGAAAUGUCUAUAAAAAUCAGCAUGCCCAAGGAAAGAUCUUACUUCUCUGACUGUUUUGGGUGGAGGAAGAUUAGAAAUGAGAUCCACCUUGGCUUUGUCAACUUCAAUACCUUUGCUCGAAAUGAUGUGACCGAGAACAAUACCUUAUUUUACCAUAAAAUGGCACUUCUCCCAAUUUAAGACCAAGUUCUUCUCGAUACAUCUCUGCAGAACUAGUGUUAGAUGAUGUGAACAUUGAUCAAACGAGUCACCAAAGACAAAAAAAUCAUCCAUAAAGACUUCAAGGAAUCAUUCAACCAUAUCAGAAAAAAUGCUCAACAUGCAUCGUUGAAAUGUAGCAGGUGCAUUACAUAAUCCAAAUGGCAUUCUCCUAUAUGUAAAUGUGCCAAAAGGGCAAGUGAAAGUAGUUUUCUCUUGAUCUUUUGGUGCUAUAGGAAUCUGAUUAUAUCCUGAGUAGCCAUCUAGGAAGCAAUAAAACUCAUGGCCUGCCAAUCUAUCAAGCAUUUGAUCAAUAAAUGGUAAAGGAAAAUGGUCUUUACGUCUGACAGAAUUCAACUUUCUAUAAUCAAUGCAUACACGCCAUCCUGUAGUUACUCUAGUAUGUAUCAAUUCAUUAUCAGCAUUCGUAACUACUGUGACUCCUGACGUUUUGGGGACAACUUGCACAGGACUGACCCAUGAACUAUCAGAAAUUGGGUAAAUGAUACCUGCAUCUAAUAGCUUAAGGACUUCAGUUCUAACAACUUCUUUCAUAUUAGGAUUUAACCGACGUUGCAUUUCCCUAGUAGAUUUAGCAUUUUCAUCGAGGUGAAUGUAAUGCAUGCAGUCUACUGGGUUUAUACCUUUUAUGUCUGCUAUGGUCCAUCCUAAUGCUCCUUUGUGCUCUUUUAAAAUAUCCAACAACUUACCUUUUUGUUCGUCAUUUAGGGAUGAUGAGAUGAUUACCGGCAGAGUACUUUCUUCUCCCAAAAAUGUAUAUUCCAAAGUGUUGGGCAAUGGUUUGAGCUCGAGUUUCGGUGGUGAUUCUGAUGAUGGGAUGAGUUUCUUCUCUGAUGGUGCUGAGUCAAGUAGGGCAUUGACCUCAUCGACCGAUCUGUCAAUAUCAAAAUCAAAACCAAAGUGAGUUAAACAUGUUUGUAAAGGAUCAUCACUAAGGUUUGAAAGAAAAGUGUUAUCAACUAUUGUUUCAAUUAAAUCCACAUCAACAAUUCCAUCAUCUGCAUUGUGAGGUUGUUUGGCAAUGUUGAAGAUGUUCAGCUCCAUAGUCAUGUUGCCGAAGGACAACUGCAUAUUUCUAGUCCUGCAUUGAAUGUGAGCAUCCGCAGUUGCCAAGAAAGGUCGGCCUAGAAUAAUGGGGAUGUGCUUCCUUGAAUCCUGUAUUGGUUGAGUGUCAAUUACAAUGAAAUCAACAGGAAAAUAAAACUUGUCUACCUGGAUAAGCACGUCCUCCACAAUGUCACAAGGUAUUUUCGUGGACCGAUCCGCAAGCUGUAACACCACUGGAGUUGGGUGUAAUUCUCUCAGUCCAAGUUUCACGAAUACUGAAUAAGGCAACAGAUUUACACUAGCUCCUAAAUCCAACAAAGCAUUCUCAAUUGUGUGGUUCCCUAUACUACAUGAGAUAGUGGGGGAGCCUGGGCCUUUGCAUUUUAAAGGAAUUUUAUGUUGGAGUAUAGAACUAACAUUUUCUGUUAAAAAUGCGUUCUUUUGAACAUGUAUAUUUCUCUUUUUAGUACAAAGGUCUUUAAGAAACUUGGCAUAAGAUGGAACUUGUUUUAUAGCAUCAAGUAAAGGGAUGUUAACACUUACCUGUUUGAAGAUUUCAAGAAUCUCACCUGUGGAUUUUCCCUUUUUUCCUUUAGUUAACCUCUGAGGAAAUGGAGCUUUGGGAAUAUAUUCUCGUGGGUUGGUUUCUUCUUUCUCCUCCGGUGAUGAGUCCUCAACACUCACAGGUACAAUUUGAUUUUCUUUUGUCACCGGCAUCUCCGCUUUUUUGUUGACUUCUUUUCCUUUUCGCAAGGUCAUAACUGUUUUGACUUCUCCAUGCUGCUGUGGUGAAUUGGUACUUGCUUCAUGCACUCCUUUAGGAUUAGGCACUAGUUGACUUGGAAAUUUGCCUUUCUCAACAGUCAUUGCCAAGGUCUGAACUGAAGAAGCAAGUUGUCCCACCAUCUUUUCGAGGCUUGAAACUGAUUGGGCUUGUGAAUUGAAGCCUGCUCUCAACUCAUUUCAUAGUCCAUCAAUGGUGCGGUUUUGUUACUCAAUUGUGGAGUGAGUAACAUUCUUGAAAUUCUAGAAUGCAUCCUCCCAUGGUCUGGGUUAAGAGUUGUUCUGGUUUUGAUUGUAUGGUCUAAAUGAGGGCUGACAGGCUUGAGGAAUUUAAGGAAUUGGUUGCAUUGGUGGAGCUGGAGCUGCUGGUCCAUUCUGUUGGAAUCCUUGAGACCAUGAAAAAUUAGGGUGGUCUCUCCAUCCAGGGUUAUAUGUGUUGGAGUAUGGGUUAUAAUUCGAUGGUUUUCUCAUUACACCUAUGGCAUUGGAUUGAUCAGAGUAUGAGUCAUGGUCAUGUGGUUCUGUUGAUUUAGCAGUCGAUAACGAUACUAUUUGUUGAGCAAGACCUUCAACCAUCUCCUUGACUUCUUUGAUUCCCAAAGUUGACUCACUAAUGUGAACCUCAUUCACUCCUUUAAUUCUUUUAGUAUUCCUGAGUGAUCGACUCCGUUGUUGGGAAUUAUCCGCUUGUCGCUGGAAGAAUUCCCAAAUCUCUGAUGCACUUUUUGACAUUAGCUCUCCUCUACUUGUUGCCAUUAGCCAUUCUUGCACAUUCGAUAAUAAUCCCUCCAAAAAGUAUUGGCAUUGGUGCCAUUUCUCGUAUCCAUGAUGUGGACACUUCAAGAGUAGCCUAUUGAAUCGCUCCCACGUUUUUAAAAACUGUUCGUCAUCUCUCUGGGUAAACUCUGAGAUUUCCCUGCGAAUAGCAUUAGUUUUAUGCACUGGGAAAUAUUUAUUCAAAAAUUUCGUUACCAUUUGUUCCCAUGAUGAAAUGCUAUUAGCAGGUAAAGUAUUUAACCAUGAACGAGCUCUAUCUUUUAAAGAAAAUGGGAAUAGUCUAAGUUUAACAUCAUCGUCUGAAAAAUUUUCAUAUUUAAAAGUUUGACAAAUGGCAUGAAAAUCAUUCAGAUGAUUAUAUGAAUCCUCAUUUUCUAGGCCAUAAAAUGUGGGGAGACAAUUUAGCACACUAGGUUUUAAUUCAAAACUCCUAACAGCUACAUUUGGGUAUCUUAUGCAUGAUGUGCUCAAAUUAGCUAAGGGACUAAAAUAGUCCUUAAAUGGCCUCUCCUGUGGUGCUUGUAAAUUCAUUCCAAAUUUAUUUUUAAUGUGCUUUUGUGUGCGAAGUUUUUUUUCUAAUUCAAGGUCUAUAGGUUCAAGAUUAGGAAAUAAUGACCUACAACCAUACAUGCAAAAAAAAGAAAAUAAAAAUAAAUAUGGGAACAAAACAAAUAAAAAUAAAGAAGAGGGAGAAAUUACGAUACUAACCUUAUUGCGCUAUUACAACCUUACUAUAAAAAUACACAAAAACAAAUACGUGAAAUAACUUAACUAAAAAUAAAUUAAUAAGAUAAACAAAAAAAAAUUACAAAGAAAAAUAAAUUGAAAAUUAAAUUACAGAAUUUUAAAGAAGAGAAAAAGAAAAAAAUACUAACCUUUAAAUGUAGAUUCACUUUUUUUUCUUUUUCUUUUUUUUUAAUAAAAAAAUACAAGAAAACAAAUAAAAUUAAUUUUACGAAUUAAAAUAACUUACCUCCCCAGCAACGGCGCCAAAAACUUGUUGUGCAAAUUUUAAUGUACUCGCAAGCACACGAAUCUAUUGUAGUAUAGAUCAAUGGUGACGAGUGUCGAUCCCACGAGGAGGUGGAUUUUAAUUAUAUGUAGAAUUAAUUUUGUAAAUGGGUGGUUGAAAUUGUGGUGGAAGUGAUUUCAAUUAUCCUAAAAUUGGAAUUGAGAUGGUGAUAAUAAAUUCUAAAAUUGGAAUUGCAAUGGCGAGAAUAAAUUGAAGCGAAAUCUAUUGAAAUGAUGUACUUGGGUAUCUGGAUCCGUAUCAACAUGCAUCAUGGGUUAAAUAAUCCGUAUUAAUGCCAAUUAAAUCAUGAGGGGGGAAUCCACACCUCAUGAACCACGCUCUAAUCAAUAUGGUGCUAAGGGCUUAUCGUGCCAAAUAAUAAUAACCUUAUACUAGAGGGUCGGUGAAACCAAGGCAGUACUAGACAAGAUUAGCAUUAUUUAUCGACGAGAAGUCAAAACAUCCACAAAAACUAGAGGGGAAGAGAAAAUAAAUUUACCAAAUUAAGCCCCUGACACAUUUUGAGACUUCACCUUCAACCUAAGCUUGAAAGAAAAUUAGCCACUCAUAAUUGAACUAGGGGCAAAAUGAGAAUUUAUUAAAAUACGAAGAAAAUACAAGAUGGAGAGAGAAUUAUAGAAAACAGAGUCCAAAAAAAGAUUCAGAGGUAUCAAAUUAGGGGGGAGAGGCCCCCUUUUUAUAGAUACAUGGAGUAAAUCAUGGCCAUCAGAUUAAAAACAGUUUGGACGCUCAGGAUUGCGCCACAUCAUCAGUCAACAGUACGCGGCUUGACCACGCGGAUGAACAGUAACACGGUUUGACCCGGAUGAACAGUAAUGCGGUUUGGUUGAAAAUAAUCAUGUGUGAUGCAUGUACUGUAUGCGAGAUUUUUCGUCCACUGAUAUGCUGCCACGUCACCAUCAACAGUACAUAAGAAUUUUAGCCCAACAGGAUCGUGACACCUCAUCAGUCAAUGCCACAUCAUCGGUCAAUGCCACGUCAUCGAUCCGUCUAUGUGAACAGUGCCGUGAACAGUAACGUAUACAGUACCGUACAUGUGAACAGUGCUAUUUUUCCUUUUAUGCUCCUCCUAAGGUUUUCGACCGUCCUGAGUUCAAAAGUGAUGUUCGUUUUGCCAUCUGAUCUCUCAUUUAUUGUGAAAUGACUACGAUGCCCCUAAAAUACAUAAAAUACUAAAUUAAAAUAAAACAAAUAGAAUUAAAUCAAAAGAAGGUUAAAUUCAUAAAAGUAAAGGUGUUAGUAAGACUUGAAAUGUAAAAUGAUGGUUUUCUCCUUUAUAAAUAUGCAUUUUCUAACACUCAACAUCCAACACAAGUAGUACUAAAGAAAUCUGGAAUAACUGUUGUAAAAAAUGAAAAAGGUGAACUAAUCCCAGCACGAAUUCCAUCUAGUUGGCGCAUGUGUAUUGAUUGUAGAAAAUUAAAUGAUGCCACUAGAAAAUAUCAUUUUCCCUUUCCAUUUAUAGACCAAUUUCUCAAAAGAGUAGCUGGACAUCCCUACUACUGCUUUCUUAAUGGCUACUCUGGCUAUUAUCAAAUCCUUAUAACCUUAGAAGACUAGGAAAAGACCACAUUCACAUGCUCAUUUGGAACAUUUGCAUUUAGGAGAAUGCCCUUUGGACUUUGUAAUGCUCCUACAACAUUUCAAAGGUGCAUCCUAAGCAUUUUUAGUGACAUGGUUGAAAUUGUCUAAAGGUUUUAUGGAUGAUUUAACUGUAUUUGGUAAUUCUUUUGAUACAUGUCUUGAUAAUCUAGAAAAUAUUUUGGAAAGGUGCAAAGAAAAAGGACUAGUUUUAAAUUGGGAAAAAUGCCAUUUCAUGACCACUUCUGGAAUUGUCUUGAGCCAUGUUGUGUCUUCAAAAGGAAUCGAAGUUGAUAAAGCCAAAGUUGAAGUCAUUUCAAAAUUACCCUCACCAAAAACAAUUAGAGAAGUCUGUUCUUUUUUAGAACAUGCAGAAUUUUAUAGAAGGUUUAUAAAAGAUUUUAGUGCCUUAUCUAGACCAAUUUGUAACCUCCUAAUAAAAGACACACAAUUUGAAUGGACUAAAGAUUGUCACAAGCUUUUGAAAAGAUAAUUAGUCUUUUGACAUCAGCCCCAAUAAUGCAACCCCCUGAUUGGUCAUUACCUUUUGAGCUAAUGUGUGAUGCUAGUGAUUAUGCUAUUGGCGCUAUUCUGGGUCAAAGAAAGGAAGGUAAGCCCUUUGUCAUCUAUUAUGCAAGUAGAACUUUGAAUACUGCUCAAAUGCUAAUAUUGUUAAUUAUCUUACAACAUGUGAAAUGCCAUGUGACUGGAGUUCCCAAGACAAGAAGAAAUUCUUAACAGAAGUGAAAAGCUUUUACUGGGAUGAACCAUACCUGUUCAAGUACUACUCCGAUCAAAUUUUUUGAAGAUGCAUACCAGACGACGAGGUAAGUAGGGUCAUUCAAUUUUGCAUUCUGAAGCAUGCGGUGGCCAUUUUUCUUCAAAAAAGACAGCUGCAAAAAUAUUACAGUGUGGAUUUUAUUGGCCUACAUUAUUUAAAGAUUCACAUACAUUCUGUAAAAUGUGUAAGAAUUGUCAAAUGAUAGGGUCUGUUUCAAAGCGGAACAUGAUGCCUUUAAACCUCAUCCUUGUCAUUGAAAUAUUUGAUUGUUGGGGAAUUGAUUUUAUGGGCCAUUUUCCAUCAUCAUUUGGAUUUGUAUACAUUUUGGUUACUGUUGAUUAUGUUUUAAAAUGGAUCGAGGCGAUUCCUUGUCGGAACAAUGAUCACAAGAUUGUGAUCCGCUUUUUAAAUGAAAAUAUUUUGAGCAGAUUUGGAAUAUCUCAAGCUAUUAUUAGUGAUGGAGGUAAGCAUUUUUGUAAUAAGUCAUUUGAGUCUUUAAUGAAGAAAUAUGGAAUUACACAUAAGGUUGCUACCCCUUAUUGUUGAGUGUUAAAAAAUGCAUAUUUAUAAAGGAGAAAACCGUUAUUUUACAUUUCAAGUCUUACUAACAACCUUUACUUUUAUAUAUUUAACCUUCUUGUGAUUUAAUUACAUGUGUUUUAUUUUAAUUAAGUAUUUUAUGUAUUUUAGGGGCAUUAUAGUGAUUUCACAACAAAGGAGAGAUCAGACGGCAAAACAGACAUCACUUUUGAACUCAGAACGGUCGAAAGCCUUAGGAGGAGCAUAAAAAGAAAAAUGACACUAUUCACAUGUACGAUACUAUUCACGUGUACGGUACUGUAUACGUUACUGUUCACAUAGAUGGACCGAUGACGUGGCAUUGACCGAUGAUGUGGCAUUGACUGAUGAGGUGUCACGAUCCUGUUGGACUAAAAUUCUUAUGUAUUGUUGAUGGUGACGUGGCAGCAUAUCAGUGGACGAAAAAUCUCGCGUACGGUACAUGCAUCACACAGGAUUAUUUUCAACCAAACUGCGUUACUGUUCAACCCGGGUCAAAUCGUGUUACUGUUCAUCCGCGUGGUCAAACCACGUACUGUUGACUGAUGACGUGGCGCAAUCCUGAGCGUCCAAAGUGUUUUUAAUCCGAUGGCCAUGAUUUACUCCAUGUAUCUAUAAAAAGGGGGCCUCCCCCCUAUUUUGAUAUCUCUGAAUUCAUUUUUGGGAUCUAUUUUCUGUAAUUCCUUCUCCAUCUUGUAUUUUCUUCGUAUUUUAAUAAAUUUUCAUUUUGCCCCUAGUUUAAUUAUGAAUGGCUAAUUUGCUUUCAAACUUGGGUUAAAGGUGAAGUCUCAACAUGUGUCAUGGGCUUUAUUUGUUAAAUUUUUUUCUCUUCCCCUCUAGUUUUUGUGGAUGUUUUGACUUCUCGUCGACAAAUAAUACUAAUCUUGUCUAGUACCGCCUUGGUUUCACCGGCCCUCUAGUACAAGGUUAUUAUUAUUUGGCACGAUAAGCCCUUAGCACCAUAUUGAUUAGAGUGUGGUUCAUGAGGUGUGGAUUCCCCCCUCAUGAUUUAAUUGGCAUUAAUACGGAUUAUUUAGCCCAUGAUGCAUGUUGAUACGGAUCCAGAUACCCAAGUACGUCAUUUCAAUAGAUUUCGCUUCAAUUUAUUCUCGCCAUUACAAUUCCAAUUUUAGAAUUUAUUAUCGCCAUCUCAAUUCCAAUUUUAGGAUAAUUUAAAUCACUUCCACCACAAUUUCAACCACCCAUUUACAAAAUUAAUUCUACAUAUAAUUAAAAUCCACCUCUUCGUGGGAUCGACAUUCUUUACCAUUGAUCUAUACUACAAUAGAUUCGUGCGCUUGCGAGUACAUUAAAAUUUGCACAACAAGUUUUUGGCGCCGUUGCCGGGGAGGUAAGUAAUUUUUAGAAUUAAUUUUUGUGAAUAAUUUCUUUUAUUUGUUUUCUUGUAUUUUUUUAUUAUUAAAAAAAGAAAAAAAAGUGAAUCUACAUUUAAAGGUUAGUAUUUCUUUCCUUUUUCUCUUCUUUAAAAUUCUGUAAUUUAAUUUUCAAUUUAUUUUUCUUUGUAAUUUUUUUGUUUAUUUUAUUAAUUUAAUUUUUAGUUAAUUUAUUUCACGUAUUUAUUUUUGUGUAUUUUUAUAGAAAGGUUGUAAUAGCGCAAUAAGGUUAGUAUCGUAAUUUCUCACUCUUCUUUAUUUUUAUUUGUUUUGUUCCCAUCUUUAUUUUUAUUUUAUUUGUUUUGCAUGCAUGAUCGUAGGUCAUUAUUACCUAAUCUUGAACCUAUAGACCUUGAAUUAGAGAAAACACUUCGCACACACAAACAAAUUAAAAAUAAAAUGGAUUUGCAACCACAGGAGAGGCCAUUUAAGGAUUAUUUCAAUCCCUUAGCUAAUUUAAACACAUCAUGUAUAAGAUACCCAAAUGUAGCUGCUAGGAGUUUUGAAUUAAAACCUAGUGUGCUAAAUUGUCUCCCAACAUUCUAUGGCCUAGAAAAUGAGGACCCAUAUAAUCAUCUGAAUGAUUUUCAUGCCAUUUGUCAAACUUUUAAAUAUGAAAAUUUUUCAGACGAUGAUGUUAAACUCAGAUUAUUCCCAUUUUCUUUAAAGGAUAGAGCUCGUUCAUGGUUAAAUACUUUACCUGCUAAUAGCAUCUCAUAAUGGGAACAAAUGGUAAUGAAAUUUUUGAAUAAAUAUUUCCCAGUGCAUAAAACCAAUGCUAUUCGCAGGGAAAUCUCAGAGUUUACUCAGAGAGAUGACGAGCAGUUUUUCGAAACGUGGGAGCGAUUCAAUGGACUACUCUUGAAGUGUCCACAUUAUGGGUACGAGAAAUAGCACCAAUGCCAAUACUUUUUUGAGGGAUUAUUGCCGAAUGUGCAAGAAUGGCUAAUGGCAACAAGUGGAGGAGAGCUAAUGUCAAAAAGUGCAUCAGAGAUUUGGGAAUUCUUCCAGCGACAAGCGGAUAAUUCCCAACAACGGAGUCGAUCGCUCAGGAAUACUAGAAGAAUUAAGGGAGUAAAUGAGGUUCACAUUGGCGAAUCCAGUUCAGAAAUUAAAGAAGUCAAGGAGAUGGUUGAAGGUCUUGCUUGACAAAGAGCAUCGUUAUCGACUGCUAAAUCAACAGAACCACAUGACCAUGACUCAUACUCAGAUCAAGCCAAUGCCAUAGGUGUAAUGAGAAAGCCAUCAAAUUACAACCCAUACUCCAACACAUAUAACCCUGGAUGGAGAGACCACCCCAAUUUUUCAUGGUCUCAAGGAUUCUAACAGAAUGGACCAGCAGCUCCAGCUCCACCAAUGCAAUAAAUUUCUCAAAAUCCUCAAGCCUCUCAGCCCCCAUUUAGACCAUACAAUUAGAACCAGAACUACUCUCAACCCAGACCAUGGGAGGAUUCAUUCUAGAAUCUCAAGAAUCUUACUCACUCCACGAUUGAGCAACAGAACCGCACCAUUGAUGGACUACGAAAUGAGUUGAGAGCAGGCUUCAAUUCACAAGCUCAAUCAGUCUCAAGCCUCGAGAAGAUGGUGGGACAACUUGCUUCUUCAGUUCAGACAUUGGUAAUGACUGUUGAAAAAGGCAAGUUUCCAAGUCAACCAGUGCCUAAUCCUAAAGGAGUACAUGAAGCAAGUACUAGUUCACUACAGCAGCAUGGAGAUGUUAAAGUAGUCAUGACCUUGCGAAAAGGAAAAGAAGUCGACAACAAAGUGGAGAUGCCGGUGAAAAAAGAAAAUCAAAUUGUACCUGUAAAUGUUGACGACUCAUCACCGGAGGAGAAAGAAGAAACCAACCCACGAGAAUACAUUUCGAAAGCUCUAUUUCCUCAGAGGUUAGCGAAAGGAAAGAAGGAAAAAUCCACAGGUGAGAUUCUCGAAAUCUUCAAACAGGUAAGUGUUAACAUCCCUUUACUUGAUGCUAUAAAGCAAUUUCCAUCUUAUGCCAAGUUUCUUAAAGACCUUUGUACUAAAAAGAGAAAUAUUCAUGUUCAAAAGAAGGCAUUUUUAACAGAAAACAUUAGUUCUAUACUCCAACACAAAAUUCCUCUAAAAUGCAAAGACCCAGGCUCCCCCACUAUUUCAUGUAGCAUAGGGAACCACACAAUUGAGAAUGCUUUGUUGGAUUUAGGAGCUAGUGUAAAUUUGUUGCCUUAUUCAGUAUUUGUGAAACUUGGACUGGGAGAAUUACACCCAACUCCAGUGAUGUUACAGCUUGCAGAUCGGUCCACGAAAAUACCUCGUGGCAUUGUGGAGGACGUGCUUAUCCAGGUAGACAAGUUUUAUUUUCCUGUUGAUUUCAUUGUAAUUGACACUCAACCAAUACAGGAUUCAAGAAAGCACAUCCCCAUUAUUCUAGGCUGACCUUUCUUGGCAACUGCGGAUGCUCAUAUUCAAUGCAGGACUGAAAAUAUGCAGUUGUCCUUCGACAACAUGACUAUGGAGCUGAACAUCUUCAACAUUGUCAAACAACCUCACAAUGCAGGUGAUAGAAUUGUUGAUGUGGAUUUAAUAGAAGCAUUAGUUGAUAAUACUUUUGUUUCAAACCUUAGUGAUGAUCAUUUACAAACAUGUUUAACUCACUUUGGUUUGGAUUUUGAUAUUGACAGAUCGGUCGAUGAGGUCAAAGCCCUACUUGACUAAGCACCAUCUAUGGACACUAAUACAUGGAAGUCAAGAGUUGAAAAACUAGCACCAUCAGAGAAGAAACUCAUCCCAUCAUCAAAAUCACCACCAAAACUCGAGCUCAAACCAUUGCCCAACACUUUGGAGUAUGCAUUUUUGGGAGAAGAAAGUACUCUGCCGGUAAUCAUCUCAUCAUCCCUAAAUGACGAACAAAAAGGUAAGUUGUUGGAUGUUUUAAAAGAGCACAAAUGAGCAUUAGGAUGGACCAUAGCAGACAUAAAAGGUAUAAACCCAAUAGACUGCAUGCAUUACAUUCACCUUGAUGAAAAUGCUAAAUCUACUAGGGAAAUGCAUGUCGGUUAAAUCUUAAUAUGAAAGAAGUUGUUAGAACAGAAGUCCUUAAGCUAUUAGAUGCAGGUAUCAUUUACCCAAUUUCUGAUAGUUCAUGGGUCAGUCCUGUAUAAGUUGUCCCCAAAAAGUCAGAAGUCACAGUAGUUACCAAUGCUGAUAAUGAAUUGAUACCAACUAGAGUGACUACAGGAUGGCGUGUAUGCAUUGAUUAUAGAAAGUUGAAUUCUGUCACACAUAAAGACCAUUUUCCUUUACCAUUUAUCGAUCAAAUGCUUGAUAGAUUAGUAGGCCAUGAAUUUUAUUGCUUUCUAGAUGGCUACUCAAGAUACAAUCAGAUCCCCAUAGCACCAAAAGAUCAAGAGAAAACUACUUUCACUUGCCCUUUUGGCACAUUUGCAUAUAGGAGAAUGCCAUUUGGAUUAUGUAAUGCACCUGCUACAUUUCAAUGAUGCAUGUUGAGUAUUUUUUCUGAUAUGGUUGAACGAUUCCUUGAAGUCUUUAUGGAUGAUUUUUCUGUCUUUGGUGACUCGUUUGAUCAAUGCUUACAUCAUCUAACACUAGUUCUGCAGAGAUGUAUCGAGAAGAACUUGGUCUUAAAUUAGGAGAAAUGUCAUUUCAUGGUAAAACAAGGUAUUGUUCUCGGUCACAUCAUUUCGAGCAAAGGGAUUGAGGUUGACAAAGCCAAGGUGGAUCUCAUUUCUAAUCUUCCUCCACUCAAAACAGUCAGAGAAGUAAGAUAUUUCCUUGGGCAUGCUAGGUUUUAUAGACGUUUCAUUAAAGAUUUUAGCAAAGUUUCUAGACCCUUAUGCAAUUUACUUGCUAAGGAUGUACCUUUUAUCUUUGAUGAUUCAUGUCUUGUGGCAUUUGAAAAACUAAAGCAAUUGUUAACAUUAUCACCCAUCAUUCAGCCCCCAAACUGGAGCUUACCAUUUGAAUUCAUGUGCGAUGCAUCUGAUUAUGCAGUAGGAGCAGUAUUAGGACAAAGAGUUGAUCGAAUUCCCCAUGUUAUUUAUUAUGCUAGUAUGACAUUAAAUGAUGCACAGUUGAACUAUUCAACCAUUGAAAAAGAAAUGCUAGCAGUAGUGUUUGCAUUAGAGAAAUUUUGAUCUUAUCUCAUUGGUUGUAAAAUAAUUAUAUUCACAGAUCAUGCUGCUCUUAAAUAUCUUUUCACAAAGAAAGAUGCAAAAGCCAGACUAAUUCGUUGGGUGUUACUUUUGCAGGAGUUCGACUUGGAAUUCAAAGAUAAGAAAGGCACAGAAAAUGUCGUGGCGGACCACCUCUCUCGUCUCCAUUUUGACACAAUUACAGAAUCAUUACCAUUGAAUGAGUCAUUUCUAGAUGAACAAUUAAUGAGUGUGGAAGUAUUACCAUGGUAUGCUGAUAUCGUUAAUUAUCUUGUUACAGGUCAACUUCCAGAGCAUUGGACCAAGCAAGACAAGGCUAAAUUCUUUGGGGAAAUAAAGAAUUUUUUUUGGGAUGACCCGUAUUUGUUCAAGUAUUGUACAGACCAAAUUGUUAGACGAUGUGUCCCAGAAAGUGAAAUUCAAAAUAUCCUUUCAUUCUACCAUGAACAAGCUUGUGGAGGCCAUUUCAACGCAAAGAAAACAGCAACUAAAGUUUUACAAUAUGGUUUCUAUUGGCCAACUAUAUUUCAAGAUGCUUACACUUUCUAUUCUCCAUGUGAUAGGUGUCAACGAAUGGGGAGCAUUACACAAAGGAACAUGAUGCCAUUAAAUCCAAUUUUAGUGGUUGAAAUUUUUGACGUAUGUGGUAUCGACUUCAUGGGACCCUUUCCCCCAUCUUUUGGCCAUCAAUGCAUAUUGGUUGCUGUUGACUACGUAUCAAAAUGGGUAGAAGCAAUUCAAUGUAGGACCAAUGAUCACAAGGUGGUGAUAGCAUUUUUGAAAAGCAACAUUGUUUCACGCUUUGGAUUCCCUCGAGCAAUAAUCAGUGAUGGUGGUGCCCACUUUUGUAACAAAGCAUUCAAGACUCUUUUGACAAAGUAUUCAAUCACACACAAAGUGGUGACCCCAUAUCAUCUGCAAACCAGUAGCCAAGUUGAAAUCUCCAAUCGAGAAAUAAAGCACAUAUUAGAAAAGACGGUGAGGCCAGACAGAAAAGAUUGGUCAUUAAGACUUGAUGAUGCAAUAUGGGCAUAUAGAACGGCUUUCAAGACCCCGAUUGGGAUGUCACUCUACAGGCUAGUGUAUGGAAAAGCUUACCACCUACCUGUGGAACUCGAGCAUCGUGUAUAUUGGGCUAUCAAGAAAUUCAACUUUGAGAUGCAGCAAGCCAGCUCAGAAAGAAGAUUACAACUGGCAGAACUUGAAGAAAUUCGUAAUGAUGCAUACGAAAAUGCCAAGAUUUACAAGCAACGAAUGAAAGUCUUUCACGACAAGCAAAUUAUGAGAAAAUCUUUCACUCCAGGUCAGAAAGUGCUUUUAUUCAAUUCUCGCUUGCACCUAUUCUCAGGUAAGUUAUGCUCUCGAUGAUCUGGUCCCUUUAUUGUUCAUACUGUUUUUCCACAUGGGACAAUUGAAAUUAAGGACCCAAAGAACGGUGUCACGUUUAAAGUUAAUGGUCAAAGAUUAAAGCCAUAUGUAGAGUACCAACCACAUGGAGAAGACACCGAAAUAAAUUUGAGUGACCCACCAGAUUUGAAUUGAUUUUUUUUUGGGGAUUUGAUUUUUUUUUCUUUCUUUAUAUUAUUCUUUUGCUAAUUGAAAUUAUUUUUGCAUAAGUGUGUUCGUUUAACUAUUAAGUUUUCUCUUAUCAUUUUUAAUCAUGAGUACCUUACUUAGACCGUUCCUCCUGAACAUUCUUAAACCACUUCAACGUGUCAAAACUCAUCUCAAAAGGCAGAUUCAAUUUUGUAAAACACAUCGCAUUUGGGCUCUACAGCCACCAGAGUUAGUAGUCUAUGUUGAGGGUUUAGAAAGCCAACUCAGAGACAUUGAGAGAAGUGUUUACGACAUCCAGUUGGAGCUUGAGGUAAAUUCAAUAAGAGGACGAUUUUAAUUUUCUUUGUGUGUUUUAAUUUAUUUUUCUAUUUGUGUGCUUUAGUUUGUUACCCCGGUGAAGUGGCGGAUAACGGUACUCCGUGACAAUCAAGUCGGUUACUUCAGUUUCCCAUAAUAACUGAUAUUCUGAGGCAAAAGUAUGGACAGAAACGAGAUUAUAGCGAAGCUUCACAAGCGAUUCCCUUCACUUCCUCAGAAUGCCCUCCUUACGAUCUAUAAAGCUCGGUCCGAACGCAUGCGAUUACUCAUGAGGAAUAACAUACCUACUGACAUCCGUUAGUUAAUCGAGGCUAAAGUACGAUCGGCAGGUGAGUUACCUCCAAAAUUUAUUGCAUACAUGCCUGGUUAUGGUAAAGGAAAUUAUGCAAGAAAACGACGAGCUCGAAGAAUUUCUGUUGCUUGUCAUAAGUGUGCCAGAAUGAGUUGCAAUAAAAACUCAUGUUCUUUAAGAAUGGUGUCUGAUAACAGGGAAGAUAAGAUUCAAUUCAUUAGGGAUGGCUUGAAUAAGGAGUCAUUGGAUGAUAUCCUUUUGUCUCUUGAAACGCAUCCCAGUGGAUAUGUGCAAGGAGCGAUUCUCCAAUUAUGGCCAUUAUUCCAGAAAGAACAUGCACGAUAUAGUCUCGGGAAUCUGACUAUAAACGACCAUGUUUGCCAGUUUAUAAGAAAACUGGAUAGGAAGCCUAUCCUCGACCCAUAGAGGGCGUUCAAGCCGUUUCUAGACAUAAAACCAGAGGAAGAUGUGAGCCACAGUCGCAACUACCUGUAAAUAUCCUUUCACUUUACUGUUAUUUUAUUUCACUAUUAUUUUAUUGUGUAUAUUAUUGUCUUUAAUAAUUUUAUUACUGUUUGCUUUUUCCUUAUUACUGUUUACUUUUUCCUUUUUACUGUUUCCUUUUUGACUCGCAAGCCACGUGCUUUACGCGUUAUUUGACACUGACAUGUUACCUCAUACACAACUGUGACCCACUGUCACCAAGACUCUUAAAUGUGAUUUUUCUUGUCAAGCACUCACAAAUUAUUUUUGAGAAAUAUUCCAAUGGCAGCUACUCCCAAUAGACAAUUCAAGAACAUUUGUGUGCUUUCUGGAUUUACCUAUGACAAACAUAAAGAGUUCGUUGAGGUAGCCAUCGAUCUUGGUCGAAGUAUAGCAGAGAGAAAAUUACACUUGGUGUAUGGAGAAGGUAACCAAGGGUUAUCAAAAAUGGUCUCUGAAGCAGCUUUUGUCAGAGGAAGUCAAGUGUUAGGCAUCAUCCUAAGAGUCAUAAAACCAUUGGCCAGUUCAUCUGACUCAUCAACUGGAGAAGAGUUAGUCGUCUCAGGUAUGCAAGAAAGAAUAACUGAAAUGCUUAAUCAUUCUGAUGCUUUUAUUUUCCUUCCAGGAGAUCUUGCAACACUAGAGGCACUUAUCACACUAGCAUAUUGGGCCCAUCAGCACAUUCACCAUAAACCCAUCGGUUUGUUAAAUGUCAAUAACUUUUAUGAUGGCUUUAUUGCAUUUCUUAACCAUGCAAUAAAAAACUAUUUCAUUCCUUCUAAUGUGAAAAAAACUUUUUAUUUGUGCUCACACUGCUAAUGAGCUACUUGAUCUGUUACAAGCUUAUAAACCGGAGCCAGACCCCUAGACCUUUGUGUUGGAGCAUACAAAUAAUGAUGGUAACAGUAGCCGCAGUAAGAAGUACAAAUUAGAUUUAACUCUCCGCUUGUAAAUAUUAUUUUCUGUGUUGCACCAUCCAGGUGAUGUCUUCUAAACUCUACUUCUUUCCUUUCAAACAUUGAGGACAAUGUUUCGUUCUGGUUGGGGGGAGGGAAUAGUCGACAAUUGUGGAAUUUUGGUUAAGUUUUUACUAAUUUUUUGUUGUAGAAACUAACUGUUGCUAACUUUUUGUGUUGAAGAUGGCUGAAUAUAGAGUAUAGUGACUCUAGAAACGCAUCUUCAUCGUUUAAAAAAAAAUUAAAAAAACUAAAAAAAAAUUCAGACAUUUUCUUUUUCUUUAUUCUGUUUUUAUGUUUAUUUUUCUUCUUUUUAAUUUCUCCUCUAUAAAUAUACAUUUUCCAACUUGUGAGUCGAAGAUGGCUGAAUAUGGAGUGUAGUGCCUCUAGAAACGCAUCUUCUUAAAAAAAAAAAAUCAUUUUCGUUUUCUAUCAUUUUACGUGUAACUUUUCUAAUUAGUUUUUAUGCAUCAUUUUCACAUUUCUGCAUGCAUAUUUUUCUUUCAUGUUUAGAAUAGGUUGGGGGGUAGAAUGUUGUUUAAAAAAAAAUUGUGUGAUUUGUUUUAACAUUGGAUGACAUGAUUAAUUUCAAAUUUUAGUAUUUGUAUUAUCUUUGGUCUUAAGUGAUGUUACGCUAUGUUUGCUACUUUACAUGUUGAUGUCGGAGACAAAUAUGAGUUGCUUGAAGGAAUAAAUAUGUCAUAAAUAAGUGCCAAGUGAGUUGUUGAGCCUAUCAUUUUCUUGGAGAGUAACCCUUUUGCCUAUUCUCUAUACAGCUUAGCAGUUUAUUAUUUUAUACACGAUCUCUAGAUUUCUUUUGAGUUAACCCUUAAAAAAAUGGUAAAAUGAAAAAAAGAAAAAAAAUGUGUGUCGCUACAUUGGGAGGCCCGUCUAACUAGUAGAUAUGGAUAAUUAUUUAGAGCCCUAAAAGACGAUGGAAAGGCCAUCUUUGAUCCGUUUAAGCCUUUCUAGCCAUCCCUUUUAUUAAAUAUCCAUAGUUAACCCUUUUGAGCCUUUAAAAAAAAAUAUUUUCUUUGUCAACUUAUCAUCUUGACCCACUCCGAUUUGGAGUAUUACCCGAUGUCUUAUAAGUUCCAUCACUUAUUUAUGUUUGAGAAAAUGUAAAUAAUUAUGUUGUUCAGUGAAGUUAUGCCAAAUAAAAGCAAAAAAAAAAACAACAAAAGUUGUUGUUUCAAAAGAAUAAAAAUAACAAUAAUAGGUGAAAUCCACCUUGCAACUUCCAAAAAAAUAAAAAAUAAAAAAAUUUCUCUGCAUUUUUCUCAAACAUACACUUUGUUUUCCUUAUUUCCUUUCUUUGUUAGCCAUAUCCCUAGUCUACGUUACGUCCUAAUAAAAGUCCUUCUUGAUUUUAGGGAACUAUAGUUUGAAGUAGAAGCUAGUUAUAUGAGCUAAAAAGAUGUAAUGGUGCAUAAUAAAAAUAAAUAAAUAAAUAAAAGAAAAAAAAAAGAUAAAUAAAUUGGGUUGACUAGCAUUUUUAUUUGACUUGAGAUCGUAUUAUUUCUAAGCUGAGGGCAUAUUUAUUUCAUCUUGGUGAGAGCAUGUGAUAUCAUUUCUUUAUUAUUUUCUCUCUCAAUUACCAUUCAUUGAAGUGACUAUUUUUAUUGGUUUUAAUUUUUUUGUGAGAGUUCACUACUUCUAGUAAGAUUCUGGAGUUUCACAUGUCAUUCUUGAAAGUAGAUAUAACAAAGUCUACUGGGCUGAUUCAUGUGGAUGGUUGAUGUGGGUGUGAUGUUGCUUUAGACUGGAGAUAAUGCUUAUACUUUUAUUUGAUUGCUAUCAUUAAUCUGAUGGAAUAAAUACGAGUGUUUUUAUUAAAAAAAAUUAUUUUGAAUUUGAAUUUUGUUUUCGCUUUAUUUGUUAGGGACUAACAAUAAGCUGGUGGAGGGUUGUGUUGAGUGUUAGAAAAUGCAUAUUUAUAAAGGAGAAAACCGUCAUUUUACAUUUUAAGUCUUACUAACAACCUUUACUUUUAUGUAUUUAACCUUGUGAUUUAAUUACAUGUGUUUUAUUUUAAUUAAGUAUUUUAUGUAUUUUAAGGGCAUUAUAGUCAUUUCACAAUAAAGGAGAGAUCAGACGGUAAAACAGACAUCACUUUUGAACUCAGGACGGUCGAAAACCUUAGGAGGAGUAUAAAAAGAAAAAUGACACUAUUCACAUGUACGGUACUAUUCACGUAUACGGUACUGUAUACGUUACUGUUCACGACACUGUUCACAUAGACGGACCGAUUACGUGGCAUUGACCGAUGAUGUGGCAUUAACUGAUGAGGUGUCACGAUCCUGUUGGACUAAAAUUCUUAUGUAUUGUUGAUGGUGACAUGGCAACAUAUCAGUGGACGAAAAAUCUCGCGUACGGUACAUGCAUCACAUAGGAUUAUUUUCAACCAAACCGCGUUACUGUUCAACCCGGGUCAAACCGUGUUACUGUUCAUCCGCGUCAAACCGCAUACUGUUGACUGAUGACGUGGCGCAAUCCUGAGCGUCCAAACUGUUUUUAAUCCGAUGGCCAUGAUUUACUCCAUGUAUCUAUAAAAAGGGGGCCUCCCCCCCCUAUUUUGAUAUCUCUGAAUCCAUUUUUGGGAUCCAUUUUCUGUAAUUCCUUCUCCAUCUUGUAUUUUCUACAUAUUUUAAUAAAUUCUUAUUUUACCCCUAGUUCAAUUAUGAGUGGCUAAUUUUCUUUCAAACUUGGAUUGAAGGUGAGGUCUCAACAUGUGUCAUGGGCUUUAUUUGGUAAAUUUAUUUUCUCUUCCCCUCUAGUUUUUGUGGAUGUUUUGACUUCUCGUCGACAAAUAAUAUUAAUCUUGUCUAGUACCGCCUUGGUUUCACCGGCCCUCUAGUACAAGGUUAUUAUUAUUUGGCACGAUAAGCCCUUAGCACCAUAUUGAUUAGAGCGUGGUUCAUGAGGUGUGCAUUCCCCCCUCAUGAUUUAAUUGGCAUUAAUACGGAUUAUUUAGCCCAUGAUGCAUGUUGAUACGGAUCCAGAUACCCAAGUACCUCAUUUCAAUAGAUUUCGCUUCAAUUUAUUCUCGCCAUUGCAAUUCCAAUUUUAGAAUUUAUUAUCGCCAUCUCAAUUCCAAUUUUAGGAUAAUUUAAAUCACUUCCACCACAAUUUCAACCACCCAUUUACAAAAUUAAUUCUACAUAUAAUUAAAAUCCACCUCCUCGUGGGAUCGACACUCGUCACCAUUGAUCUAUACUACAAUAGAUUCGUGCGCUUGCGAGUACAUUAAAAUUUACACAACACUUAUCACCCUCAAACAAGUGGUCAAGUUGAAUUAGCAAAUAGGGAGAUAAAACAAAUUUUAGAAAAGACAAUUAAUCCAAUCCGUAAAGAUUGGUCUCUUCGACUAAUUGAUGCACUUUGGGCAUAUCGUACUGCUUUUAAAACAUCUUUAGAAAUGUCACCCUAUCGGCUUGUUUAUGGAAAAUCUUGCCACUUACCAAUAGAACUUGAACAUAAAUCAUUUUGGGCCAUUAAAGCUUUUAAUUCAAAUCUUAAUGAUGCUGGCAAUGUGCGUAAAUUGUAAAUAAAUGAACUUGAGGAAUUAAGGAAUGAUGUAUAUGAUAAUUCCAGAAUUAUUAAGGCAAGAACCAAAUUUUUUCAUGACAAAAGAAUUUUUUGGAAAACAUUUGAAAUUGGUCAAAAAGUGUUGCUAUAUAAUUCUCGUCUUCAUUUAUUUCCAGGGAAGUUAAAGUCAAAGUGGAAUGGUCCAUUUGUUGUAAAAAAUGUGUAUCCAUAUGGAGCCGUAGAAAUUGAGAAUCCAAAGGAUGGUGUCACAUUUAAAGUUAAUGGCUAAAGAUUGAAACCAUAUUUGGAAUACCAACCACAUGAAGCAGAUACCGAAAUCCAUUUGAGUGACCCACCAAACUUUUGAUUAAGCUUUUUCAUUUUAACGAACGUUUUGUGAAUUUGAUUUAUUGUUACUUUAUCGUUUGAAUUUUUUGAUUUCUUUUUCUUUUUCCUUUUCCCUAUGUCUUGAAUGAGUGCAUUGCAUUGUUUUAAUUAUGUGUUGUUUGACAAUUGUGAUUUAGUUUACCAAAUUUUUAUACUUGUUAUGAGUACCUCCAUGAGAAAUUUCCUUUUCGAUCAUCUUAAAACUCUUUUUCAUGUAAAAUUUCACCUGACGAAAUUGUUCUGAUUUUGUAAAUUACAUCUCAUUUGGGAUCUGCAACCACCAAAGUUAGUAUCUCACGUUAAAGAUCUAGAAAGACAACUCAAGGAAAUAGAGGAUGGUAUUUAUAAUCUACAAUUAGAACUGGAUUCAAUAAAAGGACGAAGGUGAGUUAUAUUCCUUGUGUGUUUUUGUUUUAUUUUGUUGUUCUUUUUCACUUUUGAUUUGAUUCAUUUUGUUUUGAUUCACUCUCCCGUAUAAAUGGCGGAUAACGGUACUCCAUGACUUUUUAAAUCGGUAUUCUCAGUUUCCCAUAAUAACUGAAACCUCAAUGUCAAGCAUGGAAGCAAUAUAACAAAAUUUGCAUCAACAUUUUCCUUCUCUCCCUCAAAAUGCUCUUAAGAAGAUUUACAAUGCUCGUUGUGAACGACUGCAUUUGUUAAUGAUCAAUGAGAUUCCUGCUGACAUUCGCUGGUUAAUUGAAGCAAAGGUCUGAUUGGCAGGUGAGUUUUCUGAUCCAUUCAUUUCCUACAUGCCUGGUUUUGGUAAAAGUACAUUUGCUAAGAAAAUAAGAGUUAAGCGACUUAGCUCUGAAUGUUCUCACUGUGUAAGACUUGCUUGCAAAAAUCCACAUUGUAAAGUUUUAGGAAUGGUUUCUGUAAAUCGUGAAGAUAAAAUCAAAUUCGUUACGGAUGGCAUGAGUAAAGAAUCGUUGGAUGAUAUCUUAUGAUCUCUUAAGACGCAUCCGAGCAGAUAUGUUCAACGUGAAAUUCAAAAUUUGUGGAAGCUGUUUCAAAAGGAAAGUGCAUAAUUUAGUCUUGGGAAUUUGACUCUAAAAGACCUUGUUUGCCAGUUUAUAAGAAAACUGGAUAGGAAGCUGUUGUGCAAAUUUUAAUGUAUUCGCAAGCGCACGAAUCUAUUGUAGUAUAGACUAAUGGUGACGAGUGUCGAUCCCACGAGGAGGUGGAUUUUAAUUAUGUAAAAUUAAUUUUGUGAAUUGAUGAUUGGAUCUGUGGUGGAAAUGAUUUGGAAUAUGCUAAAACUUAAAUUAAAAUGGUGAUAAUAAAUUCUAAAAUUGGACUUGCAAUGGCGAGAAUAAAUUGAAGAGAAAUCUAUUGAAAUGACGUACUUGGGUAUUUGGAUCCGUAUCAACAUGCAUCAUGGGCUAAAUAAUCCUUAUUAAUGCCAAUUAAAUCAUGAGGGGGGAAUCCACACCUCAUGAACCACGCUCUAAUCAAUAUGGUGCUAAGGGCUUAUCGUGCCAAAUAAUAAUAACCUUGUACUAGAGGGCUGGUGAAACUAAGGCAGUACUAGACAAGAUUAGUAUUAUUUGUCGACGAGAAGUCAAAACAUCCACAAAAACUAGAGGGGAAGAGAAAAUAAAUUUACCAAAUUAAGCCCAUGACACAUGUUGAGACUUCACCUUUAACCCAAGCUUGAAAGAAAAUUAGCCACUCAUAAUUGAACUAGGGGCAAAAUGGGAAUUUAUUAAAAUACGAAGAAAAUACAAGAUGGAGAGGGAAUUACAGAAAAUGGAUCCCAAAAAUGGAUUCAGAGAUAUCAAAUUAGGGGGGGAGGCCCCCUUUUUAUAGAUACAUGGAGUAAAUCAUGGCCAUCGGAUUAAAAACAGUUUGGACGCUCAGGAUUGCGCCACGUCAUCAGUCAACAGUCCACGGUUUGACCACGCGGAUGAACAGUAACACGGUUUGACCCGGAUGAACAGUAACGCGGUUUGGUUGAAAAUAAUCCUGUGUGAUGCAUGCACCGUACGUGAGAUUUUUCGUCCACUGAUAUGCUGCCACGUCACCAUCAACAGUACAUAAGAAUUUUAGCCCAACAGGAUCAUGACACCUCAUCAGUCAAUGCCACAUCAUCGGUCAAUGCCACGUCAUCAUCCGUCUAUGUGAACAGUGUCGUGAACAGUAACGUAUACAGUACCGUACACGUGAAUACUACCGUACAUGUGAAUAGUGUCAUUUUUCCUUUUAUGCUCCUCUUAAGGUUUUUGACCGUCCUGAGUUCAAAAGUGAUGUCCGUUUUUCCGUCUGAUUUCUCCUUUAUUGUGAAAUGACUAUAAUGCCCCUAAAAUACAUAAAAUACUUAAUUAAAAUAAAACACAUGUAAUUAAAUCACAAGAAGGUUAAAUAAAUAAAAGUAAGGGUUGUUAAUAAGACUUGAAAUAUAAAAUGACGGUUUUCUCCUUUAUAAAUAUGCAUUUUCUAACACUCAACACACCCCCCAACCAGCUUAUUGGUAGUCCCUAGCAAAUGAAGCGAAAAUAAAAUUCAAAUUCAAAAUGAGUUUUUUUUUAAAAAUUUAGAAACACUCGUGUUUAUUCAAUCAGAUUAAUGAUAGCAAUCAAAUAAAAGUAUAAGCAUUAUCUCCAGUCUAAAGUAACAUCACACCCACAUCAACCAUCCACAUGAAUCAACCCAGUAGACUUUGUUAUAGCUACUUUCAAGAAUGACAUGUCAAACCCCAAAAUCUCACUGGAAGUAGUGACACUCUCACAAAGAAAUUAAACCCAAUAAAAAUAGUCACUCCAAUGAAUGGUAAUUGAGCGAAAAUAAUGAAGAAGUGAUAUCACAUGCUCUCACCAAGAUGAAAUAAAUAUGCCCUCAGCUUAAAAAUAAUACGAUCUCAAGUCAAAUAAAAACUGUUAGUCAACCCAAUUUAUUUAUUAUUAUUUUUUAUUAUUAUUAUGCAUCACUACAUUUUUUUAGCCCAUAUAACUAGCUUCUACUUCAGAUUAUAGUUCCCUAAAAUCAGGAAGGACUUUUAUUAGGAUGUAACGUAGGCUAGGGACAUGGUUAACAAAGAAAGGAAAUAAGGAAAACAAAGUGUAUGUUUGAGAAAAAUGCAGAGAAAUUUUUUUUUUUUUUGGAAGUUGCAAGGUGGAUUUCACCUAUUAUUGUUAUUUUUAUUCUUUUGAAACAACAACUUUUGUUUUGUUGUUUUUUUUUUGCUUUCUUUUUUGUAUAACUUCACUGAACAACAUAAUUAUUUACAUUUACAUUUUGUUUUGGGAACUAUAAUAUGAAGUAAAAGCUGGUAAUAUAGACUAAAAGAUGUGGUGAUACAUAAAAAUAAAAAUAAAUUUUGCUAGUAAUUCAUUGGUCUUGAGAUCAUUUUGUUUCUAAGUUGUGGGCAUUAUUUUUUUAUCUUGGUGAGAGCGUGUGAUAUUGUUUUAUUAUUCUCUCAAAUUUACCAUUUUUUUAGAGUGACAAAUUAAUUUGGGGUAUAUCUUCUUUUGAGAGAGUCACUCUUAAUUGUGAGAUUUUAGGGUUUAAUGUAUCAUUCUUAAAAGUGGCUUGAUUAAUAUAGCUCUGAUGAUUGAUCAUUUUACAGGAUUUUGCUGAACUGUUUUGAACGGGUGUGAUUUUUUUUAGGCUGAAGAUAAUGCUUAUACUUUUAUUUGAUUGUUGUCAUUAAUCUGAUGAAGGAAGUAAACACAAUUUUUCAAAAAAAAAAAGAUUUUCAAUUUGGUUUUGAAAUUUUUCUAAAUUUUUAUCGCUUAAAUUGCUAAGGCCUAGCAAUAAGCUGGUUGGGGGGUGUGAUUGACACUAAAAAGUAUACAUUUAAUAAGGAUAAAAUUAUUAGUUUUUCACUUAUUGUGUCGAUUAAUGCGUUCAUUAUUUCUAAAUUAUUUUAAUACUCCCCAAAUAUAUUUUAUGUAAAAUUAAUUCGUAAUUUGUUAAUUUUUAUCUUGUAAAUAUUUUGCAGGAAUAAAGAUGGAAUUGGAAUUGAAAGCGGGAACAAAGAAGAACUACUGGAACAAAAUUGAAGAGAUGUAAUAAUAAAAUAAUAAAUAAAAAAGAAAAAAAAGAACAAAAACAUGUAGGCCUCCUGACCAUCACACAAUUCAAUAUAUAUAUAUAUAUAUAUAUAUAUAUAAAAUAAAAUAAAAUAUUAAUAUUAAUAAAAGAAAAGAAAAGAAAACUAUUCCCUUGCCUAUAAAAGGCAAGGGGAUGCAGGAGAGAGAAUAGAAGUUGGAGCUGAUUUUUCAAAAGCGGAGAGAGCUAAUUUGAGAGCUGAAGUCGAGACUGAAGAUUUUCUUUCUUUCUUUGUUUCUUUUAUUUUUUUGUUUCCGUUUGUAUCAAUUUUCUUUGUAAUAUAUUUCAAAAAGUUUAUCAAAUAAAAAGAGUGUUGUGUUUUCUUUUAAUAUGAGUAGCUAAUUUUAUUAAGCUGAGGUGAAGGGUGAAGCUCAAUGUUUCAAACUAUUAAUUAUUAUUAUUUUCUCAAAUGAGUUUUUUAAUUAUUUUCUAAUUAUUUUUAUAUCAUGUUAUUUUAUAAAUCUCACUGGAUUUUAUGGUAUUUUGACAUAAUGUCGACACAUUAAUAUAGUGUGGCACAUUAGGUACUUUAUUCUAUAUUUAUCCACAUACAUAGAAUUAAAUGAUAUAAUAAUUAAUUGGUAAAAGUGAGGCAAAAUAUAAAUGAGAGAGUAUUAAAAUUAUAGUUUGAAUACAAAGAGUGGAUCCUAAACCUUAUCUUAUUUUUAAAUUGAUUUCAAAUAAUUUCUUUUCCCCACAAUUAAUUUUCUUAGUUUUACUAGAUUUAAAACUCCUUGUGGUUCGACCCUGGUCUCACCGGGUUAUAUUAUAACUAGACACUCUUAUACUUGAGAGUAAUACACUUUUGAAUCGUGUAAAAAAUCAUGGGCUAUAUCACCAGUUUUCUUUUCAAAAUAUUAAAUUCUAUAAAUAUAUUUUGCAAUCCAAAAUAUAUUGGGACUCUAUAAAUAAACACUUAUGCACAACUUAGAUUUCUUAUAUAAACACUUUAGUGAGUAAUAAUUUAAUGAUAAAUUAAUUAAAAAAAUUAUUAAUUAUUAAUUCACCAAGAUAGCAUCACGUUCAUAAUAAAAUUUUUCUUUUUUAUGAAGUAUAGAGAUUGUAUAAUUAGAGAAUAUACUGAUUCUUCAAAUUAUGUGAAACGAUUUUGAUAUGAUCUUAAUUAAGUGAACCAAUCACUUGAUAAUUCUUUAACUAAACGAAAGGCUUACAACAUUGAAUUAGUACAACAAAGAAAAUCGUAAACAUAUUAUAUGUAUUUAAUUUGAAAUUAGUUAAUUAUUAAUUUGUGUCCUAUAGAAAAAUAAGAUUUUUUUUCCAAAGCAUACUUUUUUAUUAAUUUAUCGAACUAUUUAGUUACCACAAUGACCCCCAGAUCAAAAUCAACAAAGAUUAUUAUUUACUCGAAGUUAUUAUUUUAUCAAGUAUUAAUUUAAUAAAAUUCUACCGUGUUUCUUGAACACUUAUAAUUGAGGGCUUGAGCAGUGUGAGACUACAUACCUAGUGCCAUAUAUUUCAUUAUUUCUUUAUUAUGGAUGUAUGAAAAUUUGAAUUGAAUGUGGUACAAUAUUGUAUAUUAUAUUUUUGGAAAAAGACAUUCUUUAAAAGAUUGCACAACACUUUGUAUAAAAUUGUGUGUUUUAAUAAAACAGAAUUGUAAAACAUUCAUAAAAUUUUAAAGAUUAAUCAUUUACAUCCCUAUUUUGAUUCUUGGGUUGAAAAAUGUCGGCAAAACUAGUAUCAGAGCCAAGUUUUAGAUUCAGAAUAUAAAAAUGGAAGAAAUAGUUGUUUAUUUUAUAAAUAAUGGAGGAUAUAAUUUAAUGAUAGAUAGUAAUACAAUUAAGGAUAGCAUAACUAAAUAUAGACAAUAUUAUUAUUCAGAACAAAAUAUAUUAGAUGAUAACAACUAGAACAAUUGUAUUUAUCCGGAGAGCUCAUGAAAUUAGAAUUGGAGAACUCAUAAUAAUAAAGAAUAGAAAUUUCAAAAUAGAUCUUAUUCUCCUAUUCACAGUUAGGAGAGAGGUUUAUAGAAAUAAUUUUUCUUGGAAAUAAUGGAAUAUUAAUUAUGUUGAGGAUUAUAUAGAUGAACUUGUGAUUGAUUAUAAUAGAUUUUUAAAUAUUAAGCAAAGAGAUUAAUACAAUUGGAAUAAAUAAAGGAUCAGAAGUGAAUACUAUCCUUCUAGCAACAUUCUGAUAGGAUACAAAGAUUUAAUUAUAUAUAAGCUUUGUUAUAUACAUAAAGGAUUAGAAGAAAACAAUAUUUCUAAGGAAUAAAAAAUAUUAUAUAUCACAAAUACUUGAUAGAAUAUAAUGAAAUAUUAUACAGAUGGUAUUAUGAAUAUAUUACUAGAACCAUUGAUAAUUUCACAAAAUAUAGAAACCAAUAAAUUUCCACCUUCUCGCUAUAGGCAUAGAGGAUUUACUUAUGAAAAAUUUCAACCAUUUGAUUUGGUAAAUGAUUUUGAUAUGUAAGGAAGUAAUAAGUUAAAAUAGAUUUCUCUAUAUUUAUUAAAUAAAUUUGGAAAUCCUAAUUUAACCAUAAAUGAUAUAGAAGAAAGUGCAAAUGAAAUACUUGAAAUUAAAAGCUUUAAUACUGAAAAUAUAACACAAGUUAAAAUGUUAAAAGAUCAAAUGAGUGAAGAAUUUGAUUCACUCAAACAAUUAUAAAAGACUUCAAAAUUGAAGAUUAAGAUAGAUUGACAUAAGAAAUCAUUAAUGUCAUGAACAAAAAUUCAAUUGAAGAUAAAUUAAAUAAGAUAGCAAUUCAAUUACAUAAAAUUGGAAAAAUCGUUGAACAACUUGGUAAUAAGUUUGCAAUAAGUAUAAAUGGAAAAUUAAAAAAGGAUUGAAGUACAAAAGAUUAGUAACAAUAUGGAAGAAUUACUCAAUGGUAAUUCAAGAACAAAAUAAAAUUUUACAAGAUACCAUAAUCUAGCACAAUGAAAAGAAAAAUAAAGAAAUGCUAGCAAUAUCAUGAUCAAUAUUUAACAAAGUAAAUGAAGAUAAAAAAUUAGUAAGUUUAAGGAUGCUAAGCAAAAAUGUAGACAAUGGAUUAAAAGAAUUAUCUAAUCCAGAAAUAUUCGAGGAAGAAUAUGAAGAGGAAGAAGAUGUAUUUAUUAAUUUAUAAGAUAUUGAAAAUAGACUAGAACUUCUAAAAUGAAUGAAUCAAAGCCAAGAGACUUUGAACAAGGAGAAUUUAGUAAUAGAGCUUCUUAAGCUAGGGAACAAAUACCACCUCAUGAAAGACUACAAGGUCAAUAUUUUAGGGUUAACAAACCUAAAAAAAUAUAUAUAUAACUCUAGGAGAAUAUAGAGAAAGACUAAUCAACCAUGAUGUAGUAUGGUUAGAUUUAGACUGUGUCAAAAAUAGUGAUAAAAUUAUUACCACUUAGGUUAAAUCUAUGAAAAUUGCAUUUGCAUUUAACAAAAUAGAUAGAAAUAAUGGUAUAGUCAUUUAUACGAAUAGUGUCAUAUUGGUUUAUGGGAUUGAAGGAUACCGACAAAAAUAAAAUAUUAUAUAGAGAAAAUAAUGAUUAAAACGAAAGCUUGGAUCAAGUCUUAAAUAAAUUUGAAAAUAAAAUAAGAAAAGAAUUCUUAGGAGAAGAUUGGGAAAUUGAUUUUCAACAGGAAAUAAAGAGGAAAAGGAUGGAAAACGUAAUGAAGCUAAAAACACUUGAAAUAUGUAAUAUAUUUUAUCUAGAAGAAUACACAUGUAGCUUUGAAGAAUUACAUUAUAAAUGUGAAUUUGAUAAAGUUGAAAAUACCAUAUGCUAUUAUAAUGAUCAAUAUUUUAUAAAGAUACCAGAUCCAUGGGGGAAAACGAUUAUGUUAGAAUAUAACAAGGAAUAAAUUGAUACCCUAAGAAAUAGGAUCAGAUUUGCUCAAAAUAGAAUUAGAGAAUGGUAUGUUGAAAUAAGAGUUAAGAGACUUUGGUAAAGUCCCCAUAGUUCAGCUUCCAUAAUCAUACUAAAACCGUAAACCCAUUCCCUACAAUAAUUCCUCACCAAGCCACCAACAUUAGCCAAUCCCGAUCUCUUCAAAGCCGCAUCAGUAUUGAGCUUGAAGAACGACCACUUUGGGGGCUGCCAAUAGAUCCAUCUUUUAGUUUUUGGAACUCUCUGACUAUCUAAAGACUUAUAAGCAGGGAUGAUUUUUUCUAUGCGAUUGUUCACAUCCAUAAUUACGUUGUGAAGGCGGCUUGAUUUGUGAGCAUAAACGAACUGAUUGUGCCAAUACCACAUGACAUGGUGCCAAAUAACAUUGACCUAUCCUUCUCAUUAGUGAUCCUCAAGUGGUUUUUCAUAUUAUAAACAAUCCAUGCACGAACAUCCAAUGUAAAACAGGUAUGACUUGUGUGUUUCGAAAUAAAGGCUAACCAAAUGCAUUUAGAGUCAACAUAAUCCCUGACUGUAUGGAGAGCAUCCUCUAUGAUAUGCCCACACUGCAUGCAAGUACAAUCAUUAAGCACAUGUCUUCGCGAUAAUUUAGCAUUAUUUUUCAAUUUAUUAUGCAUCAGCAGCCAAAGAAAGCAUUGAAUGCUUAGGGGGCCUCUCCAUCUCCAAAUCAAAACCCAAAGGGAAUUAUUUUCAUUUAGCAUCGGUCUAAAGAGGGAUAAAUAAGCUAACCUCACACUAAACGAACCAGACUACAAUGGACCCCAAUAACAACAAUCAACUUCAUCGCUAACAGAAGGGGGCAUAGUGCCUGCUAUUUUAAGAAUUAUAUGGUGGGGUAGAAAAGAAGCAAAACAGUCCUUGUUCCAAGCACCAUUAUUAUCGAUAAAAUUAGCUACACGCUCAUUUAAUAUGUUUUCAGUGAUUGUACUGAAAGUAUAAGAUUGCAACCAACGCCCAUCCUCCAGCCAAUAAUCUUUCCAAAAUCUAGCCAACUUCCUAUUCCGAAAAGCCCAGCGAGUCCCUUAGAGAACCUCAUUCCAUACGUUUCCCACGAAUUUUCAUGAAGGAGAACUAUAUCAAGUAGGACGUUUUAGAGGAAGGUUUUCUUAAUCAACGCCAUAUUUAAACAUCAAUACUUGAAUCUAGAAGCUGUGGGGUGAUUCUCCAAAAAUCCACGUGACCAUACCUAGGGAUCUUUAACGCCAAGGUCCCCACAUAAAUUAGGGAGUUGUACCCUAUCCCACUUAAUAAGGUGUAUGCGAUGAGUCUCGUCAAUCUCUUUCUAGAUAAAAUGCUUGCAAAUCUGAUCAAUUUUAUUACGAAUACUUGUAGGCAGCAUGAAGGUCUGCAUGGAAUAGGUUGGGAGAGCCAGAAUGAUCGAUUGCGUUAAUGUUAUCUGACCUACAAGAGAAAGAUAUUUGGCUGUCCAGCCCGGAAGUCUCUGUAGUGCUAAUGGUGGUCAAGGAUAAGGUACCAGUUUCGGUGGGAGACAUUGAGUUUGCAUGAGAAAUCUGGGAGACUUCAUAGAAAAUGUAUGAGUUAGUGACAAUGGUAAACAUGAAGUUUCUUCGGCAACACUUUUUUCCAAGCAAGAUGUUCAACCCGAUCAAUAAGGUUUUCUUAAGUUUGCUUGCUUAUUGGCUUGUGAAGCGAAGGCAUAUCUAGAUAAGUACCGAGGUCCUUCGUUGUGGUGAAGCCUAAUUUGUCUCUAAUCUUUUUAACAUCAGCAGCAUGCACAUUGUGGGAGAUAAAAGUCAACGUCUUACUAUUGCCAACUUUUUUCCCAGAACUCAUGCAAAAAGUAUUAAACACAUCCUUGAUCACCUGUGUUUGAGCAACAGAAGCUUUUGCCAACAACAAUAGAUCAUCAACAAAAAAAACAUGAGAUAUAAAAAUACCUUGACGAGCAAGCUCAAUUGGUUUCCAUCUCCCUUCCCGAACAACUUUAUUAAUACCACGGCUCAAUCUCUCAAUGCAAAGCACAAAGAUAUAAGGCAAAAUGGGAUCUCGUUGCCAGAUUCCUCUAGAGAGGACGAAAGAUUUGGUAAGUUCCCAAUUCCGCAAAAGCUGCAUAGUAGGUGAAAAGAUACACUCUAUAGUAACAUGAACGAGGUCCGGAGGCACCCCAACUAAGCAUAACGUCUUAUAAAUAUAGUCCCAGCUCAAUCUAUCAUAUAUGCCUUUUUAAGAUCAACUUUUUUUGCCCUUUGACGAAUCUUACCUUUUUUUCGCAUUGAAUGAACCACCUCCUGAGCAAUAACAAUAUUUUUAGUUAUAUGUCUCCCAAAAAUAAAGCUAGUCUAAGUCAAACCUAUGAGAUGUGGCAGCACCUCCUUAAAUCUAUUGGUCAUGAUCUUAGUGAUGUUUUAUACACACCAAGGUAUAAGCUAAUAGGCCAAAACAUAUUAAGGCUCGUAAGGUUAUUAUUUUUGGGAAUAAGUACAAUUAAAGUCUUGUUUAGUUUAACAAGAAUAUUUGUACCACCAAAGACCUCUUUUACCACUUUGCACACAGAAGGCCUUACCACCUGCUACUAAGAUUGAUAGAAAAUUGCAUGUAAACCAUCCACUCUGGGUGUUUUUAUCGAGUGCAUGUAAAAACAGUUCGCUUAAUUUCCUCAUCAUUCAUGGGUUGCAUUAAGAUAUUUAUCAUAUUGCUAUUCAUCCUUGGAAAGUCAUUGGAAAUAGGAUACACACAAUGCCCCCUCUCUUUCUUUGAAUAAAGGUUGGCAAAAAAAGAUGUAGCAUGUGCUCGGAUCUCCUUGCCAUUAUGAAGCCAAACGCUAGCAUCAUCUUGAAUGGUAACCACUUUAUUCACCAUUCUUCUUUAGAUAGUUUUUUAUGAAAGAAACUGGUGUUCCGAUCCCCAUAUUCAAUCUAAUUCUUUAUGGACUGCUGAUACCACAAGAUUUCUUCUUAAGUCAAAACCUCUUACAGCUUUUUCUUUAAUUCAGCUUCCAAUUUGAUAAGGUAAUUAGUCUGAUUAAAAUCCAAAGCCUUUUGAAUACCCUUAAUUCUCGCCAAAUGCCUCAUUUUUUUUCGUUUGAAGACAUUUCCAAAAAUCUCUAUGUUCCACUUAUUAACUUUGAAAACAAAUUCUUCUGCCAUCUUCACAUAACUUUUAUUAACAUUUUAAUUACUAAACACAAAACCAAAAAAUCUAUCAUCUCUAAGCUAAGAGGCCAGGAAACGAAUAGGCCUCCGCCUCUUGUGAGACCUUACAACAUGACAUUCACGGGCCAAGAGAGGACGGUGAUUAAAUUGGACCUUAGGAAGAUGAUAAAUAAUUGUUUAAGGAGCCACACGCAGCUAAUCCUCAUUACACAAUACUCCAUCUAAUCUUUUAUGAAGCGUCCCUUGAGACCAUGUAAAAACAGGACCUUUAAAUCCCAAGUCACACAACUAAUUUCUAUGAAACCAUUCUUUGAAUAAAUAACAUAAAUCGAUUGUACUCCCAGCUGAAAUACAAGUAUGCAACCCAAGGAGGGGUGAAUUGGGUUUCUAAAAAUUAUUCAAUAUAUUAAAGAAAAUCUUAAUGCAAUUAUAAAUCAAAUUCAAAAUCAAUAACAAUUAAGAUGAUCACAAUGUAAAAAGAUAAGGGAAGAGAGAUUCAAACACCGAGAUUUUUACGUGGUUCGGCCAACCUCGCCUACAUCCACGCCUCCAAGCUUUCCGGGCUUGAGGAUUCCACUAAGCAAGCCUCCAAGGCUUCAAAUGCUUACACUUGACUUCCAAGGUGUCAAUAAACCUUUACAACAAGAGAUUAUCCCCAAUCUCUUAACCCAAGUGUAUCCCAACACUUACAAUCACUCAAAGUAAAAGAUUACAAAUUGUUUCUCUCACAGAAUAUCUAAGAUUACAAAUCAAUGCUCAAAGUGUGAAUAGAUGAAAAGAGAAUGUGUUUAAAGCUCUAUGAAGAUUGUAUUCUCGGAUAUAUGCUCAAUGGUAGUGUUGUGAUCAACCUUUGUUUGGUUUUGAAUGAGCUUAUUUAUAGUUGUAGUUGAAAACUAGCCGUUAGAGACUAUCUGCACACUAUCGGAUCGCCGUUUGACUGGUCAAUAUGACCGUUGAGCUGAUUUUUCAAAUUGUCGGAUCGCCGUUAACUAGAUGUCGGAUCGCCGUUUAUGUCCAGAGACUACCCUUCACUUCUGGUUGCUAUCGGCGAGCCGUUUAUCAAAUUUUUCGGAUCACCGUUUAUGUCCAGAGGCUACUGGUUGAUAUCGGUGAGCCGUUUAUCAAGACUGUCGGAUUGCCGUUUAGGUCCAGAGGCUAUACUUCAGUUCUGGUUGAUAUCGGCGAACCGUUUAUCUCAACUGUCGGUUCGCCGUUUUGGUCCAGAGGCUAUACUUCAGUUCUGGUUGAUAUCGGCGAGCCGUUUAUCUCAACUGUCGGUUCGCGGUUUUCCAUAAAAACUACUGCAGAGAGCUUAUUUUUGCAAGAAAACUGUUUUGACUCCAAAUCUUUAUAAAAACACUUUAUGAAACUUGUCAAAAUAGAUGAAAAUUAUGUUGAGCUUUUAAAAGAUUAAUCAAUCUUAAUCAUGUUUGUUAUCAUCAAAAUCUAUAAGGAAUAAUUUAUGUUAACACCAACACCUUCUUUUUUCUGCAGCAUUCAUAAUAGUAUUUGAAUCCCCACCAAUAAUCCAUGGACCAUUAACUGACUAAGCCAUAAUAUCUAGAGUAGGCCAAAGAUGCUUUCACACUGUCCUAACAGGGCUUGCAUAAACUGCUGUCACACAAUAAUAAAGACUAAGUUUUGAGAUUCGGCAAUGAAAUUGCCGAUUGUUUACCAUUACCUCCACCUGAAUAUCUUCGUUCCGCAGCAGCCAAAUACUCCUUGCAAAACUAAUCGCUUCAACUCUUUGGGGUCUCAUUAAGCCACAUUUUGUAAGAAAAUUAUCAGCCCUUUCACCACUGACCUUUGGUUUGAAAAAAGCCAUGAAGUUUGGCUAAUAACAAUUCACUAGUGUUUUAAAAUUUGUGAGGAAACCAUGUGAGGCCGCCCCUUGCCAAUUCCAAAACAUAGGUGUACACAUCAUUAAAAGGAAAAAGCAAAAAUAUAAGAUUCCAUCUUUGGAUGCAAGAGAACCAGGAGACUCUGAUUCCGCCUCCUACUCCUCACUAUUUAUCAUAUAAUCAUUAUCAUCAGAAUCAUCUUUAUGUUGAUUGAUAUCUGGUUGUCUCCUAUCGAGGGGGUCAUUGGAGUGUUCCAUGCUUAGCAAGAGGUCUUCAUCAAUUCCGACAGUAUUAGAAUUCUUCAUUAGCUUCCCAGGAUCAUUAGAGCUCUCACCAUGCAAAUUAUUAAAGGCAACAGCUGUGUAUUUUUGUGGGUUUAGACUCGUGGUUAUGGGAAGAAGAGAUUCAUUGGAUAUGGCUUUGCGUGGGUAGCUAGGCUGUUUACGUGUUGCAGGUUUCUGCAUGGGUUCAUGGUUAGGUUUUGCAUGUGCAUGCAAAACGCUGUUGUGUUUCAUGGUGGUGGGGCCAGUUGGUGAUGGAUUAUUAUCAUUAUUAUUAAAGGUAUGGUUCAUAAAAGUCUUGGUAAUUGAGGUCUCUCUGAUAAUUCUUUUAGGUAUGGUCACGUGGGUUUUGGGAGAAUUUGAUAACUGCCUUCUAGAUUCAUGCUCAAUUUUAGUGUCAUUGAAAAUAAAUCUCUCAUCAUUAUCAUUAGCAAUUACAAGGGUCCAAAUCAUGAUCCUUGGCCAGUUAUUUCUAAUUCAGCACGAUUCUGUCACUACUAGAAAAAUAGGCUACCGUGACAGAGAAUAUAUGUCAUCCGACCCCCUUUAUGACAGAGUUUCCAUCUAUCAUUGUAGCCCCUCUCACAAAUCUGUGACAACAUUUUAUCUAUCAUAUGUUCUUAUGACAGUGUUUAUCCAUCACACAUAUGUCAUGAAUCAAGUGAUGUUCGAUUUGCAAAGCUUUCGGGAAUUAAUUGAAAAUUUUAGUGGGUAAUUUAAAUUAUGUUGAAUUUGGCGGGUUUCUUCAAAAUCUGUCAUAUAUUAAUGAUUCACAUUCUCUGUCAAGAGAUUUAAGGUUUAAAAAAAUAAAAUUAUUUAAUGAGGUUGGGGAAUCAAAUUCAAGGUCACGUGCCUGUAGCCCUCCUAACUUGCUGCAAAAUGUGCAAUUUGAGUUUCGACUCUAGUCCCUGGCCCCAUUGCAAUGUCCACUAACUCAACCUUUCCUCUUAAAUGUUUAUUUUUUAGGGUAUUAUUACUCAAUAUAUGAAAAAUCCAAUUGAGGAACAAAAGAAUAGAGAAGAACGAAAUUUAUUUACCUUUAUCAACCAGAGCGAUAGUGAGGGUUUCUUUAAAAAAGAUCGGUGAGUUUGAAGGAUUACUCAAUAGCAAAGGAUUUAGGGUUUCGAGGAGAACAACAACUUCUAUAUGGCAAAUAACAACAAUUUCGAAGGAUUAAGGGUGUAUUUUCGUCUUCUUUAUUAGUGAGGGAAGAGCCUCAAAUUUUGACUUAGGGUUUUAAUUUUGGAUUUCUCACUUGCAGCGAGGAAUCUGAUCUAUUAAAGUUGUACAACACUUGGAAAUUAUUUUAGUUAAGUGUCUAGCUCAUAAACGACGUAGUUUCCUCUUUGUAAAUUCUAUUUUGAUUUUAGUUUAAUUAAAAGCUUUCAAUUCUCAAAAAAAAAAAAAAGCUUUCAAUUGUUGCAAUAAAUUAAUGAAUUGACGUCAUUCUUUUUUGUUGAAACGACGUCACUUUUGUGAACUACUUAAUAAUAAAUUAAAAAUAAAUCGAAAAUGAAUAAAAUAUAUUAUUUUUUUAUUAUAGCUUGUGAUAGAAAUUUAGUUUGUCACAUAAGUAUCAUGUAGUUGUGAUACAUAAAAACUUUGUUAAAUGUCUAUCAUACAUUCUUGAUAAAUAACUAAUUUUCUAUUAUCUAUCACAAAAAAUCUGUCAUAGUAAGUCAUUUUUCUAGUAGUGUGUUGUUGAUUGAUUUCCAUAAUCAAUUAUUAUCAAUGCCAAUGUGCAAGUAUACACAACAAGUAAUAAAGUGAUGAGUAUUCAAGAUCGUCUCCACAUGGAUUGAUGUCACUCAAAAUGCUAAAGCAAACACGAUAGUGCAAAUCAACUAAAGACCGAAACAAACAAUUGUCAAAUAAUUCUAUCAUAGCUAAUAAUUGUGAGAGAUGGAGAUAAAACAAUAAUGUAACGGAAUAAACUAAGUUAAAUGUGUCUAAGAUUCAAUUGAGAAUAUAGUAGUUGAAUGAUCAAACUCUCCUAAUGGGGUGACUGUUGUUUACCCAAUUAGCAUCAGUUGUUACAAUAAGUUCUGCAGCAAUGGGUAGAAUAAAUCUGCAUCUGCAGCUAUCGCAUGUUGGAAAUCUCAUACCUUUAAAUCUACUAACAAUAACCAGUUGCUCAUAUAUUUAUGGUAUGGCAUUAUAACUUUUAAUCUCUCCACCCUACAAGGUGAACACCUAUGUCUAGAGUGUCACAAAUCUUAACUUCAAGUAUAGGCUGUAUAGGAUUCAAGGUAACCUAAUCUAGGAAACUCGACUUAAGAACAAGUAAUACUCUAAUAAUGUUCACUAAGACAUGCCAUUUUACUGUUCUAUCUUAACUGAAACUAUUAAAUGGGUGGUCAACUGAAAUAACAGUUGUAUUCAUAAAAACUACUAGAAUAUAAUGCCACAACAUUACCAUAACAACAUAAAAGAACAGUCAAGAACCCAUUGAAUUAUUUGUCACUUAACCACAAGUAAUUUUAGUUCAUAAUCUGGAUGAGAAAAGUAAACACAAAUAUAUUGAUCUCGGAAUACAUCCAAACAAUCCAAGGAAGAAGAGAAAAUAUAAGUUGAGCACAAUGAAAGACAAAUAAUUCUACAUGAUUCUUUUCUUUGUUUCCGAAUAGCACUCCUCAAUCUUGAUCUCCUUCUUCUUGCCUUUGUAAUUAUUUUUUAUGAUAAUUCCUUGCCGCCUUUCUAUGUGGUGCACGCCUCCUUUUAUAUUGCAAAUUAGGGUAAAAGAUCCAAAGUCCAUGCGCGUGCAUGCGUUUAAAUUAGGAAACAUGCAGAUCACGAUUUUAUGGCUGACCCACGCUUUAAGCUUUCUCCCGCAUUACUCUCUGAUUACUGCAGCACUGGUUACUCUAUCAUCCACAACAGCACUGCAUUAUUCCCGAUUGUGCUUGUCUUCUUUUAUGGCCAAAUUCUUUCCUCCUCUUGCUCAUCUAAUGUCUCAACAUACCCUUAUGAAUUUAAAACCUACAAUUAUACGCCUGUUUUUUAGCACGCAUUACUUGAUUUAAACAAAACUUAUUAAAACCCUACUAAAAUGAAUGUUUAUGCAAAAAGUAACCAAAAUGUAAUAAAAAUACCUUAUUUGCUCUCUAAAUGAUCUUGAUUUAAGCCUAGAAUUGAUGUAAUAACUCUCAUUUCCUAGAGUUAUCACCCCCCCAAACUUAAACUAUUACUUGUCCUCAAGUAAUGACACAUACUAACAUUUCCCGCAAACAAACAUGCACAAAACCUUAGCUCUUUUAUCAACUUUACAAGGAUUAUUCUACCUUCAGAUCACAAUCUCAAUCAUACAAAAUGCCCAUAGUAAAUCAGUUCUAGAUUUAAGGUUCUUUCUAUCCAUAGUGUGUGUGUGUGUUUCCUUUGAUUGAAUCCUAGAUAUGCUGUAACAUCACCAAAGGACUACAUAAAUUUUCGCAGUGAUAUACUUCAUUCAUAAAUGGGUAAGCAUAAAUUUCACAUACUCAAACUGUGAUUGUUUUAACAUUGAUUAAACCGGGGAGUACUCAACCUCCUCACUGUAACACUUAUCUUUUAUGUAAAUAUCAAUCACUUGUAAUGAUGAUGGCCAAUUACUUAAACCAUGCCCAGAUCACAGUUGCUACAACAUUAUCUGUGGUAUAAUAUUAUCUAGAGGUAUCUUUUACUCAAGGCUGAACAUGGGGCUCAUGAACAGACCUGGCUACUCAAUGCCUUAGACAGAUGACUUCUUUUUCUCUUUUUUUUUUUAGAACUGCUGCAGCAUUGCUCAUAACUCUCACUACCUUUGACAUAAUUCUGCAUAUGGGGUACAUACUCAAAUCUAGUUACUCAGCAACUGGAGCCAUUGGAGCAGAGUUUAUUUCAUAGAUAUCACAGUCAAUCAACUUGCUUCUCCCCCCAAACUUAAGAUCUUUUCUAUUCUUUUGGCUUUGCUCUAGCAAUCUCAUACAAUUCAACCAAAGUCUAAGUGUUGGGACAAAAUUUCACUUCUAUCUAUAACUGUCUCUACUUGGCAUUCUCAUAAAUAUUGACUAACACUCAAUUUAUCUUCAUUAGACUUUCAAAUCCAUACACAAAUAUUAGAUAAAGAGCUUUAUACAGCACAAACAUAACACAUACAUAAACACAUGCAUUCAGAAACAACCCCCCCAAACUUGAGAGAUGAUGUGUCCUCACAAGCAUACAGAACAAAUGCACACAACUUGACAAGGAUAUGAAAGACCUUAGAAAAUACCACACAAAUUUUCGUUUAUUGGAUUGUCUUGGACUGGUGCGAAUAGGCUGGCUAGGAGUUUGCUGGGGGGCUUUUGUAGUUAAUGCAUCAGCUGCCUGGCCCUCAACUGUGAUUACAACAAUGACCGCAAGUAGUUGCUUAGCUUGCUCAGGUGUAGGGAUAGCUCUGGCUGCUGCAGCAGCCAGCUCAGCAUCGACUUGCUCCAUUUCAUCUUCAGAGGCUGGCGGUGUUACCAUUUUUGCUUUGCCCUUGUCCUUUCUCUUGCUUGUGAGAACUGGAAUAGACGGCUCCUCUUCAAGGUCUUCCUCCUCCUCUUCUUGAAUAAUGUGCUUUUUCCUGAUUUUGGGCUGGGCUGGAAUGGAUGGCUCCUCAUGUUCCUUCUCUGAAUUGUCCUCUGCUUCUGUGGGUGAGCUAUUAGUCUCAGACUUGUCACCUUCUUCCUCAGGUUGGUCAGAUGGUUCAACAUCUUCUGAUUCUACCUUUGCUUGUGGUUUGGCUGCAGCUUAAUCUGCUGGUUCAUCUGUGGCAGUGGCUUCCUCACUAGCUUCUGCUGGAGCACCUGUGGUGUUGGUGUCAAAAUUGUACUGCUGGAGCAGUGCAUCAGGGAAGUUCUGGUGAGUGCGUCUCAUGUACAGAGCAAAUUGGUGCAGUUGGUUAUCCAGGUCCUGUAGAUAACUCCAAAACCGACAAUUUUCCCUCUGCUGAGCUUCCACACAUUGAGUUAUAUUGUUGCUGAGUGCCUGGAUAGUCUAUUUUAAGCCAAUAGCUCGUCUUGCUUCUGUGACAACAGCUGGUUCAGUGGUUGUUCCAGCACUCUCACCAGCAACUCUCUCAAUAGUACGUGCCAUAAAGGCACCAUUAUUUUUUACAUGUUCAUCUCUGGCGUCAAGACGAACACCUGAAACUACACAAUGCUGGUGACGAGUGAGGGAAAUAGCAAGGCAGCAGUUCGGUGAGUUUUGACUGCACAAUCUCGGAUUUCUUUCACAAUGAUGCUACUUACAUCUAUAGGAAGUGUUGAGUGUUAGAAAAUGCAUAUUUAUAAAGGAGAAACCCGUCAUUUUACAUUUCAAGUCUUACUAACAACCCUUACUUUUAUGUAUUUAACCUUCUUGUGAUUUAAUUACAUGUGUUUUAUUUUAAUUAAGUAUUUUAUGUAUUUUAGGGGCAUUAUAGUCAUUUCACAAUAAAGGAGAAAUCAGACGGCAAAACGGACAUCACUUUUGAACUCAGGACGGUCAAAAACCUUAGGAGGAGCAUAAAAGGAAAAAUGGCACUAUUCACAUGUACGGUACUAUUCACGUGUAUGGUACUGUCUACGUUACUGUUCACGACACUAUUCGCAUAGACGGAUGAUGACGUGGCAUUGACCGAUGAUGUGGCAUUGACUGAUGAGGUGUCACGAUCCUGUUGGACUAAAAUUCUUAUGUACUGUUGAUGGUGACGUGGCAGCAUAUCAGUGGACGAAAAAUCUCGUGUACGGUGCAUGCAUCACACAGGAUUAUUUUCAACCAAACCGCGUUACUGUUCAUCCAGGUCAAACCGCGUUACUGUUCAAAGUCAGGUCAAACCGUGUUACUGUUCCUCCGCGUGGUGAAACCGUGGACUGUUGACUGAUGACGUGGCGCAAUCCUGAGCGUCCAAACUGUUUUUAAUCAGAUGGCUAUGAUUUACUCCAUGUAUCUAUAAAAAGGGGGCCUCUCCCCCCUAAUUUGAUAUCUCUGAAUCCAUUUUUGGGAUCCAUUUUCUGUAAUUCCUUCUCCAUCUUGUAUUUUCUUCAUAUUUUAAUAAAUUCCCAUUUUGCCCCUAGUUCAAUUAUGAGUGGCUAAUUUUCUUUCAAGCUUGGGUUGAAGGUGAAGUCUCAACAUAUGUCAUGGGCUUUAUUUGGUAAAUUUAUUUUCUCUUCCCCUCUAGUUUUUGUGGAUGUUUUGACUUCUCGUCGAUAAAUAAUACUAAUCUUGUCUAGUACCGCCUUGGUUUCACCGGCCCUCUGGUACAAGGUUAUUAUUAUUUGGCACGAUAAGCCCUUAGCACCAUAUUGAUUAGAGCGUUGUUCAUGAGGUGUGGAUUCCCCCCUCAUGAUUUAAUUGGCAUCAAUACGAAUUAUUUAGCCCAUGAUGCAUGUUGAUACGGAUCCAGAUACCCAAGUACAUCAAUUUAAUAGAUUUUCUCUUCAAUUUAUUCUCUCCAUUGCAAUUCCAAUUUUAAAAUUUAUUCUCGCCAUUUUAAUUUAAGUCUUAGCAUAUUCCAAAUCAUUUCCACCAUAAAUCCAACAACCCAUUUACAAAAUUAAUUCUAUACACAUAAUUAAAAUCCACCUCCUCGUGGGAUCGACACUCGUCACCAUUAGUCUAUACUACAAUAGAUUCGUGCGCUUGCGAGUACAUUAAAAUUUGCACAACAAGUUUUUGGCGCCGUUGCCGGGGAGGUAAGUAAUUUUAAUUCAUAGAAUUAAUUUUUUUUGAAUAAUUUCUUUUAUUUGUUUUCUUGUAUUUUUUUUUAUUAAAUUAAAAAAAAAGAAAAAAAAAGUGAAUCUACAUUUAAAGGUUAGUAUUUUUUUUCUUUUUCUCUUCUUUAAAAUUCUGUAAUUUAAUUUUCCAUUUAUUUUUCUUUGUAAUUUUUUUUUGUUUAUCUUAUUAAUUUAAUUUUUAGUUAAUUUCUUUCACGUAUUUAUUUUUGUGUAUUUUUAUAGAAAGGUUGUAAUAGCGCAAUAAGGUUAGUAUCGUAAUUUCUCCUCCUUCUUUAUUUUUAUUUGUUUUGUUCCCAUCUUUAUUUUUUAUUUUAUUUGUUUUGCAUGCAUGGUCGUAGGUCAUUAUUACCUAAUCUUGAACCUAUCGACCUUGAAUUAGAAAAAACACUUCGCACACAAAAGCAAAUUAAAAAUAAAUUUGAAAUGGAUUUGCAACCACAAGAGAGGCCAUUUAAGGACUACUUCAGUCCCUUAGCUAAUUUGAGUACAUCAUGCAUAAGAUACCCAAAUGUAGCUGCUAGGAGUUUCGAAUUAAAACCUAGUGUGCUAAAUUGUCUCCCCACAUUUUAUUGCCUAGAAAAUGAGGAUCCAUAUAAUCAUCUGAAUGAUUUUCAUGCCAUUUGUCAAACUUUUAAAUAUGAAAAUUUUUCAGACGAUGAUUUUAAACUUAGACUAUUCCCAUUUUCUUUAAAGGAUAGAGCUCGUUCAUGGCUUAAUACAUUGCCUGCUAAUAGCAUUGCAUCAUGGGAACAAAUGGUUACAAAAUUUUUAAAUAAAUAUUUCCCAGUGCAUAAAACCAAUGCUAUUCGCAGGGAAAUCUCGGAGUUUACCCAGAAAGAUGACGAGCAAUUUUUCGAAACAUGGGAGCGAUUCAAUGGGCUACUCUUGAAGUGUCCACAUCAUGGGUACGAGAAAUGGCACCAAUGCUAAUACUUUUUGGAGGGAUUACUACCAAAUGUGCAAGAAUGGCUAAUGGCAACAAGUGGAGGAGAGCUAAUGUCAAAAAGUGCAUCAGAAAUUUGGGAAUUCUUCCAGCGACAAGCGGAUAAUUCCCAACAACGGAGUCGAUCACUCAGGAAUACUAGAAGAAUUAAAGGAGUAAAUGAGGUUCAAAUUGGUGAGUCAACUUCGGGAAUCAAAGAAGUCAAGGAGAUGGUUGAAGGUCUUGCUCGACAAAUAGCAUCGUUAUCGACUGCUAAAUCAACAGAACCACAUGACCAUGACUCAUACUCAGAUCAAGCCAAUGCCAUAGGUGUAAUGAGAAAGCCAUCAAAUUACAACCCAUACUCCAACACAUAUAAUCCUGGAUGGAGAGACCACCCCAAUUUUUCAUGGUCUCAAGGAUUCCAACAGAAUGGACCAGCAGCUCCAGCUCCACCAAUGCAACAAAUUCCUCAAGUUCCUCAAGCCUCUCAGCCACCAUUUAGACCAUACAAUCAGAAUCAGAAUUUCUCUCAACCCAAACCAUGGGAGGAUUCAUUCCAGAAUCUCAAGAAUCUUACUCACUCCACGAUUGAGCAACAAAACCGCACCAUUGAUGGACUACGAAAUGAGUUGAGAGCAGGUUUCAACUCACAAGCUCAAUCAGUCGAGAAGAUGGUGGGACAACUUGCUUCUUCAGUUCAGACCUUGGCAAUGACUGUUGAGAAAGGCAAGUUUCCAAGUCAACCAGUACCUAAUCCUAAAGGAGUGCAUGAAGCAAGUACCAGUUCACCACAGCAGCAUGGAGAGGUCAAAGCAGUAAUGACCUUGCGAAAAGGAAAAGAAGUCGACAACAAAGUGGAGAUGCCGGUGACAAAAGAAAAUCAAAUCGUACCUGUGAAUGUUGAGGACUCACCACCGGAGGAAAAAGAAGAAACCAACCCACGAGAAUAUGUUCCUAAAGCUCCAUUUCCUCAGAGGUUAGCGAAAGGAAAGAAGGGAAAAUCCACAGGUGAGAUUCUUGAAAUCUUCAAACAGGUAAGUGUUAAUAUCCCUUUACUUGAUGCUAUAAAACAAGUUCCAUCUUAUGCCAAGUUUCUUAAAGACCUUUGUACUAAAAAGAGAAAUAUGCAUGUUCAAAAGAAGGCAUUUUUAACAGAAAACGUUAGUUCUAUACUCCAACAUAAAAUUCCUUUAAAAUGCAAAGACCCAGGCUCCCUCACUAUCUCAUGUAGUAUAGGGAACCACACAAUUGAGAAUGCUUUGUUGGAUUUAGGAGCUAGUGUAAAUUUGUUGCCUUAUUCAGUAUUUGUGAAACUUGGACUUGGAGAAUUACACCCAACUCCAGUGGUGUUACAGCUUGCAGAUCGGUUCACGAAAAUACCUCGUGGUAUUGUGGAGGACGUGCUUAUCCAGGUAGACAAGUUUUAUUUUCCUGUUGAUUUUAUUGUAAUUGACACUCAACCAAUACAGGAUUCAAGGAAGCACAUCCCCAUUAUUCUAGGCCGACCUUUCUUGGCAACUGCGGAUGCUCACAUUCAAUGCAGGACUGGAAAUAUGCAGUUGUCCUUCGGCAACAUGACUAUGGAGCUGAACAUCUUCAACAUUGCCAAACAACCUCACAGUGCAGAUGGUGGAAUUGUUGAUGUGGAUUUAAUUGAAGCAUUAGUUGAUGAUACUUUUGUUUCAAACCUUAGUGAUGAUCCUUUACAAACAUGUUUAACUCACUUUGGUUUGAAUUUUGAUAUUGAUAGAUCGGUCGAUGAGGUCAACGCCCUGCUUGACUCCGCACCGUCCUUGGACACUAAUAAAUGGAAAUCAAGAGUUGAACAACUAGCACCAUCAGAGAAGAAACUCAUCCCAUCAUCAGAAUCACCACCGAAACUCGAGCUUAAACCAUUACCCAACACUCUGGAAUAUGCAUUUUUGGGAGAAGAAAGCACUCUACCGGUAAUCAUCUCAUCAUCCCUAAAUGACGAACAAAAAAGUAAGUUGUUGGAUGUUUUAAAAGAUCACAAAGGAGCAUUAGGAUGGACCAUAGCAGACAUUAAAGGUAUAAACCCAGUAGACUGCAUGCAUUACAUUCACCUUGAUGAAAAUGCUAAAACUACUAGGGAGAUGCAACGUCGGUUAAAUCCUAAUAUGAAAAAAGUUGUUAGAACCGAAGUGCUUAAGCUAUUAGAUGCAGGUAUCAUUUACCCAAUUUCUGAUAGUUCAUGGGUCAGUCCUGUACAAGUUGUCCCCAAAAAGUCAUGAAUCAUAGUAGUUACGAAUGCUGAUAAUGAAUUGAUACCCACUAGAGUAACUACAGGAUGACGUGUUUGCAUUAAUUAUAGAAAGUUGAAUUCUGUCACACGUAAAGACCAUUUUCCUUUACCAUUUAUUGAUCAAAUGCUUGAUAGAUUAGCAGGCCAUGAAUUUUAUUGCUUUCUAGAUGGCUACUCAGGAUAUAAUCAGAUUCCCAUAGCACCAAAAGAUCAGGAGAAAACUACUUUCACUUGCCCUUUUGGCACAUUUGCAUAUAGGAGAAUGCCAUUUGGAUUAUGUAAUGCACCUGCUACAUUUCAACGAUGCAUGUUGAGCAUUUUUUCUGAUAUGGUUGAAUGAUUCCUUGAAGUCUUUAUGGAUGAUUUUUCUGUCUUUGGUGACUCGUUUGAUCAAUGUUUACAUCAUCUAACACUAGUUCUGCAGAGAUAUAUCGAGAAGAACUUGGUCUUAAAUUGGGAGAAAUGCCAUUUUAUGGUAAAACAGUAUUGUUCUCGGUCACAUCAUUUCGAGCAAAGGUAUUGAGGUUGACAAAGCCAAGGUGGAUCUCAUUUCUAAUCUUCCUCCACCCAAAACAGUCAGAGAAGUAAGAUCUUUCCUUGGGCAUGCUGGGUUCUAUAGACGUUUCAUUAAAGAUUUUAGCAAAGCUUCUAGACCCUUAUGCAAUUUACUUGCUAAGGAUGUACCUUUUGUCUUUGAUGAUUCAUGUCUUGUUGCGUUUGAAAAAUUAAAGCAUUUGUUGACAUCAUCACCCAUCAUUCAGUCCCCGAACUGGAGUUUACCAUUUGAACUCAUGUGUGAUGCAUCUGAUUAUGCAGUAGGAGCAGUAUUAGGACAAAGAGUUGAUCGAAUUCCCCACGUUAUUUACUAUGCUAGUAUGACAUUGAAUGAUGCACAGUUGAACUAUUCAACUACUGAAAAAGAAAUGCUAGCAGUAGUGUUUGCAUUAGAGAAAUUUAGAUCUUAUCUCAUUGGUUGUAAAAUAAUCGUGUUCACAGAUCAUGCUGCUCUUAAAUAUCUUCUUACAAAGAAAGAUGCAAAAGCUAGACUAAUUCGUUGGGUGUUACUUUUGCAGGAAUUUGACUUGGAAUUCAAAGAUAAAAAAGGGACAGAAAAUGUUGUGGCGGACCACCUCUCUCGUCUCCAUCUUAACACAAUUACAGAGCCAUUAAUAUUGAAUGAGUCAUUUCCAGAUGAACAAUUAAUGAGUGUGGAAGUAUUACCUUGGUAUGCUGAUAUAGUUAAUUAUCUUGUUACAGGUAAACUUCCUGAGCAUUGGACCAAGCAAGACAAGGCAAAAUUCUUUGCAGAGAUAAAGAAUUUCUUUUGGGAUGACCCGUAUUUGUUCAAGUAUUGUGCGGAUCAAAUUGUUAGACGAUGUGUCCCAGAAAGUGAAAUUCAGAAUAUCCUUUCAUUCUGCCAUGAACAAGCUUGUGGAGGCCAUUUCAGUGCUAAGAAAACAGCGACUAAAGUUUUACAAUGUGGUUUCUAUUGGCCAACUAUAUUUCGAGACGCUUACACUUUCUGUUCUUCAUGUGAUAGGUGUCAACGAAUGGGGUAUCGACUUCAUGGGACCCUUUCCCCCUUCUUUUGGCCAUCAAUACAUAUUGGUUGCUGUUAACUACGUAUCAAAAUGGGUAGAAGCAAUUCCAUGUAGAACCAAUGAUCACAAGGUGGUGAUAGGAUUUUUGAAAAGCAACAUUGUCUCGCGCUUUGGAUUCCCUCGAGCAAUAAUCAGUGAUGGUGGUGCCCACUUUUGUAACAAAGCAUUCAAAGCUCUUUUGACAAAGUAUUCAAUCACACACAAAGUGGCGACUCCGUAUCAUCCGCAAACCAGUGGCCAAGUUGAGAUCUCCAAUCGAGAAAUAAAGCACAUAUUAGAAAAGACGGUGAGGCCGGACAGAAAAGAUUGGUCAUUAAGACUUGAUGAUGCCUUAUGGGCAUAUAGAACGGCUUUCAAGACCCCGAUUGGGAUGUCACCCUACAGGCUAGUGUAUGGAAAAGCUUGCCACCUACCUGUGGAACUUGAGCAUCGUGCGUAUUGGGCCAUCAAGAAAUUCAACUUUGACAUGCAGCAAGCUAGCUCAAAAAGAAGAUUACAACUGGCAGAACUUGAAGAAAUUCGCAAUGAUGCAUACGAAAAUGCCAAGAUUUACAAGCAACGAAUGAAAGUCUUCCAUGACAAGCACGUUAUGAGAAAAUCGUUCACUCCAGGUCAGAAAGUGCUUUUAUUCAAUUCUUGCCUGCACCUAUUCUCAGGUAAGUUACGCUCUCGUUGGUCUGGUCCCUUUAUUGUUCAUACUAUUUUUCCACAUGGGGCAAUUGAAAUUAAGGACCCAAAGAACGGUGUCACGUUUAAAGUUAAUGGUCAAAGAUUAAAGCCAUAUCUAGAAUACCAACCACGUGGAGAAGACACCGAAAUAAAUUUGAGUGACCCACCAGAUUUGAAUUGAUUUUUUUCUUUCUUUUUGUUGAUUUGAUUUUGUUUUCUUUCUUUAUAUUAUUCUUUUGCUAAUUGAAAUUGUUUUUGCAUAAGUGUGUUUAUUUUACCAUUAAGUUUUCUCUUAUCAUUUUUAAUCAUGAGUCUCAUACUUAGACCGUUCCUCCUGAACAUUCUUAAACCACUUCAACGUGUCAAAACUCAUCUCAAAAGGCAGAUUCAAUUUUGUAAAACACAACGCAUUUGGGCUCUACAACCACCAGAGUUAGUAGCCUAUGUUGAGGGUUUAGAACGCCAACUCAGAGACAUUGAGAGAAGUGUUUACGACAUCCAGUUGGAGCUUGAGGUAAAUUCAAUAAGAGGACGAUUUUAAUUUUCUUUGUGUGUUUUAAUUUAUUUUUCUAUUUGUGUGCUUUAGUUUGUUACCCCGGUGAAGUGGUGGAUAAUGGUACUCCGUGACAAUCAAGUCGGUUACUUCAGUUUCCCAUAAUAACUAAUAUUCUGAGGCGAAAGUAUGGACAGAAAUGAGAUUCUAGCAAAGCUUCACAAGCGAUUCCCUUCACUUCCUCAGAAUGCCCUCCUUACGAUCUAUAAAGCUCGGUCCGAACGCAUGCGAUUACUCAUGAGGAAUAACAUACCUGCUGACAUCCGUUGGUUAAUCGAGGCUAAAGUACGAUCGGCAGGUGAGUUACCUCCAAAAUUUAUUGCAUACAUGCCUGGUUGUGGUAAAGGAAAUUAUGCAAGAAAACGACGAGCUCGAAGAAUUUCUGUUGCUUGUCAUAAGUGUGCCAGAAUGAGUUGCAAUAAAAACCAAUGUUCUUUAGGAAUGAUGUCUGAUAACAGGGAAGAUAAGAUUCAAUUCAUUAGGGAUGGCUUGAAUAAGGAGUCAUUGGAUGAUAUCCUUUUGUCUCUUGAAACGCAUCCCAGUGGAUAUGUGCAAGGAGCGAUUCUCCAGUUAUGGCCAUUAUUCCAGAAAGAGCAUGCACGAUAUAGUCUCGGGAAUCUGACUAUAAAUGACCCUGUUUGCCAGUUUAUAAGAAAACUGGAUAGGAAGCCUAUCCUCGACCCAUAGAGGGCGUUCAAGCCGUUUCUGGACGUAAAACCAGAGGAAGAUGUGAGCCACAGUCGCAACUACCUGUAAAUAUCCUUUUACUUUAUUGUUAUUUUAUUUCACUAUUGUCUUAUUGUUUGCAUUAUUGUCUUUAAUAAUUUUAUUACUGUUUGCUUUUUUUUUCUUAUUACUGUUUACUUUUUCCUUUUUACUGUUUCCUUUUUGACUCGCGAGCCACGUGCUUUAUGCGUUAUUUGACACUGACAUAUUACCUCAUACACAACCAUGACCCACUAUCACCAAGACUCUUAAAUGUGAUAUCUUUUGUCAAGCACUCACAAAUUGUUUUUUAGAAGUAUCGCAAUGGCAGCUACUCUCAAUAGACAAUUCAAGAACAUUUGUGUGCUUUCCGGUUUUACCUAUGGCAAACAUAAAGAGUUCGUUGAGGCAGCCAUAGAUCUUGGUCGAAGCAUAGCAGCGAGAAAAUUACACUUGGUGUAUGGAGGAGGUAACCGAGGGUUAUCCAAAAUGGUCUCAGAAGCAGCUUUUAUCAGAGGAAGUCAAGUGUUAGGCAUCAUCCCAAGAGCCCUAAAACCUUUGGGCAGUUCGUCUGACUCAUCAACUGGAGAAGAGUUAGUCGUCUCAGGUAUGCAAGAAAGAAUAACUGAAAUGCUUAAUCAUGCUGAUGCUUUUAUUUUCCUUCCAGGAGAUCUUGCAACACUAGAGGCACUUAUCACGCUAGCAUCUUGGGCCCAUCUGCACAUCCACCAGAAACCCAUCGGUUUGUUAAAUGUCAAUAACUUUUAUGAUGGCUUUAUCGCAUUUCUUAACCAUGCAAUAAAAAACUAUUUCAUUCCCUCUAAUGCGAAAAAACUCUUUAUUUGUGCUCACACUGCUAAUGAGCUACUUGAUAUGUUACAAGCUUAUCGACCGGAGCCAGACCCCUGGACCUUUGUGUUGGAGCGUCCAAAUAAUGAUGGUAACAGUAGCCGCAGUAAGAAGUACAAAUUAGAUUUAACUCUCCGCCUGUAAAUAUUUUCUUCUGUGUUGCACCACCUAGGUGAUGUCUUCUAAACUCUACUUCUUUCAUUUCAAACAUUGAUGACAAUGUUUCGUUCUGGUUGGGGGGAGGGAAUAGUCGACAAUUAUGGAAUUUUGGUUAAGUUUUUACUAAUUUUUUGUUGUAAAAACUAACUGUUGCUAACUUUUUGUGUUGAAGAUGGCUGAAUAUGGAGUGUAGUGACUCUAGAAACGCAUCUUCAUCGUUUAAAAAAAACUUAAAAAAAAAUUCAGACAUUUUCUUUUUCUUUAUUAUGUGUUUAUGUUUAUUUUUCUUCUUUUUAAUUUCUCCUCUAUAAAUAUACAUUUUCUAACUUUUGAGUCGAAGAUGGCUGAAUAUGGAGUGUAGUUCCUCUAGAAAUGCAUCUUCUUUAAAAAAAAAAUCAUUUUCGUUUUCUAUCAUUUUACGUGUAACUUUUCUAAUUAGUUUGUAUCCAUCAUUUUCACAUUUCUGCAUGCAUAUUUUCCUUUCAUGCUUAGAAUAGAUUGGGGGGUAGAAUGUUGUUUGAAAAAAAAAAUGUUUGAUUUAUUUUAACAUUGGAUGACAUGAUUAAUUUCAAAUUUUAGUAUUUCUAUUAUCUUUGGUCUUAAGUGAUGUUACAUUAUGUUUGCUACUCUACAUGUUGAUGUUGGAGACAAAUAUGAGUUGCUUGAAGGAAUGAACAUGUCAUAAUAAAUACCAAGUGAGUUUUUGAGCAUAUCAUUUUUCUUGGAGAGUAACCAUUUUGCCCAUUCUCUAUACAGCUUAGCAGUUUAUUAUUUUAUACACGAUCUCUAGAUUUCUUUUGAGUUAACCCUUAAAAAAAAUGGUAAAAUAAAAAAAAAAGAAAAAGAAAAAAAAUGUGUGUUGCUACAUUGGGAGUCCCAUCUAACUAGUAGAUAUGGAUGAUUAUUUAGAGCCCUAAAAGACGAUGGAAAGGCCAUCUUUGAUCCGUUUGAGCCUUUCUAGCCAUCCCUUUUGUGAUAUAUCCAUAGUUAACCCUUUUGAACCUUUAAAAAAUAAAUAAAUAAAUAAAUGAAAACCUUUUCUUUGUCAACUUAUCAUCUUGACCCACUCCGAUUUGGAGUAUUACCCGAUGUCUUAUAAGGUCCAUCACCUAUUUAUGUUUGAGAAAAAUGUAAAUAAUUAUUUUGUUCAGUGAAGUUGUGCCAAAUAAAAGCAAAAAAAAAAGAGAAAAAAAAAACAAAAGUUGUUGUUUCAAAAGAAUAAAAAUAACAAUAAUAGGUGAAAUCCACCUUGCAACUUCCAAAAAAAAAAAAAUUUCUCUGCAUUUUUCUCAAACAUACACUUUGUUUUCCUUAUUUCCCUUCUUUGUUAACCAUGUCCCUAGCCUACGUUACGUCCUAAUAAAAGUCUUUCUUGAUUUUAGGGAACUAUAGUCCGAAGUAGAAGCUAGUUAUAUGGGCUAAAAAGAUGUAGUGAUGCAUAAUUAAAAAAAAUAGAUAAAUAAAGUGGGUUGACUAACAUUUUAUUUGACUUGAGAUCGUAUUAUUUCUAAGCUGAGGGCAUAUUUAUUUCAUCUUGGUGAGAGCAUGUGAUAUCACUUCUUUAUUAUUUUCUCUCUCAAUUACCAUUCAUUGGAGUGACUAUUUUUAUUGGGUUUAAUUUAUUUGUGAGAAUGUCACUACUUCCAGUGAGAUUUUGGGGUUGACAUGUCAUUCUUGAAAGUAGCUAUAACAAAGUCUACUGGGCUAAUUCAUGUGGAUGGUUGAUGUGGGUGUGAUGUUGCUUUAGACUGGAGAUAAUGCUUAUACUUUUAUUUGAUUGCUAUCAUUAAUCUGAUUGAAUAAACACGAGUGUUUCUAAAAAAAAAAAAUCAUUUUGAAUUUGAAUUUUGUUUUCGCUUUAUUUGCUAGGGACUAGCAAUAAGCUGGUUGGGGGGUGUGUUGAGUGUUAGAAAAUGCAUAUUUAUAAAGGAGAAAACCGUCAUUUUAUAUUUCAAGUCUUACUAACAACCCUUACUUUUAUUUAUUUAACCUUCUUGUGAUUUAAUUACAUGUGUUUUAUUUUAAUUAAGUAUUUUAUGUAUUUUAGGGGCAUUAUAGUCAUUUCACAAUAAAGGAGAAAUCAGACGGCAAAACGGACAUCACUUUUGAACUCAGGACGGUCAAAAACCUUAGGAGGAGCAUAAAAGGAAAAAUGGCACUAUUCACAUGUACGGUACUAUUCACGUAUAUGGUACUGUCUACGUUACUGUUCACGACACUGUUCACAUAGACGGAUGAUGACGUGGCAUUGACCGAUGAUGUGGCAUUGACUGAUGAGGUGUCACGAUCCUGUUGGACUAAAAUUCUUAUGUACUGUUGAUGGUGACGUGGCAGCAUAUCAGUGGACGAAAAAUCUCGUGUACGGUGCAUGCAUCACACAGGAUUAUUUUCAACCAAACCGCGUUACUGUUCAUCCGGGUCAAACCGCGUUACUGUUCAAAGUCAGGUCAAACCGUGUUACUGUUCAUCCGCGUGGUCAAACCGUGGACUGUUGACUGAUGACGUGGCGCAAUCCUGAGCGUCCAAACUGUUUUUAAUCCGAUGGCUAUGAUUUACUCCAUGUAUCUAUAAAAAGGGGGCCUCUCCCCCCUAAUUUGAUAUCUCUGAAUCCAUUUUUGGGAUCCAUUUUCUGUAAUUCCUUCUCCAUCUUGUAUUUUCUUCGUAUUUUAAUAAAUUCCCAUUUUGCCCCUAGUUCAAUUAUGAGUGGCUAAUUUUCUUUCAAGCUUGGGUUGAAGGUGAAGUCUCAACAUGUGUCAUGGGCUUUAUUUGGUAAAUUUAUUUUCUCUUCCCCUCUAGUUUUUGUGGAUGUUUUGACUUUUCGUCGACAAAUAAUACUAAUCUUGUCUAGUACCGCCUUGGUUUCACCGGCCCUCUGGUACAAGGUUAUUAUUAUUUGGCACGAUAAGCCCUUAGCACCAUAUUGAUUAGAGCGUGGUUCAUGAGGUGUGGAUUCCCCCCUCAUGAUUUAAUUGGCAUUAAUACGAAUUAUUUAGCCCAUGAUGCAUGUUGAUACGGAUCCAGAUACCCAAGUACAUCAAUUUAAUAGAUUUUCUCUUCAAUUUAUUCUCUCCAUUGCAAUUCCAAUUUUAAAAUUUAUUCUCGCCAUUUUAAUUUAAGUCUUAGCAUAUUCCAAAUCAUUUCCACCAUAAAUCCAACAACCCAUUUACAAAAUUAAUUCUAUACACAUAAUUAAAAUCCACCUCCUCGUGGGAUCGACACUCGUCACCAUUAGUCUAUACUACAAUAGAUUCGUGCGCUUGCGAGUACAUUAAAAUUUGCACAACAGGAAGCCCUCGAACUAUGACAUAUAACAAUACUAACCUUUCUUGCGAAACUGUAGUAGUGUGAGUGGUGGGCAUAAGCCUAGAUUUUAGAAAUUUCACCCACACCUUAGUAAUAGGUUUCAAAUCUAUCCUAUUAACUACACGCCCUUCCUCGUUAGCCUAUGAUGCCCCUUCGAUUGUAAGAGUUGUAAAAAUCGUGUUCCACGUUUUCGGGGUUAACUUAUCAAGCAACUUAGCAUACUCACAAGUAAUUUCAGCAAGUAAGUUAUAGAAAGCAUUGAUAACUGGGGAGUCUAAUAGGACAUGUGUAUUUCUUACCCAAAUGUUGUAUUGAUCAGGGCUUACCAAAUUGGCUUAAAAUUCUUUGACUACAGGCAGCACAAGAUCUCGAGGGUGAUUGCAAAACUCUAGCCAUCCUUGCUUUGCUAUAGCAUUAUGAAUUAUUUGCACAAUUCCCGUGAGUUGGUCUGGAAAUUGAAACCCUUUUUCUUCCAGAAUCCAACGCGGCUCUAUGAAUUCUUUAUAUUUUUCUUCAGCGUGGUAACUCUGGAAGCAUGAUGGAUCUUUGAGGCGGCUUGCUGUUUUCUUGUAUCUCGGCAUUGUUGUAGCAGUAACAAAUUGAGGCUACUGUUCAUGAGAGUAAAAAGAGAAGAAGAGGUUAAGAAUUAGGAGAGUUGGAUUUGUGAAGGAGAUGGGGAAUAGUGGCGUAGAGUACUAAGCAUAGUGACUCCUUUUUAUAGUGGACUUGUAAUUGGAGAUAAAUACGGUAACUUGAAAUAAUUUAGGGAAUAAAAUAUUUUGAAUUAAAUGUGCAUAUCCCAAAAUCAUCGCCCAGUGAAUGUAAAACUUUAAUUUCGGAGACUUUUUCCACAAUUUCUAUCCAUAUCCAUGCGUCCAUCUGUCACAAUUUUAUCUCCAAUGGUAAGUGAAAGGCUCCAGCUUUUAAUUUACUGUAACAGUAAAAUUAGCUGUUGUAGCAUCCAUUCGCUUAUUCUAACAACGGAUACAUACUUCCCACGAAAGCUUAUGACACGUGGUUCACCUCUAAAUUCUGCCACCAUACACUCCCACGUGUCAAUAUGGAAUUCAAUUGUCACACUUACUAAAAUUAAGUCUAAAGUUAUUAAAAGAAAUAGAUAUAUCAAAUUAAAGCGAAAAUAAAGUAUGCAAUAAUGGAAAAGGAUAAAAAUAAAUGGUUAAUAUGGAAAAGCAGGAUUAAAUAAAAUGUAAAAGAAGAAGAGCUGUCUACAAAACCAAAGGAUAUCAAAAUUAGUUUGAAGUGGCUAUCUCCUCAAUGGGCUGCCUCUCAUGAAGCGCUUGAUUUAAGGUCCUUCAGCCUGACUUUCUUUCUUUAUUCAAUAGCUGGGUUCUUUAAGGAGUAACACCUCCUUUGAACAUUCUGCUGCUAGAUGUAUGUAAUGCUUAACCCUGUGUCCAUUAACCUUGAACUCAUGGCCUGUUUGUUCAUCUAGAAGAUCAACAGCUCCAUGAGGGUAAGAUUUUAACAACUUCAACGGGCCAGACCAUCGUGACUUGAGCUUUCCCGGAAAUAAUCUUAGUCUUGUAUUGUGGAGCAACACUAAUUGACCAGGGGUGAAUUUCCUAUGUUGAAUAUGCUUGUCGUGCCAAUGUUUUGUUCUCUCUUUAUAGAUUAUUUCAUUUUCAUAUGAAAAUAGCUGUAAUUCAUCAAGCUCACAAAGUUGAAGUUUCCUUUGCUCUGCAGCAGCAUGCAUAUCUCAGUUUAAUUUCUUCAAUGCCCAAUGUGCUUUAUGCUCUAACUCUAGUGGCAAAUGACAAGCUUUGCCAUAAAUAAUUCGGUAAGGAGACAUGUCAAGUGGAGUUUUGUAUGCUGUUCUGUAGGCCCAGAGAGAGUCAUGCAAGUGUAAAGACCAAUCCUUCCUUGUUGGAUUCACCACUUUUUCCAAGAUCUUUUUAAUUUCUCUAUUGGACACUUCAACCUAACCAUUGGAUUGUGGGUGAUAUGUUGUUGCUAUCUUGUGUCUGACUCCAUAUUUCAUCAUUGCUGCAGCAAAGAUUUUGUUCCAAAAAUGUGUGCCCUCAUCACUAAUAAUUGCUCUAGGAGUGCCAAACCUGGAAAAAAACAUUUUUUUGAAGAAAAGUCACCACUGUUUUAGCACCAUUGGUAGGUAAUGCUGCAGCUUCUACCCACUUGGAGACAUAAUCCACAGCAACAAGGAUAUAUAAGUUCCCAAAGGAUGGGGAAAAAGGUCCCAUGAAAUCUAUUCCCCAAACAUAAAAAAUUUCCACUUCCAGUAUGUUAGUCAAUGGCAUCUCAUGUCUGCUAGUUAUGUUCCCUAUCCUUUGACACCUGUCACAACAUUUAACAAAUUCAUAAGCAUCUUUAAAAAUAGUGGGCUAAUAAUAACCUGAUUGCAUAACUUUGGCAGCUGUUCUGUGACCACCAAAAUGUCCUCCAUAUGUUGUAGCAUGACAUGACUCCAGUAUAUGAGGUAUUUCUUCUGCUGCAACACAUCUUCUUAUUACUUGAUCUAAGCAUAGCUUAUAUAAAUGUGGGUCAUCCCACUGAUAACUUCUAACAUCAUGAAGAAAUUUCUUUUUCUCUUGAAACUUCAGUUCAGGUGGUAGCAACCCAGUUACUAAGUAGUUAGCAAAGUCUACAUACCAUGGAGAUUCUAACUGCUACAACAUUUGUGCUUGCUGUACUACCAACAACUGUUCAUCAAGAAACGUUUCGGUGAUGCCCUUCCUUGUCAAUGUACUAAUGUCUGCUUCUAACCGUGACAAGUGGUUUGCCACUUAAUUCUCAGUCCCCUUUCUAACUUUAAUUUCCAGAUCAAAUUCUUGAAGCAGUAAUAUCCAUUUGAGUAAUCUUGGUUUGGCAUCCCUUCUUUGAAAAUUAAAUAUUUGAUGGCUGAUUGGUCUGUGUAAACAGUUACUUUAGUACCCACCAAGUAAGCUCUGAAUUUUUCAAAAACAAAAACUACUGCUAGCAACUCUUUCUCUGUAGUGGUGUAAUUGAUCUGAGUUGGAAUGAAUGUUUUGCUUGCAUAGUAUAUGGAAUGAAAAACCUUAUCCUUUCUUUGCCCUAAUACUGCUCCCACAGAAUGAUCACUAGCAUCACACAUCAAUUCAAAUGGUAAAGUCCAAUAUGAAGAUAUAACUACUGCAGCAGUGAUCAGAGCUUUCUUCAAUUCUCCAAAUGCUUGAAGACACUCUUUGUCAAAGUGAAAUGGUUUGUCAUGCUCCAGCAAUGAAUACAAAGGCUUAGCUACUUUGGAAAAAUUCUUAAUGAAUCUUCUAUAGAAUCCAUCAUGACCCAAAAAACUCCUAAUACCCUUUACUGAAGUUAGAGGUGGCAGUUUAUCUAUUACCUCUAUCUUGGCUUUGUCUACUUCAAUACCAUCCUUGGAUAUCUUGUGACCCAGCACUACUCCUUCUUGCACCAUGAAAUGACACUUUUCUAAAUUGAGUACUAAGUUGGUCAUCUCACAUCUUUUAAGAACUUCUUCCAAGUUGUGUAAACAAUCAUUGUAUGUUUCCCCAAAAACUGAGAAGUCAUCCAUGAAAACUUCUAAGGUCUGCUCUACCAUAUUAGAAAAUAUAGACAUCAUGCAUCUUUGAAAACUCGCUGGAGCAUUGCAUAGCCCAAAUGGCAUUCUUCUGAAGGCAAAUGUCCCAUAAGGACAAGUAAAUAUAGUCUUCUCUUGAUCCUCUGGAGCUAUAGCAAUCUGGUUGUAGUCUGAAUACCCAUAUAAGAAGCAGUAGUAUUGUUUUCCAGCAAGUCUGUCCAACAUCUGAUCUAUGAAUGGAAGUGGGAAAUAGUCUUUCCUUGUGGCUUUGUUGAGCUUCCUGUAAUCCAUACACACUCUCCAUCCAAUCACUGUCCUUGUAGGAAUAAGUUCAUUAUUCUCAUUCGCCAUUACUGUUAUCCCUCCUUUCUUUGGAACACAUUAAACUGGGCUUACCCAUGAACUGGCUGAUAUUGGGUAUAUGACUCCAGCAUCUAACCAUUUGAUGAUUUCCUUCUUCACCACUUCUCUCAUAAUAGGAUUCAGCCUUCUCUGGUGCUCCACCGAAUUGCUGGAAUAAUUCUCUAACAGGAUUUUAUGCAUACAUAUGGAUGGGCUUAUCCCCUUUAUACCUGCCAUGGUCCAUCCAAUUGCUCUUCUGUAUUUUCCCAGCAAAUCUACUAAACUCUGUUCUUGACCUGCAUUAAAAGUAGAAGAAAUGAUUACAGGGAGUGUGUUGUUUUGACCAAGAUAAGCAUACUUUAAAUGUGAAGGUAACAAUUUUAAUUCAAAACUAUGAGGUAAUUCAAUAGAUGGUAAACUUGUUUUUACUUCCCUGUCUGAAAGAUUCAGGUGUUCAAUAAACCUAUUGUGUCUAUCAGAUUGUUAUUUGUCCAUCUAAUCUAUUUAGAUUACUACAACAUCUUCCUCUUCAACAUCCUCAAAGGUGGUGACUUUGUCAAAUACAUUAUUGCAGCAUCUGUUCAUUCUGUCUGCUACAACAAGAUCCAUUACACUUAGGAAAUUGUAAUUUUCUACUUCAUCAGGGUUCCCCAUAGCCUCUAGUACAUUAAAUGUGACUUGUUGAUCAUUCACUCUCAUGGUGAGCUCUCCUUUCGCACAUCUAUCAGAGUUUUUCCAGUUACUAGAAAAGGUCUUUCAAGUAUAAUGGGUACCUCUUUGUCAGCUUCAAAGUCCAGCACAAUGAAAUCCACUAGAAAGAUGAAUUUGUCAACCUUCACCAAUACAUCCUUUAUCUUUCCUUCAGGGUAUGCAUGAGAUCUGUCAGCUAAUUGCAGAGUGACUGUUGUUGGUCUGUACUCCCCUACUCCCAGCUGCUUAAAUACAGAUAAUGGCAUCAAAUUAAUACUAGCUCCCAAGUCACAAAGUGCUCUGCCAGCAUACCUAGUCCCUAUAGAAUAGGGUAUUGUGAAACUCCCUGGAGCUUUCAAUUUUGUGAGAAUUUUAUUCUGGAGCAUAUGACUGCUUUCCUGUGUUAAAGCAACAGUUUCAAACUCUCCCAGCCUUUUUUUUCGUGCCAAGAUGUCUUUUAGAAAUUUUACAUAAUUUGGCAUUUGCUCCAAAGCUUCCACAAAAGGUAUAUUUAUGUGCAGUUGCUUCAGCACUUUCAGGAAUUUGCUAAACUGCUUGUCUUGUUUUUGCUUCUGGAACCUUUGUGGGAAAGGUGGUGGAUGUCUAAACUGCUGGGUUGCUUCAGGAGAUAUCAAACUUUGUUUGUUUGAUUUAGUGCAAGUUGUAAUUACUGGUAUUGUGACUUCUUUUUCAGCAUGUUCUGGUUGAAUUUCCUCUUCAGUUGCUGUAGCUUGGCCCAUGUAACCAGUGUCUUGAAGAGGAGUUUGCUGUAGUAGGCUUCUCUUUUGAGUUGGUUUUUGUGCUGAAUUGUAUUCCAUCCCAUUUUUGGUCACCUCAACUGGGAUAUCAACAUUCUUUCCGGAUGUCAAACUAAUUACUUUGCAGUGUUCUUUGCUCUCUCUCCUAGGGUCUUCUGUGUUGCUAGGUAGGUUUCCUUGAGUUCUACUGCUCAUUACUGUAGCUAGUUGUCCCAUUUGGUUCUCAAGGUUUCUCAAGGACACAGCUUGACUAUGCACAAUUGCUUCAUUCUUUGCAAUAUACUCCUUGAUCAGUGCUUCCAAUGAAGUGAUUGGAUCCUGACUAAUAUGCUUUUGCCCUUGACUUUGUUGAUGAAAACCAGGCGGUUGUGUGUUUCUACUCAGUCCAUUCAAUGCUGGAGCAUUUCGAUUCUGACUGCUCCAUGAGAAAUUUGGGUGUUGUUUCCAGCCUAGGUUGUAAGUAUUUAAAUAUAGGUUGUUCUGAGGUUGUCGAUUGAAGUUGCCCACAUAGUUUACUGAAGCUGGAUUUCCAGGACAAUUAUCAAAAUCAUGUUCUUCACCACAAUAGAUACAAGAAAGUUCAGUAACUUGCUUUACUGUUGCUGGAGCAACUGUCAUGGCUUUUACCAUGUUAGUCAAUGAGGUUACUUGUGCUGAUAAGGUUGUAAUUGCAUCAAUGUUAUGUACCCAUGCUGAUCCUCUUGCUGCUGGUUGCCUGGUUGAAGCCCACUGGUAAUUAUUUUUGGCAAUUCUUUCUAGAAUUUCAUAAGCUUCAAUGUAAGAUUUGGAUAAUAGAGCUCCAUUUGCUGAAGCAUCCACCAUUAACCUUGUACUCUGAUUCAACCCAUUGUAGAAAGUUUCCAAUUGAAUGGAACAAGGAAUACCAUGAUAAGGACACCUUCUGAGCAAUUCCUUGAAUCUUUCCCACGCCUCGUACAAACUUUCAUCUUCCAGUUGAUGGAAUGAAGUAAUCUCAUUCCGCAACUUUGCAUUUUUUGUUGGUGGGAAAUAUUUCAUUAGGAAUUUAUCAGCCAGUUCAUUCCAUGUAGUGAUGGAAUCAGAUGGUAAUGAAUUUAACCAUACUCUUGCUCGAUCUCUUAAGGAAUAAGGAAAGAGCCUCUGCCUUAAGGUAUCUUGUAUUGCUCCAGCAAUCUUGAAAGCAUCACUUACUUCCAAGAACAAUUUAAUAUGGAGAUGAGGAUCUUCAUUAGGCAAUCCAUUGAAUUGUCCCACUGUUUGUAACAUUUGAAACAUCACUGGUUUUAACUCAAAAUUUGCUGCUUCUACCUCAGGUAUGAUGAUUCCAUGGUGUACAACUUGCAGGGUUAGUACAGCGUAAUCUCUUAUAGCUUUGUCUCUAUCAUUAGCCAUGUAAAUAAUAUUGUUGUUGCCUGGCUGUCUCCUGUUGGCAUGUUCAUUCUGCUCUUCUUGAAUGUUGACUGGUUGUAGGGGCCCGUGAGGAUUCAAAUUUUGCGCAUCCUGUAAAUUAUUCAUGCUUAAAGUAAUUUCUGAAUUCCUUUCAAUCUCAGGAUCGAAUUAGAAUGCGGUAAAUCUGUCUUUGCGCAUGCAUGUACCAAUCUGCUAAUAAAUAGUACAGCGUAAUCUCUUAUAGCUUUGUCUUUGUCAUUAGCCAUGUAAAUAAUAUUGUUGUUGCCUGGCUGUCUCCUGUUGGCAUGUUCAUUCUGCUCUUCUUGAAUAUUGACUAGUUGUAGGGGCCCGUGAGGAUUCAAAUUUUGCGCAUCCUGUAAAUUAUUCAUGCUUAAAGUAAUUUCUGAAUUCCUUUGUUCUCUUCGUAGUCUCCUGAUAGUCCUUUCAACCUCAGGAUCGAAUUAGAAUGCGGUAAAUCUGUCUUUGCGCAUGCAUGUACCAAUCUGCUAAUAAAUAGAAUGAAUCAAAUCAAAUUUGGCACUAUCAAGAUUUACUUCACACUUAAAAAAUAAACAAUCAAUCCCCGGCAACGGCACCAAAAACGUAUUGAUUGAUUUCUAUAAUCAAUUAUCAUCAAUGCCAAUGUGCAAGUAUACACAACAAAUAAUAAAGUGAUGAGUAUUCAAGAUCGUCUCCACAGGGAUUGAUGUUACUCAAAAUGCUAAAGCAAACACGAUAGUGCAAAUAAACUAAAGACCUAAACAAACAAUUGUCAAAUAAUUCUAUCACAACUAAUAAUUGUGAGAGAUGGAGAUAAAACAAUAAUGUAAUGGAAUAAACUAAGUUAAAUGUGUUUAAGAUUCAAUUGAGAAUAUAGUAGUUGAAUUAUCAAACUCUCCUAAUGGGGUGAUUGUUGUUUACCAAAUUAGCACCAGUUGUUACAAUAAGUGCUGCAGCAAUGGGUAGAAUAAAUCUGUUUCCGCAGCUAUCGCAUAUUGGAAAUCUCAUACCUUUAAAUCUACUAACAAUAACCAGUUACUCAUAUAUUUAUGGUACGACAUUAUAACAUUUAAUCUCUCCACCCUACAAGGUGAACACCUAUGUCUAGAGUGUCACAAAUCUUAACUUCAAGUAUAGCCCUUAUGGGAUUCAAGGUAACCUAAUCCAGGAAACUCGACUUAAGAACAAAUAAUACUCUAAUAAUGUCCGUUAAAACAUGUCAUUUUGCUGCUCUAUCUUAACUGAAACUAUUAAAUGGGUGGUCAACCGAAAUAACAGUUGUAUUCAUAAAAACUACUAGAGUAUAAUGCCACAACAUUACCAUAACAACAUAAAAGAACAGCCAAGAACCCAUUGGAUUAUUUAUCACUCAACCACAAGUAAUUUUAGUUCAUAAUCUGGAUGAGAAAAGUAAACACAAAUAUAUUAAUCUCCGAAUACAUCAAAACAAUCCAAGGGAGAAGAGAAAAUAUAAGUUGAGCACGAUGAAAGACAAAUAAUUCUGCACGAUUCUUUUCUUUGUUUCCGAAUAGCACUCCUCAAUCUUGAUCUCCUUCUUCUUGCCUUUGUAAUUAUUUUUUAUGAUAAUUCCUUGCCGUCUUUCUAUGUGGUGCACGCCUCCUUUUAUAUUGAAAAUUAGGGUAAAAGACCCAAAGUCCAUGCGCGUGCAUGCGUUUAAAUUAGGAAACAUGCAGAUCGCGAUUUUAUAGCUGACCCACGCUUUAAGCUUUCUACCGCAUUACUCUCUGAUUGCUGCAGCACUGCAUUAUUCCCGAUUGUGCUUGUCUUCUUUUGUGGCCAAAUUCUUUCCUCCUCUUGCUCAUCUAAUGUCUCAGCAUCCCCUUAUGAAUUUAAAACCUACAAUUAUGCACCUGUUUUUUAGCACAAAUUACUUGAUUUAAACAAAACUUAUUAAAACCCAACUAAAAUGAAUGUUUAUGUAAAAAGUAACCAAAAUGUAAUAAAAAUACCUUAUUUGCUCUCUAAAUGAUCUUGAUUUAAGUUUAGAAUUGAUGUAAUAACUCUCAUUUCCUAGAGUUAUGUGUCCAGGAUUUAUGGCACCUUAUUUAUGAGUUUUGUGAUUGCCUUUUUCGGCCACCACCAUCCAAGGUCCAAAUUUAUGGUUGGCUGAUUGCACCGUUGCUUCAACUUCUUCCAUUCGAUCAAGAGAAUUGUGUUUAUCCUUUUUUAUCACCUUAUUUGCUAUUUUCUUUGGGCAAGAUGAAUUAAGUUGACCGCAAGUGACACAUUCAAAACAUAUGGUGGGUAAACUUUCAUAUUUAACUUGUUGAAUCUUGCCAUCAAGGAGGAACUGGGAGCAUAAUGGCUUAUCUAAGGCAACUUCAACAGCGAUCCAAGUGAAUUUAGCCCUACUAAAGGUAUUUUCUCAUUACCACUGUCAAAAUGAGGUGACCACGACUGUACCGUUAAAUAGUGCCAAGCACAAUCCAUGAUCCUUAAGUAAGCACAUGCUAUGCAUCUGAAUCCCUUUUAAACCCAGACAAGAAAAUAAUUAUUCUCUAGAUCUAUCACAAAGAAAUCGUGAGACAUAUACCAUAAAGCCUCCAAUCAAUUGCACAUAACCUUGUAUCCAAUAGAUCAUUAAAAAAAAGGAUGGAACUUUAUGGACACUGGCCUAGAAAAAUCCUCUCCUCCUCUGAUUGAAAACGACCAAUCUACGAAGAAGGCGAAGUUUAAAACACAGGGUGUGGAUGGGGAUAACCCACCCUCUGGGUCUUUUAAAGACAAAUUGUUGGAGACUCAAAUGGCGGUGGAGAAAGAAUUCAUGAGUAAGGAAGAAGACAUUGAAAUUGAUAUGGGGGAUGUGGUAGUUGAGACGAAAGGGCUUUUACUGGCUAUAUCUUUUUUUCUAGAAAGUUCAUUCACAACUAGUGAAACCAUGGCAAACAACAGUAGUUGUGAAAUUACUAAGAAGAUCUAUAAGAACAAGGUUCUUUUAAUAGAGAACUAAUCUUUGAUUAAAAAAACAAUACCUUAAGAUUAAUAAAAGGGAUUAGAAUCAUCCAUGACAUCAGUCAAUAAGUUAGCACAAGGAAUUGCUAACAUGAUUAAAAGAAGGGAAAUUAUCAGCCAUAUACCCUUAAAUGACAGCCGUAUCAAAUUUGCUAUAAUAUUUUUCAAGUGUAUCACUCGUAUACCCUAAGUUGACAAAACACUUCUGCCGUCCACCAAUCCUUUAACGUCGGUUAUAAAGUUAACAGAAUUGUGGUAAAUUGACUAUUUCGCCCUUGAAACUCAAAAUGAGGUAAAAAGAUAAAUUUACCCCAAAAAUUAACGUAAAUUUCAAUACACAAUUUUUUUAUUUUGUUAUUAAUAAUACAUUUUUAUUAAAAAAUAUGAAUUAUUAAGGGUACAUAUUAUUAAUAAUUAUCCGUAAAAAAUAUCCAUAUUAUACCAUAAAAAAUUAUUAACAAUAUAUUAUUUACAAUUAUACAUAUUAUACCAUAAAAAAUUCCAGUUGGAACUUGGAGAAGUAGAUCUUCAAAAAUUUAGGUUAAAUUUUGGAGAAGUACAUUCAGUUGUAAAGUAGUAAUUUUUUUUUAUAGCAAUUUUUAACAAUUAUUCUAUAAAUGAGAUGACAUGUCAUUUUUAUCAAUAUAUAUCAUAUGACAUGUCAUUUUUUACUAGGUAAAUGGAAUGACAUGUCAUUUUUUUAAAAAGACUAGAUUACCCUUAUGAUGUCAGCGCUUGCAAACGGCAGUUAACGAAUUGGUGGACGGCAGAAGUGUUUUGUCAACUUAGGAUAUACGAGUGAUAUACUUGAAAAGUGUUGUAGCACGUUUGAUAUUGGUGUCAUUUAAGGGUAUAUGACUGAUAAUUUCCCUUAAGAAAAACCAUAAUGUAUUUCAGUGCUACAAUGCGAUAAAAACCUAAUGAAAUUAGGUAUGCUAUGGGAAAUACAAAUAUACUAUUAUUAUUAGAGUCUAAUAUAGAAGAUAAAACCAAUAAGAUAAAAUCUACUGACAGACCUAAAAUUGGAUAUGUUCAUAUUGGAGGAAUCUACGUCAUAAUAAAAGCUCAUUUUCGAUAAGGCAUAGAUAGUCUACUAAAUUUAGCAGUACUGGAUAAUAGAAUAAAAGAUCGAAAACAUGCACUCCUUGAAGUAAUAUAAGAAAACUUGAGUUUAAAAAAAUUAAAAUUAAAGAUAUAUCCCAAAUAUUCUAUAAGUCUUAGAGACAAGAAUAUAAAUAAAACAUUAACCUUAUGUCAUGAUUUUAAAUACUUUGAUAUAAUGCAUGAUGGAUCUUAUCCGUAUAGCAUAACAUAUGCUAUAGAAUAUGCAUUAACAAAUUCAGCAAAUAGUGAAAUGUUUGUUGAUAAAGAUUUUAUUGAAAUUGAUAAAUUAUUUAAUAAAGUUAGAAAGAUACAAUCUCCUGAUAUUUUGAGAGAAACAGAUUUACCAGAAGAAUGAGAAAUGGAUCUAAGUAGUCAACCUACUUUGGUUGGGGGAAAUACUAAACCCAUAGAAUAUACUCCAGAUGGAAAAUCAUCAUAAGAAAUAGGAGAUCAUUCUCUAUACCCAAAAGAGAACUAUAAUUAAGUAGAACCCAAAGUUUUACUAGAUGUAGCCAUCUUGUGAUACCAUUAUCGCAUGAAAUAUUGGCCACAGUUAGAAAUAAUAAUCAAAAUCUACAAAUUAAGAUUGAAUAUAAUAAUGGAAAAUCAUGGCAUGAGACGUUUACUAUCCUUGAUACAAGAGCAGCAAAAUUUUAUGCAGAUGCCAAAAUGAUUAAAUAUUUAAAAAGAUUAUAAUUGAACCUUAUAUAUAUGUAGGAUUUAAUGGAGAAAGAAAGACAUUAAGUCAAUAUUGCGAAAUACCAUUAAGAAUAAAAGGAAUAGAAUUUAUCUCUCCUAAUUGCAUGGGAGAUAGAGAAAUAAGCAUAACCAUUGAAGGGAUUAAGCAAAUCAUAUCAAGAUAUAUCUAAUCCUUUUAUAGUUUAUAUAAAGGUGAUUAUACCAUAUUAUAAGCAUAAGCUAGAAUGGUUUAAUGCUUUAAUUGAUAUUGAUUUAGGAGUUAGUUUAGUUAAUUCCAUGAUUUAUCCAAAAUCAUAUUAGAAAGAUUAUAAGCCUUUAACAGGACAAAGGAUAAAUGGUGAAUAGAUCACCUUCAGGACAUGUAGGAUUAAGACUUUAAUCCAAAAGGAAGGUUACAUCCUAAGUAUCCUUAUAUUAUGGUCUUAUGAUCAUAUGGGUGCAGAUAUAGUUUUGGGAGUCAAUUUCCUUCGUUAGUUCAUUCAUAUAAUGAUUAAUGAAAUCAUUACUCUCAAAACACCAUGUAAUCAUUCCAUUACUACACCAAGGAUUUAUAACCCUAUUAGGCAAACAACUCAAAAAUUACAUUUUCGACACAACCAACGUGGUGAUUACAUUAUAAAAAUCAAUCAAAUCAUAUCAGAUUAUGACAAAUUUUUAGAAAAACUUCAUAAAAUGUUUUGUGAAAACCCAAUUCAAUUAUGGAAAUUUGAUCAAACGUAUCCUAAGAUCAAAUUAAAAGAUCCAAAUGUUAUGAUAAGAGUUAAGCCUAUGAGAUAUGGGUAAGAAGAUAGACAAGAAUUUGAUAAACAAAUUAAAGAGUUAUUAGAACUUAAGAUUAUUCGAGAAUCUAAACGUCCUCUUAGUAGUCCAACCUUUAUGGUUAGGAAUCAUGUAGAGAUUAAAUGAGGAAAAGCUCGUAUGGUUAUUAACUACAAAGAAUUAAAAAAAAUACUAAAUUCGAUGGAUACUUUUUACCUUAUAAAGAUACAUUAAUUACCUCUAUAAUUCAUAAAAAGACAUUUGGCAAGGUUGAUUGCAAAUCUGGAUUUUGGUAAAUUAAACUUGAAGAAGGGAGUAUACCACUUACUGUCUUUAGUACACCUCAAGGACAGUAUGAAUAAAUUGUGAUGCCUUUUGGAUUAAAAAAUAUACCACAAAUAUUUCAAAGAAGGAUGGAUAAAUUUUUUAAAGAAUUUCAUGAAUUCUGCAUUGUUUAGGUAGAUAUGAUAUUCUAGUCUUUUCAGACAAUGAAGUAGAUCAUAUUAAUCAUCUCAUAUAUAUGUAUAUAUAUAUAUAUUUACAGAAAAAUGAAAGAAACCUGAAAUACUACUUUCUAAAAAGAAAGUCGAGACAAUGAAAACUAAAAUAGAGUUUUUAGGGUUAAUAAUAGAUGAAACAAGAAUUGAAAUGCAACCUCAUAUUUAUGAAAAAAUAUAUUUAUUCCCAAAUAAAUUAGAAUAAAAAAAAAAUUCAAAGAUUGUUAGGAUGUCUCAAUUAUGUUGAAUGUUUCAUAGAAAACUUAACUAAAGAAAGACAACCUUUACGAGGAUUAUUAAAACAGAAUGAUACAAAAUCAUGGGAAGUUCUCCAUACCAAAGUGGUAAAAAGAUUAAAAGAAAAAUAUAAAAAUCUACCAAGGUUAGGAUUCCCUACCUCUAGUGAUAAUUUAAUUCUUGAAACAAGUGCUUCAGAUAAUCACUAGGGUACAGUCUUAAAAACGAAUCAAGAAAAGAUUUGUAGAUAUGCCAGAGGAACAUUUAAGCUCGUAGAAAAGAAUUAUCAUAGUAAUUAAAAGGAAUUGUUAGCUAUUAAAAAUGGAAUAGCUAAAUUUACUUUCUUUUCGUUACCAAAGAAAUUCAAGGUAAGAUAUGAUCACACUCAGGUCAAUGGAUUUAUAUUUAAUAAAUUGCCUAAUCCCCCUCAAUAUAAAAGAUUAAUUAGAUGGCAGCAGUUCUUUACUGAAUAUGAUUUUAAAAUUGAACAUAUUAAAGGAUCUAACAAUUAUAUUGUAGAUUUUCUAAGCCGAUAACAUAAUGGAGAAGAGUUUUUACAAAAUAAUUAAUGGCACAAUGAUGUGCUUGGAAGGUCAAGAGUUGCUUCUUAAAGGCAAUAGUAUGAUUUAUGAUGAGCUUGCCAUGAUGGAUGAUGCCCAUGGGAAAUUGAGCACAUUUUGCCCAGAAAAAUCUUCGUAAAAUCAUUCAGAAGUCCAAAUUUCAGGACAAUAUAUUAGUAACAUCCUAAAAAAAAAUUAUUUCAAGGAUAAAACUGAGGGCCAGAUCGCUCAAAGUUCCUCACAAAACUCAAAAAUCACACAUCUAAAGAAAUUUCUCACAAUUAAUGAUAUCAAAGAAAAAUAUAUGAAGAAAGAAGAAUCUUAAAGGUCUUCAUUGAGCCUAUGGCCCCAAUAUGAUAAAAUCAGACAAUCCAUUUUUUUGGUUAAAAUUUCAUUAGGCAGCAGCUACACUUAUGAUUAUAAAAGAAUUGGUAAAAUAGCCUAUGAGAUUUGUCUUAGCCAGGCAAUAAUACCAGAUCAUUCAAGGUUAUUACCAAGGAUUAACUUUGUUCCAGGAGCUGAUCCAAAAUUGAUAAAAGAUAUGUUUGAAUAUGGUUUUCUUAACCCUGUUUGUGUCAGUGAUGAUUGUAGGGAAUUAAAAGAGCUCUAAAAAAAAUUACAAAGGUCGUCAAUGACCUCAAAAGAAUAUCCAAAACAAAAGAAAUUAUUUUUAUCAAGAUACUCACUGCAUGUUAGGCCUUGUUUGUUUUUUGAAGAUUUUAUGAGAUAAAAAGUGAUAAGAGUAGUUCAAAUUCAUAAAAAUGGAAAGAUCUAUUAACAAAUUUUUAGAUUCAAUUGAUAAUUUAAACUUUAGCCAAGAAUAUCAAAUCAUUUAUAUAAUUUCAAUUGUUAAAACUAGAUUGAAUGCAAGCAAGCGCUUAUAUGAAGAAAUGAAAAGGAUUAACAUCAAUAAUGACCAAGAAGUAUUUGAUUCCUUUGAAAAAGAAAAUAGGAUGGCAUUAAUGGAGUCAAUUUUAUCUAGUCUUGAAAUAAUACAAGAUGGGCACAGAACUAAUAACAUAACUCAAAACCAACCAUAAAUAUGAAUAAUGAUAAUAUGAAUACGUUGAUUCAGGAAGCUGAAUUUAGAUUACAACCUCUCAGUGAAAACCUUGAUGAUAUAAUCUUUAGUUGUGAAAAUAGAUUGAUUAUAUAUAUAUAGAGAUGUUAAAAGAAAAUUUUGGUCAAUGUCCCAAAGGAGGCAAAUAAUCAUAAAUACAGGAUCUCAUCUAGAAUUUAUAGAUCUAUACGAGUUUGAUAAUCAUUUAGAAAUUUAUAAAAUAAUAGUUAAACUUUAAAAGGUUUUAAGAAUAGAUGUAGGAGAAAUGGAAGAAGAUAUGAUUUAUUAAGAUUAUAGGUCCCUAGGAUGAAUAUAAAAAUCUUUGAAUAGUCAAAGGAAUUAAUAAAAUUUAGCAUAUUUUGCAAAAAGAUCCUUGUUAUACUAGAUGUUGUACACAUUGUUGUAAGCAUAUUAUUGUUGUAUAUUUUUUAAAAGAGUCCAGCUAUGUUAGAACAACUUUAAGAUAGAGCACGCCUUCAUAUCCACAUAAUCAAAGUUAUAACAUAUUAUUUAUUAUUUAUUAUUUUAUAUAUAUGAUUGUGAUUUGUAAUGUACUUUAGAGCAGCUCUAAGAUAACCAUUACCUUGUGGAAAUCACUCCUCUUUGUUUAUGUAUUUUGGAUGGCAAAAAAAUAAAAAAUAAAAAUCUGCUGAGAUGAAUUGAAAAUAUGUAGCAUGCAUGUUAAAAUUUAUUUAUCCCAUUGGGAAAAAAUAAAAUAUAAAAUAUUUGCUUAGCCAGAUUAACUGUCAGAGUUGACUAGAAUACAAUAAUCAUAAUAAUAAUAAUAAUAAUAAUAAUAAAUGGAUAGGGGACAUUGCUAUGUUACAGAUUUUGUAACAAACAGACAUUGAAAAAGACAUGUACAUUUAUAAGAUUUUGCCACGUGGUAAAGGAAAUGAAAAUUAACGGGUUUUGCCGGUUCCUAUCCAGUUGCAAAAUUUCACAAGGUCAAACGAUUUGCAAAAAUGAAACUCCCUCGUCGUUAAUGCGUUAAAAGGGAAGAGGCCAAAAAAUUUGAACUCUUCAUCAACAUAUCUUUUUAAUUAUCUAUGUCAAGAUAUUUAUAUUUUUUAAAUUUGAUAAAGAAGAUGAUUUAUUUCAAUUAUUGACUAUUUAAUAUGAUUAUUGAAUAACUAAUUAUGAUGUACAUAGAUAUAAUAGAUGAAAAAUAAAAUUCCUUCUGUCGACAUAGAUAUAAUAAUUAAGACUGUAUAACUCUUAUUAACUAGUUUAUUCAAUUUUAUAAAUUAACUUUAAAAUAAUUUUUAAUUCAUUUAUAAUUCUUUUUUUCUUAUAAAUGAGUAAUGAAAAUAAAUAUUUUUAUGUAAAUAAAUAUUUUAUAGUGUAAUAUCAAGUAAUUUUAUUAGUAAUCAUCAGACAAUUUAUUUUAUGAUUUUUUUAGUACUAUAAUAUUUUACAUUGAGUCUAUGGAUAUUUGCAAUUAAUAUCUAUUGAGACUAAUCUAAAUUAAUUUUUAUUGUAGUGCAGCUUAGAUAUCUACUUCCACUAAUAAUUAGGAGUAUGUAUCUGCUAUGCUCUACCUAUAUUUGUAGGAAAAAUAAUUUAUUCCUACCAUUUUAUACAUGGGUUUGACUCCCAUGGCAUAUCUAUGAGACUCUAACCAACACCCUCAUUCUAGUCUAGGAAACAUGGUGGCAACUUAUCUUAUAUGACCAGACCUAGGACUUUUUAUUACAUUGGGCUAAAUUUAUCGUAAAUAUUUGUAUAAAUACUGAUUCAUGUACAAAAGUAAAAACAACAUAUAUAUCAAGCAACACCAUGUCAAAACUCUUAGUUAAACGCCUAUAUUUAAUAAAAGAAUGACAAUAAAUACAACAAAUAAGCUUAUAGUGUAAAUUAUUAAAUUUAAAAAAUUAUUUUUGAAUUUUUUAUUUUAAUGAUAGAGAAUGUGAUAUAUUUGAGUAAUUUGAUUUAAUGAAAAGAAAAAAAUGAUUAUGAAGGAAAUAAGCAAUGAAAUUAUGAAAAUAUUAUUAAUUUUUAAUAUAUUAUUUUAUAACUUUCUAAUACUAGUGAUAAUGUUAUAAUGUAUAUAUUGACAUAUAUAUAUAUAUAUUCAAGUAGGCAAAAUCAUAGCAUUUUUUAUAAUAAAUUAAAGUAGUACUAGGAUUUUAGACCCCUAAUUAAUUCAAUUUAUUCCAUAGAUAUAUGACAUAAUUAUUUUAUAAAACAACUCCCUAAUUCUAAUUGAAAAAGAAAUAGUUGAAUUGGGGAUAUAUUUGAAAAUAAAAUAAAAAAUCUAUUAUUAUAUAAAAACAAAAAGGAGUAUAAACGAAAUUUUACAAGCUUAGGUCAGCCUCCGAUCGUAGGAAUUUGGAAUAAAUUCUUAUUAUUGGACAAGUAGGGAUAAGCAAUUAACAAUCCGAACGUGGAAGUAUUAGAGUAAUAAUCACACAAUUUAGGGCCAGUUUGGUAAUGCUGUAGCUUUUAAAAUAAUUGCUGUUAGCUGUGCUGUAGAAAUAAUCAGCUGUGAAGAGAAUCAGUUUAGUGUUUGGUAAAUUUUAUUUUCAAAAGUACUGUGAAUUUUGAAAGCAGUUAUGGGUGUUUGGUAAAUCUUAUUGUUAAACUGCUGUAAAAAAAUAAAUGACUAAAAUGUACAUAAUGUAAGAUGAAAUUUACUUAUACCUAUAAAAAUGUACACGUAUAAUAUCUCGUUGAAUCAAACAAUUUUUUUGAAAUAAUUGUGUAUUAUAAUAAUUUUAACUAAAAAUAAAAUUUAUGCUAUAGUGAUUUUUUUAAAUCUUAAAACAAUUGAUAUUUAAAAAAUCAACUACAAUUUUCAUUAAAUAACAUCAAGUAAAGUAUAACUAGAUAUUCCAAGAAUAAACAUAAAAAAAUGUAAUGAGCUACAAACACUCAAAACGAAAACAAAUAAUAGAUUGUCAUGCAAUAUCAUAUUCGCAUUAAACUUGCAGCAAUAUUAUUUCUUAGAACUUCCAUUUCCCGUGCUUCAGGUCCAUUGUUGAUAUAUUCUUCUUCUUGUCCUUCUUGUCCAUCAUUGACCUCUCUCCUUGUCUCUUCAUCGGUGUAAUCAUUGUGUUCAUUUUCUUCAUUCUCAAAAUGUUUGUCAUGUCGUGCAUGUCUUCUUAUAUAGUUAUGUAAUGCCAUGGUUGCAAUAAUUAUCUUUACUUGUUUAUUGAAUGGAUAGCUAGGCAUGUCCCUCAAAAUCUUCAUCGUUUUUUCAUACACCAAAAGUGCGUUCUAUUACACUUCUAGUGAGUACCUCUUGAUAACCUGUUGGUUGGCUGCCUCUACGAAAAUCUGGAAGGUGAUAUCUUUCACCUUUAUAUGGCCCCAAAAAACCUUUUAUUUGUGGGUAUCCCGCAUCCACUAAAUAAUAUUUUCCUAAACAUUUAAAAUAUAAUUUUAAUAAUAUUAUAUAAAAUUAAACUUAAGAAAGUUAUUGGAAAAAAAUUGAUAAAAAAGAAAAAGAAAAAUUAUGUAAAAAUGACAAACCUCUAGGUGGUUUAGGAAAAUUUAAAGUAGGAUUACGUAGAGUUGAUAAAAAUAUCCUUGUAUCAUGAGCGCUUCCUUCCCAACCUGCAAUUGCAAAUAUAAACUGCAUAUCAAAGUUGCAUGCAGCCAUUAUGUUCUGAGUUGGUAUGCCUUUCCGACCAAUGUAUGGUAUUUGAUCCUCAGGAGGUAUGGAGACAUGAACAUGUGUGCCAUCUAUAGCACCGAUACAAUCCUAAAACAACAAUAUAAAAUUAUAUAUGUAAAAAAUAAUUACAACUUUAUAAAGUGUAAAAGUUUAAUUGAUAAUCAUUUACCUUAAAGUGUGGCAUAUAUCUAGAAUCUCUCAAGAUUUCUUCAGGAAUAUCUUUAAACUCAGGAUCAAAUGGCUUUAUUAAAUCUAUAGAUAAGCGACAGAUAGCAUCCAGUGCUUCACCAAAAUAUCUACUCACCGUCUCUCCAGAGUGUUGGAAUCGUUCUUGUGCCAAUCUAUUACCCACACCAUGUCCUAUAGUAUGCAAGAACAUUCCUAAUACCUCAGUAGUGCUCACUCUUCUUGAGCCUUUUAGCCCGUAAUUUAUUUCCAAUUCAUUACACGAUCUAAAAAAUACAUCUUUCUCCAUUCUAAACAUCCUCUGACACCGAGUUUCAUUCCCUUUUAAUACUCGCAUCAACCAGACAUUACCUGUUUCUGAAGAAUUCAUGCAAGGUUGUUUAUGAAUAUACGUCCUAUAAUAAUAAUCAACGGCAAUCGUAAAAGUGGAUAUGAUGCUAUCAAACUCCUGCUUGUCAUCUAGCAUGUCCAUAUUAUAAACAAAACCUGUAAUCAAUAAUUUAAACCCAUAUUAUCUAGCAUGAACAAAAAAAGUAAUAAUAAAAAAUAAAAAAAUAUAUGACAAACAUUCAAAAUAACAACUAAUUGUCAUAUAUUCAAAUAGCCAAUUGUACCUUAAAAUAUUAUAUAAAAAAACAAAAAAAAGGAUAAUCCCUUAUUAAUACUAGAAUAGAAGAGUAAUAACAACGAAAAACUUAAGAUUGCAAAUAUUGUGAUUGCUCAUAAUAAAGCCAGUUAAGCAUAAUUUGAGGUUCUUUCAUGGUUGCAAGCAUCUCCCUUUUCUCUUUACGAAUAAGAAGUUGAGUAGCAAACAGCCAUAUGUUGCCUCCAAUCUCAACCCCAGGAAUAGAUUCAACUAUCUUCAUUGCUUCGGCAAUACUGCAACCAUUCAUUUCUUUUUGUAAGUUUAUUAAUGUAGAACUUCUAUUCUCAACUGCUUCAACAAGACGUUCAAUUUGUUGUGAUAUUUUUGUAGCACCUCCAACCUUCCUCCCUGCGUGAUCAACUUUUUUUCCUUUCUUAAUUUUUUUGGCCUGUGUGCUAUGUAGUCCAACUACUUUUUCAUCUUUUUUCUCUUUAGCACAUUGGUAAGUAUAUUGAACUUGCAUAUCCUUGUCAGAAUCACUAUUUUCUUCAACUGGAAAUAUUGUAUCAUUAUUGGAAUCCUCAUAAUCAUCAAGUGGAAUUACCCCAGAAGAAGGUGUCCAAGCUUUAUUGCCAGUAGCUGUGAUGUUCAUGAACAUCCUAUCUAACUUCCCUUCUAAUUCUUUAUCAAUGCCCUCUUUGCGGAAUUUUUCUACUUUAGGAUUUGCCUGCAUGUAAUAAAUCAUAUUUAGAUGAAUUGCAAAAAUAUUAACCAAAUUAUAUUAAAAGCUAUCAACUAAUGUACCAUACCUUCAAUUUACUCUGCCACCAUUCUGGAGAUGCAUCGAUUGUUUUCUUUUGUAUAUUCCAUCCAAGACCAGUUUCCUUUCCAAUAAGAUCCUUCCAUAAUUUCCAGUCGUUUUUUAGUGCAUCCCAUUUAUUUUUUAAUUGUAAUUUACUAUACUCCCUUCCCGUUGCCUUACAAAAGUUUUUGACCAAAUUUUCCCAUCCUAUUUUAGUAAAAUGAGUCCCAGGUCGACGUCCUUCCUCUACCUCUACGAUACAUAAAUUACAAAAGAUUGAAACAGUCUCAUUGUCCCACAUAGCCUUACCUCGUGGUACAUUAUUAGUUUCAACUUGAUUGACAAUUUUCUUGUCUCUGUCCAUCUACAUCAUUGUAAAUAUAUUUUAAUACAAGCACUGCUUUAAAAAUUAUAAUGAACAAAAAAAAAUAAAAGACGGAAAAAUUGAAAAUCACAGACAUUCAUACUACGCUAUUGGCUUCAUACUACGCCACUGGCAGUAAAGCUUGAUGAACAUCAACUGGCGGCAUAAACAAAUAAUAAAGUUGGGCAAUAAACUAGAAUCCUCUUUUACUUGCAUAUCCAUUAAAUCUUUUAAAAACAAAAACAUUGCAAUUGCAUAUGCAUGAAAUUCUUUUUCCUUAUUAUGAGAAGUGAAAUUACAAAAGCAAGGCAAGGGAAUGCAAAAGAACUUUCAUGGAGCAUAGCAUCACUACUGGCAUAUAUUGCAAGUGAAGCAAAGUUGAAGUAAUUGCAUAUACAAAAAGAUAAUCAAAAGUUGAUGGUACCUGAAAUGUGAUCAAGCGAAGACCCUUCUCCUUCCCUUUCUCUGAACAAGUAAUAAUGCGAACUCUGAAGGGAGCUCACGUGAACAUGUUCCUGUAAAAUUUUCAAACAAAUUCAACCCAAAAAAAGCCUCCAUGAAUCAAUUCCAGGACGAAACUAAUAAUGCGAUAUUAAUACAUCAAAAUAUUUUUAGCAACAUCCGCUUGUAAAUGAUUUUAAAUGAAAAAACAAAACAGAGGAAGCAUUCGAAACAAAUUAAACAACUACACCACGUGAAAGAUAGCAUUUUCGUCUUUUUCAUUAUGCAACAAACUUUAAAAACUAACCAGCCACCGAAAAUUAUAUGUAAACAAACGCAAGUAAGACAAAUAACAAAGAUUAUAAUAAUAAAAAUUGCAUAGCCAUAGAAUCAUUUAUAAUAAAAAAUUUAAAUAAGACAAACAAUGAAUAUUAUAAUAAAAACAUUGAAUAGGCAUGAAAAGGAUGAUGGAACACGUACUGGAUGUUCAGUUCGUACUGUAAGACAAAUAAUAAUCAACUAAUUGACAAAACAGCAGCGGCGGCAGGGCAUAUGCCAGUGUCGUCUCGUGUUAUUCAAUAUACUGUUAUUGAAUAUGGUGAUGGAACACGUACUGGAUGUUGGUUUUUUGUAGUAGAGAAGUUUUGAUAGAACACAAAAUAUGAAGAAAUAGGGUAAACGAAAGGUGUGUGUUAAUUAUAAUAAAAAAUUAUUAAAAUAUUGAUUUUGUUUUCAAUUUAAAUAAGGAUAAUUUUGGGUUUAAGUAAUAAUUGUAAGGAUAUUUAUGGAAUUAUAUUAAAUGAUAAAAUUGAUUCUCAAAAUCAGAAUCUAAAAGCUACUUCUUCCCUGCUUUUCAAAAUUAACUGUAGGAGGAGCUGAUUCUGGCAAAAGUGAUUUUAAUUUUUUUUUACCAAACACCAAAAUUAGCUUUUAGAUUUUUAAAAUCACUUUUAACCCUCCCAAAAGCAAUCCCAAACGGGGCCUUAGUCUAGUUUGCCCCUUAUUUUAUCUUCCAAAGAUAGCCACUUACCUUAAUGUGCCUCACAUUAGAUAAUACCAUUGCUAUAAGAAAAAAAAAAUACACGAGUUAUAAUUAAUUUUUCACUAUUGAAAUAAAAAUUUAUUAAUUAAAAGUGUUCUCAUAUGUAUGUGUAAAACACUUAUAUUUUUUAAGAUAUCUCACAUAAUAAUAUUGUUGUUAUUAACAAUACAAGUGUUAGGGAAUUUUAAUUCCAUCCAAGAUCAAGUAAGUGAAAAUAUCAAAUAAAUGAUAAAUAGAAAAUAAAUAAAGAAUAAAAUCAAUUACACAACACGAGAAUUUACGUAAAAAAUUCCUAUACUUAACAAAAAUAUGGUCGCUAAAGACGACGAGAGAAAGAUUCACUAUGUAAAAAGUUAUUACAAUUAGUGUAGUAUUUUUCUCGUACCAAAAAACUCCAAUAUAACACAAUCUCUUAAUAGACAUACUAUUUCUCUCACAUUAGAAACUAUAUAUUUUGCAGAGAAAUUAAUUGUUAUGUUAUACCAAAAGUGAACCUAACCUACUUAUAUAUAGUGAUUAUUUCUUAUAGAAAAAAUAUUCAUUUUCUUAUGUAAGUUGUACUCUUUCUUGAAUAAGUUGAGUCUCAGAGGAAAAAUUACUUAUUAUUUAAAUAGAAAUUUUCCUAAAAAGAAAAAUAUCAUAGGAAAUCUUUAUUAAAAAAAGAUACAUAUUUCCUAAUAACAAAAAGUUUAAAAUAAUUUUUUGGUACAUUGAGAAUUUGAUACAUGGAAUUUUAAUUUCAACAUUGAUAGUUUCUUGCAUGAAUUUUGCAAAUACAAUUUCGGUUGUAAAAUUGCAUCAUUUCGAUGGCCAAAGGAAAAAAAUUGCCCACGAUGAAAAGGUCGUUUUAGGGUGCCCAUGGAGAUGUUUGGUUUAACUUUUAAUAUGCAUAAUCUGGGUUGUCAUAAGGAACUGCAAAAUGAAGUAAUGAGAUUUAAAAAAAAAAAAAAAAAAAAAGCGUGGAGUAAUAAUAGAGAGGAAGAGAAAAGUAAGUUAUUUCCUUUUAUGAAACCUUUCCAUCCGGUUGCACUUUUGCUCUGAUAAUUUAUUACUAGCAUUAGAUUUCUGUCUCUAAAUCCAACGGUUCAGCUAGUGGACUGUUACUGACAGAAUCAGUAAAUUAGCCGGACCCAAUGGAUAGGAUAUAGGCAGCGUGAGGUCUUUGAGUCCAAAGGCCAAAACCUCAUCUUGAAUCCAAAUUCCCAACGGAGCCAAUGCCCCUCUCUCUUUCAUCUUCUUCUCUGCUCUUCCCUUCAUUCACGAUAAACUCAAAACCCCACGCUUCACAUUCAAUAUACAAGCGUCGUCCUCAAGUUCUUCCAAGCAACUCUCUCUCAACAGCAAACUAGAACGAAAAGAUAGAGUCAUUGUGAUUGGAGCUGGCCUUGCUGGCCUUGCCGCCGCAACCAGACUCCAUUCUCAAGGCCGACCAUUUGUCCUUUUAGAAGCUUCCGACGCUGUUGGCGGCCGCGUCCGUACUGACUCUGUCGACGGCUUUCUCUUGGAUCGUGGUUUCCAAAUAUUUAUUACAGCCUACCCAGAAGCCCAGAAGCUACUCGACUACAAUGCUUUAAAUCUUCAAAAAUUCUAUUCUGGUGCCAAAGUCUAUUACAACGGCCAGUUCCACACUGUGGCCGACCCUUUUCGCCACUUCUGGGACUCCAUAAAAUCCCUAGCAAACCCCAUUGGCUCAGUUCUUGAUAAGCUGCUUAUCGGUCUAACCAGAAUUAGGGUUCUGAUUAAAACGGAUGAGCAAAUCUUGACUUCCAGUGAAGUCCCCAUUAUAGAACUAUUGCGGAAUAUUGGAUUUUCAGAUUCAAUCAUUGACUCAUUUUUUAGACCCUUUUUUGGUGGCAUCUUUUUUGACAAGGAGCUCGAAACUAGUUCAAGAUUGUUUGAUUUCAUUUUCAAAUGUCUUGCUCUUGGUGACAACACAAUUCCCGCCAACGGAAUUUGCCAAAUUCCCAAUCAGAUUGCGUCUAAACUUCCUUUUGAAUCCAUCUUACUAAAUACAAGAGUUCUCUCUAUCGAUUUUGAUGAACAAAAUAUGCCCAACGUGAGAUUAGCCAACGGCGAAACAUUGAAAAGCGAAAUAGGAGUAAUAUUGGCUGUUGAAGAACCGGAAGCGGAUAAGCUUUUGAGACAACCAGUUAAAUUUCAAAGAAAACCAGCUCGGAGUACAGUUUGUUUAUACUUUUCAGCCGACAAGGAUGAGAUCCCAGUUCAGGAACCAGUUCUUUUUCUCAACGGUUCGGGCAAGGGUAUUGUUAAUAACAUCUUUUUCGCCACAAAUGUUGCUCCAUCGUAUGGCCCACCGGACAAGGCGUUGAUAUCUGUAUCGUUGAUCGGUUUGUUUGCGGAUGUUAUGGAUGACAAUCUAACGGCUGAGGUGAUCCGAGAGUUGUCUGAUUGGUUUGGUAAGUCAACGGUUGGUUCAUGGAGACACUUGAGGACCUAUCGGGUUCGGUUUGCUCAACCGAAUCAAAGCCCACCAACUGAUUUGAUAAAAAAUCCCAAAAGCGAGUUCAGUUUGGCUGUGUAUUUGUGUGGUGAUUAUAUGACUUCAGCUACUUUUGAUGGUGCUUUGGUUUCGGGAAGGAAAGCCGUAGAUGCUUUAUUGAGAGAUAGAGCCUUCUUAAAUUCAGGUGUUUAAAAGUUUUCAAUGUUUUGUGCUUCUUUUUCAAUGUUUGGAACCGAAAUUAUUGAUUGUUGUUUAACUUUAUUGUGGUAUCAUCUCUCGGUGGUCGCUAGGGUCAGCAACGGGACGGGUCAGAAUUUAUUGAUUUUGAUCCAUAUGUUUUCAAUCCGUCCUAAAUAGUCAAUUAGGACAAAAAAUUUUAAAUUGUCUCGAAUGAUACCAGUUUUUUAUCAUAUGCUGCUGACGUUAUCAUAUCCGAUAUGUCAUAUACCUAUAACUAACAUAUCAUAUAUAUUAUUUAUAAAAAUGACUAGUCAUAAAUAUAUGACCGACAUGUCAGAUUUAUAUGAUUCAUUAAACUGGCUUGUCAUACAUUUCGAAAAACCCAAAUUUAGGUGCCCAUGGGAUCCCAAUUUAGAUAAAUGUCCCAAAUCUUGUCCUUAACUAUGAAUUAGGACAAUUUGAGUCUUGAAUCCUGACUCAAGUGGUAAAUCAAACAAAAUUUGAAUCAAUUCUUUUAAAAGGCAAAUCACUUUUUUCACUCAAAAAAAUGGAGAAACAUUGUACUAAUGUUGGGAUAGAUUUAAAGAAUUGCUUAACAUAUGUCCACACCAUGGUUUUGAAACUUGGCGAUUGAUCACUUAUUUCUACGAGAACUUAACACCACAAAUUAGACAAGUUGUAGAAAUGAUGUGUAAUGGUGAAUUUAGAGAUAAAAAUCCUGAAGAUGCACUAGAUUACUUUAACCAAUUAGCUAAAAAUGCACAACAUUGAGAUACUGUUGGAACUUUUGAAUUGACUAAUAAACGACAACCAUCUCCAUCUGGUGGAGGAAUAUACAACCUUAGGGAAGAUCAUGAUUUACAAGCAAAAUUUACAUCCCUAGUUAGGAAGGUUGAAGCUUUGGAAAAUAAAAAAAAAAGUGAUCAUGUAAAAUUUGUUCAGGAAAUUGCAUGUGAUGUUGUAGUUCUAAUGAUCAUUUCACUCAAGAUUGUCCCACUCUGCCUGCACUCAAAGAAUAUUUGCAUGAUUAAGCUCAUGCCAUAAACUCUUUUAACAAGCUAAACCCAUAUUCACAGACUUAUAAUCCUGGUUGGAGAAAUCAUCCAAAUUUUAGUUGGAGGAAUAAUAAUAAUGCACAAUCUUCACAAGUACCACCUCCACAAAAUUUUCAAAAUACUCAGCCUUAUACACCAUAUGUUCCACCACCAUGGAAAAAUUUAGAAGAUACAAUACAUUCAUUCAUUAGGAAGCAAGAUGCUAUUAACAAUCAAAAUGCACAAACCUUUUAUGAUAUGAAAGAAACUCUUUCUAAAAUUGCUUCUGCCCUCACAAUUCAAGAAAAAAGAAAAUUUUCAACUCAACCAUAACCAAAUCCUAAAAUUCAAAAUGCACCCAUGGACCAAGUUAAGUCAGUUAUAACUCUUCGUAGUGGUAAGGUUAUUGAUCGGCCUAUUCCUAAACCUUGUGAAAAUGAAAAUUCAAAGGGUAAGGAAGAACUAGAUAAACUUACACCUAGUGAAGAAAUAACCAUUGUUCCAUCUGAACCACCAUUUCUGCAUGCAUUGAAUAAACCAAGGAAAUUAAACCACUCUUCUAAAAUUUAUGAAAUCUUUAAGCAAGUGAAAGUUAACAUUCAUUUGUUAGAUGUAAUCAAGCAUGUACCUUCAUAUGCCAAAUUUUAAAAGACUUAUGCACUGUUAAGAGUAAAUUGAAGGUAAAAAAGAGUGCUUUUAUGACUGAAUAGGUAAGUACCAUUUUGUCUGCUAAUAAUAAGUUAAAAUAUAAAGAUCUUGGUUGUCUUGCUAUUUCUUGUAUUAUUGGAGAUCACAAAAUUGAGCAUGCUUUGUUAGACUUUCGUGCUAGUUUUAAUUUGCUUCCAUAUUCAGUUUAUCUUUAACUUAAUCUUGGUGAGUUAAAAUCAACUUCAACUACACUUUUGCUUGCUGAUAGACCAGUUAAAGUACCAAAAAGAAUAGUUGAAGAUGUUUUAGUACAAGUUGAUAAAUUCAUAUACCCUGUGGAUUUUAUUGUUUUAGAAACUGAACAUGUUGUGAAUAAUUAUAAACCAAUUCCUGUAAUUUUAGGUUGACCAUUUCUAACAACUGCUAAUGCUUUGAUUAAAUGUAGGAAUGGUUUAAUGAAUUUGUCAUUUGGAAAUAUGACUCUGGAAUUGAAUCUUUUCAACAUGUGUAGACAACCUAAUGAGAGAAAUGAGAAUGAAGAUGAAAUUGAUGAACAAAAGGAAUUGUUUGAAUCUUGUAUAGAGGAGAAUAUUCAAAAAGGGAGUUUUUCUGAACUUAGUGAUAUUUGUUUGGUUAAUUCAAUUAAAUCAAAUAAACAACUUGAAUAUGAUACUUCUAAUAUAAAUUUGUUAUUUGAUUCUUGUCAGACUUUACAAAGUGAUGAUGGGAAACCAAAAAUUGAGGAGCUUGGAAUCAUUGAGAAACUGAACAACAAGAAGCACCUAAAUUGGAAUUGAAACCUUUGUCAGAGGGAAUGAAGUAUGCUCAUCUUGGAAAAGAACAAACUUAUCUUGUUGUGGUUUCUUCGACCUUAUCAAGCGACCAAAAAGGUAAGUUACUGUUUGUUCUUAAAAAGUAUAAAAACGCAAUUGGAUAGACUUUAAAUGACAUUAAAGGUAUUAAUCCUUUAAUUUGCACACAUAGAAUCAAUUUGGAAGAAAAUGCUAAAAUAUGUCAACAACCUCAAAGAAGAUUAAACCCACACAUGAAUGAAGUAGUAAAAAUAGAAGUUUUUAAGUUACUUGAUGUGAGAAUUAUCUACUCUAUCUCUAAUAGUAAGUGAGUAAAUCCUACACAAGUAGUGCCUAAAAAAUCUGGAAUCACUAUUGUUAAAAAUGAAAAAGGUGAAUUAAUUCCAACACGAAUUACAUCGAACUAGCGCAUGUGCAUUGAUUAUAUGAAAUUAAAUGAAGCCACUAGAAAAGAUCAUUUUUUAUUACCAUUUCUUGACCAAAUCUUAGAAAGAGUAGUUGGACAUUCCUACUACUGCUUUUUAGAUGGAUAUUCAAGUUAUUACCAAAUUCCUAUAGCACUUAAAGACCAAGAAAAAACCACAUUUACAUGUCCCUUUGGAACAUUUGCAUUUAAAAGAAUGUCAUUUGAACUUUGUAAUGCUCCUGCAACAUUUCAAAUAUGCAUGCUAAGUAUUUUCACUGAUAUGAUUGAACAUUGUUUAGAGGUCUUUAUGGAUGAUUUGACUGUAUUUGGGAAUUCUUUUGAUGAUUGCCUUGAUAAUUUGGAAAAAUUUUUAAAAAGAUGUGUUGAAAAAGAACUCGUUUUAAAUUGGAAAAAAAUGCCAUUACUUGGUUACUUAUGGAAUUAUUUUGGGUAAAGCAAAAUUUGAAAUCAUAUCUAAAUUGCCACAACAAAAAAUAGUUAGAGAUGUGCGAUCAUUUUUAAGACAUGCAUGAUUUUAUAGGAGGUUUAUAAAAAACUUUAGUGUUAUAUCUAAACCACUUUGUAAUCUCUUAUUAAAAGAUCCACUUUUUGAAUGGACUGAUGAUUGCCAAAAAUCUUUUGAGAAAAUAAUUUGCCUUUUGACAUCUGCACCUAUUAUGCAAUCUCCUAAUUGGUCUUUGCCUUUUGAAUUAAUGUAUGAUGCAAGUGACUUUGUUGUUGGUGCUGUUUUAGGACAAAGAAAGGAUGCUAAGCAAUUUGUAAUUUAUUAUGCAAGUAAGAUUUUGGAUGGUACUCAAAUGAAUUAUUCGACAACUGAAAAAAAAAUUACUUCAUAUGGUGUUUACAUUAAACAAAUUUCGCUCACAUUUUCUUGGUUCUAAAACUGUUUUUUUUUACUGAUCACGCUGUUGUGAGAUAUUUGAUGACUAAACAGGAUGCCAAACCUAGACUAAUUCGUUGGAUUUUGUUACUUCAAGAAUUUGACCUCACCGUCAAAGAUAAAAGGGGUGUCGAAAAUGUCGUUGUUGAUCAUUUAUGAAGACUCACAUAUGAAAUCUGCACUGAUAUAACACCCAUCAAUGAUUCCUUUCCCGAUGAAUUUUUAUUAUCUGUUACUUCAAUACCAUGGUAUGCUAACAUUGUUAAUUUCCUUAUUACAGGUAAAAUGCAUUCGCAAUGGAAUACUCAGGAGAAGAAGAAAUUUUUGAUUGAAGUAAAGAAAUUUUAUUGGGAUGAUCUUUACUUAUUCAAAUAUUACCCUGCUCAGAUUUUUUAACGAUGCAUUCCUGAUAAUGAGGUAAGUAGUGUCAUUAAUUUUUUUCAUCUAAAGCAUGUGGUGGACACUUUUCUUCAAGAAAAACUAUGGCUAAAAUUUUGUAAUAUGGAUUUUAUUGGCCUACUGUUGAGUGUUAGAAAAUGUAUAUUUAUAAAUGAGAAAAUCAUCAUUUUACACUUCAAGUUUCACUAACAUUCACACUUUUCUAUUUUAAUUAAUUAUUUUAUGUAUUUUAGGGGCAUCAUGGUUAUUUCACAAUGAACGAGAGAUCAGACAGCAAAACAAACAUCACUUUUGAACUCAGGACAGUUGAAACCCUUAAGAGGAGCAUAAAAGAAAAAAUGACACUGUUCACAUGUACGGUACUGUCCAUGUUACUGUUAACAACACUGUUCACAUAUACGGAACGAUAACGUGGCAUUGACCGAUGAUGUGGCAUUGACUGAUGAGGUGUUACGAUUCUAUUGGACUAAAAUUCUUAUUUACUGUUGAUUGGUGACGUGGCAGCAUGUCAGUGGACCAAAAAUCUUGUGUACGGUACAUGCAUAUAAACGAGAUUAUUUACAACCAAAUGGCGCCUUAUUCAAGCCACCUGACUGUUCAAACCGCGUACUGUUGACUGAUGACGUGGCGCAAUCUUGAGCAUCUAAAAUGUUUUUAGUCCGAUGGCCAUGAUUUACUCAGUGUAUCUAUAAAAAGGGGGUUCUUCCGCCUAAUUUGGCAUCCCUGAAUUCAUUUUUGAGUUCCAUUUUCUAUAAUUCCUUCUUAAUCUUGUAUUUUCUACAUAAUUUAAUAAAUUCACAUUUUACCCAUAGUUCAAAUAUGAGUAGCUAAUUUUCUUUCAAGCAUAGGUUGAAGGUGAAGUCUCAACAUGUGCCAUGAGCUUUAUUUGGUAAAUUUAUUUUCUCUUCCCCUCUAAUUAUUGUGGAUAUUUUGACUUUUCGUCGACAAAUAGUAAUAAUCUUUUUUAGAUACCAUACUGGUUUAAUCGGCUCCCUAGUACAAGGUUAUUAUAAUUUGGCACGAUAAACCCUUAGCACCAUAUUGAUUAGAGUGUGGUUCAUAAGGAGUGGAAAUCCUCCUCCUGAUUUAAUUGGCAUUAAUAAGGAAUAUUUAGCCCAUGGUGCAUGUUGAUGCAGAUCUAGAUACCUAAGUACGUCAUUUUAACAGAUUUUCACUUCAAUUUAUUCCCACCAUUUUAAUUUGAAUUUUAUGAUGAUUUAAAUCACUUCCACCACAAAUCCAAUCACCCACACCUAGAAAAUUAAUUCUACACACAAUUAAAAUCCACCUCCUCGUGGAAUCGACACUUGCGAGUUCAAUAAAAUUUGCACAACAAGUUUUUGGCGCCGUUGCCGGGGAGGUAAGU